rnacentral:lncRNA from 1 species
AUUCAUAAUGCUCCCAAGUGAAUCUUUAUUUCCAAACAUUAUUCUUGGUCAUUUUCUUGCUACAAUUAUCUGAUGCAUUCGCAGUGACCAUCACGGCAGGUCCCACCUCCGUAACCAUCUCUGUUGCAGAUAUCAUUACAAAAUGAAGGAUCCGUACAUGGAGUGUAGGGUUCACGGUGCCCCUCGACGCCAAUGUUAGCUUCCUUGCCUACAACAAUAAAAAAUAAAAGGUUCCAUCAGAACCUCUUGUUGUUCGUAUUUAAACUAGGAUUCUGUGAAAUCAAUGUACUAUGCAAAUAGUAGGACAACAGUGGAGUGCUAAUACAAACAUAGGAAGAACAUCUACUGGCUGGUAUAUAAUUAUUAUGUACUAUGGAAACCAUAUGUACCACGACAGAAUUGUAAUGGUGAUCAUAAAAUCACAAGGAAAACACCUCUUUCUUUCCAUGCCAUUGUUAAAUAACACUAGGUUUAAAUUACAAUGAGGCAUGAUAACUUUUAAAUAAGGGGACGAACGCGACGCACAAGUUUGCACUACAAGGAAAAAUAGUUUUAUAUCUAUUUUUUGCAAGUAUGAGGAAAAAGAUACUUGCCUAUCUUAACUAAACACCUCACUCUAUUAGGCACGGUUGAAACACUUUUCUCUUGCAAAAAUACUUGCAUAUAUUAACUUGAACGAUCAAACUUCAUAAGAAACAUUCAUAUCAUUGGCAACAGAGAAUGAUGCAAUAGGAUCAAUUUUUUAUCUAGCUCUAGGAAACCACAAAUUCAUAUAUACUGCAGUUGAUAAGCUCUGGUAAAUAGAAAUGUACCUAUCUUCCUCCCUGAUGCUUCACUCGACAAUAAAGUGGUUGAAACCAUCAAAAGUGCCAUCAAGCACAGAACACCAGUGUUGAUCCGGAUUAGAGCCAUAAUGAAAUUGUUUAGUGUUCUCUUCUCCUAUGUCCGUUUGGUUUAGACUUGUACUACUUUGCUGGUUCCUUCUGCUGUUUAUAUAGAGGCAUGGCCGAUUCUUGGAGUAUCAGUGUUUGCCAUUUUAUUCAUUCCUGCUUUGGCGAGUUUCCUUUUUACAAUUCGCCGUGAUUAAUAAGGAUCCUCGGAUUAUACGCACAUCAUGGAAUAUCCUAUAGGUAUCGAUUGACAGACUACAAAUACAUCCAUAAGGAGUUUCUUAGUAUUCCAUAUACACAAUUAGCGCAUUUAUUGGCUCCUAAAAAUAACCAUAUGAAAUUAAUUAGUUUUCCAUUAUAACAUUGUGACAUUUUAUUGGCUCCCAAUAUUAUUUACAGACGGAAUUAAUUAGUAAUACUCCAUACCAAGAUUAUGGUAUUUAUUCGCUCCAAAAUUACAAGGGAAAUUAAUUAGUAGUAUUCCAUAACAAGAUACAUAGUGUAUAAGAAAAUGUGUCAUCUUGAUAGUUUGGUAUUAGUUUAUGUAUUUGGCACCUAUGAUUUUUGAACAAGACACAGUGUGUUGCACAUACGGUCUAGCUAGUGCAUAGUCACCUGAUAUUUGAUUGAAUUUGUUAUUUUGAUUUUUUUAGUCAAUUAUGCAGGUUUCAUUUGGGGCGGUGGCGCGUUUUUUUCCACUGGUGGGGGGGCAUUUCAUUACUCAAGCUAUAACAGUUUUACAAUCAUCGGUAAUCAUAAUGAUAAUCUCCUGGGGAGCGAGCAUGUGUAAGCCAAGAAGCUGUGUGCUGCUCUUCAUGACCAAUUGCCACCAUUACAUACCCAGCUUUAUUCUACCCAUGACUAAUAAUCUUAUGAAUUUCAGUGUUGCGUUCGUUGAGCAGAUGCACUAUCUCUGCAACUUGGUGCAUAUUUUUGGAUCGAUCACCCAGCCCAACUUUUACAAAAGUGAUGAUCUUGGCAUGGUUCGUCCCAACCUGAAACAGGGCUUGAGACCAAUGCAGAGUUAGACGGAGGCCUAUCCCUUGGUGACUGAGGCAACCUGAAUUACUUCAAAACCACCUCUUGGAAAAUGACGAUAGUAUCUCGGAGCAAGCUUUCACUCCAUUUUCACUCAAGAGCGGCUGGACAUGGUGCUGCGGCCCAUUAUUCACAAGUACCAUGUACACAUAGAUCACCGGCCAAUUGUCCUUCACUGGAAAUUGCACGUGCAUUGCAAUAAAUGAUAGUGUAUUAUUUAAAUAUCAAAAAUUGGGACACAUAUGCAAUUUCAAAAUUCGAAACACAUACAUGUAAUUUUUUGAAGGAACAUUUACACCUGUAUAUAGUUAUGUUAUACCAGUACAAUGCCCACGCACUGCUACCGUAGAUCUCAAACAAUGCCUCAAGCACGUUAUAGCAAGCACUAAAGUUUCACUUCCCACAUCCCACCUAUUUUAUCAACCACUGUGAUUCCCAAUCAGACUUAAAUUUUUAAGAUCAAAUGGGAAGGUCAAAUUUAAGCACCUAACGAUGAGAAGCGAAUGAUAUGGUGCAAUAUGACCAAAAUAUAUCUCCUAUUAAAGAUCCACAUGCAUAUUGCAUUGUCGACUUCUCUUGUACCAUUUUCAACUUCACCAACAAAGCUUGCAUCUCCCUUUCACUACUGGGAAAAGUCUUAUAUAUUUUUUUGAGCAAAAAUAGUAGGGUAAACCCCUACUGUAACACUUUUUUGAUUAAUAUAAGAGUGGUGUUACAAGUUGAUGUACAAUGUGAAUAUGGCUAUGUGUAUGCCUAUGAUAGAUUUACAAAUAAUCUAGCUAAGUUUGCAUCCCUUCCUUCCCGCUUGGUUUUGCUUUCCUCAUGAAUGUAAUUGUUCCUUGGAACAGGCAUUGCAAUAUUCUAAGCUAUUUGUCUUGUGGUAAAAAAUAAUGAUGUUUCUGUUCUUCCAGAUGGACCAGCAUCUAGCAAUCAAGCAUGCUCUGAAUGAUUGAAUGUUUGUUCUAGUUUUUUGCUUUAUCUAGCAUUUGGUUGAUGCUAUGGUCAGUGUUCCAUUCAAUCCCAAUAGAUAUCCAAAAAUUGUGGCUGAAGUCACACGGGAAAAAUAGAUGCUUCAGGUGUUCAUUAGGCUCAUCAUCACAUAGGACACAUUUGCUUGAUUGAAUACAGAAGUGUUUCCUUGCUAGCAAGUCUCUAGUAUUUAGCCUAUCAAGUAGCCGUAACCAGAAGUAUUUUUUCGCUAAGCAUCCAAAUUUCCAAAUCCAUUGGAAUGGUUAAGGGGUAUAUGGUGGGUUUCCAAUCAAUUAUAGAUAAAUCCUUUUGGUGGAAUACCUUGUAGAUGACCAAUAGAAGUCCCAAUUGUCUCUGCUAUUGUUGCUUGCAAUAUUGAUCAUGUUCCUCAAUGAUAUGAUUUGUUGUACGGCAACAGUUGACAUGCGUAGAUGAAACAUUUCAUAUAGACCUUCCGUAGCUAUAUCAUGUGUAGCAGCAAAAGUUAUAUCCUUGUUUUUAGCAUAUGAAAUUAGUUGGGGAAUUUAUUCUCAAGAUUAUCAUCCUCCCAUUUAUCGUACCAUAACCUGAAAGUAGAUCCAUCACCAACUUUGCAAAGUUACAUGCUUUUGAAAUCAUUUAGAACAUAGCAGCAAUCUCUCCACCCAUGAUCCAACCUUUGUUGGAUAAGUUGGUAGCUCACCAUUGUUUUAGUAUGAGUUCCAUAAUAUUUUCACCCAUGUUAUGUCAUACUUAUUAAAGAAAUUGUGUAUGAACUUUGUCAGACAUGCUCUGUUCUGAGUUCUGAGCUCUAGUACUCUAGGCCACUAUCUUUUUCAUUAAACAUACCUUCUCCCAUUUGGCUAGACAUUUGCCAUGUUCGUUGAUAUUCUUCCAAUACCAUAAGAAGCACCUGCCAGAUUUUUCAAAAUGAUCUAGGAUGGUAAAGGCAACUCUGAUGUUGCACAUUGCAAAAAUGGGCAAUGCAUUGACCACGACUUUAAGAUGGACCAAUCUUCCUGCAUAUGAGAUCAUAGGUGCGAUACCAGAUAGCCUGACAUCUAAUCUUGACACCAUGGGCAUCAAAUCAUCAAUUUUUGGUCUUGUGGAGCCCAUUGGUAAACCAAGAUAUGUGAAAUGCAUGCUUUAUUUUUUACAUCCAAGUAUGUUGGCAAGUUGCAGAGCUCUUUCAUCUGUUAUGUUCACUAGUUGACCCGUUGCGCCAAAUGGCCCAGAGACCCGCUGAAGACAUGUUGUCGAUGAAAAUAGUUUCAUGCUGCAAGAACCUUCAACUAAACCACCCGUUGCACCAAAUGGCGCAGAGACCUGCUAAUUCCAUGUUAGCGAUGAAAAGAAAUUCAUGGUUUAGUUGAUAUAGUUACGGGUAUGCACAUAUGACAACAAAUUUAAUCUUUCUUAUAUGAAAAAAAACAGGGCUUGUUAUCAAAAAUAAGAUGUAUAUACACAAUUAAAUUUGGUAACAUAGAGUUCUGUUUGAAACAAAAUGCAUGUAACAAAUCUAAUCCUCUUUAGUAGGAAAAACAUGGUAUAUUCUGUUGUCUAUAAUGAGAUGUAUAUACAAAUUCUAAUUUCGUAGCAUAGAGUUAUAUAAUCUAUAAGAUGUGAAUGACGGACAUCACAUCCAGAGAUAUUCACAUCAGCAACAAAGUUGUCUACAAUUCAUGUGAACGAUGUGGUUCGCCGAGGCGGCCAUUUCGGGGGCGUUGAUUUCUGAGGGAGUCCAGGUGGUGACGAUGAUAGACACUCGGUGAUCAUUUGCGAAGGGCAUGAUCAGCGCAAAUCCUGCAUAUUUCCCUUGUGAAGCCCGUCUUGAAAGUCGGAGUUGUCAAUUGUUCGCGUGUGUAGCCAUCUGUUAGCAUGUGGCCAGGUUGGCUGGUGGUACCCAUGUUGUGUGGGUUGAGUUGUAUUGGUUUUAGCCCGGUUUUCCUCAAUUAACCAGGCAAUUCCCACUAUCUUGUAAGCUAAUGAAAAUGGAAGUCUUUUGUCUCGUUUCAAAAUAAUUAAAUAAAACAUCAGCAAGAAAUAACAUCCUUGGGCCAACACCUGACUAAGUUGAAACGAUAUUGUUCCGCGCCUUCCAAAUAUGCGAAGGAUAUUACCGAUGUUAUCUUGGGCUUGCAGCCCUUCGGGUGGCAUCACAACAACAAAAUUACGGUCAUUUUUUCAUAUAUAUAUAUAUAUAAAUGAAGUGUCAUGUCAUAGCAUUGCUGAAGCGGACUAAAAUUUAGGAGAAUGGAUGAGAAUAGAAAUGAUGUAAAGUCGGGUCUCGGUUUAAAAUGGGCAUAAGAAAGUAGUAUUUUAGUAGAGCUGUAUCAGAAUGCACAAAGGCUUAGUAACUGCAAUACUAAUUUACUCAAGGAAGAGCUGCACAAUUUACUCAAGUAAGAGCUGCUCAAUAUUGUCGUCAGAACAAACUGUAAUAGGAUCGUGGGAAUUAUAUGUUGAUGUGUACACACCUUCACAAUUAUAUAACUCUAUGUAACAAUGCACAAAGGAGUAGCAGCCACAAUAUUAAUUUACUCAAGGAAGAACUAGUCAAUUAUGUCAUCAGAACAAACUGUAAUAGGAUGGUGCAAAUUAUGUAAACCUUGAACGGGGCGCAUAGUACCUUCCAAAGCCUGUUAACAGCAAGAUCUAAUAAGGCAAGAUAAAAAUGAUUGUAACUAUCUUGUAAUUGUUCAAACAUUUGAGAAAGCUUAGAGAAUACGUCCUGCUGCCUUUUUCUCUAAUGUUCUCUUCCUUCUUUUACCUGCAAAAAUGAAGCAUGCUCCACAAACAGGCAAAAUCAGUGUUGUUACCAACAGACUUUCAUAUUAUAAGAGGUAUUCUGGAAGUAUUUAUGCUAACUAAAUUCAGAAAAGAUCAAAAUCAUAAUAAUUUAGCAUCCCUAUAUAAGACUUGUUUCAAUCCUCAUGGUGCAUAUCAAAGCCCUGCAAUCGAAACUGAAAAAUUACUCGCACUGAAAUCUCUAAACACCAGUUGAUCUAACUAAUCAAGCAAGUAGCAGUCUUGCACUGAAACCCCUAAACACCAGUUCAGUUAUCCGUAUUAUACACAUCCCGGCUACUACAAAUUCUGAAAAAUGAGAAACUGCACCCUCAGCAACAACUGACAUAAAGGCUAAACCAGAGCAAUCAACCGUUAUUUCUGCCAUGGCACAAAAUUUCUAAUAGAAUCACAUCUAAGAAUGUCAAUUAGAAGGAGAGAAAGGAACUCUAGGAAUUCAUGGUGGAAGACAAAGCAAAUAAAAUAAUAUUAUUCAGGAAAAGAGAUAAUAUCAGGGACACGAAAGGUAAAGGUUGUUCCGAGAUGUUCCAGACAAUCUAAUAGUUAGACAUCACACAAAAAAAGGGUUGAAUCAACGAAAAACUAAAAACCAGAUUACAAUAUAAACUGGUUACCUUUUUUUGCUUAGGCAAAGGCUGACAUGAACAUUAGAAACCAAGAACUUAUCUUUUUCUAUGUAGUAAAAAACUGAGCAAGUGUUUGUGUUUUUCAUCGAAAGAAAAAAAAAUGCUAGGAGAGUAAUAUGCUUAUGGCAGAAUUAACAUUGAUAGCAGAAGAAGAUAUAUAUUGGAAAUGUUGGACUAAAUUUAGCCAUGGGAGAUAUUAAAAAAUUGGAGAGCAUUGACAGCCAACCAAGCAAAUGAAGGAAUAUCCCCGCCAAAAUUAAGAAUGGUAAAUUAGCAUCUAGAGGUAUAUAAAAACAAACAUUCCGCUUGGAAGAGUGUUAUCUCAGUAUGAUAUAAAUAUCUAUGAAAAUGUACGCACUAGCUACUAUUCAUGGGGUGUCACCAGUAGCAAAACCCACACCCCAAAUUGUAAAAUCUGAUGUCAGCAGCAAGAUUGCUGCACAAACAAACUGCUUGAAUCUAAUGAAUAAAGAAGGGGCAUCCUAAUCGCAUACAACAUGAUCUAUGAACAUAGUUUUUUUCCAAAGGAUAUGAAUCAAAUUAGCAAACUAAUUUGACCAACGGCUCUCGCCAUCUUCUGAAGCUAAUCACAAGAAAUGGUUGCGUAGAGCAAAAAUCCAAAUCACAUCAGCAAAGAAAAGCUAUUUCCAUGAAGUACAGUAGAAGCAGUUAGGAGAGGAUGCUGCAAUUUCCAAACAAAGUAUAAAUAGAUAUGAGAUAGACAUGAAAUAAUUCAUUAUAUCUCAGACCACACUAAAGUAUAAAGAAUCAAAGAUAUGGACAUAAUCAAACUAAACUUCAAUUAUAUGAAUAUAUGCAUCAACACAAUAGCCAUUCAGUUCAUAGUUUACAUGGGAAUGGACCAAACAACUGCAUCGCUUGCCGGUUCGCUCGUGUUGUACAACUACAAAUGCCAAUACCUUGUUCCCCAGGACCAGCAACAUGGUGGCGUCGGAUGCACUCGUCGUCUCUUGAUGCGUGUGGAGGUCCCCAAGCCACACCCAUGGACACCUCUCCUGCCGCCUAUCCAGCUCGCUGCACCAAGCACCACGCUCACCGGUGCUAUCCGUCGACCCACAUUGGUUGAGGCACCACCAGGAUGGUCGAUUUCACAUGGGUCUCCUUUUCCUUGUCUAAAUCCCAUCCGGAAGUUCCCUACAGAGAGAGAAACAAAGAGCACCACUGCUGCAGCUACCCAGGGUACUAUAAAUACAUGGAUGGAAUCAAGACUAAUAGAUAAAAAUAAUAGAGCAGAUAGUUUAUUUAGUAUAGCACUUUUUUUCUUUUUGAAGGAUUUAGAACAGCAGUUAGGACCAGUAGAACUCCAUUUUACCAAUCAGGUGUUUGAUUUGAUAUACCAUGUUUAACUAUCCAUGUUUAGGGUCGUCCCAUCAGGGCAUUUGAAAAACUUUUAUGAAGAAGAGUUAACUUCUUUAAUCAACCCCGUAGAGCGAUGUAUUUAUCAAGGAACGGAACAACAUUCAGACCUGCAUGAACAGACUUUCAUAUUAUAAGAGGUAUUCUAGAAGUAUUUAUGCUAACUAAAUUCAGAAAAGACCAAAAGCAUAACAAUUUAGCAGCCAUAUAUACAUGAUUUAGUAGCAGGGGCGAAUUCUCUCAACUAUAUAUUGCAAAAAGGGUUGUAGUAGUCUCCGGCUUGGCUGGUUUUACCUUGAACAAAAUUGCGAUUUAGAAAAGCAACAUGGGUUUUCUGAAGAAGCUCUUGUACCCGAUCAACGGUCCCAUUGCCUGAUCGGAGUGAGGGAGAAAUGCAGGUAAGGAGAAUGAACAAGCAUCUUGAAGUGAGAGUAGUAAAUAACCAAGAAAUGAACCAAUAAAAAAACACAAAGAACAAUCACUAUCAGACCCAUUAAUUUGUCCAUAUACAUGAUUUAGAGUAUAACUUGGAAACGAAAAAUAUCUAGGCAGAUUAGAGAUAGAGCUCACCUUGUUUUUUCCUCUUCCUCAAGAUCAUUCCUCUUCUCUUCUUCGUUCGAUCUACACACAUCUUGUUUACAAAAACAAAAAACAAUCUUCUCUACUUUGUUGUUGCAAGUUUUACGUGGCUGCUACGGGCUUAAGCAACAACCAAUCUCACCUACGCAUCAAAACCACAACGAUAGUUUGUCAAGUUGAUGCCGUUUUAACCUUCGCAAGGACCGGGCGUAGCCACACUUGGUUCAACUAAAGUUGGAGAGACUGUCGCCCGCAAGCCACCUAUGUGCAAAGCACGUCGGGAGAACCGGUCUCGCGUAAGCGUACGCGUAAUGUUGGUCCGGGUCGUCUCGUCCAACAAUACCGCCGAACCAAAGUAUGACAUGGUGGUAGGCAGUAUGACUUAUAUCGCCCACAACUCACUUGUGUUCUACUCGUGGAUAUAACAUCAAACCAUAAAACCUAGGCUCGGAUGCCACUAUUGGGGAACGCAGUAAUUUCAAAAAAAUUCCUGCGCACACGCAAGAUCAUGGUGAUGCAUAGCAACGAGAGGGGAGAGUAUGAUCUACGUACCCUUGUAGAUCGCAACGGAAGCGUUGACACAACGUAGAGGAAGUAGUCGUAGUCUUCUUCCCGAUUCGACCGAUCCAAGCACCGUUACUCCGGCACCUCCGAGUUCUUAGCACACGUACAGCUCGAUGACGCUGCCCGGGCUCCGAUCCAGCAAACCUUCAGGGAUGAGUUCCGUCAGCAUAACGGCGUGGUGAUGAUGAUGAUGUUCCACUGACGCAGGGCUUCGCCUAAGCACUACAACGAUAUGACCGAGGUGGAAUAUGGUGGCAAGGGGGCACCGCACAUGGCUAAGGAACGAUCACGAGGAUCAACUUGUGUCCUAGGGUGCCCCCUGCCUCCGUAUAUAAAGGAUCCAAGGGGGGGUGGUGCGCCGGACUAGAGGAGGGCGCAGGAGGAGUCCUACUCCUACCGGGAGUAGGACUCCCCUCCCCGUUCCUUGUCCAACUAGGAGAGGUGGAGGGAGAAUAGGAAAGGGGGGCGCCGCCCCUCCCUCCUUGUCCAAUUCGGACUAGGGGGAGAGGGGGUGCGCGGCCUGCCCUGGCAGCCCCUUCCUCUUCUCCACAUUAGGCCCAUAAGGCCCAUUAACCCCCCGGGGGUUCCGGUAACCCCUCCGGCACUCCGGUUUUAUCCGAAACUUCUCCGGAACCCUUCCGGUGUCCGAAUAUAGUCAUCCAAUAUAUCAAUCUUUAUGUCUCGACCAUUCCGAGACUCCUCGUCAUGUCCGUGAUCACAUCCGGGACUCCGAACUAACUUCAGUACAUCAAAAUGCAUAAACUCAUAAUAACUGUCAUCGUAACUUUAAGCGUGCGGACCCUACGGUUCGAGAACAAUGUAGACAUGACCGAGACACGUCUCCGGUCAAUAACCAAUAGCGGGAUCUGGAUGCCCAUAUUGGCUCCUACAUAUUCUACGAAGAUCUUUAUCGGUCAGACCACAUAACAACAUACGUUGUUCCUUUUGUCAUCGGUAUGUUACUUGCCCGAGAUUCGAUCGUCGGUAUCCAAUACCUAGUUCAAUCUCGUUACCGGCAAGUCUCUUUACUCGUUCCGUAAUACAUCAUCUCACAACUAACAUAUUAGUUGUAAUGCUUGCAAGGCUUAUGUGAUGUGCAUUACCGAGAGGGCCCGGAGAUACCUCUCCGACAAUCGGAGUGACAAAUCCUAAUCUCGAAAUACGCCAACCCAACAUGUACCUUUGGAGACACCUGUAAUGCUCCUUUAUAAUCACCCAGUUACGUUGUGACGUUUGGUAGCACUCAAAGUGUUUCUCCGGCAAACGGGAGUUGCAUAAUCUCAUAGUCAUAGGAACAUGUAUAAGUCAUGAAGAAAGCAAUAGCAACAUACUAAACGAUCGGGUGCUAAGCUAAUGGAAUGGGUCAUGUCAAUCAGAUCAUUUGAACUAAUGAUGUGACCUCAUUAAUCAAAUAACAACUCUUUGUUCAUGGUUAGGAAACAUAACCAUCUUUGAUUAACGAGCUAGUCAAGUAGAGGCAUACUAGUGACACUCUGUUUGUCUAUGUAUUCACACAUGUAUUAUGUUUCUGGUUAAUACAAUUCUAGCAUGAAUAAUAAACAUUUAUCAUGAUAUAAGGAAAUAAAUAAUAACUUUAUUAUUGCCUCUAGGGCAUAUUUCCUUCAGUCUCCCACUUGCACUAGAGUCAAUAAUCUAGAUUGCACAGUAAUGAUUCUAACACCCAUGGAGUCUUGGUGCUGAUCAUGUUUUGCUCGUGGAAGAGGCUUAGUCAACGGGUCUGCCACAUUCAGAUCCAUAUGUAUCUUGCAAAUCUCUAUGUCUCCCACCUGGACUAGAUCCCGGAUGGAAUUGAAGCGUCUCUUGAUGUGCUUGGUUCUCUUGUGAAAUCUGGAUUCCUUUGCCAAGGCAAUUGCACCAAUAUUGUCACAAAAGAUUUUCAUUGGACCCGAUGCACUAGGUAUGACACCUAGAUCGGAUAUGAAGUCCUUCAUCCAGACUCCUUCAUUUGCUGCUUCCGAAGCAGCUAUGUACUCCGCUUCACAUGUAGAUCCCGCUACGACACUUUGUUUAGAACUGCACCAACUGACAGCUCCACCGUUUAAUGUAAACACGUAUCCGGUUUACGAUUUAGAAUCGUCCGGAUCAGUGUCAAAGCUUGCAUCAACAUAACCGUUUAUGAUGAGCUCUUUGUCACCUCCAUAUACGAGAAACAUAUCCUUAGUCCUUUUCAGGUAUUUCAGGAUGUUCUUGACCGCCGUCCAGUGAGCCAUUCCUGGAUUACUUUGGUACCUCCCUGCUAAACUUAUAGCAAGGCACACAUCAGGUCUGGUACACAGCAUUGCAUACAUGAUAGAGCCUAUGGCUGAAGCAUAGGGAACAUCUUUCAUUUUCUCUCUAUCUUCUGCAGUGGUCGGGCAUUGAGUCUUACUCAACUUCACACCUUGUAACACAGGCAAGAACCCUUUCUUUGCUUGAUCCAUUUUGAAUUUUUUCAAAAUCUUUUCAAGGUAUUUGCUUUGUGAAAGUCCAAUUAGGCGUCUUGAUCUAUCUCUAUAAAUCUUUAUGCCUAACAUGUAAGCAGCUUCACCGAGGUCUUUCAUUGAAAAACUCUUAUUCAAGUAUCCCUUUAUGCUAUCCAGAAAUUCUAUAUCAUUUCCAAUCGGUAAUAUGUCAUCCACAUAUAAUAUCAAAAAUGCUACAGAGCUCCCACUCACUUUCUUGUAAAUACAGGCUUCUCCAAAAGUCUGUAUAAAACCAAAUGCUUUGAUCACACUAUCAAAGCGUUUAUUCCAACUCCGAGAGGCUUGCACCAGUCCAUAAAUGGAUCGCUGGAGCUUGCGCACUUUGUUAGCUCCCUCUGGAUCAACAAAACCUUCUGGUUGCAUCAUAUACAACUCUUCUUCCAGAAAUCCAUUCAGUAAUGCAGUUUUGACAUCCAUCUGCCAAAUUUCAUAAUCAUAAAAUGCGGCAAUUGCUAACAUGAUUCGGACAGACUUAAGCAUCGCUACGGGUGAGAAGGUCUCAUCGUAGUCAGUCCCUUGAACUUGCCGAAAACCUUUUGCGACAAGUCGAGCUUUGUAGACAGUAAUAUUACCGUUAGCGUCAGUCUUCUUCUUGAAGAUCCAUUUAUUCUCAAUUGCUUGCCGAUCAGCGGGCAAGUCAACCAAAGUCCAUACUUUGUUCUCAUACAUGGAUCCCAUCUCAGAUUUCAUGGCUUCAAGCCAUUUUGCGGAAUCUGGGCUCACCAUCGCUUCUUCAUAGUUCGUAGGUUCAUCAUGAUCUAGUAGCAUGACUUCCAGAACAGGAUUACCGUACCACACUGGUGCGGAUCUCACUCUGGUUGAUCUACGAGGUUCAGUAGUAUCUUGAUCUAAAGUUUCAUGAUCAUCAUCAUUAGCUUCCUCACUAACUGGUGUAGGUGUCACUGAAACAGUUUUCUGUGAUGUACUACUUUCCAAUAAGGGAGCAGGUACAGUUACCUCGUCAAGUUCUACUUUCCUCCCACUCACUUCUUUCGAGAGAAACUCCUUCUCUAGAAAGGAUCCAUUCUUAGCAACGAAUGUCUUGCCUUCGGAUCUGUGAUAGAAGGUGUACCCAACUGUCUCCUUUGGGUAUCCUAUGAAGACACAUUUCUACGAUUUGGGUACGAGCUUAUCAGGUUGAAGUUUUUUCACAUAAGCAUCGCAGCCCCAAACUUUAAGAAACGACAACUUCGGUUUCUUGCCAAACCAUAGUUCAUAAGGCGUCGUCUCAACGGAUUUUGAUGGUGCCCUAUUUAACGUGAAUGCGGCCGUCUCUAAAGCAUAACCCCAAAACGAUAGCGGUAAAUCUGUAAGAGACAUCAUAGAUCGCACCAUAUCUAAUAAAGUACGAUUACGACGUUCGGACACACCAUUACGCUGUGGUGUUCUGGGUGGCGUGAGUUGCGAAACGUUUCCACAAUUUUUCAAAUGUACACCAAACUCGUAACUCAAAUAUUCUCCUCCACGAUCAGAUCGUAGAAACUUUAUUUUCUUGUUACGAUGAUUUUCAGCUUCACUCUGAAAUUCUUUGAACUUUUCAAAUGUUUUAGACUUUUCUUUCAUUAAGUAGAUAUACCCAUAUCUGCUUAAAUCAUCUGUCAAGGUGAGAAAAUAACGAUAUUCGCCACGAGCCUCAAUAUUCAUCGGACCACAUACAUCUGUAUGUAUGAUUUCCAACAAAUCUGUUGCUCUCUCCAUAGUACCGGAGAACGGUGUUUUAGUCAUCUUGCCCAUGAGGCACGGUUCGCAAGUACCAAGUGAUUCAUAAUCAAGUGGUUCCAAAAGCCCAUCAGUAUGGAGUUUCUUCAUGCGCUUUACACCGAUAUGACCUAAACGGCAGUGCCACAAAUAAGUUGCACUAUCAUUAUCAACUCUGCAUCUUUUGGCUUCAACAUUAUGAAUAUGUGUAUCACUACUAUCGAGAUUUAUCAAAAAUAGACUACUCUCCAAAGGUGCAUGACCAUAAAAGAUAUUACUCAUAUAAAUAGAACAACCAUUAUUCUCUGAUUUAAAUGAAUAACCGUCUCGCAUUAAACAAGAUCCAGAUAUAAUGUUCAUGCUCAAUGCUGGCACCAAAUAACAAUUAUUUAGGUCUAAUACUAAUCCCGAAGGUAGAUGUAGAGGUAGCGUGCCGACCGCGAUCACAUCGACUUUGGAACCAUUUCCCACGCGCAUCGUCACCUCGUCCUUUGCCAGUGUUCGCUUAAUCCGUAGUCCCUGUUUUGAGUUGCAAAUAUUAGCAACAGAACCAGUAUCAAAUACCCAGGUGCUACUGCGAGCUCUAGCAAGGUACACAUCAAUAACAUGUAUAUCACAUAUACCUUUGUUCACGUUGCCAUCCUUCUUAUCCGCCAAAUACUUGGGGCAGUUCUGCUUCCAGUGACCAGUCUGCUUGCAGUAGAAGCACUCAGUUUCAGGCUUAGGUCCAGACUUGGGUUUCUGCUCUUGAGCAGCAACUUGUUUGCCAUUCUUCUUGAAGUUCCCCUUCUUCUUCCCUUUCCCCUUUUUCUUGAAACCAGUGGUCUUGUUGACCAUCAACACUUGAUGCUCCUUCUUGAUUUCUACCUCCGCAGCUUUCAGCAUUGCGAAGAGCUCGGGAAUAGUCUUGUUCAUCCCUUGCAUAUUAUAGUUCAUAACGAAGCUCUUGUAGCUUGGUGGUAGUGAUUGGAGAAUUCUGUCAAUGACGCAAUCAUCUGGAAGAUUAACUCCCAAUUGAAUCAAGUGAUUAUUAUACCCAAACAUUUUGAGUAUAUGCUCACUGACAGAACUGUUCUCCUCCAUCUUGCAGCUGUAGAACUUAUUGGAGACUUCAUAUCUCUCAAUUUGGGCAUUUGCUUGAAAUAUUAACUUCAACUCCUGAAACAUCUCAUAUGCUCCAUGACGUUCAAAACGUCGUUGAAGUCCCGAUUCUAAGCCGUAAAGCAUGGCACACUGAACUAUCGAGUAGUCAUCAGCUUUGCUCUCCCAGAUGUUCAUAACAUCUGGUGUUGCUCCAGCAGCAGGCCUGGCACCCAGCGGUGCUUCCAGGACGUAAUUCUUCUGUGCAGCAAUGAGGAUAAUCCUCAAGUUACGGACCCAGUCCGUGUAAUUGCUACCAUCAUCUUUCAACUUCGCUUUCUCAAGGAACGCAUUAAAAUUCAACGGAACAACAGCACGAGCCAUCUAUCUACAAUCAACAUAAACAAGCAGAUACUAUCAGGGACCAAGUUCAUGAUAAAUUUAAGUUCAAUUAAUCAUAUUACUUAAGAACUCCCACUUAGAUAGACAUCCCUCUAAUCUUCUAAGUGAUCACGUGAUCCAAAUCAACUAAACUAUAACCGAUCAUCAUGUGAAAUGGAUUAGUCUUCAAUGGUGAACAUCAUUAUGUUGAUCAUAUCUACUAUAUGAUUCACGCUUGACCUUUCAGUCUCCGUGUUCCGAGGCCAUAUCUGCAUAUGCUAGGCUCGUCAAGUAUAACCCGAGUAUUCUGUGUGUGCAAACCUGGCUUGCACCCAUUGUAGAUGGACGUAGAGCUUAUCACACCCGAUCAUCACGUGGUGUCUGGGCACGACGAACUUUGGCAACGGUGGAUACUCAGGGAGAACACUUCUUGAUAAUUUAGUGAGAGAUCAUCUUAUAAUGCUACCGUCAAUCAAAGCAAGAUAAGAUGCAUAAAAGAUAAACAUCACAUGCAAUCAAUAUAAGUGAUAUGAUAUGGCCAUCAUCAUCUUGUGCCUGUGAUCUCCAUCUCCGAAGCACCGUCAUGAUGACCAUCGUCACCGGCGCGACACCUUGAUCUCCAUCGUAGCAUCGUUGUUGUCUCGCCAAUCUUAUGCUUCCACGACUUUUGCUACCGUUUAGUGAUAAAGUAAAGCACUACAUCGUGAUUGCAUUGCAUACAAUAAAGCGACAACCAUAUGGCUCCUGCCAGUUGCCGAUAACUCGGUUACAAAACAUGAUCAUCUCAUAGAAUAAAAUUUAGCAUCGUGUCUUGACCAUAUCACAUCACAACAUGCCCUGCAAAAACAAGUUAGACGUCCUCUACUUUGUUGUUGCAAGUUUUACGUGGCUGCUACGGGCUUAAGCAAGAACCAAUCUCACCAACGCAUCAAAACCACAACGAUAGUUUGUCAAGUUGAUGCCAUUUUAACCUUCGCAAGGACCGAGCGUAGCCACACUUGGUUCAACUAAAGUUGGAGAGACUGUCGCCCGCAAGCCACCUAUGUGCAAAGCACGUCGGGAGAACCGGUCUCGCGUAAGCGUACGCGUAAUGUUGGUCCGGGUCGUCUCGUCCAACAAUACCGCCGAACCAAAGUAUGACAUGCUGGUAGGCAGUAUGACUUAUAUCGCCCACAACUCACUUGUGUUCUACUCGUGCAUAUAACAUCAACCAUAAAACCUAGGAUCGGAUGCCACUGUUGGGGAACGUAGUAAUUUCAAAAAAUUUCCUACGCACACGCAAGAUCAUGGUGAUGCAUAGCAACGAGAGGGGAGAGUAUGAUCUACGUACCCUUGUAGAUCGCAACGGAAGCGUUGACACAACGUAGAGGAAGUAGUCGUACGUCUUCUUCCCGAUCCGACCGAUCCAAGCACCGUUACUCCGGCACCUCCGAGUUCUUAGCACAUGUACAGCUCGAUGACGCUCCCCGGGCACCGAUCCAGCAAAGCUUCGCGGAUGAGUUCCGUCAGCACAACGGCGUGGUGAUUAUGAUGAUGUUCCACCGACGCAGGGCUUCGCCUAAGCACUACAACGAUAUGACCGAGGUGGAAUAUGGUGGCAAGGGGGCACCACACACGGCUAAGGAACGAUCACGAGGAUCAACUUGUGUCCUAGGGUGCCCCCUUGCCUCCGUAUAUAAAGGAUCCAAGGGGGGGUGGUGCGCCGGCCUAGAGGAGGGCGCAGGAGGAGUCCUACUCCUACCGGGAGUAGGACUCCCCUCCCCGUUCCUUGUCCAACUAGGAGAGGUGGAGGGAGAAUAGGAAAGGGGGGGCGCCGCCCCUCCCUCCUUGUCCAAUUCGGACUAGGGGGAGAGGGGGCGCGCGGCCUGCCCUGGCAGCCCCUUCCUCUUUUCCACAUUAGGCCCAUAAGGCCCAUUAACCCCCCGGGGGGUUCCGGUAACCCCUCCGGCACUCCGGUUUUAUCCGAAACUCCUCCGGAACCCUUCCGGUGUCCGAAUAUAGUCAUCCAAUAGAUCAAUCUUUAUGUCUCGACCAUUCUGAGACUCCUCGUCAUGUCCGUGAUCACAUCCGGGACUCCGAACUAACUUCGGUACAUCAAAAUGCAUAAACUCAUAAUAACUGUCAUCGUAACUUUAAGCGUGCGGACCCUACUGUUCGAGAACAAUGUAGACAUGACCGAGACACGUCUUCGGUUAAUAACCAAUAGUGGGACCUGGAUGCCCUUAUUGGCUCCUACAUAUUCUACGAAGAUCUUUAUCGGUCAGACCGCAUAACAACAUACGUUGUUCCUUUUGUCAUCGGUAUGUUACUUGCCCGAGAUUCGAUCGUCGGUAUCCAAUACCUAGUUCAAUCUCGUUACCGGCAAGUCUCUUUACUCGUUCCGUAAUACAUCAUCUCACAAGUAACAUAUUAGAUGUAAUGCUUGCAAGGCUUAUGUGAUGUGCAUUACCGAGAGGGCCCAGAGAUACCUCUCCGACAAUCGGAGUGACAAAUCCUAAUCUCGAAAUACGCCAACCCAACAUGUACCUUUGGAGACACCUGUAAUGCUCCUUUAUAAUCAACCAGUUACGUUGUGACGUUUGGUAGCACCCAAAGUGUUCCUCUGGCAAACGGGAGUUGCAUAAUCUCAUAGUCAUAGGAACAUGUAAAAGUCAUGAAAAAAGCAAUAGCAACAUACUAAACGAUCGGGUGCUAAGCUAAUGGAAUGGGUCAUGUCAAUCAGAUCAUUUCAACUAAUGAUGUGACCUCGUUAAUCAAAUAACAACUCUUUGUUCAUGGUUAGGAAACAUAACCAUCUUUUAUUAACGAGCUAGUCAAGUAGAGGCAUACUAGUGACACUCUGUUGUCUAUGUAUUCACACAUGUAUUAUGUUUCCGGUUAAUACAAUUCUAGCAUGAAUAAUAAACAUUUAUCAUUAUAUAAGGAAAUAAAUAAUAACUUUAUUAUUGCCUCUAGGGCAUAUUUCCUUCAAAACAUACGUCUACCAAGGGGGAACAAUCACCGACAAACACAGAAAGAAUACAAUCAGUGCAAUGCACAAUAUGAUGCAUGAUCAUGACAUGUCAAUAUGCUGUGAUUGAGCUAAUGCAGCUAAGAACAGAAAGGUUUGAGUUGAUUUGAACUCAAGGUUCAAAUUCAGAUUCAAGCUAUGAAUUCAAAUAGUGCAUGAUCAUGUUUUGAACUAAACAGUGAGGUUAAGUUGUUUAAACAUGCAUGAAACCAGUACAGAUGGAUAGAUUGGAUUUUUUGCUCAUUUUUCAUAUAUAAAUUAUAUCAUUUGGAGUUAGAGGUUAUUUUCUAUGAAUUUUUUGAAGUUUAUACAAUUUUCUAGAAUUUCCUGAAUUAUUUUAAAUCCAGAAAAUGUUUAACUGCGUCAGUGUUGUGCAAGCAUGACGUCAGUGAGUCAACUACGGCUGUCCAGGUCAAGCCUGACUAGUGGGUCCCACUGGUCAGUGAUAGAGUGCUGGUCAGGAUCAAUGGUAGGUGGGUCCAGUCAACGCUGACUGGGCCAAGGUCAAACUGACACGUGGGCCUUCUGUGGUUAGCUAAAACUAAACAUGAACUAAACUUCGAUUAAAUAAGGGCGCGGGGCCCAACUGUCUAUGUCAAAGUGGUUAAUUAACUAGGUGAUUAAACCCUAAUUAAGCAGCCACAUCAUCAUCACCGGAUCUACACCGACGAUGACCAAUCUGACGGCGAGAGCUCGCCGGACUCGCGUUAGGGACGGCAGUUCGUUGCGCCAGUAGCACCAGGGAGGUCCUCUCGCUCGUCCGCAUCCAAAGGACAGGACGGGAGGCCGCGGGGUGGUGGGAAAUGAUGCCAGCGAUGAGGUUUAGCGGCGGCCGAGGUCGGGCUCGAGCGGGUGCGGGGUUUCAGCGCGAGCUAGAGCAAACGGCGUGGUGCGUUCGCUUCCCGGGGACGUAGUGAGCAUGUUGGUGGUGCUGGGGCGAGCGGGAGAGCGCAGGAGCAUCGAGCUCGUCGGCCAUGCCGCCGACCGAAGUUCGGGAGAUGAUGGGAGCGACACUACAAGGCAUGGCAGGACGAAAGGCUGGGUGUUCCGGGCUUCUGGAAGCGUUCUAAGCGCGAUGACACAACCGGGCGCGAGCCUCAGUGGCUAAAACGACGGUAGCAACAUAGCCGACAACGAGGAGCUAUCGGCUCCCGUGAGAACGAGGCUACAUGGCGCGAACUAGGUGGGGAAAAGAGGGGUUCGGAGCGGGAGCUCACACCGGUCACGUAGAGAAGCUCAGUGGGCUCGGGGAAGGCCGAACGACGACGUAUUUGACGACGGCGAUCGUCGAGGCAGAGGUUGAUGAUGACGGCGAUGGCAACAUUCUAGGCCGUCCGCCGUUGUACAGCUCGAUGGAGAGGACGAGGGGAACGCGGCGGUGCGUCUGGGAUCAGCGGCUGGGCGAGGGGGGGGGUGCGGUAGCCAUGGCGGCAGCGAACGGCAGCGAUGGCUCCGCUCGGCUUCGGGAAAGAGAGCGAGAGAGGUGAGGCAGGGAGAGAGGGGAGCAGUCGAGGGGGUUCAGGGUGCUGCGUGGCGGCUUUAGGAGCAUCUCCUGCGUCGGCAGAAGCAGGAGGUGGCCGCGCGUGUGCCAGCGCACGGCGAGCACGCGCCCUCCUGCCCACUGGCAGGAGGUGGAGGAUGACAAGCAGUGGGACCUGGUGGGUUGGGCCUCUCUGGUGGGCUGCCAGGUAAGUUUCCUUUCUCUUUUCCUAUUUUUCUUUCUGUUUUCUAUUUAUUUUGCUCUGUUUUGAUUUAGUAAUAAUACUAAACCAUUUUUGUUUCUUCUGAAAUUAUUUGUGGAUGCAAUAUGGACUAGCCCAAAGCCCCACAAUAUUGUUCAGAAUGAUUGGAGUUAUAAAAGUAUUUAUAGGAAUUUAUAACCCCAAGUCAAAUACAAUAUGAAUUAAUUCAAAAAUCCAAAAAUGUCCUAGAAAUAUAUUCAUCAUUUUUGGCAGAGGUUUCUACCUUAACCAAGAAUCAUGAACUUUUCUUGAGGCACUUUGGGUUCAUUGAAAAUGUUUUUAAGUUGAACUUAGUUGAGUUCUUUUAGUGCUAGGGAUUGAUCACCCCUAUUUCAAAUUCAGAUAAAAUUUAAACAUGAUGCAACACCAGAUGCUAGCACUAGGCAUUACCAAAACUAGGGAUGUGACAACUCACCCCCACUAAACAAGAAUCUCGCCCCCGAGAUUCAAGACGUGAGGUAAGAAGACAGGGAGGCACAAAGCUAACACAAACUUCACGAUCCAGGUUGCACUUCAUAAGAACGUUGAUUCGAUCAUCAUCCUUGUCUUGACAUCUUGUUCUGAGAACUCCAUCGAGCAUGACAACGAGAAGAAAGGGAAAACUCUAGAAGAAUCAAUCUUCAUGAAGAUCGAGCAACUGAUGAUCAACUCACGGAAUGAGAUGUUCAACAUCUCUCGAGCUAAGACACGAAACAUACAUCCAAAGGGAUGGAGUGUAACAAAGAAUGAAGAUUCAAGUUGAGAAGCACAAUUCCACGCUGAAUAACAUGGUGCAUGGUUUUAAGAUAACGAGAAGUUAUCUGCCAUGAUUCCAUAAUGAGACAUCUUAAGGAAGGUGACUCGCAGAAAUAUCCCUUAAGUGGCAAAAAGAAUUACUUUUGAUUCAUAGAUCAUUGAGACUCUUUAUACCAACCUAAGGCAAUCACAAAUGAUCAUUUGAAGGAGUUCAAAAGAAUGACAUACUCGGACUAGAAUGGAUGAUGUGGACUACCUUGUUGAAGAAAACACAAUGGAUGAUUUUGCUUAUCAUCGAAAAUGGAUGGGACCCAUGGUAAGUCCACUUUGGAAGAUGAUCUUGGACAACAACUGCUGAGAAGGGCAGCCCAUGGGGGAUUGGCACAAUGGCGGUGUAAGCUGGGAACAAAAUGCAAAUGCUAGGAAUGAUCCAACCAUCAUAUUUGCCUGAGAUUCAGAUCUGGUUGGUAACGGAAUAUUUCAAACAACAUGUCUGGAAAAGGAAAGGUAGCAACACAAAUCGACGAGAUGACGCUGCGAGAUUCUCAAGAGAUGAACUACGAUAGCAAGCUCCAAAACAUGAGCUGGUUAUGCUACAUACAUGUGAACAUGAUGUCCCAGACAAGCAUGAACACAUAGUAGUCUUACCACGAAACACUACCGAGUUCUGGUGGGAACCAUCAAUGAGGAUACCGAAGUCCUUUCAUAAGUCCGGAUUAGCUCUUAUGACGGAACUCUUUCUCCUUGAACAAACCAGUUAGUGGCUUGGUGUACUAGGAGGUGCACAUGGAAUGGAGGUAGCGAGCCUGUCAAACCAUAGCAUACUUCGCACGUGUAUGACUGACUUGGGAUGAUUUCCAGAGGAAGCAACAUUGACUUUCUUGAAUUCAUAGUAGCAACUUGCAUCAAAUGCACAUGUAUUCGAGGAAGUCACUUCUGUCAUCCGAACAUAUGCUUCAUGAACGGGACAUGAGGGCAAUGCUUAUAAAGUUUCCAACACUACUUAGAUGUUCGACCUGAAUCAUGGACAAGAUAAGAAUGUUGUCGAUGGGCUCAACAACAAUUCAUCCAGGUUCCCAUGAAGAUGGAAUUCCACGACUAUGUGAACAAGGUGAUAGCAUUGGUCAGCCCAAAGGAUGUAAUGGUGUAUGCCCGAGGAAUCAACCUCGAGUAAGACAACAUUACGAACAUCGUUGGUUCUGAUUUGAUUUGAGGAUAGCCCACACUCAAAUCAAAGUUAGGACAAGACAAUAGAUCCAACAACUGAUCACAAGGACCAAUCGAUGAAGAUAUCAUCUUUCUUCAACACACACACAGAGAAGAUAUCCCUUAGAGAUGAACUAAGUUAAGCAAAGCUUCUACCUUCCAACUCUCCAAGUUGUUGUCUAGCUCAACCAACUAGCUCAGGGCUAUCCCACACAGAUUCUUGGAGAAAAGGCUAGUUACAACAAACCAACUUGAUCACGAACUCAACAUAGCGGUCAGGUGAUAACCUGGUGAUCUCUCCGAGAAGAUAUUCGGAAAAUCAUGAACCACCGAUAAGUUACUAAGACCGAGAACAAUCUUGCUUUUCAGGGAAAGACGAUAUGAUCAAUAGAGCAAGGGUUUGACAAAAUCCUAACUCAUUGAUCGAAGAGUGCACCAGGAAUAAGGAUUAGGUAGCACGAUCAAUCUUAGGAUGAUGAUUCAACAACCAGCACGCUAAGAGUGAGAGUAAUGUCCAUCAACUACCAAGCAACGAGGUUGCUAGGAGUAUUGAUUUCACACAUCACAGUUCACUUGUCGGUAUUCCGGUUACAAAAACACAGAGACUGAAGAAUGAACGAUGAUGGUGAGAGGUAUCACUGCACCAAGAAUUCAUAGGAUGGUGUGCAAUUCCUAUGACUUUCCUGACAUAAAGGUGGUAAUACUCCAGGGUAGAAGAUAAUAAAAGCUAGAUUGGCAUUUUGAUCUGCGGAAUACAACUGCUUUGACCCAAUCCUAGAUAUGGAUGAGGUACUGGAGUUUGUUUCUCCUAGUCAUUCUGAAAUAGAACGGCUCGACGGACCAUAAGAAUAAUAGGCACCGAUGAACGAAUGCUCACAUACUCUUGACUAUCAAUUGAUAGAUGAAGGUCGGAGUAUAACUGAAGGGGGACAACUCAAAGGAACAUAUAACUUUCUGAGUUGCAGAUGCAUAGCUUAGUUUGUUGAAUGAGUUCAACAUAUUUCUUCCGGAUAACCCAUGCAGGAAGGUAGAACUGGCAGAAUCACAACUAUGAAUGGAGAACUCCUCAGGAGUACUCUAAUGGUGAUCUUUUGGUUCAAAGAACUUCUGCCUUAAUGGUUCAUGGCAUUUGUAAGAAGGAAAUACCACGGACCUCGAGGACUAUUGCAAAGGUUACUAAUAUCCUAAAGGAACUAGCAACAAUAUCAACACGAAGUGAACAUAGUGAUUCUUGGGUCAAGAACAGAGGAGUAGAAUACCUACUACUAAAUGGCAUCAUGGGAUGCUUUCAAGAAUGAUGGCCAGAAUCAUCACACUGGGGAUACGAAAGCAUUGCUAAAUUCUCGAGGACACCUAAGGUCAUAAUACUAACUCUAACAUACAUGUCAAGGCAAUGAAGUACCUCAACACACCGAUUAGUGUGCUUAAUCUGGCCCAAAAAUACAACGGAACAUGGAGGAAAGAUUUGCAAGUGCAUCAGACUAUUUGGAAACCUGGGAUGACUCGGACAGCAUAACGGCUGUAAUUGCUCAAAAAGAUUUGAGACAACCUGAAAAAAUGGUGGCAUAGCCACUCAACAUCACAAACUCAAGGUUCUGAGGCCAGCUAUGAACAUAUGGAAGUAGUAGGAACUGAACUGAGGCUUGAACUCAACAAUCCUAGGCAACUAUGGUUUAGUAACACGCCAUCCUGACAGAUAGAAGAGAAGCCUAGUUCUUAACCCCGUAGAAAAGAUAAGAUGACUCAGAUCAGAAGGUCAUGAGGAUAAGGAGUAAAAAUAGCCUUAUGUUCCCAUGCAUAAUCAAUUCCCUUAUAUAACUAAAGCAUUUCUAGACACGACUUCGACCAGCUUGGCUUGGUAAUCCUACAGGCAGUCGGGCUCUGAUACCAAAGCUGUCAGGACCCCGAUUCUAAGUCACACUGAUCUAGCCUGUAACACCUCAUAUCACUUUGCGGCCUCACGCACGGUAUCCCCACGGGUAUCGCCUUACCUUGGCCCGGGACCGUUUGCGCCUUUUGGCUCACGUAUAUGAUAGUGUCGCUAGCAUCCAUAUGACAGAGAACCCAGGCCAACAUCACUAGUCGUGAACCCAAAGUGCCACUAACUUACGGGGACAGGCAUACAUGAAUCAACAUCGAGCAUGUCGGUCAGCAGCAUGUGAACCCGGGCUGUAGCAACUGGGCUAACAGGACUCCGAGAACCCGGGCUGUAGCAGGCUACCAGGACUCCGGAUGCCACCGCGUGACAUUUCCCCAAAGGGACAAACACAGGGACGAAGUGAAUCACAUGCCGACCAGUCUAAGUGUUCCGGAGCAGUAGUGUUGGGCUAGCAGGACUCCGGUGAACCGGGCUGUAGCGGACUACUAUGGCUCAUGGAAGCACAAGCCUACAUUUCCCCAUAAGUGAGGCUACCAAGGAUAAACAACUAGGUUGUCGGAUCCCACACAUACCAAGCAUUUCAAUCAUACACACAAUAUGCUCAAUAUGUGCAAUACAACAUGGCAUCACAAUAAGACUCUACGACUCAGAGUAUUUAUUCAUUAGGCUCCAAGGAGCGAGAUAUUACAAACAUGGGUCUCAUGACCCAACAUAUAGAGCAUACAAGCAACAAGCACAUGCGGAAGCUUAACUUGUCUGAGUACAGACAACUACAAAUGAAGAAGGCUGAGAAGCCUGCCUAUCUACAAGACCCUCCCAAGGGUACAAGAUCGUAGCUGAGGUAACGAGCUAAACAUCAAAGUCCAUGCGGAACUACUAGUGAGACUGAAGUUUCUACGCAAAAACAUAAAUUACGCAAACAUGAGUACAUAUGUACCCAGCAAGACUUAAAUCAGAACUAACUACAUAUGCAUCGGUAUCAACAAAGGGGGUGGUGGAGUUUAACUGCAGCAAGCCAGCUUUGACUUAGUGGCUAACCUAAACUAUGACUGCAAGUAACUCUUUUGAGGUGGCGCACAUGAGUCCACAAAUUCACCAUACCAAUACACCACUAUGGAUCUGCUCAUGUCUCCCUGCGAGAACGCCAUCCAUAGCACUCACACUUAUCUUGCGCAUUUUGGAGCAUCCACUUUCACUUGUCUAUGAACUAUGCAAGGGGUCCAAGUUUCCAUAUCCGAGGAAUCCGGCUAUUCGAAUAGAUAAUUAUAACCCUGAAGGGGGGGGUACUUCUUCACACACGCUCUCGCCACUUACCACCAUGUACACGUCGUGUAUCUCGGCAACCUUCAAGAGGAAGCCUGGUGAGGGAGUCGACCAUGACCUGACUAACCACACAAGUCUCUAGUCUAGGUUUAUCGCCUAUUCGGGUUCCAUCCGCAAGGAGAUCCUGCCGGGGUGUCGCUCACGGCCCCAAACAAUGUGAGCAGGGUUCCCAAGCCCACCAUCCAGGUGCCACUUGGUACACCGUGCCACUGUGCCUAGUCUGUCCCAAGCCCACAUGCACCGGGUGCCACUUGGUAGACUACUAACACAACCUACAAACACCAGAAACUAGUUGCAACUCCUAGACAGAGAUCAGGUUGAUUAAUAAGUUGAGAGAGCUUGGAGCGCCCGGAGCCCAAUGUGUGGUAGUAACAGUUCAUGGAUCACAAACACAAAACUCAGUUCCUGAGGAUGGCUGCAAUGAGACAACCCACCAUGUACUCCUACAUCGCCUCUCACCACUACCUUUACCAAAUCGUCUUCACACACUUAGCUCUCAACAGCAGGACAUGUUCACCACAUUCCAAUUCAUCCCCGAUGAAUCAGACCUCAACUCUAAGCAGUAGCAGGCACAUCAGGGCUCAAACAAUUCCUACUCAUGCUAGUGGGUUUCAUCUAUUUACUGUGGCAAUGACAGGUAAUGCAGAGGAAAGGGGUUCAACUACUGCAGCAUGUAACAGUUGAAUCGCUGUUGUCCUAAUGCAGUAAAAGACAGCAGGAGCGAGAUAGUGGGAUUGUAUCAGAAUGAACAAGGGGGUUUUGCUUGCCUGGCACUUCUGAAGAUGAUAUAGCUCUUCAUCGGUGCAAUUGGUCACAUCGUCGAAACAUAUGUCUACCGAGGGGGAACAAUCACCGGCAAACACAGAAAGAAUACAAUCAAUGCAAUGCACAAUAUGGUGCAUGAUCAUGACAUGUCAAUAUGCUAUGAUUGAGCUAAUGCAGCUAAGAACAGAAGGGUUUGAGUUGAUUUGAACUCAAGGUUCAAAUUCAGAUUCAAGCUAUGAAUUCAAAUAGUGCAUAAUCAUGUUUUGAACUAAACAGUGAGGUCAAGUUGUUUAAACAUGCAUGAAACCAGUACAGAUGGAUAGAUUGGAUUUUCUGAUCAUUUUUCAUUUAUAAAUUAUUUCAUUUGGAGUUAUAGAUUAUUUUCUAUGAAUUUUUGAAGUUUAUACAAUUUUCUGGAAUUUCCUGAAUUAUUUUAAAUCCAGAAAAUGUUUAACUGCGUCAGCAUUGUGCAAGCAUGAUGUCAGCGAGUCAACUACGACUGUCCAGGUCAAGCCUGACCAAUGGGUCCCACUGGUCAGUGACAGAGUGCUGGUUAGGGUCAAUGACAGGUGGGUCCAGUCAACGCUGACUAGGCCAAGGUCAAACUGACACGUGGGCCUUAAGUGGUUAGCUAAAACUAAACAUGAACUAAACUUUGAUUAAAUAAGGGCGUGGGGCCCAACUGUCUGUGUCAAUGUGGUUAAUUAACUAGGUGAUUAAACCCUAAUUAAGCAGCCACGUCAUCAUCACCAGAUCUACGCCGGUGAUGACCAAACCGACGGUGAGAGCUCACCGGACUCGCGUUAGGGAUGGCAUUUUGUCGCGCUGCUGGCACCAGGGAGGUCCUCUCGCUCGUUCCCAUCCAAAGGACCGGACGGGAGGCCGCGGGGUGGCCAGAAACGAUGCCGGCGACAAGGUUUAGCGGCGGCGAAGCUCAGGUUCGAGCGGGUGCGGGGUUUCAGCACGAGCUAGAGCAAAUGGCGCGGCGCGUUCGCUUCCCGGGGACGCAGUGAGCAUGUUGUUGGUGCUAGGGUGAGCGAGAGAGCGCAGGAGCAUCGAGCUCCUCGGCCAUGAUGGUGGCCGGAGUUCGGGAGACAACGGGAGCGACACUACAAGGCACGGCAGGACGAGAGGCUGGGUGUUCCGGGCUUCUGGAAGCGUUCUAAGCGCGAUGACAUAACCAGGAGCGAGCCUCAAUGGCUAAAACAAUGGCGGCAACAUGGCCGGCGGCGAGGAGCUAUCGGCUUCGGUGAGAACGAGGCUACAUGGUGAAAACUAGGUGGGGAAGAGAGGGGUUCGGAGCGGGAGCUCUUAGCGGUCACGUAGAGAAGCUCAGUGGGCUUGGGGAAGGCCGGACGACGACGAAUUUGACGACGGCGAUCGUUGGGGCAGAUGUUGAUGACGACGGCGAUGGAGAUAUUCUAGGGAGUCCGUCGUUGUACAGCUCGGUGGAGAGGACGAGGGGAACACGGCGGUGCUUCUGGGAUCAGCGGCAGGGCGAGGGGGGUGCGGUAGCCAUGGCGGCAGUGAACGGCGGCGACGGCUCCGCUCGGCUUCGGGAGAGAGCGCGAGAGAGGCGAGGCAGGGAGAGAGGGGAGCGGUCGAGGGGGUUCAGAGUGCUGCGUGGCGGCUUCAGUAGCCUCUCCUGCGUCGGCAGAAGUAGGAGGUGGCCGCGCGUGUGCCAGCGCGCGGCGAGCACGCGCCCUCCUGCCCACUGGCAGGAGGUGGAGGAUGACUGGCAGAGGGACCUGGUGGGUUGGGCCUCUCUGGUGGGCUUCCAGGUAAGUUUCCUUUCUCUUUUCCUUUUUUUUCUCUCUGUUUUCUAUUUAUUUUGCUCUGUUUUGAUUUAGUAAUAAUACUAUACCAUUUUGUUGCUUCUGAAAUUAUUUGUGGAUGCAAUAUGGACUAGCCCAAAGCCCCACAAUAAUUUUCAGAAUGAUUGGAGUUAUAAAAGUAUUUAUAGGAAUUUAUAACCCCAAGUCAAAUACAAUAUGAAUUAAUUAAAAAAUCCAAAAAUGUCCUAAAAAUAUAUUCAUCAUUUUUGGCAGAGGUUUCUACCUUAACCAAAAAUCAUGAACUUUUCUUGAGGCACUUUGGGUUCAUAGAAAAUGUUUUUAAGUUGAACCUAGUUGAGUUCUUUUGGUGCUAGGGAUUGAUCACCGCUAUUUCAAAUUUAGAUAAAAUUUAAACAUGAUGCAACACCAGAUGCUAGCACUAGGCAGUACCAGAACUAGGGAUGUGACAAUGCCAAAGGCACCACAAGUAAGUAUUUCAAGUAUACUCAAGCAUCUAAGCUUGGGGAUGGUUCGGUUGGCAUCCCAUCUUUCUUCUUCAACAAUUAUCGGUAUACCUCGGUUUUUGUUUUGUUCACAUAAUUUGCGCCCUUUGUGUUUUUGUUUUUCCUUUAAGAAAUAUGCUAGUAUGAGAUAGCCCUUUAUUUAUUUGUAGAAUACUUCAUGUGCUUCACUUAUACCUUUUAAGUAUGAUCUUAUAGAAUUGCUCUUUGUGCUUCACUUAAAUCUUUUGAGUAUGGUUUAUAGAAUGCUUCGUGUGCUUCACUUAUAUUUUUUGAGCUUGGAUAUUGGUUAGUCUAUAUUAAUUGUAGGAUGCUCCAUGAACUUCACUUAUAUCUUUUGGAGUAUGAAUAAUACUAUCAUCUAAAGUGGAUUUAGAAGAAGGUUGCUCCCACUCUUCCGAAUGAGAGAAAUUUUGCUUAUGAGAAGACUACUAAAAUUUGUAUGCUUAUAGAUCAUGAACAGAAUGCUUUAUGUGCUGGUUAUAUCAUUGAACUCAUUCAUGAUGCUACUGAAAAUUAUUAUGAGGGAGGAAUACAUGCUUGUAGGAGUUGCAAUAAUAUUAAGUUUCCUCUCUAUGUGCUUAAAGUUUUGAAGUUAUACUUGUUUUGCCUUCCUAUGCUAGUUGAUUCUUGUUCCCAUAAAUUGUGUGCUCACAAAAUCCCUAGGCAUAGAAAGUGGGUUAGAUUUAAAUGUUCUAGUCAUAUCCUUCAUGAUGCUCUUUUUAUGUUUCAAUUCUUAUCUUUUAUGUGAGCAUCAUUGAAAUCAUUAUGCCUAGCUAAAAGGCAUUAAAGAAAAGCGCUUGUUGGGAGACAACCCAAUAUUACACUUACUGUUUUUGUGUGUUCUCAUGAUUAAUCUACUGUAUUAAUCAUGUAUUAUAUCUUUUGUUUCAAUAAAGUGUCAAGCAAGACCUUUGGGAAGACUUGGGUGAAAGUUAAUGUGAUCUUGAUGUUAAAAACAGAAACUUUGCGCUCAUGAGAUUAGCUGUAAUUUUUUACAGAAGAGUGUGAUUGAGUUGAUUCUUUUUAAGAAGAAUAAUAGACAAAUUCCUCACGUCCACCAAAUUAUUUCAGAAUUUUUGGAGUAGAAGAAGUAUGGUUUUUGUUCAGAUCAUUACAGACUGUUCUGAUUCUGACAGAUUCUGUUUUCAUUGCUUAGUCUGCUUGUUUUCUAGUUUCUGUGGCUCAUAUUUCUCAAUAUAAAUUGUAGAAAUGAUUUGGUACAGUAGGAAUUGUGUGAGAACAAUUAUGAACCUUGUCUUCUAUAGUACCAUAGGGAUGGUUUACUCUUUAUCAUACUAACCUAUCUCACGAAGUUCUGUUAAGUUUUGUGUGAUUGAAGUUUUCAAGCUUUGGGUGAGAUAUCGAUAUGAGGAGAAUAAGGAGUUGAAAGACCCUAAGCUUGGGGAUGCCCAAGGCACCCCAAGGUAGAAUUCAAGGAAGACUUAAGUGCCUAAGCUUUGGGAUGCCCCGGAAGGCAUCCCCUCUUUCGUCUUCAAAACUAUCAGUAUACCUUACUCGAAGCUAUAUUUUUAUUCAUCACAUGAUAUGUGUUUUGCUUGAAUCGUAUUUUCAAUUUUACUUGCUGUCUGAAUAAAAUCAUUGGAUCUGAAAUCUUGAAUGAAAAAGAAUCCUCCCAUGGCUAUUUAAUUAUUUGACUACUCAGUAUUCUUCACUUAUACCUUUUUGGAGUAGUUUGUCACUUACUCACGUGCUUCACAUAUAUCCUAUGAGUAAAUGGUUGAAUGAAUUGAAUAUCAUAAAUUUGAAUUUUGUCACACCCUAGCUGGUUCAUGCAUUAGAGUGUUGCAUCAUGUCUACUUUUACAGAAACUUGAAAUGGGGAUGACAGAACCCCCAGCACCCCCUGGAAACAACCAGGGUUUACUAAAAUUAUUUUCAAUGAACCCAAAAUGCCCUUCACAAAAUGUUCAUCAUUUCUGGAUUGGGUUAAAACCCCUGGAAAAAUGAUGCACUCCUUUCUAGGAAAUUCUGGAUUGUUUGAAUUAAAUCAUAAGUAUUUGAAUUUGGGCAUUUAAAUGCUAUAAAAUAUUUUAAAUGCCCAAAUAAUUCUGGAUUUAAGUGAGGGCUGUUAGGAAUAAUCCCAACAGAGCCCACAAUUAUUUUCAGGAUUUUAGUAAGUGCCUAAGUAUUUUUAAUAAAGCCCUAAAGUUAUAGAAAAAUAGAAAAAGAAAACAAAACAGGAAAAGAGAGAAAGAGAAAGGCUUACCUGGCGCCCACCCAGCAGGCCCACCUGCCGGCCCAACCCAGCCACCGCUCUAGUGAGCUACUUGGCUUGGCCAGGCAGGCAAGCAGCUGCUCGACGGUGAGCACAUCAUGCGUGCCAUGCCGCUGCCCGCUGCCUCGCCGCUCCCCUCAUCGAGCUGUCGACGUGGGACGAACCCCCUCUCUCUCCCCGACUCCGCAGACACUCGCUCUCCCCUCUGGCUCCUCUCUCUCGCCCUCCCUGACGACGCCCGAGCCGUCACCGUCAUCGCCGCUCACCGCAGCCACGUCCAACACCAUCCCCGCGCCCUCUCACCUUGUUCGGAUGGUUCACCAUCGUCGACUACGUCGACUAGCCAAGCCGCAUGACGCCGGAGCCCCUGCAUCAUCCCCACCGCCGUUGUCUUCAACCUCGGGCUGCCGAGAUCGCCGUCACCGUUCCGACCGCACCGAGCAUUCCCCGAGCACGCUGACUGUCUCUGUGGCUUCCCAGUGAGCUACGGCUCCUCCCCCCUCUCUUCGCUUCAUCGCUAGAGCUCUGUAGCCGUCGUGCCUUUUCCGUCCGAACGCACCGCCGCCUGAGCUCGUCACCGACGUAGCUCCGGCCGCUUAGCAGUCCCGCUAGCACGUCCAGCGUGCUCACCACAUCGUGUACAUGCUAUAGGUGCAAGUGCCACGCCGCCUAGGCCACUGCAGCCAUGUGCACGAGCUGACCCGAGCUUCGGCCUCCGCCAAGCUCGUCGCCGGUGAUGCUCCGGCCACUCCCCGGCCAAGCCAUCACCACGGCUGGAUGCGGCGAGCACCAGCUGCCCGUAGCUGCUCUUCGCGCAGCAAAUGGUGCCCUGUGGGCAAAUCCUGUAGCACACCGCCACGUCUGGCCUCGCCGGCGGCUAAACGCCGGUAGGCUUUGACCCGCUGACCGGCGAGUUGACCACGUCUGACCCAUGUGGGCCCAAGUUGACUUCCCCCCUGAGCCAGUGACAGGUGGGGCCGACCUGUUAAUUAGUUUAGGAUUAGUGCUAACUAAUUUUAGUUAGUUUAGGUCACUGACAUGUGGGCCCAGGCCCCACUGACACUUAGUUAGUACUAACUUAAUUCUGUUAGUUAGCUGAGACACUGACAGACAGGGCCCACCAGUCAGGUUUGACUGGCCCUGGCGCCUUUGACUCGCUGACGUCACAAUGACGCAGUGCUGACGCAAUUAUUCAUUUUCUGGAUUUAUUUUUUAUAUAGGAAAUUCCAGAAAAUAGCCAAAACUUCUAAAAAUCAUAGAAAAUCAACCAUAGCUCCAAAUCAAACAAAUUAUAUAUGAAAAAUGAUCAGAAAAAUACAAUCUAUCCAUAUGUAAUGGUUUCAUGCAUGAAAAACCACUUUAACUUUGUUGGUUAUGUGAAACAAGCUAACACACUCAUUAUGCAUAAGAACUUUAACCUUCAUUUCAAUCUUUGAUUCAAAUGGGCCCAUUUCAACUUGUUUCACAUUGCAUUAGGCAAGACACGUCAUUUUGCCAUGUCAUAGCAUGCAUCAUAUUGUUGCAUAUUUUCAUGUGUUGAUUAUGUUAUGUGUGUCCUUCGUGGUAGGUCCUGCCUCCGAGGUUAUCUCCGAGUAUCCAACUGAAGGGCAGUACCCUACUACCACUCCAUCAGGCAAGCAGCCCCAUUGAUCAUAUCGAUACAAUCCCAUGUUCUUGCAUCUGCUCUGAUUUACUGCAUUAAGACAACAUCGUUUCAAACUACUGUGUGCUACGGUAGUUGAACCCUUAUCCUCUGCAUGACCUGUCAUUGCCACAGUAACUAGAUGAAACCCACUAAGGGCAGUACCCUACUACCACUCCAUCAGGCAAGAAGCCCCAUUGAUCAUAUCGAUACAAUCCCAUGUUCUCGCAUCUGCUCUGAUUUACUGCAUUAAGACAACAUCGUUUCAAACUGCUGUGUGCUACGGUAGUUGAACCCUUAUCCUCUGCAUGACCUAUCAUUGCCACAGUAACUAGAUUAAACCCACUAGCAUGUGUAGGAGUUGAUUGAGCCAUGUUUGUGUUUCCUACCUUGCUAUGCCUGCUAUGCUUAGAGUUGUGUCAGGUCUGGUUCACCUGGGUGAUGGGCUAGAGUGAAAUAAUUAUGUUGGUAAUGUGAGGGAUGUGUUGAACAUGUUUUGGUAAAGGUAUCGAUGAUAGGGCAUGUAGGAGUACAUGGUGGGUUGUUUCAUUGAGGCCGUCCCUAAGAACAGAGAUCUCUAUGUGUGAUUUAAGAUUUAGUUACUACCAUACAUUGGGCCCGAAACCAAUGGACCCUCUCGGCUUCUUAAUCACCGUAGUACUCUAUCUAGGAGUUGCAAUUAGUUUCUGGUGUUUGUAGGUUAUGUGUUGGCGGCCGUGCGUAGCGCUGACCCUAGGGGUGGGCUAUGUUGCGGUAGAUACACCAUGGCACGGUGUACCGAGUCACCCGUUUGGUGUCUCGGGAACCCUGUUCACAUCGUUCGGGUCCGUAUGUGGAAACCUCGGCCAGACUCCCUACGGAUGGAACCUGGAUGGUGAUAAACCUGGACUAUAGACUUGAGUGUUUCGGUAGGCCGUGGCCGACACCCUCGUUGGGCUUCCGCUUGAAGGUUGCCGAGUACAUGUCGUGUAAACAACGGUAAGUGGUGAGAGCGUGUAUGAAGAAGUACACCCCUGCGGGGUUAACAUCAUCUAUUCAAAUAGCCGCGUCCGUGGUAAAGGACCACUUGGUUGCCUAUACAGUUCAUAGACAAGUUAAUGGAUACUACUAAAAGACUCAAGAUAAGUGUGAGUACCGAGGAUGGCUCUCUCGUAGGAUGACGAGGGAGGAUCUCCAGUGGAUUAUUGUGUUGGUGAUUAGUGGACUCGUGCGCAAAAACUAUUUGACUAGUGGUGUCCCGUAGGAUAGCUUAGCCAAGAGUCAAAGCUGGCUUGCUGCAAUAACUCCACCACCUUCUUGAGAAUGAGCAUGUAUAGUAGGUUCUGAUGUAAGACUUGCUGAGUACCUUUGCACUCAUGUUUGCUUAAUUACUGUUUUCGGACGACAACACCGCCCCCUCCGAUGGGUUUUAUGUAGAUCUCGACGUGGAUGAGUGACUUGCCACCCAGGUGGUGAUCCUGACCAUGGAGGGCCCUAUGUAGAUAGACAGGCUUCGAGAAGCCUUCUUGCUUUCUAGUGUCUGUACUCAGACUAUUUGCUUCCGCAUGUGCUUGUAUGCUUGUAUGACUUGAGUGUCGGGUCAUGUGACCCCUACCUAUAUGAACAUGUUAUGUAUGGCUCUCUGGAGCCUUUAAAUAAAGUACUUGAAUUGUAGAGUUUUGUUGUGAUGCCAUGUUGUAUUUGCACAUAUCAAGCAUAUUGUGUGUAUGAUUGAAAUGCUUGGUAUGUGUGGGUUCCGACAAUCUAGUUGCUUAUGCUUGGUAGCCUCUCUUAUGGGGAAAUGUAGUCUAGUGCUCCUUGAGCCAUAGUAGUCCGCUACAGCCCGGUUCACCGGAGUCCUGCUAGCCCAGCACUACUGCUCAGGACACUUGACUGGCCGGCAUGUGUUUCACUUUGUUCCUAUGUCUGUCCCUUCAGGGAAAUGUCACGCGGUGACUUCCAGAGUCCUGUCUAGCCUGCUACAGCCCGGGUUCCCCGAAGUCCUAUUAGCCCAGUGCUACAGCCCGGAUUCACACGUUGAUGACCGGCAUGCUCAAUGUGAUUCAUGUAUGCCUGUCUCCAUAGGUCUGUGCCUCUUUGGGUUCACGACUAGCCAUGCCGGCCCGGGUUCUCUAUCAUAUGGAUGCUAGCGACACUAUCAUAUAUGUGAGCCAAAAGGCGCAAAUGGUCCCGGGCCAUGGUAAGGCAACACCCGUGGGGAUACCGUGCGUGAGGCCGCAAUGUGAUAUGAGGUGUUACCGGUUAGAUCGAUGUGACUUGGAAUCGGGGUCCUGACAGCGUUGGCAUCAGAGUCGGACUGCCUGUAGGUUCGUUGAGCCAAACUGGUCGAUGUCGAGUCUAGAAAUUCUUUAGUUAUAUGUAGGGAAAUUGAUUGUGGGAGGGAACGUGAGGCUCUUUUACUCCUUUACCUUAUGCCCUCUGAUCUGAGUCAUUCUAUUCUCAUUCAACGUGGGUUAAGGACUAGGCUCUCUUCUUCUAUUAGGUUCACGUGUUACUAAUCCGUAGUAGCUUAUAGGAUUGUUGUUACAAGCCUCAGUACAGUUUCUACUACUUUUAGUAUGUUGCCAGUUGAAUCAGAAACUUGAUAUGAUGUUGUUGAGUGGUAUUGCAAAUUGUUGUGGAUGUCUCAAAUCUUUUUCUGAGCAUUUACAGCCGUUAUGCUGUCCGAUUUCCCCUAGAAAAUUCUAAUGCCUUUGCAUUAUUCUGUUCUUUCAGAUGGCCACCCUUUCGCAGAAUCAAGUGGUUCGUCUGACCCGGUGCCUUGAUGUGCCCGGCCACACGGCCAUGUUGGUUCGAGUGAUGGUUGAGUCAGGCUAUCGGUGGUAUCCGGAAUAUACCAUCGAGGAGCAGUUCAGAGACUUCAAGCAGAGCCAGUACCUCUAUACCGUCAGGAUAUAUCCCUCUUAUCCUGGAGCCACUGAGCCCCUUCACUGUUCCUAUGGACUUGGUGUCACUAUUGAGAUGUCUGUCCAGGAUGCAGCCUAUUCAAUGAUCACUAUCAUUCGAGCCAGGACUGCCUUACUACAGAACACUGAUUUCCGAUACAUGCCAGCCUCACUUCGCGGAGCACAGGGGUACUAUCAGGCCUUGUACUAUGACUCUACACAUGAGGAGUCACUACUCCGCACCACUGCCGAGAUGCUCGAGGAUAAGGACCGCGAAAAUCGGGCCUUGCGUAUGGAGCUUUUCCACACUCGUUCUGAUCAUUGGGCCACUUUGACUCGAUUUGCACCUGCGAUGCAGGCAGGAUACAUGGAGAUGAGGGAUCUGUCCCCUGUACAGUCUGGAUUGCCAGAUUGUAUGGAGUGGCGUGAUGUAGGAGGCAUCACCCCUCCUCGUGGUCCCCGUCUGCCACCACCUGUGGGACCAAGGCCACAUCCGAGUCCCUAUGGUCCGUAGGCUCCGCAGGACCGUCUGUUCCCAGAUGAUCAUGUUCCACUUCCAGGCCUUGGUGGCGACUUCUAUGAGACUACGGAGCCAUCUGAGCUAGUAGUAGUAUCACUAGUAGUGUAAUAGUUGUAUUCUCCACAGUCCCGCGUGACCGUGGGAUACAACUUGGUAUGUAUCAUGCUCCGGAGGUGUAGAAAAAUAAUGUAUAGGAGCUUGGAAUCUCUUCGAUGAGAUGUAAUGUCUUUCACCAUAGUUGUACUCUAGCUUGGGCUUGUACUAAACUAUGUACGGUGUGUAUGACCAAUGGUAUAUAUAUGGCAGUUUCUAUAUUACCAUGUCGUGCAAUGAACAUCUUAGCAUUCCAUGUUAUCCAUUACAUUCUGCACUUCCUUGCUAAGUUUGUGCCAUCUUUAUCUAAACCAUUGCCUUGUUUUCUCCUAGGAUGGUCAACACCCGCAGCAACCCUGCUGCCCUAGAGCAGGGGGAAGCCAGUGCAGUUAGGCGUGAAAAUCCGCCUCACCCGCCUUCUCUGGCCGAAGUUAUGCUGGAGGCAGAAAGAAACAAGCGUGAGACUAACCGCUUGCUGGAGCGGAUUGAGCAGAACACUGCAUGCCAUCAGCAAAAUGACUUGGUGUCAAUCAAUGACUUCAUCAAGUUGUACCCACCAAAGUUCAAUCAUUCCAUCGAGCCCCUUGACGUGGAUGACUGGCUCCGCAGCAUCACACACAAGCUACGUUCUACUAACGUAGCCGAAGCUGAUAAGGUUACCUAUGCUGCCUAUCACCUCGAAGGCCUUGCUAGCCUUUGGUGGGAAAACUUUGAAGCUAUGCACCCGGUCGGCCAAAUCACUACUUGGGCUGAAUUCAGUGAGGCUUUCCAUGAGCAUCACAUCCCGGAAGGUCUCAUAGAUCGCAAGAGGGAAGAGUUCUGCAAUUUCACCCAACGAAGACUGACUGUGGAUGCAUAUAGUCGUGAAUUUGGGAAUCUGGCAUGAUAUGCUCCUGAAGUGGUAUCCACCGACGCUAAGAUGCAGGCAAGGUUCCGUAAGGGACUUAACCCUAAGCUUCGCCGCGAUCUUCAUCUGCACGAGUCUACCUCCUUUCAGAAGUUGGUCAAUAAAGCCAUCAGUGCUGAGACAGGCCAGUCUGACUAUGACGCUUCACGCAAGCACUCUCGUGAUUUUGGCUCUUCAUCCAGCUCUGGAUCUCAGAAGCGCCGGGUGUGGAUUCCAAGCAUGGCACUGCCACCCAGGUUCAUUCCGAGGCCAUCCUUUGAGGUGCCUCGCCCCAACCAGCAGUUUGCACCGUCUAAGCCCUAUGGUGGCCCCGCUGCUAAUGCUGCUCCACGCCCCAAUGUUGUGACAUGUUUCAAGUGUGGACAGCCGGGUCACUAUAGUCGAGAGUGUCCCCAGAACAACAACCCCAAUCAGUCUGGGAACUCCGUUGGCCGUGGUAAGCCAGCGGGAAGCUCAGUCUAUGCCAAGCCGGUCACCACUUCAUGUGGCCAUGUCAACUAUGUCUCAGCCGAGGAGGCUCAUGAGGAUCCUAACGUCGUCCUUGGUACGCUCCUUGUUAAUUGCCAUCCGGCAUCUAUUCUUUUUGAUACUGGAGCAUCUCAUUCAUUCAUAUCUGAGAACUAUGCUCGAUUGCAUAACACGACAUUCUGUGACAUGCCCACUUCCAUGGUAAUUCAAACUCCGGGUUCCAAAUGGCAAACUUCUAGAGUAAGCCAUGGGAACGUAAUUCUUGUCGAUAGACUUGUCUUCCUUGCAUCCUUAAUAGCUCUGAAGUCCUUGGACAUAAACAUCAUCUUGGGUAUGGACUGGAUGUCAGCUCAUUAUGCUAAGAUUGAUUGUGCCACUAGAACUGUUCAACUUACUCACCCAUCGGGCAAGACAGUCAAUGUCUUUACUCGAGUGGCCAAGCGCCAGCUUUAUUCCCUAAAUGCCAACCCCCUUCCAGACCAUGAAGAUAUUCCGGUAGUCCGGGACUUUCCGGAUGUCUUUCUAGAAGAACUACCAGGGGUUCCACCUGACAGGGAUGUCGAGUUUGUGAUAGACCUUGCUCCAGGAACCGUUCCAAUUUCUAGAAGACCCUAUAAGAUGGCACCCUUAGAACUAGUCGAGAUUAAGAAGCAACUCGAUGAGUCCUUGAAAAAGGGUUUCAUCCGUCAUAGUUCCUCCCCUUGGGCUUGCCCCGUCCUCUUCGUUAAGAAGAAGUAUGGAACGGAUCGGAUGGUUGUAGAUUACCGACCUGUCAACUUGGUCACUAUCAAGAACAAGUAUCCACUUCCCAGGAUCAACGAUCUAUAUGACCAGCUCGCUGGAUCCUCAGUAUUUUCCAAGAUGGAUUUGAGAUUGGGCUACCAUCAAAUCAAAAUCAGAAAUAGGGACAUUCCCAAAACAGCCUUUGUUACUCGUUAUGGCCAAUACGAGUACACCGUUAUGUCCUUCGGUUUAACCAAUGCCCCAUCCACCUUCUCUCGGUUAAUGAACUCCGUCUUCAUGGAGUAUUUGGAUAAAUUCGUCGUAGUAUACCUCGAUGACAUACUCAUCUACUCCAAGAAUGAAGAGGAACAUGCCGAACAUCUAAGGCUGGUAUUGAUGAAACUUCGAGAGCAUCGCCUUUAUGCCAAAUUCUCCAAGUGUGAAUUUUGGUUGCCAAAAGUGACCUAUCUAGGCCAUGUAAUUUCUGGUAAGGGUAUUGCUAUCAAUCCCGAGCGAGUUCAAGCCGUCCUUGAUUGGACUCCACCUGAGACGGUCAAGCAAGUUUGGAGCUUCCUUGGCUUAGCGAGCUACUGCCGCCGCUUCGUCGAGAAUUUCUCCAAGGUUGCUAAACCUCUAACUGAACUCCUCAAGAAAGAUAAAAAGUUCGAGUGGACCCCACAGUGUGAGUUUAGCUUUCAGGAACUGAAAAGACGCUUGACAUCUGCUCCCGUACUGGUACCACCAGAUUUCUCCAAGGACUUUAUUAUCUAUUGCGACGCCUCGCGACAAGGACUAGGUUGCAUACUCAUGCAAGAUCGUCAGGUAAUUGCCUAUGCUUCACGGCAACUACACCCACAUGAGGAAAAUUAUCCCACACAUGAUCUAGAGCUUGCAGCUGUAGUCCAUGCACUUAAAACUUGGCGACAUUACCUCCUCGGUAAUCGCUGCGAGAUCUUCACCGAUCACCAAAGUUUGAAAUAUAUCUUCACCCAACCGGAUUUGAAUCUCAGGCAAAGACCUUGGGUCGAGUUGAUCUUGGAUUACGACUUAGGAAUAACUUACACCCCGGGCAAAGCCAAUGACAUGGCGGAUGCACUAAGUCGUAAAUCCUAUUGUAACAACCUGAUGUUACAACAAAGUCAACCACUUCUCCAUGAGGAAUUUCGUAAGCUUAAUCUUCACAUUGUUCCUCGAGGAUUCCUAUCCACCCUAGUGGCGGAACCUACCCUUACGGAUCAUAUCAUCAAGGCACAGAAGGUAGAUCCGGGAAUCUCCCGUAUUAAGAGAAACAUUAAGAAAGGAGUCGUGAAUUGUUUCUCCGUUGAUGAUCAAGGUGUUGUAUACUUUGGAAACCGCUUAGUGGUUUCCAAGGCACGAAACCUGAGGCGGCUGAUCCUUAGGGAACCUCAUGAAUCCCCUCUCACCAUUCAUCCCGGUAGUACUAAGAUGUAUCAAGACCUAAGCCAGAGGUUUUGGUGGACUAGGAUGAAGAGAGAAAUUUCUCAAUACAUUGCUAGUUGUGAUGGUUGUCGUCGUGUUAAAGUAGAGCAUCAAUGGCCUGCUGGCACCCUUCAACCUUUGGCUAUUCCUGAGUGGAAAUGGGAUAAAAUCAGUAUGGAUUUCAUUACUGGGUUUCCCAGGACAAAGAGAGGGAAUAAUGCUAUCUUCGGUGUGAUCAACCGUCUUUCCAAAGUAGCCCAUUUCCUACCUGUUCGUGAGAGUAUCACCGCUAGCCAGCUAGCUGAUUUAUACAUCUCCCGAAUAGUGCCUCUUCAUGGUGUCCCAUUGGAAAUUAACUCACACCGUGGGAGUCUCUUCACCUCUCGAUUUUGGGAAAGUUUCCAAAAUGCUAUGGGAACUCGUCUCUCUUUUAGCACCGCCUUCCAUCCUCAAUCAAGUGGUCAAGUAGAGCAAGUCAAUCAAAUUCUAGAAGAUAUGCUCCGACCUUCUGUCAUCUCAUUCGGAAUGGGUUGGGAGAAAUGACUUCCAUUCACAGAGUUUGCUUAUAACAAUAGUUAUCAAGCUAGCUUGGGCAAAGCUCCUUUCGGAGUUCUCUAUGGACAAAAAUGUUGAACGCCUCUUAACUGGUCAAAAACCGGGGAAAGACAACUCUUUGGCCCGGAUAUGAUUCAGGAAGUAGAAGAGCAGGUUCGUGUUAUUCAUGAGAAAUUGAAAACAGCCCAAUCUCGUCAAAAGAGCCAAUAUGAUCAUAAACAUAAGCUCAUGACUUAUGAAAUUGGCGAGAAGGCUUACAUUCGGGUUACUCCGUUAAAGGGAACCCAUCGUUUCGGUAUCAAAGGCAAAUUGUCUCCUCGUUACAUUGGACCCUUUCACAUUCUUGCCAAACGAGGAGAAGUUGCCUACCAAUUGGAACUACCUUCGCAUCUUUCCAGAGUUCACGAUGUGUUCCACGUUUCUCAACUCAGGCGUUGCUUCGCGGAUCCUAUCCCUGGAGUGGACCACGAAACGCUUGAUCUACAAGAUAACCUCUCAUAUCGGGAAUAUCCCGUUCGUAUCCUUGAUCAAGCCGAGCGUAUCACUCGACGCCAUAACAUCAACUUUCUCAAGGUUGAAUGGUCACACCAUUCCGAAAAGGAAGCCACUUGGGAAAGGGAGGAUCGUCUUCGACUCAAGUACCCCACCUUCUUCCCGGAGGAUCCUAAAUCUCGGGACGAGAUUCUUUUGAGUGGGGGUGAGUUGUCACACCCUAGCUGGUUCAUGCAUUAGAGUGUUGCAUCAUGUCUACUUUUAUAGAAACUUGAAAUGGGGAUGACUUGAAAUGGGGUUUACUAAAAUUAUUUUCAAUGAACCCAAAAUGCCCUUCACAAAAUGUUCAUCAUUUCAGGAUUGGGUUAAAACCCCUGGCAAAAAUGGUGCACUCUUUUCUAGGACAUUCUGGAUUCUUUGAAUUAAACCAUAAGUAUUUGAAUUUGGGCAUUUAAAUGCUAUAAAAUAUUUUAAAUGCCCAAAUAAUUCUGGAUUUAAGUGAGGGCUGUUAGGAAUAAUCCCAACAGAGCCCACAAUUAUUUUCAGGAUUUUAGUAAGUGCCUAAGUAUUUUUAAUAAAGCCCUAAAGUUACAGAAAAAUAGAAAAAGAAAACAAAACAGGAAAAGAGAGAAAGACUAAGGCUUACCUGGCGCCCACCCAGCAGGCCCACCUGCCGGCCCAGCCCAACCACCGCUCCAGUGAGCUGCUUGGCUUGGCCAGGUAGGCAAGCAGCUGCUCGACGGUGAGCACAGCAUGUGUGCCACGCAGCUUCCCGCCGCCUCGCCGCUCCCCUCGUCGAGCUGUCGACAUGGGAAGAACCCCCUCUCUCUCCCCGACUCCGCAGACACUCGCUCUCCCCUCUGGCUCCUCUCUCUCGCCCUCCCCGACGACGCCCAAGCCGUCACCGUCGCCGCCGCUCGCCGCAGCCAUGUCCAACGUCGUCCCCGUGCCCUCUCACCGUGUCCGGACGGUUCGCUGUCGUUGACUACGUCGACUGGCCAAGCGGCAUGAUGCCGGAGCCCUGCAUCGUCCCCGCCGCCGUCGUCUUCAACCUCAGACCGUCGAGAUCGCCGUCGCCGUUCCAACCGCACCGAGCCUUCCCCGAGCACGCUGACCAUCUCUGCGUCUUCCCAGUGAGCUACUGCUCCUCCCCCUUCUCUCCGCUUCGUCGCUAGAGCUCUGUAGCCGCCGUGCCUUUUCCGUCCGAACACACAGCCGCCUGAGCUCGUCGCCGACAUAGCUUCGGCCGCUUAGCGGUCCCGCUGGAACGUCCAGCGUGCUCACCGCAUCGCGUAGAUGAUGUAGAUGCAAGCGCCACGCCGCCUAGGCCACUGCAGCCACGCGCACGAGCUGACCCCGAGCUUCGGCCUCCGCCAAGCUUGGUGCUGGCGAUGCUUCGGCCACUCCCCGGCCAAGCCAUCACCACGGAUGGAUGCGGGCGAGCACCAGCUGCCUGUAGCUGCUCUCUGCGCAGCAAAUGGUGCCCUGUGGGAAAAUCCCGCAGCACGCCGCCACGUCUGGCCUCGCCAGCGGCUAAACGCCAGCAUGCUUUGACCCGCUGACCGGCGAGUUGACCACGUCUGACCCGUGUGGGCCCAAGUUGACUUCCCCCCUGUGCCUAUGACAGGUGGGGCCGACCUGUUAAUUAGUUUAGGAUUAGUGUUAACUAAUUUUAGUUAGUUUAGGUCACUGACAUGUGGGCCCAGGCCCCACUGACAGUUAGUUAGUACUAACUUAAUUCUGUUAGUUAGCUGAGACACUGACAGACAGGGCCCACCAGUCAGGUUUGACUGGCCCUGGCGCCUUUGACUCACUGACGUCACAGUGACGCAGUGCUAACGCAAUUAUUCAUUUUCUGGAUUUAUUUUUUAUAUAGGAAAUUCCAGAAAAUAGCCAAAACUUCUAAAAAUCAUAGAAAAUCAACCAUAGCUCCAAAUCAAACAAAUUAUAUAUGAAAAAUGACCAGAAAAAUUCAAUCUAUCCAUCCGUAAUGGUUUCAUGCAUGACAAACCACUUUAACUUUGCUGGUCAUGUGAAACAUGCUAACACACUCAUUAUGCAUAAGAACUUUAACCUUCAUUUGAAUCUUUGAUUCAAAUGGACCCAUUUCAACUUGUUUCACAUUGCAUUAGGCAGGACAUGUCAUUUUGCCAUGUCAUAGCAUGCAUCAUAUUGUUGCAUAUUGUCAUGUGUUGAUUAUGUUCUGUGUGUCCUUCGUGAUAGGUCCUGCCUCCGAGGAUAUCUCCGAGUAUCCAACUGAAGGGCAGUACCCUACUACCACUCCAUCAGGCAAGCAGCCCCAUUGAUCAUAUCGAUACAAUCCCAUGUUCUCGCCUCUGCUCUCAUUUACUGCAUUAAGACAACAACGUUUCAAACUGCUGUGUGCUACGGUAGUUGAACCCUUAUCCUCUGCAUGACCUAUCAUUGCCAAAGUAACUAGAUGAAACCCACUAGCAUGUGUAGGAGUUGAUUGACACUUGUAUGUGUUUCCUACCUUGCUAUGCCUGUUAUGCUUAGAGUUGUGUCAGGUCUGUUUCAUCUGGGUGAUGGGCUAGAGUGAAAUGAUUAUGUCGGUAAUGUGAGGGAUGUGUUGAACAUGUUUUGGUAAAGGUAUCGAUGAGAGGCCAUGUAGGAGUACAUGGUGGGUUGUUUCAUUGAGGUCGUCCCUAAGAACUGAGAUCUGUAUGUGUGAUUUUAAGAAUCAGCUACUACCAUGCAUUGGGAUCCUUAAUUGACCCUCUUGGCUUCUUAAUCACCCUAGUACUCUGUCCAGGAGUUGCAAUUAGUUUCUGGUGUUUGUACAUUAUGUGUUGGCGGCCAUGCGUAGUGUUAACCCUAGGGGUGGGCUAUGUUGCAGUAGAUACACCGUGGCACGGUGUACCGAGUCACCCGUUUGGUGUCUCGGGAACCCUGUUCACAUCGUUCGGGGCCGUAUGUGGAAACCUCGACCGGACUCCUUGCGGAUGGAACCUGGAUAGGCGAUAAACCUGGACUAGAGACUUGAGUGUUUAGGUAGGCCGUGGCUGACACCCUCGUUGGGCUUCUGCUUGAAGGUUGCCGAGUACAUGUUGUGUAAACGACGAUAAGUGGUGAGAGCGUGUAUGAAGAAGUACACCCCUGCAGGGUUAACAUCAUCUAUUCGAAUAGCCGCGUCCGCGGUAAAGGACUACUUGGUUGCCUAUACAGUUCAUAGAUAAGUUAAUGGAUACUACUAAAAGACUCAAGAUAAGUGUGAGUACUGAGGAUGGCUCUCUCGUAGGAUGACGAGGGAGGAUCUCCGGUGGAGUAUUGUGUUGGUGAUUAGUGGACUCGUGUGCGAAAACUAUUUGACUAGUGGUGUCCCAUAGGAUAGCUUAGCCAAGAGUCAAAGCUGGCUUGCUGCAAUAACUCCACCACCUUCUUGAGAAUGAGCUUGUAUAGUAGGUUCUGAUGUAAGAUUUGUUGAGUACCUUUGUACUCAUGUUUGCUUAAUUACUGUUUUCAGACGACAACACCGCCCCCUCCGAUGGGUUUUAUGUAGAUCUCGACGUCGAUGAGUGACUUGCCACCCAGGUGGUGAUCCUGGCCAUGGAGGGCCCUAUGUAGAUAGACAGGCUUUGAGAAGCCUUCUUGCUUUCUAGUGUCUGUACUCAGACUAUUUGCUUCCGCAUGUGCUUGUAUGCUUGUAUGACUUGAGUGUCGGGUCAUGUGACCCCUACCUGUAUGAACAUGUUAUGUAUGGCUCUCUGGAGCCUUUAAAUAAAGUACUUGAAUUGUAGAGUUUUGUUGUGAUGCCAUGUUGUAUUUGCACAUAUCAAGCAUAUUGUGUGUAUGAUUGAAAUGCUUGGUAUGUGUGGGAUCCGACAAUCUAGUUGUUUAUCCUUGGCAGCCUCUCUUAUGGGGAAAUUUAGUCUAGUGCUUCUUUGAGCCAUAGUAGUCCGCUACAGCCCGGUUCACCGGAGUCCUGCUAGCCCAGCACUACUGCUCAGGACACUUGACUGGCCGGCAUGUGUUUCACUUCGUUCCUAUGUCUGUCCCUUCGGGGAAAUGUCACGCGGUGACUUCCGGAGUCCUGUCUAGCUUGCUACAGCCCGGGUUCCUCGGAGUCCUGUUAGGCCAGUGCUACAGCCCGAAUUCACACGUUGAUGACCAACAUGCUCGAUGUGAUUUAUGUAUGCCUCUCUCCAUAGGUCUGUGUCGCUUUGGGUUCACGACUAGCCAUGUCGGCCCGGGUUCUCUGUCAUAUGGAUGCUAGCGACACUAUCAUAUACGUGAGCCAAAAGGUGCAAACGGUCCCGGGCCAUGGUAAGGCGACACCCGUGGGGAUACCGUGGGUGAGGCCACAAUGUGAUAUGAGGUGUUACCGGCUAGAUCGAUGUGACUUGGAAUCAGGAUCCUGACAAAUUUAUAUACGUUUCAUAUGCUUACAACAUGGGGAGUAAUGACUUCACACAUAAUAAGUAUAGGUAGUAAACUUAUUGGAAGUUAGCGAAUGCAGAAUUGGUCACUUUAACAAUUCAUGAAAGAAUAUUGAAGGAAGAGAGAUUUCACAUAUAAAUAUACUAUCUUGGACAUCUUUUGUAAUUGUGAUCUCUCUUUAAAAUAUGACAUGCUGAAAAGUUGAUGUUUGACAAGGAAAACAACUUAAUGGGUUAUGUUACCUAUAUUCGAAACAUUAUAUUGUCUUGGAUCAUCCAACAUGUUUAGCUUGCUUUUCCCCCUCAUGCUAGCUAAAUUCUUUGCACCAAGUAGAGAUACUACUUGUGCUUCCAAACAUUCCUUAAACCAGUUUUGCCAUGAGAGUCCACCAUACCUACCUAUGGAUUGAGUAAGAUCCUUCAAGUAAGUUUUCAUCGGUGCAUGCAAUAAAAAUUGCUCUCUAAAUAUGUAUGAUCUAUUAAUGUGGAGAAAAUAAGCUUUAUACGAUCUUAUGAUGUGGAAGAAAUAAAAGCGACGGAUUGCAUAAGAAAGGUCCAUAUCACAAGUGGCAGUAUAAAGUGGCGUUCUUUUGCAUUAAGAAUUUGUGCAUCCAACCAUAAAAGCGCAUGACAACCUCUUCUUCCCUCUAUGAAGGGCCUAUCUUUUACUUUUAUAUUCUACCCUUAUACAAGAGUCAUGGUGGUCAUCACCUUUCCUUUUUACACUUUUCCUUUGGCAAGCACUUUGUGUUGGAUCGAUCCGGAUAUAUAUAUAUCCACUUGGAUGUAGGUUCUCAUAAAUUAUUAUUGUUGACAUUACCCUUGAGGUAAAAGGUUGGGAGGCGAAACUAUAGGCCCCUAUCUUUCUCUAUGUCUUAUUAAAACUUUGAACCCAUAAAUAUCACAUGAGUGUUAGCAAUUGUGAAAGAUUAAAUGAUAGUUGAGCAUGUGGAGUUUGCUGAAUCAAAGAUCUUACAUAGACCCUUCCCGAAAAUAAGAUGAAUUGCAAUUGUUUGAUGACUAAGAGCAUGGUUUGUUAGUUUUCAAGAAAGUUUAUGAUCUAUACUUUAACAUGUGAAUAGCUUGUUACUUGAUAAUGAGAAGUUUCAUGAGUUAGGCUACUGUUAUGACAUAUAAUGAUGCUAGAAAAAGUGAUUGGAACUAUCAUUGAUGAAACUUAUGCACUUGCUAGCAUUCACAGUUCACAAAUUAUUUCUUUUAUCAUUUACCUACUCGAAGACGAGCAUGGAUUAAGCUUGGGGAUGUUGAUACGUCUCCAAUGUAUCUAUAAUUUAGGAAGUAUUCAUGCUAUUAUAUUAUCCAUCUUAGAUGUUUUAUAUGCAUUUAUAUGCUAUUUUAUAUGAUUUUUGGGACUAACCUAUUUACCUAGAGCCCAGUGCCAGUUUCUGUUUUUCCCUUGGUUUUGAGUAGUGUAGAAAAGGAAUACCAAACGGAGUCCAAUUGACGUGCCAAUUUUUGAUGAUUUUUCAUGGACCAAAAGAAGCCCUCGGAGUAAAAGAGUUUGGCUAGAUGAGUCCCGAGCUGCCCACAAGGGUGGGGGGCACGCCCCACCCCCUGGGCAUGGGCUCCUAUCUCGUGGACGACUCGGAGACCCCCUGACGUGAAACCGAUGCCAAAAAUUCCUAUAAAUACCGAAACCCCCUAGAAAAUAACCUAGAUUGGAAGUUCCGCCGCCGCAAGCCUCUCUAGCCACGAGAAAUCAAUCUAGGCCCUCUCUGGCACCCUGCCGGAGGGGGCCAUCAUCACCGGAGGCUAUGGAGGAGGAUCCCGGAGGGGCCAUCAUCACCAUGAAGGCCAAGGACCAGAGGGAGAACUUCUCCCCAUCCAGGGGGAGGCCAUGGAGGAGGAAGCACAAGGGGGAGAACCUCUCCUCCUCUCCGUCGGUGGCAUCGGAGUGCCAUCAAGAGGGGAAUCAUCGCCGCGGUGAUCGUCUUCAUCAACAUCACCAUCAUCAUCACUAUCCUCAUCUCUUUUACGCGGUCCACUCUCCCUCACCCAGCUGUAAUCCCUACUUGAACAUGGUGAUUUAUGCCACAUAUUAUGAUCCAAUGAUGUGUUGCCUUCCUAUGAUGUUUUGAGUAGAUAUCCUUUGUCUUUGGGUUGAUUGAUGAUUUAGAUUGGUAUGAGUUGUAUGCUUUAUUUUGGUGCUGUCCUAUUGUACCCUCCGUGUUGCGCAAGCGUGAGGGAUUCCCACUGUAGGGUGUUGCAAUACGUUCAUGAUUCGCUUAUAGUGGGUUUAUUGAGUGACAGAAGCAUAAACCCGAGUAAUGGGGUUGUUGCGUAUGGGAUAAAGGGGACUUGAUGCUUCAAUGCUAUGGUUGGGUUUUACCUUAAUGAUCUGUAGUAGUUGCGGAUGCUUGCUAGAGUUCCAAUCAUAAGUCCAUAUGAUCCAAGAAGAGAAAGUAUGUUAGCUUAUGCCUCUCUCUCAUAUGAAAUUGCAAUGAUGACUAUCGUUUUUGUUAACAAUUGCCUAGGACAAUUCUGCACACCGACCCAUCAUUAUUCCAUACUCGCUAUUUAUUAUAUUUAGUAAUAUAUUCUAACUUUAUGAUAACAACAUAUACUUUCAUAUUUUAGCUCUCCCAUAUCAUGCAAAGUUAUCCUCUUCAUACCCACAACAUAGUUUUAUUUCUCGUUUCUAGUUGGAAGCAAACAUUAGGUGUACGUAGAGUCGUAUGAGUUACAGAUAGGGCUUGAGAGAAUAUUGAUCUUACCUUCAGCUCCUUGUGGGUUCGACACUCCAUACUUAUCACUUCCACCAUUGGGAAUUGCUACGAUGAUUCCCUCCACUUGGGGAUUAUCAUCGGUUCACCCUCAUCGAUGUCAUCUAUCACCAAUGUAGCUUCCUCUUCCUUUAGACCUAACUUGCUCAUCACCUCCUCCAGCCGUGCCCUCAUCGCGCGUUGAAAGAGAGCAUCUUCCUUCCCUUUGCUAGCGCCGAAUGGAUCCAUCCCGACACCACCCCUGUAUGCGCCCGACCGAUCAACAUCAGUAGAGCGUUCCCUCGAAACUCUAAUCGCCUAAUAGGAGGCUCCUAUGUUUUUGGGGCAGUAGACCAAUGGUUGCGAUCACAGUGGUGCUCCCGUCAAUCAGAGUUCGACUCCUGUGUGGAGCGAAUAUAUCUGGUAUUCUCACUCAGGAGGCAUGGAUAAGGCACCUAUCCCGUUUAAAUGUGUAGAGAAAAUGAUUCCCCGUGAUAGCCUGCAUAGACGUUGCUUGAGGAUGAGGAUUGUACAUGCAAUUCUCUCCAUGAUUUUAUGGUACACAAUAUUCAUCGAAGAAGUCUAUAGGACACCAACAGUCAUGCCUAGAACUCCACUGACACUGAUGACUCCAGGAAUGGGACCCUCAAAGAGAAGAACCUUGCAAGUACGUCGGUGCGGUGGGGGGAGCGGGCUACGAAACAAGGCAGCGUAUGGGGGAUAACGAUAGGUUACCAAAGAAAUAUCUAAUUUGUCCGCCUAUAUGAAAACCAUUUUAAAGAGAAAAUAUUGGAGAUUAGUAAAUAGAAAACGGAUAUAAGUACAAGAGUUAGCAUACAUCCAAGGACAGAUGAAAAGGUUUAUAAAAAGUUAUCACAAAAGUCUAAACAUUUAUCAAUCCACCAAUAAUUAGACCAUUUAGGAUGGCGGCCACUCCUCGGAUGUGUAAGUAAGGAACAAAAAUAAACAAAGGAAACCUUAACUUUCUAAGAUAUUUUUUAGACCGUACGUAUUUUUUGGCAAAACUGUUUUUUGAUAUUAAAGAUUUGGUUAAUAAGUGGAGGCGUUUUGCACAGUUUAUAACAGCUCCACUAGUCUAGCACUAAAAUCCAUUUUGCAACGACUAAUCUUUUUUCGCGAGAAAACUUCCGAUCUACUCCUCCAUUCUUGUAUGCAUGAUGAAUUAUCCUAGCACGAGAAAGAAAGAGAUACACGCAAUCAAGAAAGAUACUUUCCUUCCUUUCUGUCGGGGUGAACGACACCUAUGGGAUCACAGGGAAUCCUUUCUACGGUCGGCGGGCGCGGGGCUAUGGAAAGAGUGGGUUUAGAAGAACAACGCGUGGGAGUUUAUCCAGGUUCGGGCCGCAAGUGAUGCCUAAUACCCUACUCCUGCUGGUUUCUGUUUAUCUGGUGUUCUUGGACUAGCUACAAAGCAGGCAGGGUCCAAAGAGUCUAAAUCCUCUCAUUGUAUGCCGCGGGUCUCCUUUUAUAGUCAAAGGGGCUGCCACAGUGGCACACAGGAGGUGGAAAGUUGUAUAGUAGUAAAUUUUAUCACCUGGCAUCACGGGACAAAACACAUUAAAUGCGCUACUUAGGUGUCCCCUUGCUUUAUCGGGGAUGGCAGCGAAUCCCGUCCCGUCUGUGGUCGCUUCGCCUUUCUCCGAUACGCGUCUAGGUCAACAAGGCAUGCAACACCAUGUAGGCUGGCAGGCUGCUAAGCUGGUGUGGUGGCGGGGUCUUCACGAAUAUCUGCAUGCCACCACGUAGGUGCUUGACUAGUUGGCUUAGGAGCCACAUACUGCUAUGUGGGGACCUGCUUAGUUGGUGGGUCGGCCAUUGAGCUGGGGUGGAUACGGGGCGGCAAGGCCUUGCCGUGGUCUUGUUGAUCUUCCCGGCAAGGGUCUUGUUGGGGCCUUGUGAGCGCCCUCGGCAAGAGUCUUGCCGGGGCCUCAUGGGUAUCUUUGGCAGGAGCCUUGUUGGGGCCUCAUGGGCAUACUCGGCAAGGAGCGAGCCUUCCUGUUGUCUUGUUUCUUGGUUCCUCUCUAGGCCUCGUAGGCCCUUUGUCUUCACAAAGGUCUACAUGCCACCUUGGAGGCGCCUCCCGAGCCUUGGUUCCAAUGUGGUUGAUGGCAUCGGGACUCUUAGACUCGAGGGUGGCGGCUGUAACGCCCUCGAUGCAGCUAUAUCUCCUACGUGUCGAGUCACGACUUAGAGGCAUAACCGCAUUGAAAGCAAUGUCGCAAGUUAGGCAAUCAUCACAACAUCCAUGUAAUACAUAAUAAGGGGAUAAGUAACAUAGUUGGCUUACACUCGCCACGUCACACAAAGUACAUAAAUAGCAUUACAUCAACCAAUCACUCAUGGCCCGACUAAGGCGCCAAAAUAGAAGAUAAAACCAACAUGCGACACGGUCCCGAUCACCCCGACUGGGCACCACUACUGAUCAUCAGGGAAAGAAACAUAGUAACGGCGUGAGUCCUCGUCGAACUCCCACUUGAGCUCUAACGCGUCAUCUGGAACGGAGUCGUCUGGCCCUGCAUCUAGUUUGGAAGUAAACUGUGAGCCACAGGGACUCAGCAAUCUUGCACCCUCGCGAUCAAGACUAUUUAAGCUUAUAGGAAAAGGCAAGGUAAUAUAUGUGGAGCUGCAGCAAGCGACUAACAUAUAUGGUGGCUACCCUGUUCGCAAAAGAGAGCGAGAAGAGAAGGCAAAGCGCGAAUGAAUAACUAGAGAACAACCUGCGACAAGCAUUACUCCAACACCGUGUUCACUUCCCGAACUCCGCCGAGAAGAGACCAUCACGGUAACUCACACCGUGUUCAUUUUAAUUAAGUUAAGGUUCAAGUUAUCUACAACUGGAUAUUAACAAAUUCCCAUCUGCCGGUAACUGCGGGAACGGCUUUCGAAAGUUCAAUCCCUGCAGGGGGUCCCAACUUAGCCCAUGACAAGCUCUCACGGUCAACGAAGGAAUAGACCUUCUCCCGAGACAUUCCGAUCAGGCUCGGUACCCCGGUUCUACAAGACACUUCGACAAGUUAAAACCAAUCCAGCAACACCGCCCGAAUGUGCCGACAAAUCCCGAUAGGAGCUGCACAUAUCUCGUUCUCAGGACACACUCAGAUUGUCCAAACUUCCGGCAGGCCAGCCCAGAGUUGCCCUGGUAGCCACCGGCGGCUGACGAGGUGGACCAACACUCAGAGGAGCACUGGCCCGGGGGGGUUUAAAUAAGAUGACCCUCGGGCUCCGGAAACCCAAGGGAAAAAGAGGCUAGGUGGAAAAUGGUAAAACCAAGGUUGGGCAUUGCUGGAAAAGCUUUAUUCAAGACGAACUAUCAUGGGUUCCCAUUAUCACCCAACCACGUAAGGAACGCAAAAUCCGGGAACAUAACACCGAUAUGACGGAAACUAGGGCGGCAAGAGUGGAACAAAACACUAGGUGAGAGGCCGAGCCUUCCACCCUUUACCAAGUAUAUUGGUGCAUUAAGAUAACAUGGCAAUAUAAUGAUAUCCCAACAAGUAAAGUAGUGUUCCAACAAGGAACGGUCUCCAAUCUUCACCUGCAACUAGCAACGCUAUAAGAGGGGCUGAGCAAAGUGGUAACAUAGCCAAUCAACGGUUUGCUAGGACAUGGUGGGUUAGAAGUUUGACAUGGAAAUUUGGGAGGCAUGGUAAGAAAGUGGUAGGCAUCGUAGCAUAGGCAUAGCAAAAGAGCAAGCAUCUAGCAAAGCAAAGAUAGAAGUGAUUUCGAGGGUAUGAUCAUCUUGCCUGCUCGUUGUCAGAGUUGACUGGAUCCUCGAAAGAAAACUCAACGGGCUCCUCGUUAGUGAACUCGUCUCCCGGCUCUACCCAAACAAGACAAACAAGCAAGAGGAACGCAAUCAACCAUGUGCACAACUCAAACAACAUGAUGCAAAGAUGGUAUGCUAUGCGGGAUGCGAUGCGGGAUGCAUAUGCAAGAUUUGACAAGAGAUGCAUGAACCUGGCCUCAACUUGGAAAACCAGGUGUGCCAGUGGAAAGGUGAGAUGAAAUCGCUUGAAAACGAUAUAAAGAUCACCGGAAUCGGAGUUACGGUUUGGAAAUGGCAAGCAAUUCAAAUAUGGCCACGUUCUGCGAUUUACAGCAAGUAGCCAACUAAAUGCAACAAGAUGAACAUGCUACAGCACCCAAACAUGGCAUCAAAAUGCAUGGCAGGGAUCCAUUCAUGAUGCUUAACAAAAGACUAGCACUGAGCUACGGCCAAUUCAUCCAUUAACAGGUUCAAACAAGCAUGGCAAAAAUGCAUUUGGCAAACAGAUUUCAGACUUAGUGAAAUUAACACUUGUCUGGAAUUUCAGAUCAGAUAGCACACUUUGGAGCAACAAAACUAUAUGCUACAGGACCUGAACAUGGCAAAGUAAAGCAUGGCAUGGAGCUACUCAAAGAGAUUAACAAAAGUCCCUUAGUGACCUUGAGCCAAAAGGGAUCAGAAAAUACAUUUGCAAGCAUGUGAAUAUGGCAAAAACACAAUCACUUCUCAGACUUAAUGAAAACUGGGACAUGCAAAACAGAUAUCAAGUAGGCAUGUUUACGAGCUCGAUGCACUCACUACAGAGCAUAUCACGAUAAUCUAAGCAUACACACAUCAAGAAAACACAAAAUACAAGCUAGACAUGGCAGGAACAAUAACAUAGCAUGCACGGAUCAACUACAACAUCCUCGACAAAAUCGCUAACAAGUAGACAAUCUGCCCAGAUUCAUGAAAUGGCAAAAGUAGAGCUUGAUUGACUCAAGCUAGGGUGCUCCAUAAUUGCAAACAAAGACAUGGAUGGAUAGAGCACUACAAGAUUAACAAAUCAUCCUUACUGAUCAUCCUCAAAAGAGGCACGGAUCACUAGGAAACAACAUGAACAUAUGGCAUAAUGAGAUAAACAGACCAAGGACUUUGUGGAAAUGCUAAGUCCCUGAAAUCAGCAUUAACAAGUGCACCACUUUGCAAGCUUGUGCUAGUCACCACACACAUCAUAAAAAUACAUGGAUGGCACCACUGCAAAGAUGGCAAAACCUAUAACAAAACAUAUGUAGAGCUCAUGGGCAUAACAUGCACACAAUAAUCAUGGCAAAAAUGACAAAUAUCUAAAUGGAGCAGCAUAUCUGACAAUUAUCUCAACUAGCAUACUUCUAACAGCAUUUCGGGCAUCAAGAUGAACUCAAAUGAAAAUGAUGCAGUGAUAUGAAAUGAUGUGCUCUCUGAGACGAACAUUUUGAUAUGCUAUAUGCCCAAAACGAAGCUACGGAUGAAGAGUUAGAAUGCGAUGAACAUAGCCAAAAUAAUUAGGGACUUGGGGAAAAAGAGAGAGGUCAACCCCUAGGGUUUCAGAUCUGGAUCCAGAUCUGGUCGCAUGGGUUACGAGGUUCGCCGGAGAGGGACUUGAAGCUCGCCGGAGUUCAUCGGGGAAGAAGGCCGGGGCGAGGGUGGCCGGAGCGGGGCGCUGCUCGCCGGGGCCUUGGCUGGCGUGGAGGAGGCGCAUCGUCGGUGGCGAGGCCUCAGGGAGGCGGCGGCAGGCGGCGUCGGGCGGUGAGGCGAGGAGGCGCGGCGGCCGGCGACGAGGUGAAGCAAGGCGGCAGUCGGCGGACUUGGGCGGCGGAGUCGGGAAGACGAGGCGGCGCGUGCGGGAGGCCGGUCGGGCCGGUCGGGCGACGGGGAGGGCCGGCGCUGGGCCUUCGGGCCCGCGUCGGUGGCGGCGGUGAACUGGGGCACCCGCUGCCACGUGGCGUGCCCUGGUUGGUGGCAGUGGUUUUGUCUGGUGGGGGUCGGACGUGUCCGGCGGCGGCGGUGGAUGGAUCUAGGGUUAGGAGGAGAAUGGAACCGUGAAUUUCGGAGGGUGGUUUUUAAAUAGGCAUAGGAGGAGCUAGGAGAGUCCAAAUGAGGUGCGGUUUUCGGCCACGCGAUCAUGAUCGAAUGCUCUAGAUGAUGGAGAAGGUUUUGGUGGGUUUUGGGCCAAAUUGGAGGGGUGUUAGGCUGCGACACACACGAGGCCUUUUCGGUCCCUCGGUUAACCGUUGGAGUAUCAAACGGAGUCCAAAUGGUACGGAACUUGACAGGCGGUCUACCGAUAGUAAACCAAGGCCGCUGGGCAAGUCUCGGUCCAAUAUGGAAAUGUUUAAUCCCCACACACGAAAGAAAGGUAGAAAUGACCACCGAAGGAGAACGAAGCACCGGGAUGCAAAACGGACAACGGGGAAAAUGCUCGGAUGCAUGAGAUGAACACGCAUGCAAAUGCAAUGCACGUGAUGACAUGAUAUGAGAUGCAUGACAACAACAACAACAACACACGGAGACAAAAAACCUGAACCCGAGAAAAUAAAAUAACUUAACGCCAGAAACGGCAAGAGUUGGAAUACAUAAUGGGUAAAUCAUAUCCGGGGUGUUACAACACUCCACCACUACAAAAGGAUCUCGCCCCGAGAUCUAGGACUGCAAGAACGCCAGGUACACAGAACGGAGGUGAUCCUCGCGUUCCCAGGUGGCUUCACGGUCGGAAUGGUGUGACCACUUGACUUUGAGGAAGUCUUGCGUUCAGUCUCUUCAAGAAUAGCAACGGGGUGCUCACGAUAAGAGAGAUCUUCUUGGAGCUCAAUGUCCUCAGAGUUGACGGUGCGGUCAGGAGUCUUGAAGCACUUGCGGAGCUGAGAGACAUGGAACACGUCAUGAACAUUUGCAAAGUUUGAAGGAAGCUCGAGUUGAUAAGCGAGAUCGCCUCUCUUGCUGACAAUCUUGAAAGGUCCCACGUAUCUGGGGGCAAGCUUCCCUUUGAUACCGAAGCGACGAGUACCUUUCAUAGGAGAGACGCGGAGGUAAACAUGAUCUCUGAUCUCGAAAGCCAAAUCACGGUGCUUACUAUCAUAGUAGCUCUUCUGGCGCGAUUGGGCUGCUUUGAGGUUAUCUCGAAUGACUUUGCACAUUUCCUCUGCCUCUGUGAUUAAGUCAUUUCCCAAAAGCUGACACUCACCGGUUUCAGACCAGUUGAGAGGGGUAUGGCACUUCCUGCCAUACAGAAUUUCAAAUGGGGCCUUGCCCGAACUUGCUUGAAAACUGUUGUUGUAGGAGAAUUCAGCAUAUGGAAGACAAUCCUCCCACUUCAUGCCGAAGGAGAUCACACAAGCCCUGAGCAUAUCUUCAAGAAUCUGGUUGACACGCUCGACUUGACCGCUAGUCUGACGGUGGAAAGCUGUGCUGAAGCGGAUGUUGGUACCCAUGGCCUUCUGAAAAGAAUCCCAAAACUUGGAGGUAAAGAUGCUACCACGGUCUGAAGAGAUCACUUGUGGAAUACCGUGUAGAGAGACAAUCCGAGAGGUAUAGAGUUCCGCCAAUUGAGCUGCCGUGAUAGACUCUUUGAUAGGAAGAAAGUGAGCCACUUUGGUGAGUUUGUCGAUGACAACAAAUAUAGAAUCAUUGCCAUGCUUUGACUUUGGAAACCUAGUCAUGAAGUCCAUCUCAAUGUGGUCAAACUUCCAUUCUGGAAUGGCAAGAGGUUGGAGGAGACCAGCUGGCCUUUGGUGUUCUGCCUUCACUCUUCUGCAGACAUCACAUUCAUUCACGAAUCGAGCAAUCUCGCGCUUCAUUCGAGUCCACCAAUAAGCCUGCUUGAGGUCCUGAUACAUCUUCGUGCUCCCAGGGUGGAUGGAGAGGAGAGAACUGUGAGCCUCGUUCAUGAUCACUUUACGAAGGUCACCUUUGGGCACAACAAUACGAUCCUCAAAGAAGAGAGUGUCCUUUUCAUCAAGGCGGUAGCACUUGUACUUGGGUUGACUCUUGGCAAUCCCAAUCUUCACCUUCUUCACCAUAGCAUCAAGAAGUUGGGCUUGGCGAAUCUGAUCUUCCAAGGUAGGAGAGACUUGAAGGUUGGCGAGGAAACCUUGAGGAACAACUUGCAGAUUAAGUUUGCGGAAAGCUUCACAAAGCUCGGGUUGAUAAGGCUUGAGAAUCAGACUAUUGUAGUAAGCCUUCCUUCUCAAAGCGUCAGCAAUCACAUUAGCCUUGCUUGGAGUAUACUCGAUACUCGGAUUAUACUCUUGAAUCAUUUCGACCCAUCGAGUCUGCCUGAGGUUGAGAUUAGGCUGAGUCAAGAUGUACUUGAGACUCUCGUGGUCAGUGAAAAUGUCCACUUUUCUUCCCAAUAAGAGAUGUCUCCAAGUCAAAAGAGCAUGCACAACUGCCGCCAACUCGAGGUCAUGAGUGGGGUAGUUAUUCUCAUUGGGCUUCAACUGGCGAGAGGUAUAAGCAACAACUUUAUUCUCUUGUAUCAAAACUGCACCAAGACCUUGGAGAGAUGCAUCACAAAAGACCUCAUACGGUUUGGAUUCAUCAGGGGGAGUCAGAACCGGAGGAGUGACCAAUUUCUCUUUCAAAGUGUUGAAAGAAAUGUCACACUCCAGAGACCAAACGUACUUGACGUACUUCUGGAGAAGAUUAGAGAGAGGCUUCGCGAUCUUAGAAAAGUUCUCCACGAACCUUGUACAAUAGCUUGUGAGACCGAGGAAGCUACGGAGUUGCUUCACGUUCUGAGGAGGUUCCCAAUUUACAAUUGCAGACACCUUCUCAGGAUUCACCACAAUGCCCUUGGCAGAGAUGAUAUGACCAAGAUAAAGAACUUGGCGUGGAACUGGUGUUCCCUGAGCUUAUCGAGCACCAAACGCAAAUGCUUGGCAUGAUCUUCCUUGUUCUUCGAGAAAACCAGAAUGUCGUUGAGAUAGACCAAAACGAAGUCAUUGGUGUAGGCGUUGAAGAUGAAGUUCAUCAUGCGAGAGAAAGUGGGAGGAGCGUUGAAGAGGCCAAAAGACAUGACAGUGUAUUCAUAUGAACCGUAGCUUGUCCCGAAAGCCGUCUUGGGAAUAUCUUGUUCACGGAUUCGAAUCUGGUGAUAACCCAUACGGAGAUCAAGCUUGGAGAAUACUUGGGCACCUUUGAGUUGUUCGAACAGCUCGUUGAUGUUGGGAAGUGGGUACUUGUUCUUAAUAGUCUUCUUGUUCAAUGGAUGGUAAUCAACACAAAGUCGGUCCGUUCCAUCCUUCUUCUUCACAAAAAGAACACCACAACCCCACGGAGAAGAACUAGGUCGGAUGAGACCCAUUCUCUCUUGAAUAUCGAGUUGCUUCUUCAGCUCCUUCAACUCUUCAGGUCCGAGCUUGUAAGGACGUUUGCAAACAGGUUCCAUGCCAGGCUCAAGAUUGAUGACAAAUUCCACUGGCCGGUGUGGAGGCAUUCCUGGAAGCUCUUCUAGAAAGACGUCUUGAUAUUCGCAAAUGACUGGAAUUUGCGAGAUGGCAUCCAGUUCACCCUUCUCAUUGAGAGAAAAUAGACGGAUGGUAUUAUCACGAGCGGCAAAGACAAUCACAUCCUCAAACGAAUGAGUUAAUUGAAUCUGCCUGGCUGCACAAUCAAGCUGAGCCUUGUGCUUAGAAAGCCAAUCCAUCCCGAGAAUAAGAUCAAUAUCCGAGUUACCAAGGACCAUUGGAGAAGCUAGAAACUUGAAAUCACUCAUCAUGAUAGAAAUAUCCGGAAACUCAUGGUUAGCGAGCAAACAUUUACCCGGAGAGACAACUGCUAACGGUUUAUGCAUAACUUGGGAAGUCAACUCAUGCUUAGAUGCAAAAGGUUUCGAGAUGAAGCAAUGCGAUGCACCAGUGUUAAAAAGAACUUUUGCGGGAACAUUGUUAACAGGAAGGUUACCCAUGAUGACAUCUGACGAGUCCUCUGCCUUACCUGCAUUCAUCAAGUUGACCUUGGCGUGCUUGGGGUUAUGCUUGACCACAGCUGUACUUGCCGAUCUCACAGGAGGAGGAGGAGGAGGAAGACGCCUCUGAUUGAAGCAUUUGUUGGCAUAGUGACCCUUCUGUUGGCACUUGUUGCAUGUGACCUCUGAAAGCGGACGGUGGUACGGAGCACUCGAUCUUGGAGCUUGAGACGAAGUCUUGUUCUGAAAGCCAGGGUUGGGUGGGUGGGAAGAUCCACUGCCACCUUUGCUCUUCUGAUACGACUGACGAAACGGAGGAGGAGGAAGCCAAUACUUCUACUGCUUGGCUACUUGAGUAGAGGAAGAUGGAGUAUCAUCUCGGACUCGCUUCUUGUAUGCAUCACACCUCAGUUAAGCAGCUCUUGCUUCAAUGCCAUGUUGUAGAAUUCGUCGUACCUCAAGGGCUCAAAGAGAACAAGAGCUAGCUGGAUUUCUUCUCUGAGACCACCCCUGAACUGGUAUAUCAUGGUCUUCUCAUCAGGGACGUCCUACUUAGCAAAGUGGGCGAGCUUCUGGAACAACUUGUUGUAGUCAUAGAUAGACAAAGAGCCUUGCUUCAGGUUGCAGAAUUCCUCACACUUGCUUUCAACCACGCUCUGAGGGAUAUGAUGAGCUUUGAAAUCUUGACGGAAUUCAUCCCAGGUAAUCACACGUCCACCUCUGGAAUCCUUGUACUGCUGGAACCACUCUGCAGCUUGGUCUUUGAGUUGGAAGGAAGCAAACUUGACAAAGUCCUCAGGCCUGACGUUACUACACUUGAAAUGCUUGCACAGAUCCACGAGCCAAUCGUCAGCAUCAGUUGCCUCAACACAAUUGCUGAAAGUCUUUGGCCCGUUAGCAAGGAACUGCUUGAGUGUAGCAAAGUGAUUCUGAUUGUUGCCUUGGUCGCCUUGGUUCGAUUGAUUGUGCUCUUGAAGAAUUUGCAUGAUCAACUGCGUGUUUGCAUUGGUUGCGGCCAUCACAGCUUGCCAUGCCUCCGGAGGAGGUGGAGGUGGUGGCGGAUCAGGAUUCGGAGUCGUGCGCGUUGGAGGAGCCAUCCUAAAGAGGUUGACAUCCAUUAGCACAUUGAUAGACAAAUAUUGAAGCUGAAUCCAACGGAAUGAAAAUUGCAACGUAUAGUCUUCAUAUCCGAACAAAAUGAACGAAUGCAUUCCACUUGAAAUGGUCACAUAUCCAUAAAUUGAGAAGCCACUAGGAAUUUAGGUAGAGAAAUAAAUCAACAAGUUACGGAUCAAGAACGAAUACUCAAUAUGAAAUCCCAAUCUCAAACCAAAUAUCCGUGGAAGAAGAACUAGAGCUACAAGAAUUCCCACCUAUGAAACUCCCGAACCUUUCCGGUUAUGCAAUCAGGUGUUGGGGAUACAGGGGAAGCAUAAUAUCUCACCCAAAUCUAGCAAUUCCUACAUCCAGCUGUAUCCAUCCUUCAACACAUAACCGAGAAAAACUUUGGAAACCAUCUACCUCAACCUUCGAAAAGCAUCCGUUAUACAAGUUAUGGCAAUACUCCCGAACUCCCGCCCCAGUACUGGGUGGCGUCGAGGUUAUCUCACCAACGAACUGCAUAAAAGAGAUUUUCUAUGUCGGCGUACUAAACUCAGGUAUUCCAGAACUGCAACGACAAAAUUGUGAUGACAACACCUCGGAGCUCAACUCCCAGGAACAGGAGGCACCAAGAACAAUGUUCUCGACACAAAACCAUCGAAAAGAUUCCAAGAUACCCGCGUGAUCCUAAUUUUUUUAGUGAAAUUUGAGAAGAGAAUAGUCAAAACUCUACGUCAGGAAGCCUUACCAGAGCGAUGAGGAGACUGGGAAGUAAAAAGAAUUCCUAAACUCUCCGAUAUAUAAUUCCUAAAUGACUCAAAACAUUUUUCUAGACUCAACUCGGUCGCUAGUAAGGAUCAAGCAAUGGGGCUCCUAAGGUCGGGAAGGCUCUGAUUACCAACUUGUAACGCCCUCGAUGCGGCUAUAUCUCCUACGUGUCGAGGCACGACUUAGAGGCAUAACCGCAUUGAAAGCAAUGUCGCAAGUUAGGCAAUCAUCACAACAUCCAUGUAAUACAUAAUAAGGGGAUAAGUAACAUAGUUGGCUUACACUCGCCACGUCACACAAAGUACAUAAAUAGCAUUACAUCAACCAAUCACUCAUGGCCCGACUACGGCGCCAAAAUAGAAGAUAAACCCAACAUACGACACGGUCCCGAUCACCCCGACUGGGCACCACUACUGAUCAUCAGGGAAAGAAACAUAGUAACGGCGUGAGUCCUCGUCGAACUCCCACUUGAGCUCUAAUGCGUCAUCUGGAACGGAGUCGUCUGGCCCUGCAUCUGGUUUGGAAGUAAACUGUGAGCCAUAGGGACUCAGCAAUCUCGCACCCUCGCGAUCAAGACUAUUUAAGCUUAUAGGAAAAGGCAAGGUAAUAUAUGUGGAUCUGCAGCAAGCGACUAGCAUAUAUGGUGGCUACCCUGUUCGCAAAAGAGAGCGAGAAGAGAAGGCAAAGCGCGAACGAAUAACUAGAGAACAACCUGCGACAAGUAUUAGUCCAACACCGUGUUCACUUCCCGGACUCCACCGAGAAGAGACCAUCAUGGUAACUCACACAGUUGAUUCAUUUUAAUUAAGUUAAGGUUCAAGUUAUCUACAACCGGACAUUAACAAAUUCCCAUCUGCCCAUAACUGCGGGCACAGCUUUCAAAAGUUCAAUCCCUGCAGGGGGUCCCAACUUAGCCCAUGACAAGCUCUCACGGUCAACGAAGGAAUAGACCUUCUCCCGAGACAUUCCGAUCAGGCUCGGUAUCCCGGUUCUACAAGACACUUCUACAAGUUAAAACCAAUCCAGCAACACCGCCCGAAUGUGCCGACAAAUCCCGAUAGGAGCUGCACAUAUCUCGUUCUCAGGGCACACUCAGAUUGUCCAAAUUUUCGGUAGGCCAGCCCAGAGUUGCCCCUGGUAGCCACCGACGGCUGACGAGGUGGAUCAACACUCAGAGGAGCACUGGCCCGGGGGGGUUUAAAUAAGAUGACCCUCGGGCUCCGGAAACCCAAGGGAAAAAGAGGCUAGGUGGAAAAUGGUAAAACCAAGGUUGGGCAUUGCUGGAAAAGCUUUAUUCAAGGCGAACUAUCAAGGGUUCUCAUUAUCACCCAACCACGUAAGUAACGCAAAAUCCGGGAACAUAACACCGAUAUGACGGAAACUAGGGCGGCAAGAGUGGAACAAAACACUAGGUGAGAGGCCGAGCCUUCCACCCUUUACCAAGUAUAUUGGUGCAUUAAGAUAACAUGGCAAUAUAAUGAUAUCCCAACAAGUAAAGUAGUGUUCCAACAAGGAACGGUCUCCAAUCUUCACCUGCAACUAGCAACGCUAUAAGAGGGGCUGAGCAAAGUGGUAACAUAGCCAAUCAACGGUUUGCUAGGACAUGGUGGGUUAGAAGUUUGACAUGGAAAUUUGGGAGGCAUGGUAAGAAAGUGGUAGGCAUCGUAGCAUAGGCAUAGCAAAAGAGCAAGCAUCUAGCAAAGCAAAGAUAGAAGUGAUUUCGAGGGUUUGAUCAUCGUGCCUGCUCGUUGUCAGAGUUGACUGGAUCCUCGAAAGAAAACUCAACGAGCUCCUCGUUAGUGAACUCGUCUCCCGGCUCUACCCAAACAAGACAAACAAGCAAGAGGAAUGCAAUCAACCAUGUGCACAACUCAAACAACAUGAUGCAAAGAUGGUAUGCUAUGCGGGAUGCGAUGCGGGAUGCAUAUGCAAGAUUUGACAAGAGAUGCAUGAACCUGGCCUCAACUUGGAAAACCAAGUGUGCCAGUCGAAAGGUGAGAUGAAAUCGCUUGAAAAAGAUAUAAAGAUCACCGGAAUCAGAGUUACGGUUUGGAAAUGGCAAGCAAUUCAAAUAUGGCCACGUUCUGCGAUUUACAGCAAGUAGCCAACUAAAUGCAACAAGAUGAACAUGCUACAACACCCAAACAUGGCAUCAAAAUGCAUGGCAGGGAUCCAUUCAUGAUGCUUAACAAAAGACUAGCACUGAGCUACGGCCAAUUCAUCCAUUAACAGGUUCAAACAAGCAUGGCAAAAAUGCAUUUGGCAAACAGAUUUCAGACUUAGUGAAAUUAACACUUGUCUGGAAUUUCAGAUCAGAUAGCACACUUUGGAGCAACAAAACUAUAUGCUACAGGACCUGAACAUGGCAAAGUAAAGCAUGGCAUGGAGCUACUCAAAGAGAUUAACAAAAGUCCCUUAGUGACCUUGAGCCAAAAGGGAUCAGAAAAUACAUUUGCAAGCAUGUGAAUAUGGCAAAAACAUAAUCAGUUCUCAGACUUAAUGAAAACUGGGACAUGCAAAACAGAUAUCAAGUAGGCAUGUUUACGAGCUCGAUGCACUCACUACACAGCAUAUCAUGACAAUCUAAUCAUACACCCAUCAAGAAAACACAAAAUACAAGCUAGACAUGGCAGGAACAAUAACAUAGCAUGCACGGAUCAACUACAACAUCCUCGGCAAAAUCGCUAACAAGUAGACAAUCUGCCCAGAUUCAUGAAAUGGCAAAAGUAGAGCUUGAUUGACUCAAGCUAGGGUGCUCCAUAAUUGCAAACAAAGACAUGGAUGGAUAGAGCACUACAAGAUUAACAAAUCAUCCUUACUGAUCAUCCUCAAAAGAGGCACGGAUCACUAGGAAACAACAUGAACAUAUGGCAUAAUGAGAUAAACAGACCAAGGACUUUGUGGAAAUGCUAAGUCCCUGAAAUCAGCAUUAACAAGUGCACCACUUUGGAAGCUUGUGCUAGUCACCACACACAUCAUAAAAAUACAUGGAUGGCACCACUUCAAAGAUGGCAAAACCUAUAACAAAACAUAUGUAGAGCUCAUGGGCAUAACAUGCACACAAUAAUCAUGGCAAAAAUGACAAAUAUCUAAAUGGAGCAGCAUAUCUGACAAUUAUCUCAACCAGCAUACUUCUAACAGCAUUUCGGGCAUCAAGAUGAACUCAAAUGAAAAUGAUGCAGUGAUAUGAAAUGAUGUGCUCUCUGAGACAAACAUUUUGAUAUGCUAUAUGCCCAAAACGAAGCUACGGAUGAGGAGUUACAAUGCGAUGAACAUAGCCAAAAUAAUUAGGGACUUGGGGAAAAAGAGAGAGGUCAACCCCUAGGGUUUCAGAUCUGGAUCCAUAUCUGGUCGCACGGGUUACGAGGUUUGCCGGAGAGGGACUUGAAGCUCGUCGGAGUUCGUCGGGGAAGAAGGCCGGGGCGAGGGUGGCCGGAGCGGGGCGCUGCUCGCCGGGGCCUUGGCUGGCGUGGAGGAGGUGCGUUGUCGGUGGCGAGGCCUCAGGGAGGCGGCGGCAGGCGGCGUCGGGUGGUGAGGCGAGGAGGCGCGGCGGCCGGCGACGAGGUGAAGCAGGGCGGCGGUCGGCGGACUUGGGCGGCGGAGUCGGGAAGACGAGGCGGCGCGUGCGGGAAGCCGGUCGGGUCGGUCGGGCGACGGGGAGGGCCGGCGCUGGGCCUUCAGGCCCGCGUCGGUGGCGGCGGUGAAGUGGGGCACCCGCUGCCACGUGGCACGCCCCGGUUGGCGGCGGCGGUUUUGUCCGGUGGGGGUCGGACGUGUCCGGCGGUGGCGGUGGAUGGAUCUAGGGUUAGGGGGAGAAUGGAACCGUGAAUUUUGGAGGGUGGUCUUUAAAUAGGCAUAGGAGGAGCUAGGUGAGUCCAAAUGAGGUGCGGUUUUCGGCCACGCGAUCGUGAUCGAACGCUCUAGAUGAUGGAGAAGGUUUUGGUGGGUUUUGGGCCAAAUUGGAGGGGUGUUGGGCUGCAACACACACGAGGCCUUUUCGAUCCCUCGGUUAACCGUUGGAGUAUCAAACGGAGUCCAAAUGGUACGAAACUUGACAGGCGGUCUACCGGUAGUAAACCAAGCCCGCUAGGCAAGUCUCGAUCCAAUCCGGAAAUGUUUAAUCCCCACACACGAAAGAAAGGUAGAAAUGACCACCGAAGGAGAACGAAGCACCGGGAUGCAAAACGGACAACGGGGAAAAUGCUCGGAUGCAUGAGAUGAACACGCAUGCAAAUGCAAUGCACAUGAUGACAUGAUAUGAGAUGCAUGACAACAACAACAACAACACAUGGAGACAAAAAACCUGAACCCGAGAAAAUAAAAUAACUUAACGCCGGAAACGGCAAGAGUUGGAAUACAUAAUGGGUAAAUCAUAUCCGGGGUGUUACAACACUCCACCACUACGAAAGGAUCUCGUCCUGAGAUCUAGGACUGAAAGAACGCCGGGUACUCAGAACGGAGGUGAUCCUCGCGUUCCCAGGUGGCUUCACGGUCGGAAUGGUGUGACCACUUGACUUUGAGGAAGUCUUGCAUUCAGUCUCUUCAAGAAUAGCAACGCGGUGCUCACGAUAAGAGAGAUCUUCUUGGAGCUCAAUGUCCUCGAAGUUGACGGUGCGGUCAGGAGUCUUGAAGCACUUGCGGAGCUGAGAGACAUGGAACACGUCAUGAACAUUUGCAAAGUUUGAAGGAAGCUCGAGUUGAUAAGCGAGAUCGCCUCUCUUGCUGACAAUCUUGAAAGGUCCCACGUAUCUGGGGGCAAGCUUCCCUUUGAUAGCAAAGCGACGAGUACCUUUCAUAGGAGAGACGUGGAGGUAAACAUGAUCUCUGAUCUCGAAAGCCAAAUCACGGUGCUUACUAUCAUAGUAGCUCUUCUGGCGCGAUUGGGCUACUUUGAGGUUAUCUCGAAUGACUUUGCACAUUUCCUCUACCUCUGUGAUUAAGUCAUUUCCCAAAAGCUGACACUCACCGGUUUCAGACCAGUUGAGAGGGGUACGGCACUUCCUACCAUAUAGAAUUUCAAAUGGGGCCUUGCCCGAACUUGCUUGAAAACUGUUGUUGUAUGAGAACUCAGCAUAUGGAAGACAAUCCUCACACUUCAUGCCGAAGGAGAUCACACAAGCCCUGAGCAUAUCGUCAAGAAUCUGGUUGACACGCUCGACUUGACCGCUAGUCUGACGGUGGAAAGUUGUGCUGAAGCGGAUGUUGGUACCCAUGGCCUUCUGAAAAGAAUCCCAAAACUUGGAGGUAAAGAUGCUGCCACGGUCUGAAGAGAUCACUUGUGGAAUACCGUGUAGAUAGACAAUCCGAGAGGUAUAGAGCUCCGCCAAUUGAGCUGCCGUGAUAGACUCUUUGAUAGGAAGAAAGUGAGCCACUUUGGUGAGUUUGUCGAUGACAACGAAUAUAGCAUCAUUGCCAUGCUUGGACUUUGGAAACCCAGUCACGAAGUCCAUCUCAAUGUGGUCAAACUUCCAUUCUGGAAUGGCAAGAGGUUGGAGGAGACCAGCUGGCCUUUGGUGUUCUGCCUUCACUCUUCUGCAGACAUCACAUUCAUUCACGAAUCGAGCAAUCUCGCGCUUCAUUCGAGUCCACCAAUAAGCCUGCUUGUGGUCCUGAUACAUCUUCGUGCUCCCAGGGUGGAUGGAGAGGAGAGAACUGUGAGCCUCGUUCGUGAUCACUUUACGAAGGUCACCUUUGGGCACAACAAUACGAUCCUCGAAGAAGAGAGUGUCCUUUUCAUCAAGGCGGUAGCACUUGUACUUGGGUUGACUCUUGGCAAUCCCAAUCUUCACCUUCUUCACCAUAGCAUCAAGAAGUUGGGCUUGGCGAAUCUGAUCUUCCAAGGUAGGAGAGACUUGAAGGUUGGCGAGGAAACCUUGAGGAACAACUUGCAGAUUAAGUUUGCGGAAAGCUUCACAAAGCUCGGGUUGAUAAGGCUUGACAAUCAGACUGUUGCAGUAAGCCUUCCUUCUCAAAGCGUCAGCAAUCACAUUAGCCUUGCUUGGAGUAUACUCGAUACUCGGAUUAUACUCUUGAAUCAUUUUGACCCAUCGAGUCUGCCUGAGGUUGAGAUUAGGCUGAGUGAAGAUGUACUUGAGACUCUUGUGGUCAGUGAAAAUGUCCACUUUUCUUCCCAAUAACAGAUGUCUCCAAGUCAAAAGAGCAUGCACAACUGCCGCCAACUUGAGGUCAUGAGUGGGGUAGUUCUUCUCAUUGGGCUUCAACUGGCGAGAGGUAUAAGCAACAACUUUCUUCUCUUGUAUCAAAACUGCACCAAGACCUUGGAGAGAUGCAUCACAAAAGACCUCAUACGGUUUGGAUUCAUCAGGGGGAGUCAGAACUGGAGCAGUGACCAAUUUCUCUUUCAAAGUGUUGAAAGCAAUGUCACACUCCAGAGACCAAACGUACUUGAUGUACUUCUGGAGAAGAAUAGAGAGAGGCUUCGCGAUCUUAGAAAAGUUCUCCACGAACCUUCUACAAUAGCUUGCGAGACCGAGGAAGCUACGGAGUUGCUUCACGUUCUGAGGAGGUUCCCAAUUCACAAUUGCAGACACCUGCUCAGGAUUCACCACAAUGCCCUUGGCAGAGAUGAUAUGACCAAGAUAAAGAACUUGGCGUGGAACUGGUGUUCCCUGAGCUUAUCAAGCAUCAAACGCAAAUGCUUGGCAUGAUCUUCCUUGUUCUUCGAGAAAACCAGAAUGUCGUCGAGAUAGACCAAAACGAAGUCAUUGGUGUAGGCGUUGAAGAUGAAGUUCAUCAUGCGAGAGAAAGUCGGAGGAGCGUUGAAGAGGACAAAAGACAUGACAGUGUAUUCAUAUGAACCAUAGCUUGUCCUGAAAGCCGUCUUGGGAAUAUCUUGUUCACGGAUUCGAAUCUGGUGAUAACCCAUACGGAGAUCAAGCUUGGAGAAUACUUGGGCACCUUUGAGUUGUUCGAACAGCUCAUUGAUGUUGGGAAGUGGGUACUUGUUCUUGAUAGUCUUCUUGUUCAAUGGAUGGUAAUCAACACAAAGUCGGUCCAUUCCAUCCUUCUUCUUCACAAAAAGAACACCACAACCCCACGGAGAAGAACUAGGUCGGAUGAGACCCAUUCUCUCUUGAAUAUCGAGUUGCUUCUUCAGCUCCUUCAACUCUUCAGGUCCGAGCUUGUAAGGACGUUUGCAAACAGGUUCCGUGCCAGGCUCAAGAUCGAUGAUGAAUUCAACUGGCCGAUGCGAAGGCAUUCCUGGAAGAUCUUCUGGAAAGACGUUUGAUAUUCGCAAACGACUGGAAUUUGCGAGAUGGCAUCCAGUUCACCCUUCUCAUUGAGAGAAAACAAAUGGAUGGUAUUAUCACGAGCGGCAAAGACAAUCACAUCCUCAGACGAAUGAGUUAAUUGAAUCUGCCUGGCUGCACAAUCAAGCUGAGCCUUGUGCUUAGAAAGCCAAUCCAUCCUGAGAAUAAGAUCAAUAUCCGAGUUACCACGGACCAUUGGAGAAGCUAGAAACUUGAAAUCAGCCAUCAUGAUAGAAAUAUCUGGGAACUCGUGGUUAGCGAGCAAACAUUUACCCGGAGAGACAACUGCUAACGGUUUAUGCAUAACUUGGGAAGUCAACUCAUGCUUAGAUGCAAAAGGUUUCGAGAUGAAGCAAUGCGAUGCACCAGUGUCAAAAGGAACAAUUGCGGGAACAUCGUUAACAGGAAGGUUACCCAUGAUGACAUCUGACGAGUCCUCUGCCUGGGCUGCAUUCAUCAACUUGACCUUGGCGUGCUUGGGGUUAUGCUUGACCACAGCUGUACUUGCCGAUCUCACAGGAGGAGGAGGAGGAAGACGCCUCUGAUUGAAGCAUUUGUUGGCAUAGUGACCCUUCUGUUGGCACUUGUUGCACGUGACCUCUGAAAGCGGACGGUGGUACAGAGCACUCGAUCUUGGAGCUUGAGACAAAGUCUUGUUCAGAAAGCCAGGGUUGGGUGGGUGGGAAGAUCCACUGCCACCUUUGCUCUUCUGAUACGACUGACGAAACGGAGGUGGAGCAAGCCAAUACUUCUGCUGCUUGGCCACUUGAGUAGAGGAAGACGGAGUAUCAUCCCGGACUCGCUUCUUGUAUGCAUCACACCUCAGUUGAGCAGCUCUUGCUUCAAUGCCAUGUUGUAGAAUUCGUCGUACCUCAAGGGCUCAAAAAGAACAAGAGCUAGCUGGAUUUCUUCUCUGAGACCACCCCUGAACUGGUAUAUCAUGCUCUUCUCAUCAGGGACGUCCUGCUUAGCAAAGCGGGCGAGCUUUUGGAACAACUUGUUGUAGUCAUAGACAGACAAAGAGCCUUGCUUCAGGUUGCGGAAGUCCUGACACUUGCUUUCAACCACGCUCUGAGGGAUAUGAUGAGCUUCUAAAUCUUGAUGGAAUUCAUCCCAGGUAAUCACACGUCCACCUCUAGAAUCCUUGUACUGCUGGAAUCACUCUGCAGCUUGGUCUUUGAUUUGGAAGGAAGCGAACUUGACAAAGUCCUCAGGCCCGACGUUACUACACUUGAAAUGCUUGCACAGAUCCACGAGCCAAUCGUCAGCAUCAGUUGCCUCAACACAAUUGCUGAAAGUCUUUGGCCCGUUAGCAAGGAAUUGGUUGAGUGUAGCAAAGUGAUUUUGAUUGUUGCCUUGGUUGCCUUGGUUCGCUUGAUUGUGCUCUUGAAGAAUUUGCAUGAUCAACUGCGUGUUUGCAUUGGUUGCGGCCAUCACAGCUUGCCAUGCCUCCGGAGGAGGUGGAGGUGGUGGCGGAUCAGGAUUCGGAGUCGUGCGCGUUGGAGGAGCCAUCCUGAAGAGGUUGACAUCCAUUAGCACAUUGAUAGACAAAUAUUGAAGCUGAAUCCAACGAAAUGAAAAUUGCAACGUAUAGUCUUCAUAUCCCAACAAAAUGAACGAAUGCAUUCCACUUGAAAUGGUCACAUAUCCAUAAAUUGAGAAGCCACUAGGAAUUUAGGUAGAGAAAUAAAUUAACAAGGUACGGAUCAAGAACGAAUACUCGAUAUGAAAUCCCAAUCUCAAACCAAAUAUCCGUAGAGGAACUAGAGCUACAAGAAUUCCCACUAUGAAACUCCCGAACCUUUCCGGUUAUGCAAUCAGGUGUUGGGGAUACAGGGGAAGCAUAAUAUCUCACCCAAAUCUAGCAAUUCCUACAUCCAGCUGUAUCCAUCCUUCAACACAUAACCGAGAAAAACUUUGGAAACCAUCUACCUCAACCUUCGAAAAGCAUCCGUUAUACAAGUUAUGGCAACACUCCCGAACUCCCGCCCCAGUACUGGACCUUAACAUGGCAAAGUAAAGCAUGGCAUGGAGCUACUCAAAGAGCUUAACAAAAGUCCCUUAGUGACCUUGAGCCAAAAGGGAUCAGAAAAUACAUUUGCAAGCAUGUGAACAUGGCAAAAACAUAAUCAGUUCUCAGACUUAGUGAAAACUGGGACAUGCAAAACAGAUAUCAAGUAGGCAUGUUUACGAGCUUGAUGCACUCACUACAGAGAAUAUCAUGACAAUCUAAGCAUACACCCAUCAAUAAAACACAAAAUACAAGCUAGACAUGGCAGGAACAAUAACAUAGCAUGCACGGAUCAACUACAACAACCUCGGCAAAAUCGCUAACAAGUAGACAAUAUGCCCAAAUUCACGAAAUGGCAAAAGUAGAGCUCGAUUGACUCAAGCUAGGUUGCUCAAUAAUUGCAAACAAAGACAUGGAUGGAUAGAGCACUACAAGAUUAACAAAUCAUACUUACUAAUCAUCCUCAAAAGAGGCACCAAUCACUAGGAAACAACAUGAACAUAUGGCAUAAUGAGAUAAACAGACCAAGUACUGUGGAAAUGCUAAGUCCCUGAAAUCAGCAUUAACAAGUGCACCACUUUGCAAGCUUGUGCUAGUCACCACACACAUCACAAAAAUACAUGGAUGGCACAACUGCAAAGAUGGCAAAACCUAUAACAAGACAUAUGUAGAGCUCAUGGGCAUAACAUGCACACAAUAAUCAUGGCAAAAAUGACAAAUAUCUAAAUGGUGCAGCAGAUCUGACAAUUAUCUCAACUAGCAUACUUCUAACAACAUUUCGGGCAUCAAGAUGAACUCGAAUGAAAAUGAUGCAAUGAGAUGAAAUGAUGUGCUCUCUGAGGCGAACAUUUUGAUAUGCUAUAUGCCCAAAACGGAGCUACGGAUGAGGAGUUACGACGCGAUGAACAUAGCCAAACUAAUUAGGGACUUGGGGGAAAAGAGAGAGGUCAACCCCUAGGGUUUCAGAUCUCGAUCUAGAUCUGGUCGCACAGGUUACGAGGUUCGCCGGAGAGGGACUUGAAGCUCGCCGGAGUUCGUCAGGGAAGAAGGCCGGGGCGAGGGUGGCCGGAGCGGGGCGCUGCUCGCCGGGGCCUUGGCCGGCGUGGAGGAGGCGCGUCGUCGGCGGCAAGGCCUCGGGGAGGCGGCGGCAGGCGGUGUCGGGCGAGGAGGCGAGGAGGCGCGGCGGCCGGCGAUGAGGUGAAGCAGGGCGGCGGUCGGCGGACAUGGGCGACGGAGUCAGGAAGACGAGGCGGCGCGUGCGGGAGGCCUGCCGGGCCGGUCGGGUGACGGGGAGGGCCGGCGCUGGGCCUUCGGUCCCGCGUCGGUGGCGGCGGUGAAGUGGGGCACCUGCUGCCACGUGGCGCGCCCCGGUUGGCGGCAGCGGUUUUGUCCAGUGGGGGUCGGACGUGUCCGGCGGCGGCGGUGGAUGGAUCUAGGGUUAGGGGGAGAAUGGAACCACGAAUUUCGGAGGGUGGUCUUUAAAUAGGCAUAGGAGGAGCUAGGAGAGUCCAAAUGAGGUGCGGUUUUCGGCCACGCGAUCGUGAUCGAACGCUCUAGAUGAUGGAGAAGGUUUUGGUGGGUUUUGGGCCAAAUUGGAGGGGUGUUGGGCUGCAACACACACGAGGCCUUUUCGGUCCCUCGGUUAACCGUUGGAGUAUCAAACGGAGUCCAAAUGGUACGAAACUUGACAGGCGGUCUAACCAAGGCCGCUUGGCAAGUCUCGGUCCAAUCCGGAAAUGUUUAAUCCCCACACACGAAAGAAAGGUAGAAAUGACCACCGAAGGAGAAUGAAGCGCCGGAAUGCAAAACGGACAACGGGGAAAAUGCUCGGGUGCAUGAGAUGAACACGUAUGCAAAUGCAAUGCACAUGAUGACAUGAUAUGAGAUGCAUGACAACAACAACAACACAUGGAGACAAAAAACCCGAACCCGAGAAAAUAAAAUAACUUAACGCCGGAAACGGCAAGAGUUGGAAUACAUAAUGGGUAAAUCAUAUCCGGGGUGUUACAGCGGCCUUGUUGGUGUGGGGCAAGUUGCCCCGGCAAGAAUCUUGCCGGGGCCAUGAAGGCCACCCCGACAAGGGCCUUGCCGUGUGAGUUUCACCUUGGCCCUAUGCUUCUUGUGCCUCCGGCUUGGCGCUCCUCUGGUAGUCUUGUGUCUUUGCUUCCUCCGCUCCGCCAAGCCUGGCCAUAGGUGUGUGGCUGUGACUGCCCGCGCACAAGUAAAGAGGUACAAAAGGGACCCCUACUUUUGUACACCGACAAGAGCCCCCGGGCCUGGGCCACAUACAAGCAUGGAGCGUUAUUGGGCCAGGCCCAGAAUGGUGCGCGGGCAUGCAUGCGGUGGAGUUUUACCAUAGUAACUCCCUCACUAGUGGCGCUUCCCCACGACCCGCAUUGAAUGCAUGAUGUGGGGGUCGCGCGUGGGGCAGUUUGUACACGCCCGCGUCACAUCAUGGUAAAUGAUAAAGUGACAGCCCGCGCCUUCCCCAUAAAAAGAGGAAAACGCAGGGGUGUGGCUCAUUUACCCCCUGUGCCUUCUCCAAUCUCGGAACCGCCGCUCCCUUCUUCCUCUUCAAGCUUUCGCCUUUGCUCGCCGCCAUCGCGCCCUCACUUCCCUUAAUCCUCCAUGCCCUCUCAGUUUCCAUGGUACGCAAGACGGGCAGAGGCAAAGGGGUGGCCAAGGACAUCGGGGAGAAAAAGGCGUCGGAGAGCGAGUUGGCGGUGUUGCGGACGCAGCACGCCUAUUUCCCCCCCAACGGUCGAUGCGGUCCACCUCAGGGACUACUUCAAGCCCCUGUGGGGGAGGAAGAUGAUGGGGCACUCUUCUACGCACAUCAUCCCUGCCGAUUUCGCCAAGGCUGGCCCAGAGCGGUACCCCUUCGUCGAUUACUUUUCUUGCAGGCUCUGCCCCCCUUUCUCUGAUUUCAUCAACGAAAUCAUGCAUACCUUCGGCUUUCACCUCCUCGACUUUGCGCCGAAUGCCAUGGCAUGCAUGGCCCUCUUCGCCCAUCUCUGCGAGGGAUUUGUUAGAGUGCUCCCCAGCAGGGCGCUCUUUCGCCACUACUUCUAUCCUCGCAUCCAGCCAGGGGACGCCAUUUCUAGGUGCAUCACCUGGACCCCGAGGACCCAGGAGAAGGGCACGUACCCGGAGGGUGCCCAGAAGGAGAGGUGGGACGAGUGGCGGGCUUGAUGGCUCUUGAUCAAGGAGAAGGAUCCGCAGGAGUUCUGCCAAGUUCGUCAGAGCCCGCCAACCCGCCGCAAGGACUAGAGCAACCUCGAUGUGAACGACAAGAAGCUCACGGUCGCCACCACCAGCAUCCAUCGCCUCACCAUGGCCUGGCUCACCCUUGAGAUGAUUAGGGCCUAUUUCAUUCGUCACCGAAUCGUUCCGCUGCACAGCAAGGGGAGGCCGGCCUGGGACUUCAGGAAUGCGGCCGAUGUCAUGAGGCUCCGGCCUAGCCUGAAGCAUAACUCAUGGUGCUGGGGCAUGCCAAUUUUUGCCAGAGGCUCUUCUAGCUCAAUGUGGAUGACAACGGUAGGGCUGAGAGGACCAGCAAGGCCGUCAAGGGGCCCUUGUUUGGGAUGCUGGCGGGAGUGGUCCCACUGAGCAACAACUCUCGCCAGUCCGCCAUAAUCGCCAUGAUGCCGGACUUCAACACGCACGGUGUUGACCCGGCCUGGGCUAAGCCAUCAGCAGAGAAAGUGCAGAAGUUUUUCAACAACUUAUCGGAAGGCUAUGUCUGCGACGAGCCGCUACUCAUCCGCGACACCACCAAGGAGGAGCUAGACUACAUCGCUGCCAGGGCGGCGGAAGCGGCGCUUGCCAAGGAGGUAGGCAGCGCCGGCGCCGUGGAGGAUGAGGCUGAUACAUCUCCAAUGUAUCUAAUUUUUAUUGUUCCAUCCUAUUAUAUUAUAUGUUUUGGAUGUUUAUGGGCUUUAUUAUGCACUUUUAUAUUAUUUUUGGGACUAACCUAUUAACCGAAUGCUUAGUGCAAAUUACUGUUUUUUUGCCUAUUUCAGUGUUUCGCAGAAAAGGAAUAUCAAACGGAAUCCAAACAGAAUGAAACCUUUGCGAGGAUCUUUUUUGGAACAAACGCAAUCUAGGAGUCUUUGAGUGAACGCCAAGGAAGCAGCGAGGCGGCCAUGAGGUAGGGCAGCGCGCCCCCACCAUCGUAGUCCCCUCGCAGCUCCACCGACCUACUUCUUUCGCCUAUAUAUACUCUUAUACCUUGAAAACAUCCGGGGGAGCCACGAAACCACUUUUCCACCGCCGCAACCUUCUGUAUCCGUGAGAUCCUAUCUGGGAACCUUUUCUGGCGAUCUGCCAGAGGGGGAUUCGAUCACGGAUGGCUUCUACAUGACCUCCAUAGCCUAUCCGAUGAUGUGUGAGUAGUUUCACACAGACCUUCGGGUCCAUAGUUAUUAUCUAGAUGGCUUCUUCUCUCUCUUUGGAUCUCAAUACAAAGUUCUCCUCGAUAUUCUUGGAGAUCUAUUCGAUGUAAUUCUUUUUGUGGUGUGUUUGCCGAGAUCUGAUGAAUUGUGGGUUUAUGAAUAAGAUUAUCUAUGAGCAAUAUUUGAUUCUUCGCUGAAUUCUUAUAUGCAUGAUUUGAUAUCUUUGCAAGUCUCUUCGAAUUAUCAGUUUGGUUUGGCCUACUAGAUUGAUAUUUCUUGCAAUGGGAGAAGUGCUUAGCUUUGGGUUCAAUCUUGCGGUGUCCUUUCCUAGUUACAGCAGGGCAGCAAGGCAUGUAUUGUAUUGUUACCAUUGAGGAUAAAAAUAUGGGGUUUAUAUCAUAUUCCUUGAGUUUAUCCCUCUACAUCAUGUCAUCUUGCCUAAUGUGUUACUCUGUUCUUUUGAACUAAAUACUCUAGAUGCAUGCUGGAUAGCGGUCAAUGUAUGGAGUAAUAGUAUUAGAUGCAGAAUCAUUUCGGUCUACUUGACACGGACGUGAUGCCUAUGUUCAUGAUCAUGCCUAGAUAUCAUCAUAACUAUGCACUUUUCUAUCAAUUGCCCGGCAGUAAUUUGUUCACCCACCGUAAUAUAUGCUAUCUUGAGAGAAGCCACUAGUGAAACCUAUGGCCCCCGGGCCUACUUUACAUCAUAUUAUUUUCCCGUAAACUAGCUAUUUUUGUGGCUGCUUAUUUUGCAAUCUUUACUUUUCAAUAUAUACAACAAAAAUACCAAAAAUGUUUAUCUUAUUUUCUCUAUCAGAUCUCACUUUUGUAAGUGACCGUGAAGGGAUUGACAACCCCUUUAUCGCUUUGGUUGCGAGGUUCUUGUUUGUUUGUGCAGGUACUAGGUAACUUGCGCUACUUUGCUACAUCACCCUUUCCUCUUCAAGGGAAAACCAACGCAUGCUCAAGAGGUAGCAAGAAGGAUUUCUGGCGCCGUUGCCGGGGAGAUCUACGCUAAGUCAAGGCAUACCAAGUACCCAUCACAAACUCUUAUCCCUCGCAUUACAUUAUUUGCCAUUUGCCUCUCAUUUUCCUCUCCCCCAUUUCACCCUUGACGUUUUAUUUGCCUCUUUUCCGUUUGCCCUUUUUCCAUUUGUCUCUUUUUGCUUGCCUCUCGUGUGUUUGUGUGUUAGAUCGUUUGUUUCAUCUUGAUGGCGAGCCCUUCUUCUCUUCCUUUGUCUCCCGAUUUUGAAAUUCUUCACUUCAAACAAAGACAAGGAGAAAACUUAAAGGAUGCUUGCUACCGGAUGAUAGAAUCCUGUCGUAAUUGCACUAUAGGGGGAAUUUCAAGAUUUUGCUUAGCAAUUUUUAUGUUGGGCAAACCAUGUCCCAUAGACAACUCUUGGACUUUUCUGCCAAAGGGAGUUUUAUUGACGUUGAUCCCAAUACUGCGUAUGAGAUUAUAUAGGGAAUAGUAGGAAUACUACCCCCACAAAAGGGACUCCAUCAUACUCAAGAGGGAACCCAAGUUGUUGAGAAAAUAUGCGAAGUGACUAAAAUUUUGCAAAAAUCUCUCGAACCCGUUAAAAAUUUUAGUGGGAACCUUCAUCGCAUGAAUAUGUUGAUCACUCUUUGUAAUAAGCGGUUGGAUGCUCUAGAUAUAAAGAUCUCCGGGUAUGAAGGGAAACGUAAGGAACCUCCCAAAUCCGAGCAAAACCCUAUUAAAAAGACCAAAGAUGAUAAUACCUAGAUCUAUUCUUGCUUUUAUGCCUAGCUCGGGGCGUUAAACGAUAGCGCUUGUUGGGAGGCAACCCAAUUUUAUUUUUGUUCCUUGCUUUUUGUUCCUGUUUAGUAAUAAUUAAAUCAUCCAUCUUCUAUUAUGAUUGUGUCUUUAAUGUUUUAAUUAGUGUUUGUGCCAAGUAAAGCCUUUAGGAUCUUCUUGGAUGAUUGUUAUUUGAUCUUGUUGGAAAAAACAGAAAGUACGCGCCCACGAGAAUAAUUUUCAUUUUUAACAAGAGAGUGAUAAAAUACUGAUUCCAACUGCAUUCGAUCAAUAUACAAAUUAUUUAGGAUGUCCUAAUUUAUCAUGAUUUUUGGAGUUACAGAAGUAUUCGAAACCUACAGAUUGCUACAGACUAUUCUGUUUUUGACAGAUUCUGUUUUUUGUGUGUUGUUUGCUUAUUUUGAUGAAUCUAUGACUAGUAUCGGGGGGUAUGAUCCAUAUAGAAGUUGGAAUACAGUGGGUUUAACACCAAUAUAAAUAAAGAAUGAGUUUAUUACAGUACCUUAAAGUGGUGGUUUGUUUUCUUAUACUAACGGAGCUCAUGAGAUUUUCUGUUCAGUUUUGUGUUGUGAAGUUUUCAAGUUUAUGGGUAAAUAUUUGAUGGAUUUCGGAACAAGGAGUGGCAAGAGCCUAAUCUUGGGGAUGCCCAAGGCACCCCAAUGUAAAAUUCAAGGACAACCAAAAGCCUAAUCUUGGAGAUGCCUGAGGGAGUCCUGGACCAAGGGGUCCUCGGGCGUCCGGUCUGUUAUUUAUGGGCCAGACUGAUGGGCCGUGAGGACAUGAAGGCCGUAGACUGCACCGUGUCCGGAUUGGACUCUACUUGGCGUGAAAGGCAAGCUUGGCGACUGAAGAUCCCUCCUUAUGUAACUGACUCCAUGUAAACCCUAGAUCCCCUUGGUGUCUAUAUAAACCGAAGGGGAUAGUCCGGAAAGGACCCCACAUAUAUUCAUUACCAUACCCACAUAGGCUAGACUUCUAGGGUUUUAGCCAUUACGAUCUCGUGCUAGAUCCACUCUUGUACCACUCAUAUUCAUCAAUAUCAAUCAAGCAGGAUGUAGGGUUUUACCUCCAUAGAGAGGGCCCAAACCUGGGUAAACAUUGUGUCCCACAUCUCCUGUUACCAUCGAUCCUAGACGCACAGUUCGGGACCCCCUACCCGAGAUCCGCCGGUUUUGACAACGACAUUGGUGCUUUCAUUGAGAGUUCCACUAUGCCGUCGACAAAAGGUCCGAUGGCCCCUUCAAUCGUCAAUAAUGAUACUGUCUAGGGAGGAAUCUUCCUCCCCGGACAGAUCUUCGUAUUCGGCGGCUUCGUACUGCAGGCCAACUCGCUUGGCCAUCUAGAGCAGAUCGACAGCUACGCCCCUGGCCAUCAAGUCGGAUUCGAUAGCUUGAAAUACGCCACAGACAUCCUCAGAGACCUGACCUUCUAGGGAUCAGAGCCCGCGGCGAUCGCUCCCCCUCAUCCCGAUGAACGUGACUUAAAUCUGUCAUCGGAUCACACCCAGGAGAUGUUUCCUGCGGCUGCAAUGACCUUAGGGCCGAAGCAUAUUGAGCCAUCCGAGGCCUUAGAGUCCGCGGCAUUGGAGCCGCACAUGGACUUGACGCCCUGCAAUAUUCGCUUCAACGGAACUUCGGACUCGUCUCCGGCUAUAAGUUCCGGACUGUGUACGCCCGCGGACACCGAGCUAGAUCGGUUAUCGAUCUUCAAGUUUAGCGCGGUUGACGUUUUCCAGCACUCUCCUUUGGGUGAUGUGAUAAAAUCUUUAAAGAAUUUGUCCUUGGAGAAGGACUCCUGGUCGAAGUAUGUACGGUUCGAGCUAGAGACGGAUGAUGAGGAAUUUUGUUUCCCACCCGCCACCCACUUCAUAGCCACGGUUGAUGACUUAACCGACGUGCUUGACUAUGACUCCGAAGACAUCAACGGCAUGGACGACGAUGCCGACAAGCAGCAAGUCCAAGACCCACCAUUCAUUGGAUGUUGGACGGCUACCUCUUCGUAUGGUGUGUACAUGGUUGAUACACCUAAUGGAUUUGGCGAUGUCAAAUAAGAGUCGGGUGCGAACAAAACCUCUGAGACACAGUCCAAGCGCCGGUGGCCCAAGCGCCGCCCUAAGCCCCAUCGCUCAAAGGACGACAACAUUGGCACCGGAGAAAAUAGUACUCCGGGCGACGCCCAAAACAGUAAAAACCCCGUUGGGGCUACAUCCGAACAGGAACACGACAGCAGGCAAGACAACACCGACGAACAUGCCAUAGAAGAUGACCCGGAGGAUGACAGUUACCAUCCAUCCUCCGAGGAGGAGACAAGCCUUUGCAACAAAGACUUCAUCAUGCCUGAGGAUCCUCUCACUACUAGAAAAACCCCUACUAAUGGCGCACCUAAUAUGGCCAUUAAUGGCGCAUCUGUGGUGCGCCAUUAAUAGCACGCCAUUAGUAAUUUUUACUAAUGGCGCACCACCUGGUGCGCCAUUAGUAUCUGGUAUACUAAUGGCGCACCGCGGGUGCGCCAUUAGUAUAGGCCAGCGUGCGCCAUUAGUAUGCCUCCCAGGGGCCAUGUAUACCCAGGUGCUUUGGCAUACUAAUGGCGCACCACCACUGGAUGCGCCAUUAGUAACUGCGGCAUACUAAUGGCGCACUACCCAGUGAUGCUCCAUUAGUAUGCACUGUCAUACUAAUGGCGCACUGUCAUGUGAUGCGCCAUUAGUAUGAAUAUUAGGUUUUUUAUUUUUUCAUUUUCUGUUUUUUGCACAGGUUACAAAAUGUAUAAUUUGACAAAAUAUAGACAGCACACAUCAACAACAGAUUCAUCGAAUACAAUAGAAGAUUAGUCUUUGAAUACAAUUCAUCAUAUUAGUCUCCGAAUACAAUUCAUCAUAUUAGUCUCCGAAUUAAAAAGACCGAACAAAGAUAGAACAUUAUAUUACAAGUCUCGAGACCGCGAGUAGCGAGUUUGUCUUCACAUUACAAGUCGAUAUCGAUCAUCUAAACUACCAUCACAUAGAAGAGAGCUACGGUCAUCACGAUGAGCAUCAUCACGAUGAAACUCGUCUUCAUCCGGUUCCUCCAACGCUCCCUCCCCUCUCCCGCUAGAUAGCGGGCGUAUCUAGAUUCGGCGUCGGCCCUAGUGGUGUACCCUUUGUAACUGUUACCGCUGAAUCGGUGAACCUGUCUCCGACACUCCUCCCAGUCAUCGUAGACUCCGGGAACCUUACCCUUGUACACGACAUACGUCGGCAUCGCUAUGCACUAGCCAAACGAAACGUUAGUACCAAUUCACAGACAAUACAUAAGCAAUAUAUAAUUAUGCAACAGAACAAUCGGAAGAGAAAAGCAAGACAUUAAUAGCAUCGAUUACAUCUAAGUUGAACGACUCUCGAAACCAAAGAGACAUACUACAAGUUCAUUAAAGUUUAAUUACAACAUGAGCCAAUCGAUGUUUCAGAACUAGACAACUCGACUCAAGGGACCGGAGCGUGGAUGAAGCCGCCGUCUAUCGUGGGAGUCAUGAAAGAACGGGCGUUGUCAUCCUGCAUUUGUAGCAUUGUGUCGACGUCACUGUUGGACGGUUGAUUUCUGAGGUAGAACUGCCCCGAGGUACGAAGGACAUCUUGAUGGAUGAUUUCCGCAAACUCCGACUGGAUGCGAAAGAAUUCUUGUCGGAGGUCCGUGUCCUGGAUUGCCGACACGCUCGUGGCCCAAUCUUUGAGUUUACUCGGUAGCAGAAGUUGAUGAUGGUCCCGUACGAUCGCCCGCAUGUGAUGGAUGGCGUAGUAGGCACCCUUCUGACCGCCAGGCGGCUGCUUGAUGCAGCAGAACGUCGUAUUGUGGGAGAACACGUGCUUGCCGUACUUACGAAUAGGCCUGGUGAAGGUGCCUCCAGAUUGGGCGUAGCCGGGGAGAACAUCAUCAAGAACCUUGUUGACAUUUGUGUAGUCUACGUUCGACUGACGGUCCGGGUCGAAAUACGUGGCCAUGGAAUAUUUGGGGCUUAGGAGGAUGAGCGUGCAACGUGUGUCACUGCAGAAAACACGGAAUGUUAAAAGAAAAACGAUCGAAAUGUAAGAAUUCAUAUGUUACGGGCCGGUUGAGGGGAGGACUUACUCGGGAAAGUAAGGCACGAGGAAGUUAUCCUUAUCUUGGUUUGCCAGAAUGACGCCUUUGAGGUAAGAACUCGCGACUUGCCGGUCCCCAGCGCUGCCCAAGAUCUUGGCACGCAUGUAGAAGGGGUCGACUAUCACGAUGUCCGGGGUCUUGUCGCGAAUGAUCCGCAUCUCCAUACUCAGCGAAAAUAGCCGAACGAAGGUGUAGUGCAGCGGAUGAAGGUUCAACAUAGCGUGGAUGUCAUCAAAACGCAGGACGAUCGUACGCCCGAUGGAGUUAUCCACAAAGCCCUUGCCCUCUGGCACCUUGGCCGCGAAAACCGGGUAUGCCACAUCCUUCUCCCUGAGACGCCGCUUCUCCAAAGCAAGAACACUGUCAUGUAGACUCCGCAUAGCACCGGUUGCAGCAUUGAGCAUAUUUGUCGGUAGCAUCGCCCUACCCGCCACAUGCACCCUCCUCGAGAUAUCCUGCGGUGAAGGUGGCCCGUCCUGAGCACGGAUCGUACUCGGUGCCGGCUGGCUCGCACCCGUCUUAGUCUUUCUUUUGCGUGCCUUCUUCUUCUCCUGUAAUGGGACCGAGUUCUGCUCACAGACCGCCUUCUUGAGUGUGUUGGGGCUGAUAAUAUUUCGCACCUCGCCUAUCUGAGGCUCGGUGAAGUCGGCAGCUGGAGGCGUCUCCUGAGAGCUGAACGCCAGACGGCGCCUGUUGCAACUUGGCUUCUCCGCGGUACGAGCUAGAUCACACACGUCUUUUGUUGGGUUUGGUUCUUGAGAAGGAGGCCCCAUGAAGUCGCCAUCGUACCCAUGCUCGGCAAAGUACUGAUCGACGUUGCCAAAUGUAUCAUCGUCGUCGUCGUCGUCGUUCUGAUCCUGUGCCAUAUGCAUGUUUGGAUCCAGUGGCAUAGGGAUGUCCGGCACCGUUACGGCGGUCUUGCCAUGGGGCCGACUUGGCGCCGGCACGACUGGCGGUGUUGUCUUUGGGGUGGUGUCCCCCGCCCCCAAAUGAAUCUGGCUCUUCGGCCAAAGCAGGGGCCAGCUCAGGCAGGCGCUGAGGGUCAUCAUGUCUUCAUCGUCGGCCCCGACGGGUCGAAUCGGAGGUAACAAGUCGUCGCAGCCUGGCAGCACCCGAACCAGUUGAACCCUAAACAAGUUGGGUGGCAUCUGGGUACCGUGGAACAAGGGGUUGCCCGGUUGAACGAUUUUGCCCUUGGCGACAUCGACCAACUCGUUGUUCACGAAGUGGAGGAGAGUGCACGGAACGUCGGCGGCGCCCUGCGAAAACAUGUAGGGCGUCAGGGAUGCCCAGUCAAAGGCAAGGAGAUGAAGUCCUCGGCCGAGAGAGGCUUAAUUAGUUACCGUGAUGAUGGCGUCGAGCUCGGCUAAUGUCGAGGCACCGCCAACGGCGGGCGUGUAGUUGACGGAGGGGCCGCUUGCUGAAGAGGUGCCGGCCGGCGUACACCCGGGUGCAUUAAGCUCCCGUGCCGGCGUCGGAGACACCAAUGCCGCCUCCGCCUGAGGCACCAAUGGCCCCGCCAUCGCAUUAUGCGAGUUGCUGGCCGUGAAGCUAGGAAUCGGGGGAGGCCCCUGUUGGCCGCCCGCAAUCCACGCACUCAACCCCGAGAUCAAGGUAGGCACAAGGGCAGUGAUCGUCGCUCCGAGUCGUUGUUCCACUUGCUCUUGGACAAUCUCCGGAAUCCGCGCCACCUGUGCCUUGAGUUCUUGAACCUCUCGCGCCUGGCUUUCCGAGCUGGUCUUUUUCUCCUUUCGCACACCAGCGGUAUAGUAUGACCCCCAUUUUGUCGACAAGCCUUUGCCGGCCACACGACCAGCUGACGUCGGCUUACUGAGCUUAUCCUUGUUCUUCAUUACAUUCAACCCCCUAUUUAGAGUGGUGUCCCAAGGGUUGCUCUUAGUCGACUCCGCGCUACUGCUUUCAGUCGCCUACGGAAGGAAUGUGAACCAUUUAGAAAUUUGGCUUCAUUAAUUAGAAUGCAACCAUAUGGAGCUAAUUACGCGGGGGUGUAUUCCUUACCAGAACAAGCUCAAGCGCCCUGGUCUUCGGAUCCGUGGUAAGCUCCUUUGUUAUCGGGUCCUCCUUGUACCGGGCCCUGACAUAGUUCCCAGUCUGCUUGUUACCGCUGUAUUUCUCGAAGCGGGGCGGUAGGCCUUGCUCGGCACGGUCCGCGUCCUCCUUGUCCCAUAUAGGCUCCGCCACUCUGUAACCGCCGGGAACGAGUGUGUGUUCCCCUAUGUUCAGCUCCCGCAUUUGUUUCCCCCACUCACUUGAUUGGGAGCUUGCGGUGCUCGAGCAAUUCAUCUUGAAGUCGUUGUAGUCAUCUUCGGUGAUCGAAGGAUUUUUCUCCUUGAUCUUCUGAUAACUCUCACCUUUCUCGAUCAAUCUCUUCACAUUGCUUUUCCAAGUAGAUAGGGCCUUGCUCAUCUUCGUGAGGGCAGCAUUGUUCACUUUAUUCCCUUUGAGGCUUGUGUUUUCAAAUUCAGCGGGGAACUUGUAUCGUUCGUGCAGCUUCGUGAAGAGGAGGUGGCGCAAAUUCCCUGGGUCAGGAUGCCUCAGGUUCUUGGUGUUGAUCGAGACGGUGCUCCGGACAAUGCACCUGAGCUGAAGCGAGUACCCCUUGACUAUUCGUUCGGGCGCCGUUGGAUUCCCGUUGGAGUCCACUUCAGUAACUUCCUCCUUGAGGGUGCGGAGCACGAUCGGGCGCCGGUCCUUCCGUUGCCUCUUCGGUUGGCUGCCCUCUGUGCGUGCGCCGCCAUCAUCAGUGGUGGCAUCCUCGGCGACACCAUCAGUGGUGGCAUCAGUGUGGUCAUCCUCGGCGGCACCAUCUGUGGUCUCAGGAUCGGUGGGGAAGGCGGCGGCCUCAUACAAGUGAGGUUGUUCCUCCAUCUCCUGGGACAGCUCCCAGAAUGCCUUGCCGCCCGAACCCCCGGCCUCAUCGUUAUGGGCCAUGUUUCUCUCUAAAUAGAAACAAAGUUUGGUCAAAAAGUUGGUUAUUGUCAAGGAACAAGAUCUCUAAGUUGACCAAAUAACCUAAUUCUCGAGGAAUGUCGCCAAAAAGUUGGUUAUUGUCAAGGAACAAUUGAGAGAUGUUUGUGAUAUUGCCUAGGUGUUUUGGGAUAGAACCUGUUAGUGUGUUGUUUCUAAGGUCCAAGUCCACGUUCUCAGGGCAACCUAGUUCUUGAGGGGUGUGUCUAGAAAGUUGGUUGCUGCAAAGAUACAAGGUUGUGAGUUUGGUCAAAUUGCCUAUGAUGUUUGUGAUAUUGCCUUGGAUCUUGAAGGCACUGUUGCAUGAUGCAGUGGUACAGCCAGCAUGGGACCUCAUCUUUGCAGGCUAAUUUUCUAGAUUGUAACACUGGGAUUUGUGCACAAGCUAAGCUAGCUAAGACAGUAGCUUCCUUGCAACCCACAAAAGACAAAGGAAAAGGGGUGAAAAGGGGGAGAUGGUUAGCUUUGAUGAGCAGGCAACAUCUUCCUAACCCACUUCUUCUUGUCUCCUCUCACUAUCUCUCUCACACACAUGGCAAGCAAGGGUGUCUGAGUGUGUGAAAAAAAUACUAAACUAAUCCAACCACUAAAGCAAAUUAAUUUUUAUUUCGGUUGAGAAUCGGGCACCUUCUAGGUUAAGAAAAUUGGGCAUGACCUUUGCUAAUUUUCUUGACCUUGGAGUGCCCCAUUUCUCAACCGAAACGGAAAUUAAUCAACGUUUCACGAGAAAGGGGUCAUUUUAGAAGAUCACAAGUAGCAGCAGCAUCACUUGACAAAAUCACAACUAGCAGCAGCAGCUCGCAGAUAGCAGCAGCAGCAUCACUUGACAAGUAGUACAGCAGCAGCAGCAGCAUGCAUGCACUGGUCCAUGGCACAAAGUAGUACAGCAGCAGCAGCAGCAGUUGCAUAAAUUGAAAAAAAAUUGAUCUGUGUGAUCUGGGUUACAUUAUCAGCAACCUUGCAUUUCAUUUUAUACAAAGGAGCUCACAAAGGCCAUGUCAUGCUUCGCAAUAUUUGUUUACUGAAACUAAAUGAACAAGAGCAAAGAUGCACUAAAGGUUCUGCUGGACAUGCUUUAUGUCUAACACUCCUAUGUUUAAGAUAUGCAUAACAUUCAAUCUGGAUCAAUCUCACACUAUGAACAUAGGAAAAAUUAUCACACCCUUUUGAGUGAAUCGAACCACAACAACAAAUCAAAUCUGGGGCUCACAUGAGGAGUAAGACGACGCUUGGGCUUGUCGGAGUCUUUCUUGGCCUUGCUCUUCUUCACCACAAGUCUGCAUCACCACAGAAACAAUAGCAGAAAAGCGAAUCAGAACCCAACAUGAAACAACAUCAGGAAAACUAAAGCAGAACAACCACCGGAAAUGAGUCCAUCACCUAAAACCAAGCAGAUGAUAACAUUGAGUAAGAAAGACUGAUGAGAUGUGCUGGUUUACCUAAAACCAUUUCCUUGAUAACACUCAUUUCCGUCUAAGGUGAAAUAAACAUAUGCAUGCCAAGGUGAAAUAGUACAAAGAAAGCACUCAUCAGGUAGCAGUGCAUACAAAAUCCCUGUUUUACUAGUAGCAAAUACUUUGUGUGUUAGCAGUAGUAAAAACUAUACAAAAUCCUUGUUUUACUAGUAGCAAAUACUCUAUGUUAGCAGUAGUAAAAACUCAUGGAGUACCAAAUUCAAAUAAAAAAAUGUUGUAGCUAACAGAAGUAUGGAAAUGUUGUUAACAACUCGAGUCAGAAAAGGUAGGAGUCUCUUAAGAGAGACACAACUGAUACUGAUCAAAUAUAAUAACAUAGCAGAAAAAUAGGUAGGUACAUUGACUUCUUUAAAGACAAUAAGCAGGACCAACAGAUUCACAUGUUACAUCAGUAUGAAGUUACAAUGGCAGAUGCCAGGUGUGAAAAGGAUAUGGCAAAAAAAUUAUGCUCAGAACAGAUGAUAUGCAGAUUGGGCCGGGGGAAGCAGAGUUAGCCAUAUUCAAAAAUGAAAAAAUAGUAAAUGGUCUACCUACAGUAUUAUCCUUCCAGCAUGAAGAUGUGAGUACAUACUAAGUAGCAUCGGCACAAGAUAAACAGAAAUGAACAAUCCAAAAGAUGCAGUAUGAGUAUGUACAUUACAAGGAACAGUUUUUUGCAUUGACAACAGAAGCUAUGCUCACAAAUUUGUAUUGUAGGUACAGGAAAUGUGCCAGAAAUCAUAUAAGCAUACCCAAUUACACACAUGGUACUUAGAUCACACUGUCAAUUCAUACUACACGAGUCACUCUUAUGAGAUAAUGGCAUGCAGCUGUAUGCAGCUACUUGACCAUUACAAUUUAGGCCUAGUUUGGCAGCGCAGUUUUUAAAAUACUGUAGUAUUUCAAAACAUCAAUAUUGCAAUGCAUGUGCAAUGAAUACUACAGUUUUUAAAAAGCUGCAAUUUUCUCAGCUUUAGAAAAACUACCGAUAUGUUUGGUUGGUGUUGUUUUACUGUAGUUUUGACCAAUAGUUACACAACUUUAAUCUAGCUUCAUACACCUACCGAGCUACACGACCAGAUCACCAAUGACCACCCGGCUGCAUGCAACGUUGUAUGAUCUUUUCUAGGAAGUUGGAGACUUGAUCGGCCGUAGCUAAUUACAAAGAAUAUGAAUCAGUAUCCUGGUGGUGCAUGCCUUGGAGAGGAAUGAAUCAAUACUAUGAAACCAUACUGCAGUAUGGCUAGUUAUGGUUACAGACCAAGAUGUAUGGUAGUCAACGAGUGGAUGACACGAACGAGUUUUCCUCAGUUUGAGAAAAAAGAGGUCCGAACCUCUUUUUUUAAUACUCCAAAAAAACCACAGUAUCAAUAAUAUCUCUGUUUAUGAAGCUACAGUUUUUGGUAUAGCCAAACACCUCUAAGUAUUCUAAACUACAGUUUUUCAAAAAACUGUGGUAUUCUAGUAAUACUUUGAAAAUACUUUGCAUCCAAAUGGGGCCUUAUACUACACGAGUCACUCUUAUAUAAUAUAAUUGAACAAAACACUGCCAUGCAUUUACUGGACUAUGACCAGGUGCAAGUUGAUGAGAAUCAUCAUGCUGAAACUGAUACAACCACAUCAUAUCCUUCUAACAUUCCUAGUUCACACAGAAAACACUUCACCAACAACACAUAAUUGCAAUCUGGAUCAAUCUCACACUAUGAACAUAUGGAGAUGGGAUGGGAGGAGGGAAGGGGAUAGGGGUCGGGGCGGUAGCUUGCCUUGGAGGAGCGGGCCGGGGUGGAGGAGGCGGUCAGAGAGGAUAAGGAUGCUCCGGCGACGGGUGGUGGUGGUGGUGCUCCGGCGACGGUGGUGUGGACGGGGCGGCGUCCGGGCGGCGGGGUCGCGUCGAGGCGGCGGGGCAGCGUCGAGGUGGCGGGGCAGCGNNNNNNNNNNNNNNNNNNNNNNNNNNNNNNNNNNNNNNNNNNNNNNNNNNNNNNNNNNNNNNNNNNNNNNNNNNNNNNNNNNNNNNNNNNNNNNNNNNNNNNNNNNNNNNNNNNNNNNNNNNNNNNNNNNNNNNNNNNNNNNNNNNNNNNNNNNNNNNNNNNNNNNNNNNNNNNNNNNNNNNNNNNNNNNNNNNNNNNNNNNNNNNNNNNNNNNNNNNNNNNNNNNNNNNNNNNNNNNNNNNNNNNNNNNNNNNNNNNNNNNNNNNNNNNNNNNNNNNNNNNNNNNNNNNNNNNNNNNNNNNNNNNNNNNNNNNNNNNNNNNNNNNNNNNNNNNNNNNNNNNNNNNNNNNNNNNNNNNNNNNNNNNNNNNNNNNNNNNNNNNNNNNNNNNNNNNNNNNNNNNNNNNNNNNNNNNNNNNNNNNNNNNNNNNNNNNNNNNNNNNNNNNNNNNNNNNNNNNNNNNNNNNNNNNNNNNNNNNNNNNNNNNNNNNNNNNNNNNNNNNNNNNNNNNNNNNNNNNNNNNNNNNNNNNNNNNNNNNNNNNNNNNNNNNNNNNNNNNNNNNNNNNNNNNNNNNNNNNNNNNNNNNNNNNNNNNNNNNNNNNNNNNNNNNNNNNNNNNNNNNNNNNNNNNNNNNNNNNNNNNNNNNNNNNNNNNNNNNNNNNNNNNNNNNNNNNNNNNNNNNNNNNNNNNNNNNNNNNNNNNNNNNNNNNNNNNNNNNNNNNNNNNNNNNNNNNNNNNNNNNNNNNNNNNNNNNNNNNNNNNNNNNNNNNNNNNNNNNNNNNNNNNNNNNNNNNNNNNNNNNNNNNNNNNNNNNNNNNNNNNNNNNNNNNNNNNNNNNNNNNNNNNNNNNNNNNNNNNNNNNNNNNNNNNNNNNNNNNNNNNNNNNNNNNNNNNNNNNNNNNNNNNNNNNNNNNNNNNNNNNNNNNNNNNNNNNNNNNNNNNNNNNNNNNNNNNNNNNNNNNNNNNNNNNNNNNNNNNNNNNNNNNNNNNNNNNNNNNNNNNNNNNNNNNNNNNNNNNNNNNNNNNNNNNNNNNNNNNNNNNNNNNNNNNNNNNNNNNNNNNNNNNNNNNNNNNNNNNNNNNNNNNNNNNNNNNNNNNNNNNNNNNNNNNNNNNNNNNNNNNNNNNNNNNNNNNNNNNNNNNNNNNNNNNNNNNNNNNNNNNNNNNNNNNNNNNNNNNNNNNNNNNNNNNNNNNNNNNNNNNNNNNNNNNNNNNNNNNNNNNNNNNNNNNNNNNNNNNNNNNNNNNNNNNNNNNNNNNNNNNNNNNNNNNNNNNNNNNNNNNNNNNNNNNNNNNNNNNNNNNNNNNNNNNNNNNNNNNNNNNNNNNNNNNNNNNNNNNNNNNNNNUUUUAUAAGACAGUAGCAUUUAAAAAGCUGUUUGAUACUUAUUUUUUUAUAAGACGGUGCGCGGGGUGCGGGGGGGCGGCGGCGGCGUUUGAGUAGGGGAAUCGAGGGUGCGGGGGGUCGGCGGCGGCGGCCGGUGGACUGGGGGGGUGCUCGGCGGCGAGGGGGACCGGAUCUGGCGAGGUGGGAUAGCGAUUGAGAUGGAGGGGGUCGGGAUCGAGAUCGAGUGUCCAUGAAAUUUAAAAAUAUUCAUGAUAGUUCAAAAAGUACCCAUGAAAUACAAUCGAGAAAUGAAGGCUACGAUUUAAAUACAAUCGAUCUUAGCUAGCUAUCUGUUCACAAUCUUCUUGCCCUUCUUUUUCGCAAAUGGAGUUCUUCUGUGGAACGGACGUCCUUUAGGUAGGGUGGUCCUGCUUCUUCUUGUGGUGUAUGCUGCUACUUCAUCAUCGUCGUCAUGUUCGAUCCUCGGGUCGCCGUACUUGUCGAAGUCUUGCUCAUUGGCUACUCCAUCCAUUCCGAUGAUCUUCCUUUUGCCUCUCCUCACGACAACACGACUGGGCUUUGGCGGGUCGGUAAUGAAGAAGCAUUGGUCCACUUGGGAAGCCAGUACCCAUGGCUCAUUUUUCGCGGUGACGUUUGCGCCCGCGGUCUUGGAUUUGGCUUCGGGUAUAACCAUGGUGGUGAAAUACCGGUCUUCUUUGAUGACGUUCUUGGCCCAUCUAACACGGAACAUCGGGACCUUCUCUCCAGCGUAGCUCAGCUCCCAGAUCUCCUCGAUCCUUCCGUAGUAUCUGUCCUUCUCGUUACCGGUGUAGGAUUCCAUCGUUACCCCGGAGUUCUGAUAACCAUCGCUCUUCAUGUCCUUGGCCUCGGUGUAGAAUGUGUAGCCGUUGAUACCGUACGCCUCAUAGGUCAUCAGGUUGUGCUCGGCGCCCUGUGACAAGGCUAAUAUGAGUUGUUCUUCCGUGGAAGAAUCCUCAUGUAAAGGGUACGACAGAAGCUUCUGCUUGAACCAACGUGUGAAACAUGAGUUGUGCUCUUUGAGUAUAUCUCCGUCCGUCCUCUGUUGGCCUCGGUCAUUGUACGUCUUCUUAAUAAAGGUUUUGUGCUCUACCACCCAAGGAUCGACCAUGUCUAUGUGUUGUAGCGCGACUAGGUUUGCUCUUUCAAAGUCGGCGAGUCGACCCUCGAAGUCGACAUGCAUUUCGCGGCGACCCUCACGGUGACCCCAUCCAGCGAGCCUGCCGAGGUGCCUGUUGACGGGCAGACCAACGGGGUUCUCGCUGCCUAGAUAAUUCGUGCAGUAGGAGAUGCACUCUUCGGUCAGAAAGCCCCUGGCUAUGCUUCCUUCUGGACGUGACAUGUUGCGAACGUAUCCUUUGAUGACACCAUUCAUCCUUUCGAACGGCAUCAUGCUGUGCAGGAACGGCGGCCCGAGUUGGAUGAUAUCCUCCACUAUAUGGACCAGCAGAUGCACCAUAACGUCGAAGAAUGCGGGCGGGAAGUACAUCUCAAGCUCGCAUAGUAUCACCACGAUCUCUUCCUGUAGCCUUCUGAGUUGCCUCACGCCAAUCGACUUCUGAGAGAUGACGUCGAAGAAGUUGCAUAGGCCAAAUAGCGUUUCACGGACGUGCGCGUCCAUGAUCCCACGGAUUGCAACUGGAAGUAUCUGCGUCAUCAGCACGUGACAGUCGUGAGACUUCAUCCCGCUGAACUUCUGCUUCGCUGGGUCUAGGUAUCUGCUUAUCUUCCUCGCGUAACCGUAAGGAAGUUUUACUCCUAGGAGGCAGGUGAAAAACUGCUCGAUCUCCUCCUGACUUAGAGUGAAGCACGCGGGAGGGUAGUCAUUUCCGGUCUUCUUGGCCUUUUUGCCUUUGCGACGACUUUCUGUGUCCUGCUUCGCCUCAUCAUCAUCAUCAUCAUCAUCAUCAUCAUCAUCAUCAUCAUCAUCAUAUAUAGCGUGAAGCUCCUGCCUGAUGCCCAUUGAUUUCAAGUCUGCCCUUGCUUUCGGCCCAUCUUUGGUCCUCUCUGGCAUGUUGAGCAGGGUACCAAGCAGACUCUCGCACACGUUCUUCGUGAUAUGCAUGACAUCAAAGCUGUGAGGCACAUGGUGGAUCUUCCAGCACGGCAAGUCCCAGAAAACAGACCUCGUUUUCCAUACCUUCAGCAGCGGCUCUGGCGCCUUUCGCUUCUUUCCCGGCUCUGGCGCCUUUUGCUUCUUUCCCGGCAGUGGGCAGUCUUUCCAAUUUUUCAACAGCUUGUCUAUUUCCUCGCCGCUCCUCGUACACGGGCGUUUUCGGGGUUCGGUUUCACCAUCGAACAGAUCCUUGCGUUUCCUCCACGGGUCAUCGUCGCGAAGCCACCUUCGAUGUCCCAUAAACACGGUUUUCGAAGACCCGGGAUCUCUAUCUAGCUGGCGAUACGUUGUGUCAUCCAUGCACCUUACACAUCCAGAAAAUCCAUGGACUACCUGCCCCGCAAGAUAUCCGUAACCGAGAUAGUCGUGCACCUUCGUGAGCAGUGCGGCUCUCAUAGGGAAAUAUUAUUUCUCUGCGGCGUCCCGCGUAUUGGCUGGCAUUUUCCAUAGCGUGUCAAGCUCCUCUUUCAGCAGCCCGAGAUACAGAUUGAUGUCGUUCCCUGGUUGUUUCAGCCCUUCAAUUAGCAUACUCAUGUGAAUGUACUUCCUCUUCAUGCACAACCAGGGGGGAAGGUUGUACAUCCACACAAACACAGGCCAGGUGCUAUGUGUGCUUCUCUGGCUGCCAAACGGAUUGACUCCAUCGGUGCUCGCGCCCAGCACGAUGUUCCUUGGAUCGUUCCCAAAUUCUGGGUUUUCGAAGUUCAACACUUGCCACUGGCUCGCAUCCUAAGGGUGACUCAGCAUCUUGUCUUUUUUAUCUAUCUCCGGAUCAUUUGCGUCAUCUUCUCGCUUCUUCUCCUCCCUAUCCGCGUGCCAACGCAGGAGCUUUGCUACCUUAGGAUCCGCGAAAUACCGCUGCAGACGAGGAGUGAUCGGAAAGUACCACACCACUUUUCGAGGAGCUUUCUUCCUCUUCUUGUAUCGAGUGACACCGCACACCGGACAUAUGGUAGACUCCGCGUGCUCGUCCCGAUAAAUGAUGCAAUUGUUCAUGCACACAUGGUAUUUCACGUGCGGUAAAUCCAGAGGACACACGAUUUUCUUCGCCUCCUCCAAACUGGUCGGGCACUUGUUCCCCUUGGGAAGACGUUCGUGCCAGAAUGACAUGUUCUCGUCGAAGCAUGCGUCGGUCAUUUUGUGUUUUACCUUCAUCUCCAGAGCCAUGAGCGUUACUUUCAGGCGGGUAUCCUCGGCCUGCAUCCUUCAUACAAUGGAGUAACCGCGUCUAACUCAAGUUGAUCCAUCUUGGCUUUCUCUCGGGCGGCAGCUCUUGCGUUAUCCGUCUGCUUGAGAAGCAGCUCUUGAAUAUGAGGGUCCUGCACCCAGCCCAUCGAUGGUCCAGCGUCGUCUGCUCCGCCGGCAUCAUCAUCAUGUCCUGCAUCUUCUACAUGAUGACUGUGUACAGCAUCACCGUCGUGAUCAUCUCCUGGGGAUUCUUCGUCUUCUCGCCCCCCCGAGCCGCGGUGGUUGUCUUGCUGCCCUUCCUCAUUUCUUGCCCGGCCCCCAUGGACGACUUCGUAGUCAUCUUCAUCACCUUGCCACCGAUAGCCAUCCAUGAAACCACGCAAGAGCAGGUGGUCCCGCACCUGCCCGGAAUCCGGGUCCGCAAUAAGGCUAUUCAGCUUGCAUCUUCGACACAGACAUCUUAUCUCCGUCUCGUUCUUUUGAAGCAUCUCGGCCUUUGCGGACCUCAAAAACCUAUUCACGAUGCCUUCGGUCAUCGUGCGGACCAUGGUCGCCUGUGGGGUAGAGCAAAAUGAUAUUUUAGAACCAAGAAAAAAUUUGGCAUGACUUUCCCUAAAAAUAGGACCAAAAAGAAUGCUUAAUGCCAAAAUUCACGCCGAAACGGAAAUGAAUCAACAUUCUGGCAAAAUAUUGGCAACUAUCGCAUUUCAAAUACCGGUACACCUCCAAACACAAACACAUAUGCAACACCACAAACAUAUGCAACACCACGAACAUACAUAGAUCUAGCUAGGCCAUAAAAAGUGCAUGUGCACAUUGUUGUAGGGAGAACAACAUAAAUAUAGCUUCCCCCCUUACUUACCUAGCAAAACAAGGUAACUUAACCACUUAAUUUGAAUGAAUCUAUGGUGGAAAUGAGGUGAAAAAGAGGAGGCACCCGAGACAAGGAGGAGGCGGUGGAGAGAAUGAAGUGGGGAGAAAGUGAGUGUGGGAGGAGAGGCUGUCCAAAAUAUCUUGUUGCUGCCCACUUACUAAUGGCGCACCAACAACAAAUGCGCCAUUAGUAAUCCAGGUUACUAAUGGCGCACCCCCUGGUGGUGCGCCAUUAGAACUUUUGCAAAAAAAGGAAUAAAAGCAAUAAUAAAAAAAAUAACAUUAGUGGCGCACCUUCUGGCUGGUGCGCCAUUACUAGUUACAACUAGUAAUGGCGCACCACCAGGGGAUGCGCCAUUAGUAUGUUUGGACAGGCGCACUAGUUCAAAAAAAUUUGGUACUAAUGGCGCACCGUGGUCAGGGUGCGCCAUUAGUAGUUUCAACACUAAUGGCGCAUCAGAAGGUGGUGCGCCAUUAGUAUAUACUAAUGGCGCACCACUUGUCUGGUGCGCCAUUAGUGUCAUUUCCAUCUAUAGCCCUUUUCCUAGUAGUGUCUCGAGCAGGAGCACUUCAAGCUUCAACUCAUAGCCACUGCAAGGAGCCUGAAAAGGAAACAACAGAAGCUUCAAGCUGAACAAGACCUACUCAUCGACAGAUGGACUGACGUCCUGGCAGCCGAGGAAUACGGCCUCAAUUGCCCAGCCAAGAGCUACCCGAAACGUAGACUGCUACCUCAAUUCAAUGAGGAGGUGCCGGAGCAUAUAUCUCCCUCGCGCAAUGCGGAUCGACCACCACGCGGCCGGGAUAGGGCGGUGGAACAGCCAACCCGCGGUCGAGAUAAAGCGUCAACGCAGGCAGAACAGCAGACCGCCCCACCACCCCAUCAAAAUAGGGAGGGAAGAUUCCGGGGCCAUACAUACGACCUCCGACAGACCCUGGAUAGUAGAGCAGGACACACAAGAUCGAUCUACGGAUCACGAGGAUGUGCCUCUAGGCGCGACGACGGCUACGUAUUCGGACGUGACAAACCUAACCAAGCUCGAUCCGAAUGCCGCAGACGGACUCCUUCAGAGCUCCGCCACGAUGCGACCCAAUAUAGAGGCGCCGCACAACCACUCCGCUUCAUAGAUGAAGUACUGGAUCAUGAAUUCCCCGAGGGGUUCAAGCCCGUCAAUAUCGAAUCAUACGACGGCACAACCAAUCCUGCAGUAUGGAUCGAGGACAUCAUCCUCCACAUCCACAUGGCCCGAGGAGACGACCUCCACGCCAUCAAAUACCUCCCAUUAAAACUGAAAGGACCAGCUAGGCACUGGUUGAAUAGCCUGCCUGAGAACUCAGUCGGUAGCCUGGAAGAGGCUUUCCUCGAGAACUUUCAAGGAACUUAUGUCCGGCCACCAGAUGUCGAUGACCUAAGCCACAUAGUCCAACAACUCGGAGAAUCGGCCAGAAAAUUCUCGACUAGGUUCCUAUCCAAAAAGAACCAGAUUGUCGACUAUUUGGACGUCGAGGCCCUAGCAGCCUUCAAACAAAGCAUCUGGGAUGAAAGGCUAGCACGCCAUCUCGGACAAGAAAAGCCGAAGUCAAUGGCAGCCCUUACGAUACUCAUGACCCGCUUUUUCCCAGGCGAGGAUAGCUGGCUGGCUCGUAGCAAAGCUACAUCCAGCGAGGCAGGCCCUACAGAGGUCAAGAACAGCACCGGCAAGCUCCGGUGCAAUAGACACAAACAUAGAAGCAAUGGCGACAACACCGAAGACACCACAGUCAACGCCGGAUUCAGUGGCUCCACGUCCGGCCAACGGAAGAAACCCUAUAAAAGAAAUAAUGACGGACCUUCCAGCAUGGACCACAUACUCGACCGCCCGUGCCAAAUUCACGGCACCCUGGAUAAACAAGUCAAUCAUAACAACAAGGAUUGUUGGGUCUUCAAGGAGGCUGGUAAGUUAAAUGCCGAAAACAAAGAAAACGGGUCACAAAGCGAGGACAAGGAUGAAGAGGCCCGGCAACCGAACACCGGGGGAUAGAAGAAAUCCCCCCCCCCCCCAAGUUAAAAUGGUGAACAUGAUAUAAACCACGCACAUCCCCAGAAAGGAGCGCAAACAAGCACUCAGGGACGUCUAGGCGGUAGAACCAGUCGCCCCAAAGUUCAAUCCGUGGUCAUCAUUUCCGAUCACCUUCGAUCGACGAGAUCAUCCGACUAGUAUCCGCCAUGGCGGUUCGACCACACUAGUCCUAGACCCAAUCAUCGACGGAUUCCACCUAACACGAGUCCUGAUGGAUGGUGGAAGCAACCUCAACCUGUUGUAUCAGGAUACAGUAUGGAAGAUGGGCAUUAAUCCCUCGCGGAUCAAACCAACAAAGACUACCUUUAAAGGAGUCAUACCAGGUGUAGAGGCCCGCUGUACGGGCUCAAUCAUGCUGGAGGUGUUCUUCGGUUCCCCGGACAACUUCCGAAGCGAAGAGUUAAUCUUUGAUAUCGUCCCCUUCCACAGCGGCUACCAUGCACUACUUAGGCGAACCGCAUUUGCUAGAUUUAAUGCAGCGCCACACUAUGCUUACCUUAAGAUCGAGAAGUACAGUCCACAAGGUGUCAUACCAGUCAAUGGCAAUACAAAACGCUCCCUCCGAACAGAGGAGCAGACCACCGCCCUAGCAGCAGAAGCAUAGAGCAGCCUUCUCAAGCAGCAUUAUAACCCAACUGCCGAACCCCUGGACACCAUCAAGCGGGUCCGUACUACACUGCAGCAGGACAAUGCGGCUCAUCAAGAGUUCGACUAGCAAUUUAGCCUUCGUCCCAGCCCUAAUAAGGUAGUGGCAUUUGUACCACGCGUACACAAUUACGCACUCAAAAUUCCAUGGACAUCGACGGAGGCACGAGAUACCCGGGGUCCGCAAUCCGGCCAAACCAAUCCCGGACACGCAUACUUUUACUUCUUUUUCUUGUUUCAGGCACCCUUUUCUGCGGGUCUGAUGUCAAGUACUUUAGAAGGACUGAAAUACAACGGAGGCAAGCAACACAGGUGUGUAGGGUAACCUUUAUACGUUCUUCUUGACGGUAUUCACACUUACUUCUCAGGACCCGCACGCUGCGCCCUAUUGAUGCCGGCAUGUUAAAUGGUUAGAUACUUCUCACACCAUCUGGACAAGAUAAGCCUUGACGUAUCCGUCCAGUUAUAAUAAAAUGGUUCGUGGCCCAGUUCCUGUGGUUUUCGCUUCUUACUUCAUUUUCAUUUUCGAUCUGCUUAUUUGCUGCAUCGACACUCUUUUACAUUUAAUAUUCCCAGGGGCUACCUUUCGCCCCACAAUAUGGCAGCAUAGUCCGAACACUUUUUAUAUAUGUUCGGCACCCCGAAUUUAGCAUUAUAUGCAUUAGCUCUGAAUCAUGUCUUUGGUUAAUAGUUGGGUUACCCGGCUCCUGUGCUUGCUACCCUACGUUCCACUCCAUCGGCUAGGGUAGUAAAGGGAGAACUACUGCGAUUGUGCCCUUGCUUCGACCAGACGAGCACCUUAGUAGAGAAAGCCGAAAACUGACUGUCAUGAUGUGGCGAGAGCCGGUCAGCUACUCGAGGGUUACAAAUCGUUGGAUAUUUUUUCCGUGUUACGUGAGAGAUCGGAACUUCUCGAUCAUAUGCCGACAGUACUCUGGAUUAAACCAGGGGCUGCGCCCAUGCUUUAUUAUAAAACUCCUAUGGCUAAGUGAGGGCGUUAAAGCCAUAAAGUCUGAUUGCCUUGUUCGUUGCACUAACAACUCCUUCAAGGACCAUGUAACUGGAUCAAGAUUGUUUAGAUUCCAUCCCGAACACCUCUGUACUAUCUACGUGAGGGCAGAGGACGACGACUAGCCAACUGUCACAUCCUAGCUAGUCAUGCAUUAGAAUGUUGCAUCAUGUCUACCUUUCAUCAGAAACUUGAAUUGGGGAAGACAGAACCCCCAACACCCCCUCUGGAAUCAACUAAGGUUUACUAAAAAUAUUUUCAGUGAACCUGAAAUGCCCUUCUAAAAAGUUCACUCUCUUUGUCUUGGGUUAGAACCUCUGGCAAAAUUGGUGCACAAUUUUCUAGGUCAACAGAAGGUCAUUGAAUUAAAUCAUAUGUAAUUUGCAUUUGGGCAUUUGAAUGCUAGUAAAUAUUUUAAAUGCUCAAAUAAUUCUGAAGAUAAGUGUGGGCUAUUGGAAAUAUUCUAAACAGAUCCUCUGAUUAUUUUCAGGAUUUUUAGAAGUGCCUAGAUAUUUUUAAUAAAGCCACAAACCUACAGAAAAAAAUAGAAAACAGAAAUUAAAAAAGAGGGAGAGAACUUACCUGGCCGCAGCCCAUCAGCCAGCCCACCUGGCGGCCCAGCGCUGUGCUGGCCCAUGCCAGCCAGCUGCUUCGUCCCUGCCAGGCAGGCAGAGAGCUGACGCCGGCGAGCGCGAGCUCGCCACGGCGCCAGCAGCCUGCCGCGUCACACGCCUAGACACUGGAUAGGCUCCACGUCGCCGCCCCGACCCCGCGGACACCUCACUCGCCCCCUGCCUCUCUCCCUCGCACUCCCGCACCAUGGCCGCCGCACCGCCGCCGUAGUCGCGCCCUCUGUUGUCCCCGCGCCGAGCCACCGUGUCCAGAAGCUCCGCCGCCCUCCACUCCUUCGAGCAAGCCGAGCCCCGAGCGCUCGCUUGCCCCGCAGCCUCUGCAACAACCUCGCCCGACUCCGCCAUCGCCAGAGAUCCUCUUCACCGUCGCCACCGCAUCAGCUCGUCCCCGACUGCGCCAUCCAUUCCUACGUGACCCCCGUGAGCUCAGCUACCCCCCAUCCUCUCCGUUUGCUUUCUUGUGCACCGUAGCAACUGCACGAAGCUUCACCGCACGCGCCACCGCCGAGCUCGUCGCCGACGUGUCUCUGGCCAACCACUGGCCACACCACCAUAUUUAGGUACGCCGUGGCCGACACCCUCGUUGGGCUUCCGCUUGAAGGUUGCCGAGUACAUGUCGUGUAAACAGCGGUAAGUGGUGAGAGCGUGUAUGAAGAAGUAAACCCCUGCAGGGUUAACAUCAUCUAUUCGAAUAGCCGCGUCCGCGGUAAAGGACUACUUGGUUGCCUAUACAGUUGAUAGACAAGUUAAUGGAUACUACUAAAAGACUCAAGAUAAGUGUGAGUACCGAGGAUGGCCCUCUCGUAGGAUGACGAGGGAGGAUCGCCGGUGGUGUAUUGUGUUGGUGAUUAGUGGACUCGUGUGCGAAAACUAUUUUACUAAGUGGUGUCCCGUAGGAUAGCUUAGCCAAGAGUCAAAGCUGGCUUGCUACAAUAACUCCACCACCUUCUUGAGAAUGAGCAUGUAUAGUAGGUUUUGAUGUAAGACUUGCUGAGUACCUUUGUACUCAUGUUUGUUUAAUUACUGUUUUCAGACGACAACACCGCCCCCUCCGAUGGGUUUUAUGUAGAUCUUGACAUCGAUGAGUGACUUGCCACCCAGGUGGUGAUCCUGGCCAUGGAGGGCCCUAUGUAGAUAUACAGGCUUCGAGAAGCCUUCUUUCUUUCUAGUGUCUGUACUCAGACUAUUUGCUUCCGCAUGUGCUUGUAUGCUUGUAUGACUUGAGUGUUAGGUCAUGUGAUCCCUACCUGUAUGAACAUGUUAUGUAUGGCUCUCUGGAGCCUUUAAAUAAAGUACUUGAGUUGUAGAGUUUUGUUGUGAUGCCAUGUUGUAUUUGCACAUAUCGAUCAUAUUGUGUGUAUGAUUGAAAUGCUUGGUAUGUGUGGGAUCCGGCAAUCUAGUUGUUUAUCCUUGGCAUCCUUUCUUAUGGGGAAAUGUAGUCUAGUGUUCCUCGAGCCAUAGUAGUCCGCUACAGCCCGGUUCACCGGAGUCCUGCUAGCCUAGCACUACUGCUCAGGACACUUGACUGGUCGGCAUGUGUUUCACUUCGUUCCUAUGUCUGUCCCUUCGGGGAAAUGUCACGCAGUGACAUCCGGAGUCCUGUUAGCCCAGUGCUACAGCCCGGAUUCACUCGCUGAUGACCGACAUGCUCGAUGUGAUUCAUGUAUGCCUGUCUCCAUAGGUCCGUGCCGCUUUGGGAUCUCUACUAGCCAUGUCGGCCCGGGUUCUCUGUCAUAUGGAUGCUAGCGACACUAUCAUGUACGUGAGCAAAAGGAGCAAACGGUCCCGGGCCAUGGUAAGGCGACACCCGUGGGGAUACCGUGCGUGAGGUCGCAAUGUGAUAUGAGGUGUUACUGGCUAGAUCGAUGUGACUUGGAAUCGGGGUCCUGACAGCGUUGGCAUUAGAGCCGGACUGCCUGUAGGUUCGUUGAGCCAAACUGGUCAAUGUUGAGUCUAGAAAUGCUUUAGUUAUAUGUAGGGGAAUUGAUUGUGGGAGGGAACGUAAGGCUCUUUCUACUCCUUUAACUUAUGCUCUCUGAUCUGAGUCAUUCUCUUCUCAUUCAACGUGGGUUAAGGACUAGGCUAUCUUCUUCUGUCAGGUUCACGUGUUACUAAUCCGUAGUAACUUAUAGGAUUGUUGGUUACCAGCCUUAGUUCAGUUCUACCACUUUGAGUAUGUUGCCAGUUGAAUCAGAACCUUUAUAUGAUGUUGUUGAGUGGUGUUGCAAACUGUUGUGGAUGUCUCAAAUCUUUUUCUGAGCAUUUACAACUGUUAUGCUGUCCAAUUUUCCCUAGAAAUUCUAAUGUCUUUGCAUUGUGGUUGUGCUUUCAGAUGGCCACUCGUGCUCAAAACCAAGUGGUUCGCCUGACCCGGUGCCUUGAUGUGCCCGGUCAUACUGCUAUGUUAGUCCGGGUAAUGAUCGAGACGGGUUACCAUUUGUAUCCCGAAUACACUGUCGAAGAGCAAUUUCGAGACUUUAAUCAAAGCCAAUAUUUCUGCACUGUCAGGAUAUUUCCUUCUUAUCCUGGAUCUACCGAGCCCCUCCACUGUUCCUAUGGACUCCGGGUUACUGUUGAGAUGGCUGUGCAGGAUGCUGCCUAUUCCAUGAUGACCAUCAUGCGAGUCCGGACUGGCCUGCUUCGAAACACCGACUUCUGUUAUAUGCCAGCUUCACUCCCGGGAGCGCAAGGGUAUCUCCAGGCUAUCUAUGCUAACUCCACACGUGAGGACUCACUAACUCGCACCACUGCCGAAAUGCUUGAGGAUAAGGACCGAGAGAAUCGGGCCUUGAGACUGGAGCUUUUCAACACCCGUGCUGAUCAUUGGGCCACUUUGACUCGGUUUGCACCUGCUGUGCAAGAUGGAUGUAUGGAUACGAGGGAUCUGUAUCCUGUGAGAUCUGCUCUGCCAGACAUGGUGGAUUGGCGUGAUGUGGGAGGAAUCACCCCACCCCGUGGUCCCCGCAGGCCACCGUUUGUUGGUCCAAGACCUCAUCCUAGCCCCUUUGGUCCACACGCUCCUCAGGACCGUCUAUUCCCGGAUGAUCACGUUGAACUUCCAGGCUAUGGAGGUGACUUCUAUGAGGACUACUACAGAGCUGUCUGAGUUAGUACUAGUAUCACUAGUAUUGUAAUAGUUGUAUCUCCACUGUCCUGCGUGACUUGUGGAAUAUGACUUAGUGUGUAAUCAAUUCCAGAGGUGUAGACAAAUAAUGUAUAGGAGCUUGGAAUGCCUCCGAUGUGAUGUAACGUCUUUCAUCAUAGUUGUACUGUAGCCUGGGCUUGUACUAAACUAUGUAUAGUGUGUAUGACCGUUGGUAUAUAUAUGGCAGUUCUAUAUUACCAUGUCAUACAGAUGAACAUCUCUGCAUUCCGUGUUAUCCAUUACAUUCUGCACUUCCUUGCUAAGUUGUGCCAUCCUUAUCUAAACCGUUGUCUUGUUUUCUCCUAGGAUGGUCAACACCCGCAGCAACCCUGCUGCCCCGGAGUAGGGGGAAGCCAGUGCAAUUAGGGGUGAAAAUCUGCCUCACCCGCCUUCUCUGGCCGAAGUGAUGCUGUAGGCGGAAAGAAACAAGUGUGAGACUAACUGAUUGCUGGAGCGGAUUGAGCAGAACACUGCACACCGUCAGCGAAAUGACUUGGUGUCAAUCAAUGACUUCAUCAAGUUGUACCCACCAAAGUUUAACCAUUCCGUCGAGCCCCUCGACGCGAAUGACUAGCUUCAUAGCAUCACCCACAAGCUACAUUCUGCCAACGUAGCUGAAGCUGAUAAGGUUACUUAUGCUGCCUAUCACCUCGAAGGCCCUGCUAGUCUUUGGUGGGAAAAUUUUGAAGCUAUGCGCCCGGUCGGCCAAAUCACUACUUGGGCUGAAUUCAGUGAGGCUUUCCGUGAGCAUCACAUCCCGGAAGGUCUCAUAGAUUGCAAGAGGGAAGAGUUCUGCAAUUUCACCCAAGGAAGACUGACUAUGGAUGCAUAUAGUCAUGAAUUUGGGAAUCUGACACGAUAUGCUCCUGAAGAGGUAUCCACCGACGCUAAGAAGCAGGCAAGGUUCCGCAAGGGACUUAGCCCUGAACUUCGCCGUGAUCUUCGUCUGCACGAGUGCACCUCCUUUCAGAAGUUGGUCAAUAAAGCCAUCAGUUCUGAGACAUGCCAGUCUGACUAUGAUGCUUCACGCAAGCACUCUCGUGAUUUGUGCUCUUCAUCCGGCUCUGGAUCUCAGAAGUGCCGGGUGUGGAUUCCACGCAUGGCACUACCACCCAGGUUCAUUCCAAGGCCAUCCUUUGAGGCGCCUCGUCCCAACCAGCAGUUUGCACCGUCCAAGCCCUAUGGUGGCCCCGCUGCUAAUGCUGCUCCACACCCCAAUGUUGUGACAUGUUUCAUGUGUGGAGAGUCGGGUCACUACAGUCGAGAGUGUCCCUAGAACAACAACCCAGUCAGUCUGGAAAGUCCGUUGGUCGUGGUAAGCCAGCGGGAAAGACAUUCUGCGCCAAGCCGGUCACCACUGCACGUGGCCAUGUUAAAUAUGUCUCAGCCGAGGAGGCUCAUGAGGAUCAUAACGUCGUCCUUGGUAUGCUCCUUGUUAAUUGUCAUCCGGCAUCUGUUCUUUUCGAUACGGGAGCAUCUCAUUCAUUCAUAUCUGAGAGCUAUGCUCGAUUGCAUAACACAACAUUCGGUGACAUGCCCACUACCAUGGAAAUUCAAACCCCUGGCUCUAGAUGGCAAACUUCUAGAGUAAGCCAUGGGAAUGAAAUUCUUGUCGAUAGACUUGUCUUCCUUGCAUCUUUAAUAGCUCUCAAGUCCUCAGACAUAAACAUCAUCUUGGGUAUGGACUGGCUGUCAGCUCAUUAUGCUAAGAUUGAUUGUGCCACUAGAACCGUUCAACUUACUCACCCAUCGGGCAAGACAGUCAAUGUUUUAACUCGAGUGGCCAAGCACCAGCUUUACUCCCUAAAUGCCAACCCCCUUCUAGACCUUGAAGAUAUUCCGGUAGUCCGGGACUUUCCGGAUGUGUUUCCAGAAGAACUGCCAGGUGUUCCACCUGACAGGGAUGUCGAGUUUGUGAUAGACCUUGUUCCAGGAACCGUUCCAAUUUCUAGAAGACCCUAUAAGAUGGCACCCUUAGAACUAGCCGAGCUUAAGAACCAACUCGAUGAGUCCUUGAAAAAGAGUUUCAUCCAUCCUAGUUCCUCUCCUUGUGCUUGCCCCGUCCUCUUCGUCAAGAAGAAGGAUGGAACGGAUCAGAUGGUUGUAGAUUACCGACCUGUCAACUUGGUCACUAUCAAGAACAAGUAUCCGCUUCCUAGGAUCAACGAUCUAUAUGACCAGCUCGCUGGACCCUCAGUCUUUUCCAAGAUGGAUUUGAGGUUGGUCUACCAUCAAUUCAAAAUCAGAAACGGGGACAUUCCCAAAACGGCCUUUGUUACUCGUUAUGGCCAAUACGAGUACACCGUUAUGUCCUUCGGUUUAACCAAUGCCCCAGCCACCUUCUCUCGGUUAAUGAACUCGGUCUUCAUGGAGUAUUUGGAUAAAUUCGUCAUAGUAUACCUUGAUGACAUACUCAUCUACUCCAAGAAUGAAGAGGAACAUGCCGAACAUCUAAGGCUGGUCUUGACGAAACUUCGAGAGCAUCGCCUUUAUGCCAAAUUCUCCAAGUGUGAAUUUUGGUUGCCAGAAGUGACCUCUCUAGGCUAUGUAAUCUUUUGUAAGGGUAUUGCUGUCAAUCCCGAGCGAGUUCAAGCCGUCCUUGAUUGGACUCCACUUGAGACGGUCAAGCAAGUUCGGAGCUUCCUUGGCUUAGCGAGCUAUUGCCGCCGCUUCGUCGAGAAUUUCUCCAAGGUUGCCAAACCUCUAACUGAACUCCUCAAGAAAGAUAAAAGGUUCGAGUGGACCCCACAGUGCGAGUUCAGCUUUCAGGAACUGAAAAGACGCUUGACAUCUGCUCCCGUACUGGUACCACCAGAUUUCUCCAAGGACUUUAUUAUCUAUUGCGACGCCUCAGGACAAGGACUAGGUUGCAUAUUCAUGCAAGAUCGUCAGGUAAUUGCCUAUGCUUCACGGCAAUUACACCCCCAUGAGGAAAAUUAUCCCACACAUGAUCUAGAGCUUGCAGCUGUAGUCCAUGCACUUAAAACUUGGCGACAUUGCCUUCUCGGUAAUCGUUGCGAGAUCUUCACCGAUCACCAAAGUUUGAAAUAUAUCUUCACCCAAACGGAUUUGAAUCUCAGGCAAAGACGUUGGGUCGAUUUGAUCGUGGAUUACGACUUAGGAAUAACUUACAUCCCGGGCAAAGCCAAUGUCAUGGCUGAUGCGCUGAGUCGUAAAUCUUAUUGUAACAACCUGAUGUUACAACAAAGUCAACCACUUCUCCAUGAGGAAUUUCGUAAGCUUAAUCUUCACAUUGUUCCUCAAGGAUUCCUAUCAACCCUAGUGGCGAAACCAACCCUUACGGAUCAGAUCAUCGAGGCACAGAAGGUAGAUCCGGGAAUCUCCCUGUCGGGACCCCGAUCCUAAGUCACACAGAUCUAGCAUGUAACACUUCAUAUCACUUUGCGGCCUCACGCACGGUAUUUCCAUGGGUGCCACCUUACCUGGCCCGGGACUGUUUGCGCCUUUUGGCUCACGUAUAUGAUAGUGUCGCUAGCAUCCGUAUGACAAAGAACCCGGGCCGACAUGACUAGUCGUGAACCCAAAAUAGCACUAACUUACAGGGACAUGCAUACAUGAAUCAACCUCGAGCUUGUCGGUCAACAGCGUAUGAAUACGGGCUGUAGCACUAGGCUAACAGGACUCUGGGAUGUCACCGCGUGACAUUUCCCUGAAGGGACAGACACAGGAACGAAGUGAAUCACGUGCCGGCCAGUCAAGUGUUCCGGAGCAGUAGUGCUGGGCUAGCAGGACUCCGGUGAACCGGGCUGUAGCGGACUAUUAUGGCUCAUGGAAGCACAAGACUACAUUUCCCCAUAAGAGAGGCUACCAGAGGUGAACAACUAGGUUGUCGGAUCCCACACAUAGCAAUACACGUUACACGUACACAUGACAUGCAAGUAUGUGUUGUACAACAUGGCAUCACAACAUAACUCAAACUCAUAUAGAUAAAGGCCCAGAAGAGCCACAUAGCAUUCAAUACAAACAGGGGCUUCAUGACCCAUUAUUCAGAGCAUAGAAGCAACAGAAGCAUUACAUGUCUGAGUGCAGACAACUACAAAAGAAAAAGACUAGGAAGCCUGACUAAACAAGACCCUCCCAAGGGUACAAGAUCGUAGCUGGGAUACAAGCUACUCGUCAAAGUCACUAGUGUAACCAACUGCAAAACAUAAAUAAGCAAACGUGAGUACAAAGGUACUCAGCAAGACUUACAUCAGAACUAUCUACAUAUGCAACAUUAUCAACAAAAGGGUGGUGGUGGAGUUUUAACAGCAGCAAGCUAGCUUUGACUCAGUGGCUAACCUAUACUACGAGUAUUAGAAACUUCUUUGAGGUAAGAAGACGCACACGAGUCCACAUAUUCACCAUAUCAACACUCCAUUAUGGAUCCGUUCCCGUCUCCCUACGAGAAGGCCAUCCAUAGCACUCACGGUUAUCUUGCGGAUUUUAGAGUAUCCACUUCAAGUUGUCUAUGUACUACAUAACUUCUCCAAGUUUCCAUAUCCGAGGAAAACGACUAUUUGAAUAGAUAAUAUUGACCCUGCAGGGGUGUACUUCUUCACACACGCUCUCGCCACUUAUAGCCCUGUACACGUCAUGUACCUCGGCAACCUUCAAGCGGAAGCCGGGCGAGGGUGUCGGCCACGACCUGACUAAGCACACAAGUCUCUCAUCCAGGUUUAUCACCUAUUUGGGUUCCAUCCGCAAGGAAAUCCGGUCGGGGAGUCGCUCACGGCCCCAAACGAUGUGUGCAGGGUUCCCAAGCCCACCAUCUGGGUGCCACUUGGUACACCGUGCCAUGGUGCCUAGUCUGUCCCAAGCCCGUCCCGUCGGACGCCACCUGGUAGACAAGUAGCACUACCUACCAACGCCAGAAACUAGUUGCAACUCCUGGACAAAGAUCAAGUGGAUUAAUAAGCCGAGAGGGGCCGGAUGACCUGAACCCAAUGUGUGGUAGUAACUGGACUUGGAUAACAUACACAGAACUUAGUGCUUAGGGACGGUUCCAAUGAGAUAACCCACCAUGUACUCCUACAUGGCCUCUCAUCGCUACCUUUACCAAAACGUGUUCACACACUUAGCCUUUACUGGUAGGACAUGUUCACCACUCUGAUUCAUUCCCGAUGAAUCAGACCUGACACAACUCUAAGCAUAGCUGGCAUAAAGAAAACAAGCAUGGAUGAGCAGGCACAUCAAGGCUCAAGCAACUCCUACUCAUGCUAGUGGGUUUCAACUAUUUACUGUGGCAAUGACAGGUCAUGUAGAGGAAUGGGUUCAGCUACCGCAGCAGAAAGUAGCAGUUUGAAUCGUUGUUGUCCUAAUGCAGUAAAAGGAGCAGGAGCGAGAGAGUGGGAUUUAUCGAGAUGCUCAAGGGGGUUUGCUUGCCUGAUAGAUUCACGAAGAAGUACUUCUCCUAAGACAGGUACUCGGGACACCUUCCGGAGUAGAACCUAUCGAGAAUGGACGGUGCCGGCAAUCAAUAAACAACCAUAUGCAACAAUAUGAUGCAUGAAGAUGACAUUUCAAAGAUGCUAUGAUUUGCCCUAAUGCAUCUAGCAUCAAUUUGGUUGAAGUCCAUAUGAACCAAGGGUUCAUAUGCAAACCCCAAAUUAAAUACAUAACAUGCCAUUAUUACGUUUUCACUUAUACAGCAAGUAUAAGUUGGUUUUCCAUGCAUGAAACUGGCAUAAAUGGAUUCCUUGCAUUUUUAUGAUAAUUUUUCAUAUAUAAUUUAUUUGAUUUGGAGUUACAGUUGAAUUACUAUGAAUUCUAGAAGUUUUAACUAUUUUCUGAAAUUCUCUGAAUUAUUUAAAAUCCAAAAAAACAAUUACUGCGUCAGCGUGAUGUCACAGAGGCGUCAGCAGGGCUGACUAGGUCAAACCUGACGUGUGGGGGCCACACGUUAGUGACACGGGGUUAAGCCCGAGUCAAACCCGCACUGACCAGGGUUUGACUUGGCUCUGGGGCCCACUGUCAGUCUCAGGGGGAUUAGGCUGUGGGAUUAGCGCUAAUUAAGCCGCCACGUCAGCCUCGCCGGAGUUCGGCCGGCGACGACCAAACCACGCGGCGGUGCUUCGCCGGAACGGGCUACACACGGCGGCGGGGACUACCAAUCGGUAGCCCGCGCUCGACCGCAUCCACCUGGGCAUAGGGGAAGUCGCGGGGACGGCGGAGCUCGCCGGAGCAGGGCUCGCGGCGGCGGCUGGAGCUCGGCUAUGCGCGGGCGGGGUGCUGCAGCUCGAGGCGAGCGAAUGGGGGGUGCUAGGCGGCACCUAAGGCAACAGGAGCCCGCCGGAGCAACUAGCAGGAGCGGAGGGGCUCAGGGGCACGGAGCUCGCCGGCCAUGGAGGACGGCGGUUUCGGGUGCUCGCGGGGCAGCGGCUAGGAUGCAGGAUAGAGCACGAGGAAGGAGGGGGAAACGGAUUAGAGCUCACAGGGAUCACGUAGAGCAGGCCAGCGGGCUCGGUGAAGGCCUGGAGCGAGUGAGGCAACGAGGAAGAUCUCCGGCGGCCGGUGAUGGAAACGAAGACGGUGGUGUUGCUUCCGGCGUUCCGCGGGCGCGUGACUCGGUGGAGAGAGCGAGGGCGUUGAGGCGAAGCUCGUGGGCACGUCGGAGAGGCGAGGGAAAGGCAGUGGCCGCGGUGGUGUUUGCCAGCAGCGACGGCAGCACUCGGGUACGUGCGAGAGAGAGGACAAAGGAGGGGGAGGAGCGAGAGGGAGUGAGAGGGGGUCGGGGCUUGCGUGGCAUCUCCAUAGAAGGCCAGGGCGUCGACGGGGAGCGGCAAGUAGGAGCUGGCGAGGCGCGUGGCCAGCGUGUAGCGAGCACGCGCUCGUCCUUCUGUCCGGGGAGGAAGACGACAGCGAGGCUGCGGUGGUGGGUUGGGCCUAGCUGGGCCGGUCCUGUUGGGCCACCAGGUAAGCGCCAGGUAAGUGUUUUCUCUCUUUUUUUUAUUUCUGACAUUUGUUUAGUAUCUAAAAGAAAUGUUAAAACAUUUCCAUAAAUGCUGAAAAUAAUUGUGGCAUCUAGAUAUAAUAUUCUAGAGGCCCUCACCAAUUCCCAACAUUUUUGGAGCCAUUAAAAUAUUUAUAUAAUUUAAACAGCUCCAAAUCAAAUAUUUAUGCAUUGAUUCAAAAAUCCAAAAUGUGUAGCAAAAAUGUGCAUCACCUCUGGUUGUUGUUCCCAACAUUAUCCAAAGAGCAUGAACAUUUUUGGAGAGCAUUUUGGGUUCAUUGAAAUUCCAUUUUAAAGUUGAACCUAUUGGAAAAUACUUUGGUGCUAGGGUUUGCAACUGUCUCCAUUUCAAAUUCAUUUGAAAUUUAAACAUGAUGCACAAAGCAAGCCUAGGAUCAUACCAGAACUAGGGAUGUGACACUCCCGUAUUAAGAGAAACAUUAAGAAAGGAGUCGCGAAUUGUUUCUCCGUUGAUGAUCAAGGUGUCGUAUACUUUGGAAACCGCUUAGUGGUUCCCAAGGCACGAAACCUGAGGCGGCUGAUCAUUAAGGAAGCUCACGAAUCCCCUCUCACCAUUCAUCCCGGUAGUACUAAGAUGUAUCAAGACCUACGCCAGAGGUUUUGGUGGACUAGGAUGAAGAGAGAAAUCGCUCAAUACAUUGCUAAUUGCGAUGUCUGUCGUCGUGUUAAAGCAGAGCAUCAAAGGCCUACUGGCACCCUUCAACCUUUGGCAAUUCCUGAAUGGAAAUGGGAUAAAAUUGGUAUGGAUUUGAUUACCGGGUUUCCCAGGACCAAGAGAGGGAAUAAUGCCAUCUUCGUCAUGAUCGACCGUCUUUCCAAAGUAGCCCAUUUCCUACCUGUUCGUGAGAGUAUCACCGCUAGCCAGCUAGCUGAUUUAUACAUCUCCCGAAUAGUGUCUCUUCAUGGUGUCCCAUUGGAAAUUAACUCAGACCGUGGGAGUCUCUUCACCUCUCGAUUUUGGGAAAGUUUCAAAAAUGCUAUGGGAACUCGUCUCUCUUUUAGCACCCCUUCCAUCCUCAAUCAAGUGGUCAAGUAGAGCGAGUCAGUCAAAUUCUGGAAGAUAUGCUCCGAGCUUCUGUCAUCUCAUUCGGAAUGGGUUGGGAGAAAUGCCUUCCAUUCGUGGAGUUUGCUUAUAACAAUAGUUAUCAAGCUAGCUUGGUCAAAGCUCCUUUCGAAGUUCUUUAUGGACGAAAAUGUUGAACGCCUCUUAACUGGUCAGAAACCGGGGAAAGAUAACUCUUUGGCCCGGAUAUGAUCCAGGAAGCAGAAGAGCAGGUUCGCGUUAUUCGUGAGAAAUUGAAAACGGCCCAAUCUCGCCAAAAGAGUCAAUAUGACCGCAAGCAUAAUCCUAUGUCUUAUGAAGUUGGCGAGAAGGCUUACCUUCGGGUUACACCUUUAAAGGGAACCCAUCGAUUCGGUAUCAAGGGCAAGUUGGCUCCUCGUUACAUUGGACCCUUUUGCAUUCUUGCCCAACGAGGAGAAGUUGCCUACCAAUUGGAACUACCUUCGCAUCUUUCCAGAGUUCACGAUGUCUUCCACGUUUCUCAACUCAGGCGUUGCUUCGUGGAUCCUAUCCGUAGAGUGGACCACGAAACACUUGAUCUACAAGAUAACCUCUCAUAUCGGGAAUAUCUCGUUCGUAUCCUUGAUCAAGACGAGCGUACCACUCGACGCCAUAAUAUCAAGUUUCUCAAGGUUCAAUGGUCACACCAUUCCGAGCAAGAAGCUACUUGGGAAAGGGAGGAUCGUCUUCGACUCAAGUACCCCACCUUCUUCCCGAAGGAUCCUAAAUCUCGGGAUGAGAUUCGUUUGAGUGGGGGUGAGUUGUCACAUCCUAGCUAGUCAUGCAUUAUAAUGUUGCAUCAUGUCUACCUUUCAUCAGAAACUUGAAUUGGGGAAGACAGAACCCCCAGAACCGCCUCUGGAAUCAACUAAGGUUUACUAAAAACAUUUUCAGUGAACCUGAAAUACCCUUCUAAAAAAUUCACUCUCUUUGUCUUGGGUUAGAACCUCUGGCAAAAUUGGUGCACAAUUUUCUAGGUCAAUAGAAGGUCAUUGAAUUAAAUCAUAUGUAAUUUGCAUUUGGGCAUUUGAAUGCUAGUAAAUAUUUUAAAUGCUCAAAUAAUUCUGAAGAUAAGUGUGGGAUGUUGGAAAUAUUCUAAACAGAGCCUCUGAUUAUUUUCAGGAUUUUUAGAAGUGCCUAGCUAUUUUUAAUAAAGACACAAACCUACAGAAAAAAAUAGAAAAUAGAAAUUAAAAAAGAGGGAGAGAACUUACCUGGCCGCAGCCCAUCAGACGGCCCACCUGGCGGCCCAGCGCUGUGCUGACCCAUGCCAGCCAGUUGCUUUGUCCCCGCUAGGCAGGCAGAGAGCUGACGCCGGCGGGCGCGAGCUCGCCACGGCGCCAGCAGCUUGCCCAUCGCGCGCCUGGACACUGGAUAGGCUCCACGUCGCCACCCCGACCCCGUGGACACCUCACUCGCCCCCUGCCUCUCUCCCUCGCUCUCCCGCACCAUGGCCGACGCACCUGCCGCCGCACCGCCACCGUAGUCGUGCCCUCCGUCGUCCCCGCCCCGAGCCACCGUGUCCAGAAGCUCCGCCACCCUCCACUCCUUCGAGCAAGCCGAGCCCCGAGCGCUCUCUUGCCCCGCAACCUCUGCAACAACCUCACCCGACUCCGCCAUCGCCGGAGAUCCUCUUCGUCGUCGCCACCGCAUCAGCUCGUCCCGGCCGUGCUGUCCAUUCCUACGUGACCCCCGUGAGCUCACCUACCUCCCCAUCCUCUUUGUUUGCUUUCUUGUGCACCAUAGCAACUGCACGAAGCUUCACCGCACGUGCCACCACCGAGCUCGUCGCAGACGUGUCUCCGGCCAACCACCGGCCACACCAUCGUGUCCAACACACUCACUACACCCCCAGGAGGCCGUAGCACCCCUCUGCGCCCCCUGCCGUGCCUCCUAACGCCGUUUCCGUGCACGCCCGAACUCCGGCCGCCGCCUGGCUCGACGCCGGCGUCAUCUCCGGCCACCCUCGCACACACCGCUUGCUCCACUCGGCGCGCGAGUUCACCAACAGCACGUAGAUGCCCUCCGCCGGCCAUUUGGUCACCGGAGGAGGAAUUCCGACGCCCUCCGCCGCGUCUGUCCUCGCCGGCGGGUUUGACCCGUUGACCUUGACUGGGUGGGCCCAGGUUGACUCCCCUGAGUCUAUGACAAGUGGGCCCCCCCUCUGCUAAUUAACCCAGAUUAGUUUUAACUAAUUUUAGUUAGUUUAAAUAAUUGCUGACAUGCGGGACCCACUGGUCAGAUUGACCUGGACGUCCCCGUUGACCACUGAUGUCACCCUGACGCACUGCUGACGCAAUAACUAAUUUCUGGAUUUAGUUUUAUAUAGAGAAUUCCAGAAAUUGUUGCAAACUUUAAAAAAUCAUAGAAAUUAAUCUGUAACUCCAAAUGAAAAGAUUUAUAUAUGAAUUUUGAUCCCAAAAAUUCAGUCUAUCCAUUGGUAAUGGUUUCAUGCAUGACAAAACAAGUUAACCUUGCUGUUUAAGAAAAAUAAGAUAAUGCCCUAAUAUGGCUAUGUUAAAUGAACUAACAUUUGAAUCUUUGAUUCAAAUGGGUUCAUUCCUUUCUAUUUUAGCUUGCAUUAGGCCAAGACACAUUCAUUUUGCCAUGUUAUAGCAUGCAUCAUAUUGUUGCAUAUUGUCAUGUGUUGAUUAUGUUCGGUGUGUCUUUCGUGGUAGGUUCUGCCUCCGAGGAUAACCCCGAAUAUCCGUCUGAAGGGCAGUACCCUAGUACCACUACAUCAGGCAAGCAGCCCCAUUGAUCAUAUCGAUACAAUCCCAUGUUCUCGCCUUUGCUCUCAUUUACUGCAUUAAGACAACAACGUUUCAAACUGCUGUGUGCUACGGUAGUUGAACCCUUAUCCUCUGCAUGACCUGUCAUUGCCACAGUAACUAGAUGAAACCCACUAGCAUGUGUAGGAGUUGAUUGAGCCUUGUAUGUGUUUCCUACCUUGCUAUGCCUGCUAUGCUUAGAGUUGUGUCAGGUCUGGUUCAUCUGGGUGAUGGGCUAGAGUGAAAUGAUUAUGUCAGUAAUGUGAGGGAUGUGUUGAACAUGUUUUGGUAAAGGUAUCGAUGAGAGGCCAUGUGGGAGUACAUGGUGGGUUGUUCCAUUGAGGCCGUCCCUAAGAACUGAGAUCUGUAUGUGUGAUUUUAAGAAUCAGCUACUACCAUGCAUUGGGAUCCUUAAUUGACCCUCUCGGCUUCUUAAUCACCCUAGUACUCUGUCCAGGAGUUGCAAUUAGUUUCUGGUGUUUGUAGGUUAUGUGUUGGCGGCCGUGCGUAGCGCUGACCCUAGGGGUGGGCUAUGUUGCGGUAGAUACACCGUGGCCGUGUAUGCCGGGCGCCCGUUUGGCGUCUCGGGACCCUGUUCACAUCGUUCGGGGCCGUAUGUGGAAACCUCGCUCGGACUCCCUACGGAUGGAACCUGGAUAGGCGAUAAACCUAGACUAGAGACUUGAGUGUUUAGGUAGGCCAUGGCUGACACCCUUGUUGGGCUUCCGCUUGAAGGUUGCCGAGUACAUGUCGUGUAAACGGCGGUAAGUGGUGAGAGUGUGUAUGAAGAAGUACACCCCUGCAGGGUUAACAUCAUCUAUUCGAAUAGCCGCGUCCGCGGUAAAGGACUACUUGGUUGCCUAUACAGUUCAUAGAAAAGUUAAUGGAUACUACUAAAAGACUCAAGAUAAGUGUGAGUACCGAGGAUGGCCCUCUCGUAGGAUGACGAGGGAGGAUCCCCGGUGGUGUAUUGUGUUGGUGAUUAGUGGACCCGUGUGAGAAAACUAUUUUACUAAGUGGUGUCCCAUAGGAUAGCUUAGCCAAUAGUCAAAGCUAGCUUGCUGCUAUAACUCCACCACCUUCUUGAGAAUGAGCAUGUAUAGUAGGUUCUGAUGUAAGACUUGCUAAGUACCUUUGUACUCAUGUUUGUUUAAUUACUAUUUUCAGACGACAACACCACCACCUUCUUGAGAAGGGUUUUAUGUAGAUCUCAACGUCGAUGAGUGACUUGCCACCCAGGUGGUGAUCCUGGCCAUGGAGGGCCCUAUGUAGAUAGACAGGCUUCGAGAAGCCUUCUUUCUUUCUAGUGUCUGUACUCAGACUAUUUGCUUCCGCAUGUGCUUGUAUGCUUGUAUGACUUGAGUGUCAGGUCAUGUGACCCCUACCUAUAUGAACAUGUUAUGUAUGGCUCUCUGGAGCCUUUAAAUAAAGUACUUGAGUUGUAGAGUUUUGUUGUGAUGCCAUGUUGUAUUUGCACAUAUCGAGCAUAUUGUGUGUAUCAUUGAAAUGCUUGGUAUGUGUGGGAUCCGACAAUCUAGUUGUUUAUCCUUGGCAGCCUUUCUUAUGGGGAAAUGUAGUCUAGUGUUCCUCGAGCCAUAGUAGUCCGCUACAGCCCGGUUCAUCGGAGUCCUGCUAGCCCAGCACUACUGCUCAGGACACUUGACUGGCCGCCAUGUGUUUCACUUCGUUCCUAUGUCUGUCCCUUCGGGGAAAUGUCACGCGGUGACAUCCGGAGUCCUGUUAGCCCAGUGCUACAGCCCAGAUUCACUCGCUGAUGACCGACAUGCUUGAUGUGAUUCAUGUAUGCCUGUCUCCAUAGGUCUGUGCCGCUUUGGGUUCUCGACUAGCCAUGUCAGCCCGGGUUCUCUGUCAUAUGGAUCGUAGCGACACUAUCAUAUACAUGAGCCAAAAGGCGCAAACGGUCCCGGGCCAUGGUAAGGCGACACCCGUGGGGAUACCGUGCGUGAGGCCGCAAUGUGAUACGCGGUGUUACCGGCUAGAUCGAUGUGACUUGGAAUCAGGGUCCUGACACCAACCCUCAGAUCACACACAACGCUGCUGGACAGGAGGAAACAAUUCAAAGCACAAUAAAAUUACUUUACAAAAACUUGCUUUGUUCCCAUAAUACAAGACAAAGGCAACAUGAAUACAUUUAUUCAAAUACAAUGUCGUGCGAACAUUGUGCCGCUACAAGUCGAGACCCUUCUACAACAUCCUAGAAAUAUCGCACGGGUGUGCGGUGCUCCUUGCCCUCAGGCGGACCGCUGGCGACUUCAACAACGUUCAUCUUCGCCCACCACAUCUUGCAGUGAGUGAAGGCCACAGCCGGAUUAUCACAUCCUUAAUGGCUAGUUCGGCCACCCUAUGCAGCUUCACCAGCUGUUUCAGCUGAUCGGUGAAGGACACGGGAUGCUCUGGUGCCGCAUACUGCGACCAGAAGAGCCUCUCCGAAGAACCCCCUCCUUCGGCUCGAUAGAAUUCCAUGGCAUCCGAUACACUGCGUGGCAAAUCCGCAGAAGCCCCUGGGGAACUCCGAACCCGGGUUAGUCAAAGGUACUGCUUCUCUGCAUACUUGCUUUGCAUCUUAAAUGCCUUACCUGUUGUGAUCUUCUUGGCCUCCUGGAUCUCUUGGAGGACGGCGUGGGCCUCAUUCUGUGUGGUCUCUGCGCUCUGACGAGCCUUGGUGAGUUCGGUCCCUCGAACCAACGCAUCAUGCUCCAAGGCCUCGCAUUUUUUCACCGCAUCUUGGAGCUCCUGUUGGACUUCUUUGACCCGGACAUUUAGCUUCUUACGGGUUGCUUGCUGCUAGACAGCCUGCUCCUCGGCCUCGCCCAAGGCCUUCCUCAAGGCCUCGACUUCGGUAAUUGCUUCUGCACAUAUCACAAUACCACUGUCAAUAUACAAUGUUUAUCCCUUCCCGAACAUAUAGCAAGUCUUACCUCACCUUGCUUCUCCUGGAGCCGAACCUUAACAUCACCGAGCUCGUUCUCGGUCCGCUCGAGCCUCCGCUUUAGCUCAGAGACCUCGGCAGCAUGCGAGGUCGCGGCCAAAAGGGACGCCUGCUUAUCAAUACAUAUUCAGUCAGCCUCUUAUAAUUAAGGAUUGAUCCCAUGUCCGGUCUUCCUCGCCGAACACCGGACAACAUCUCAGGGCUACAGACUACACGUGGUUUUUCUCUUUCUUACCUCAAAACCUGUUAACAAGCUGCUGCAGGAUUUAUUCAGUCCACUUUUGGCGGACUGAACCUUCUCAAUCACCACACCCAUAAGGAUACAGUUGAUGUCUACUACACAACCUUCUUCUUUAGACGUUGUUGGGCCUCCAAGUGCAGAGGUUUGUAGGACAGUAGCAAAUUUCCCUCAAGUGGAUGACCUAAGGUUUAUCAACCUGUAGGAGGCGUAGGAUGAAGAUGGUCUCUCAAGCAACCCUGCAACCAAAUAACAAAGAGUCUCUUGUGUCCCCAACACACCCAAUACAAUGGUUAAUUGUAUAGGUGCAUUAGUUCAGCAAAGAGAUGGUGAUACAAGUGGUAUAUGGAUAGUAGAUAAUAGUUUUUGUAAUCUGAAAAUAUAAAAAAACAGCAAGGUAACUAAUGAUAAAAGUGAGCACAAACGGUAUUGCAAUGCAUUGAAACAAGGCCUAGGGUUCAUACUUUCGCUAGUGCAAGUUCUCUCAACAAUAAUAGCAUAAUUUGAUCACAUAACUAUCCCUCAACAUGCAACAAAGAGUCACUCCAAUGUCACUAAUAGCGGAGAAUGAACGAAGAGAUUAUGGUUGGGUACGAAACCACCUCAAAGUUAUUCUUUCCAAUCAAUCCGUUCGGCUAUUCCUAUAAGUGUCACAAACAGCCCUAGAGUUCAUACUAGAAUAACACCUUAAGACACAAAUCAACCAAAAUUCUAAUGUCACCUAGAUACUCCAAUGUCACCUCAAGUAUCUGUGGGUAUGAUUAUACGAUAUGCAUCACACAAUCUCAAAUUGAUCUAUUCAACUAACACAUAGAACCUCUAAGAGUGCCCCAAAGUUUCUACCGGAGAAUCACGACGAAAACGUGUGCCAACCCCUAUGCAUAAGUUGAUCACCAAAACAUACAUCAAGUGAAUCACGUGAUAUCCCAUUGUCACCACAGAUACGCACGGCAAGACAUACAUCAAGUGUUCUCAAAUCUUUAAAGACUUAACCCGGGAAACUCAAUCCAUUACAAGAGAGUAGAGGGGGAGGAGAAACAUAAGAUCCAACUAUAAUAUCAAAGCUCGUAAUACAUCAAGAUCGUGCCAAAUCAAGAACACGAGACAUAGAGAUCAAACACAUAGCUACUGGUACAUACCCUCAGCCUCGAGGGAGAACUACUCCCUCCUCGUCAUGGAGAGCACUGGGAUGAUGAAGAUAGCCACCGGAGAGGGAUUCCCCCUCCGACAGGGUGCCAAAACGGGUCUAGAUUGGCUUUCGGUGGCUACGGAUGCUUCUGGCGGUGGAACUCCCGAUCUAUUGUGCUCCCGGAUGUUUUUAGGGUAUAUGGAGAUAUAUAGGCGGAAUAAGUACGUCAGGGGAGCCACGAGGGGCACACGAGGGUGGAGGCCCCCCCCCCGCCUCGUGGCCUCCUCGUUGCUUCCCUUACGUGGAGUCCAAGUCUCCCGGGUUUCUUUCCUUCCAAAAAUAAGUUCCGUGAAGUUUCAGGUCAAUUGGACUCCGUUUGAUUUUCCUUUUCUGCGAUACUCUAAAACAAGGAAAAAACAGAAACUGUCACUGGGCUCUAGUUUAAUAGGUCAGUCCCAAAAAUAAUAUAAAAGUGUAUAAUAAAGGCAAUAAACAUCCAAAGUUGAUAAUAUAAUAGCAUGGAACAAUCAAAAAUUAUAGAUACGUUGGAGACGUAUCAACGGUGCUCGUCGACUACGGAGGUGCUUCGUAGCGCCCCCAUCAGGUCAUCUGGCGCUCCUGGAUGGACAGGAGCCACCGGUGGAGCCGACACCCCCCUCCUUCAAAGGGGGCUGCUCGCCCGAUUCCGGAGCCAUAUUGGUCUCCGGAAUCGUAUUUGGCUGAGGGCCGAACUGGAUACGACCCUCUCCGCCAGUCUCCAUGGGGAUAGACUCCCCCGUGUGUCCGGCAGUGGAGGUCCCGCCUUGAGGCGCCUCCCGGACAACGUCCUGGUCUCCUCUCCUUGGUGCGGUCCUCCGGGAUAACACUUCGGAGUCAUCCCUGGCCCCGGGGGAGUAAGUAGGUGGUGGCGACAUGCUCGCCAUCUCCGAGGGAGCCAACAAACCUCCAGAUGAGGAUCUCUGGAUAAGGUCGCGGCCGGACUACAAUAAUGUGUAUUAACCGUAUCAGAAAUACUAAAAAAGGGCUGCUAUGCGCAUGAGUAAGCCAUGUCACUUACGAUGCGGCCUGGGGCCUAGAACGGGGGUGACGUUCCGGACUACUAUUAGCGUCCCACGCGGUAUUGACCGCUCGAGUGCCCUUCCCCUUUUUGGGCGCUUUCACCUUCGGAUGUGCCGAGGCCACCCUAUUCUUCUUCUUCUCCUCAGGAGGAAGUUUGUUUCCCUCCUCCUCCUCUUCCUCGUCGUUGUCCUCAAGGACAAAUGAAUGGGCCUCGUCGUCUGUGGACAUCAAGUCCGAAGUGCCCUUGCGAUGGGGGCCACUCUUGGCCCCCUUGGCCUUCUUCUUGGCUUUCUUCUCCAGCGCCGUAUAUGGCGCCGACACCAGCAUCUUGGCCAGGCACGGGAUGACUGGUUCUUCAGGCAACGGAGCCGGACACUGGAUUCGCUUCGCCCUCUCCGGCCAGUCCUAAGGGAGCAAUAUUAAAAUCUCAGACAUCAUCUCAUUGGCGGGGCAGUUACAAUUGUGACCAAGGUCUGAGUCCAUGGACGGUGGCUUCUCGUUGCCCUUAAAGAGCAACUUCCAGGCCUCUUCGUGAGAAGUAUCGAAGAGCCUUUUCAGGGUCUGGUGCUUCUUCAGAUUCAAUUCCCAUAAAGGGCGGCUGCAGCGCUGGCAUGGAAUAAUCCAACGGAUUAGCAUCACCUGGAUAACGUCACCAAGCUUGAUGUCCUUGGUCACCAUGCUUUGAAAGCACGUCUGCAGCGCUAUUAGCUCGUCAGGUGCACACCAGUCCGGACUCUUCUCGACCCAGGAGGUGAGUCGCAUGGGAGUGCUGGAGCGGAAUUUAACAGUUACGGCACAGGCGGUGCCCGAGGUUCUGUAAUAUAGAACCACUGCUUCUGCUAUUCCUUUACUAUCUCGAUAAAGGUGCCUUUGGGCCAUGAGACGUUGGAUAGCUUGCUUACCAUGGCCCCUCCGCACUCUGCGUGCUGUUCCUCCACCACCUUUGGCUUCACGUUGAAGACUUUGAGCCAGAGCCCGAAGUGGGGAUGGAUGCGGAGGAAGGCCUCGCACACAACGAUGAACGCCAAGAUGUUGAGGAAGGAAUUUGGGGACAUAUCAUGGAAAUCUAUCCCAUAGUAAUACAUCAGCCCGCGGACGAAAGGGUGGAGUGGAAACCCUAGCCCGCGGAAGAAAUAGGGGAUGAAUACCACCCUCUCUGUGGGCUUCGGCGUGAGGACAGCUUGUCCCUCGUCUGGCAGACGGUGGGUGAUCUCCUUCGCCAAAUAUCCGGCCGCCCGGGGCUUAGUAAUGUCCGCCUCCUUGAUGGAGGAGACCAUCCACUUGCCCUGACCACCAGAUCCGCACAUGGUUGCUUGAGAGGAAAGGAGAUGAGAGCUUGGGCGUUGGAGCUUGAGAUCGGAAAGGCGGAGGCAGAGAGAGAGAGAGCGUGAGGAGUGGAAGGGGGAAUCCUUAUUCCCUUAUAAAGGUAGUAAAUAUUAAACGCCUCCUCACUCGCGUUAGGAUUCGCCUGUUCCCUAGGACUGUAUAAAUGACACGGUUGAGUUACCCAUGUCCGCAUUGAUGAGAAUCCCGCAAUAAGGGGACACGAUCUCUGUUUUGACAUGACGUGCCAGUAGCAACCACGAAUCAUAUCGUGAAUUGGCUGAAGAAAAACGGUUCCAAAUUAUAACCGGACAUACAUGAUGUCGUGUUCGGAAAAAGUUGUCAACAGAUUAGAUUCGAGCAAAUAUUAUAUUCUAUCUGCGGUUGUGUGCGUGACAGGUCCAGAUACCAUCAUUACAUCCGAAGACUAUCUUGGAGUUGAUGUCUACUACACAACCUUCUUCUUGUAGACGUUGUUGGGCCUCCAAGUGCAGAGGUUUGUAGGACAGUAGCAAAUUUCCCUCAAGUGGAUGACCUAAGGUUUAUCAAUCUGUAGGAGGCGUAGGAUGAAGAUGGUCUCUCAAGCAACCCUGCAACCAAAUAACAAAGAGUCUCUUGUGUCCCCAACACACCCAAUACAAAGGUAAAUUGUAUAGGUGCAUCAGUUUAGCAAAGAGAUGGUGAUACAAGUGGUAUAUGGAUAGUAGAUAAUAGUUUUUGUAAUCUGAAAAAUAUAAAAAAACAACAACGUAACUAAUGAUAAAAGUGAGCACAAACGGUAUUGCAAUGCAUUGAAACAAGGCCUAGGGUUCAUACUUUCGCUAGUGCAAGUUCUCUCAACAAUAAUAGCAUAAUUGGAUCACAUAACUAUCCCUCAACAUGCAACAAAGAGUCACUCCAAUGUCACUAAUAGCGGAGAACGAACGAAGAGAUUAUGGUAGGGUACGAAACCACCUCAAAGUUAUUCUUUCCAAUCAAUUCGUUGGGCUAUUCCUAUAAGUGUCACAAACAGCCCUAGAGUUCGUACUAGAAUAACACCUUAAGACAUAAAUCAACCAAAACCCUAAUGUCACCUAGACACUCCAAUGUCACCUCAAGUAUCCGUGGGUAUGAUUAUACAAUAUGCAUCACACAAUCUCAAAUUCAUCUAUUCAACCAACACAUAGAACCUCAAAGAGUGCCCCAAAGUUUCUACCGGAUAAUCACGACGAAAACGUGUGCCAACACCUAUGAAUAGGUUCAUGGAUGGAACCUGCAAGUUGAUCACCAAAACAUACAUGAAGUGAAUCACGUGAUAUCCCAUUGUCACCACAGAUAUGCAUAGCAAGACAUACAUCAAGUGUUCUGAAAUCUUUAAAGACUCAAUCUGAUAAGAUAACUUCAAAGGGGAAACUCAAUCCAUUACAAGAGAUUAGAGGGGAAGGAGAAACAUAAGAUCCAACUAUAAUAGCAAAGCACGCGAUACAUCAAGAUCGUGCCAAAUGAAGAACAUGAGAGAGAGAGAUGAAACACAUAGCUACUGGUACAUACCCUCAGCCCUGAGGAAGAACUACUCCCUCCUCGUCAUGGAGAGCACCGGGAUGGUGAAGAUAGCCACUGGAGAGGGAUUCCCCCUCCGGCAGGGUGCUAGAACGGGUCUAGAUUGGCUUUCGAUGGCUACGGAGGCUUCUGGCGGUGGAACUCCCGAUCUAUUGUGCUCCCGGAUGUUUUUAGGGUAUAUGAAGAUAUAUAGGUGGAAGAAGUACGUCAGGGGAGCCACGAGGGGCCCACCAGGGUGGAGGGUGCGCCCAGGGGGGUGGGCGCGCCCCCUGCCACGUGGCCUCCUCGGUUCUUCCCUUACAUGGACUCCAAGUCUGCCGGGUUGCCUUCCUUCCAAAAAUAAGUUCCGUGAAGUUUCAGGUCAAUUAGACUCCGUUUGAUUUUCCUUUUCUGUGAUACUCUAAAACAAGGAAAAAACAGAAACUGGCAUUGUGCUCUAGGUUAAUAGGUUAGUCCCAAAAAUAAUAUAAAAGUGUAUAAUAAACCCCAUAAACAUCGAAAGUUGAUAAUAUAAUAGCAUGGAACAAUCAAAAAUUAUAGAUACGUUGGAGACGUAUCAACAUCCCCAAGCUUAAUUCCUGCUCGUCCUCGAGUAGGUAAAUGAUAAAAACAGAAUUUUUGAUGUGGAAUGCUACCUACCAUAUUUCUCUAAGUAAUUCUUCUUUAUUGUGGCAAGAAUAUUUCAGAUCCAUAAGAUUCAAGACAAAAUUUUAAUAUUGACAUAAAGAUAAUAAUACUUCAAGAAUACUAACAAAGCAAUCAAAAUAACAUGGCCAAAGAAAGCUAUCCCUACAAAAUCAUAUAGUCUGGCUAUGAUCCAUCUUCACCACACAAAAUAUUUAAAUCAUGCACAACCCCGAUGACAAGCCAAGCAAUUGUUUCAUACUUUUGGUGUUCUCAAACUUUUUCAAUCUUCACGCAAUACAUGAGCGUGAGCCAUGGAUAUAGCACUAUAGGUGGAAUAGAAUGGUGGUUGUGGAGAAGACAAAAAGGAGAAGAUAGUCUCACAUCAACUAGGCGUAUCAACGGGCUAUGGAGAUGCCCAUCAAUAGAUAUCAAUGUGAGUGAGUAGGGAUUGCCAUGCAACGGAUGCACUAGAGAUAUAAAUGUAUGAAAGCUCAACAGAAGAAACUAGUGGGUGUGCAUCCAACUCGCUUGCUCACGAAGACCUAUGGCAUUUUGAGGAAGCCCAUUAUUGGAAUAUACAAGCCAAGUUCUAUAAUGAAAGAUUCCCAUUAGUAUAUGAAAGUGACAACAUAGGAGACUCUCUAUCAUGAAGAUCAUGGUGCUACUUUGAAGCACAAGUGUGGUAAAAGGAUAGUAGCAUUGCCCCUUCUCUCUUUUUCCCUCAUUUAUUUUUAUUUUUUUAUUUGGGCCUUCUCUUUUUUUAUGGCCUCUUUUUUCCUUUUUUUUAUUUGGGCUUCUUUGGCCUCUUUUAUUUAUUUAUUUUCGUUCGGAGUCUCGUCCCGACUUUUGGGGGAAUCAUAUUCUCCAUCAUCCUUUCCUCACUGGGACAAUGCUCUAAUAAUGAUGAUGAUCACACUUUUAUUUACUUACAACUCAAGAAUUACAACUCGAUACUUAGGACAAGAUAUGACUCUAUAUGAAUUCCUCUGGCGGUUUACCGGAUAUGCAAUAAAUCAAGAGUGACACGUAUGAAAGAAUUAUGAGUGGUGGCUUUGCCACAAAUACGAUGUCAACUACAUGAUCAUGCUAAGCAAUAUGACAAUGAUGGAGUGUGUCAAAAUAAACGGAACGGUGGAAAGUUGCAUGUCAAUAUAUCUUGGAAUGGCUAUGUAAAUGCCAUAAUAGGUAGGUAUGGUGGCUGUUUUGAGGAAGGUAUAUGGUGGGUUUAUGAUACCGGCGAAAGGUGCGCGGUAUUAGAGAGGCUAGCAAUGGUGGAAGGGUGAGAGUGCGUAUAAUCCAUGGACUCAACACUAGUCAUAAAGAACUCACAUACUUAUUGCAAAAAUCUAUUAGUAUCGAAACAAAGUACUACGCGCAUGCUCCUAGGGGGAUAGAUUGGUAGGAAAAGACCAUCGCUCGUCCCCGACCGCCACUCAUAGGGAAUACAAUCAAUAAAUAAAAUCAUGCUCCGACUUCAUCACAUAACUGUUCACCAUACGUGCAUGCUACGGGAAUCACAAACUUCAACACAAGUAUCUAUCAAAUUCACAACUACUCAACUAGCAUGACUCUAAUAUCACGAUCUUCAUAUCUCAAAACAAUCAUCAAGUAUCAAACUUCUCAUAGUAUUCAAUGCACUUUAUAUGAAAGGUUUUAUUAUAUCCCUCUUGGAUGCCCAUCAUAUUAGGUCUAGCUUCAUAACCAAAGCAAACUAUCAUGCUGUUCUAAAGACUCUCAAAAUAAUAUAAGUGAAGCAUGAGAGUUCAUCUAUUAUUUCUAUAAAAUAAAACCACCACCAUGCUCUAAAAGGAUAUAAGUCAAGCACUAGAGCAACAACAAACUACUAUGAAAGAUAUAAGUGAAGAUCAAUGAGUAGUCGAAUAAUUAUACAACUAUGUGAAGACUCUCUAACAUUUAAGAAUUUCAGAUCUUGGUAUUUUAUUCAAACAUCAAGCAAAAUAAAAUAAAAUAAAAUGAUGCUCCAAGCAAAACACAUAUCAUGUGGUAAAUAAAAAUAUAGCUCCAAGUAAAGUUACCGAUGACCGAAGAUGAAAGAGGGGAUGCCAUCCGGGGCAUCCCCAAGCUUAGGCUCUUGGUUUUCCUUGAAUAGUACCUUGGGGUGCCUUGGGCAUCCCCAAGAUUAGGCUCUUGCCACUCCUUAUUCCAUAGUCCAUCUAAUCUUUACCCAAAACUUGAAAACUUCACAACACAAAACUUAACAGAAAACUCGUAAGCUCCGUUAGUAUAAGAAAAUAAUUCACCACUUAGGUACUGUUGUGAACUCAUUCUAAAUUCAUAUCGGUGUAAAAACUACUGUAUUCCAACUUCUCUAUGGUUUAUAAACUCUUUUACUAGCCAUAGAUUCAUCAAAAUAAACAAACAACACAUGGAAAACAGAAUCUGUCAAAAACAGAACAGUCUGUAGUAAUCUGGAUCAAACAUAUACUUCUGUAACUCAUAAAAUUCUCAAAUAAAUUGCUGGACGUGAGGAAUUUAUCUAUUUAUCAUCUUAAAAAAGGAUUAACUAAAUAGAACUCACCAAUAAAAUAUGGCAACAAUUCUCGUGAGCACUAAAGUUUCUGUUUUUUACAGCAAGAUUAAAAAGACUUUCCCCAAGUCUUCCCAACGGUUCUACUUGGCACAAACACUAAUUAAAAGCAUAAGACCACAUCUAAACCGAGGCCAUAUGAAUUAUUUAUUACUAAACAGGAGCAAAAAGCAAAUAACAAGAAUAACAUUGGGUUGCCUCCCAACAAAUGCUAUUGUUUAACGCCCCUAGCUAGGCAUGAUGAUUUCAACGAUGCUCACAUAAAAGAUAAGAAUUGAACAUAAAGAGAGCAUCAUGAAGAAAAUGACUAGCACAUUUAAGUCUAACCCACUUCCUAUGCAUAGGGAUUUUGUGAGCAAACAACUUAUGGAAACAAGAAUCAACUUGCACAGGAAGAUAAAACAAGCAUAACUUCAAAACUUUAAGCACAUAGAGAGGAAACUUGAUAUUAUUGCAAUUCCUACAAGCAUAUAUUCCUCCCUCAUAAUAAUUUUCAGUAGCAUCAUGAAUGAAUUCAACAAUAUAACUAUCACACAAAGCAUUCUUUUCAUGAUCUACACACAUAUAAAAUUUACUACUCUCCACAUAAGCAAGAUUCUUCUCAUUCGGAAUAGUGGGAGUAUGAGAUACUCGAAUACUAUAAAUUUUUUCCACAUUAAAAGGGUAAUGUUCAGAGAAAGGGUAUUCAUCAUCAUGACAAGUUUUAUAAAUAUAAUCAUCACUACUCUUUAUAGCAUAUGUAUCAUCACAGUAAUUAUCAUAAGUAGGAGGCAUGCUAUCAUCAUUAUAAAUUUGCAUAUCAAAACUUGGGAGACUAAAAAUAUCAUCAUCAUUAAGCGUAGCAUCCCCAAGCUUGGUCCUUUUCAUAUCAUAAGCAUAAUCACUCUCAUCAUUAAUAGUAUAGAUAGCACCAAUGGUAUAGCAAUUAUCAUAUUCUUCCAAGCAAGUUCCAAAAAGAUUGUCAAGAUCAUAAGAAGUGUCAUUAUCUUCCACAAUUAUAUUUUCAUGAGGCACAAUAGUAAUAGGAGCAGCAUUAUUUGGGGGAGAUAUCUUUUUACCUCUCUUUCCUUUUAUUUUCUUCUUCUUCACCACAUCAUGUGUGGGUUCAAUCCUCUUUUCAGAGCUCCUUAUUAAUGAGAUAGGUUGAAUAGGAGGCUCCUCCUCGUUACCUGAUUCAUCAUAAGAAAUAAUAGGAGGGUAUUGGGAAGCCUCUUCCCUUUCAUUAGUAUUCUCUUCAUCUUCUAUUUGUUUUCUUUCCUUUAUGUAAUUGCCAAUAUAAGGAUUUUCAAUGCAAUUCACCGCACAAUACAUAUCAAUCUUCUCUAGAUCAAAAUCAAGAAAUCUAUCAAGAUUAAACUUUGGAAUACCCUCCGUUAUACGUUUCAUUUCCUCGUACCCCAAAAGAAGACUAAGCUCUUUAUGAUGCUCAAGGGUAAUCAAAUUAUCACAAUUUUUGGAUACGAUUCGGUCAUGAAACAAUUUGCAUUGGAGAUUUAAAUGACCAUGUUCAUUGCAAAGUUCACAAGGGGUGCGAAAAAUAUUGAAUUUUUCAGCACAGUCAUCAAGACUUUCUUGCAACAAUUUAGUUUCUAAAUACUCAUGCCUCUUGCAAUAUCUAUCUUCCCUAUUUGGUGUGUACUUACAAACCCAAUGUACUCCACAAAAAUUAACAUGUUUAUAGGAGACAUUAUCAUCAUGACUAGUGCAAUCAUCAUUAGUACCAUGGAUAUUCAAGGAGUUCAUACUAACAACAUUGCAAUCAUGCUCAUCAUUCAAAGAUUUAGUGACGAACAUUUUAAUGCAUUCUUCUUCUAACAUUUUGGCACAAUUUUCCUUUCCAUCAUACUCACGAAAGAUAUUAAAAAGAUGAAGCGUAUGAGGUAGACUCAAUUCCAUCUUUUUAUAGUUUUCUUCUAUAAUCUAGACUAGUGCUAAAACAAGAAACUAAAAGACUCAAUUGCAAGAUCUAAAGAUAUACCUUCAAGCACUCACCUCCAGGGCAACGGCACCAGAAAAGAGCUUGAUGUCUACUGCACAACCUUCUUCUUGUAGAUGUUGUUGGGACUCCAAGUGCAGAGGUUUGUAGGACAGUAGCAAAUUUCCCUCAAGUGGAUGACCUAAGGUUUAUCAAUUCGUAGGAGGCGUAGGAUGAAGAUGGUCUCAAUCAAGCAACCCUGCAACCAAAUAACAAAGAGUCUCUUGUGUCCCCAACACACCCAAUACAAUGGUAAAUUGUAUAGGUGCACUAGUUCGGCGAAGAGAUGGUGAUACAAGUGGUAUAUGGAUAGUAGAUAAUAGUUUUUGUAAUCUGAAAACAAAAAAAAACAGCAAGGUAACUAAUGAUAAAACUGAGCACAAACGGUAUUGCAAUGCGUUGAAACAAGGCCUAGGGUUCAUACUUUCACUAGUGCAAGUUCUCUCAACAAUAAUAGCAUAAUUGGAUCACAUAACUAUCCCUCAACAUGCAACAAAGAGUCACUCCAAAGUCACUAAUAGCGGAGAACGAACGAAGAGAUUAUGGUUGGGUAUGAAACCACCUCAAAGUUAUUCUUUCCAAUCAAUCCGUUCGGCUAUUCCUAUAAGUGUCACAAACAGCCCUAGAUUUCAUACUAGAAUAACACCUUAAGACACAAAUCAACCAAAACCCUAAUGUCACCUUGAUACUCCAAUGUCACCUCAAGUAUCCGUGGGUAUGAUUAUACGAUAUGCAUCACACAAUCUCAAAUUGAUCUAUUCAACCAACACAUAGAACCUCAAAGAGUGCCCCAAAGUUUCUACCGGAGAAUCACGACGAAAAUGUGUGCCAACCCCAAUGCAUAAGUUGAUCACCAAAACAUACAUCAAGUGAAUCACGUGAUAUCCCAUUGUCACCACAGAUACGCACGGCAAGACAUACAUCAAGUGUUAUCAAAUCUUUAAAGACUUAACCCAAUAAGAUAACUACAAAGGGAAACUCAAUCCAUUACAAGAGAGUAGAGGAGGAGGAGAACCAUAAGAUCCAACUAUAAUAGCAAAGCUCGUGUGAAAGCACAAGUGCUCCCUAGGUGGUUUUGAUAAUUGAUGACAACAUAUCUCUUGUUGGACUAACAUUUCUAUCUAGCAUGUUUCAGAUAAGUUCAACAAUGGAGUGGCAUGGACUAAAGGUUGUGGGAACUCCUUCAAGAUGCUAAGGACAAAGGAUUGGCUAAAGCUUCAAGCUCAGGACUCUUCAUUUUACAUUUUAGUGAUCCAAGAUCACAUUGAGUCCAUAGGAAAAGCCAAUACUAUCAAGGAGGGAUGAGGUGUUGCUUAAUGAGCCUCUUGCUUCAUGUGCUUAAUGAUAUGCUCCAAAAUCCUCAGCUACUUUCCCACUUCCACAUAUGACCUAAACCCUAAGCCAAACUCGGUCCUACCGAUUCUUUCUAUCUGGCGCCACCGAGUUUCACCUGUCAUAAGCCACUGCCAAACCCUAGCAAUUUGGUUCUACUGAUAGGGAUCUCGGUCUCACCGAGAUGGGAUUGCAAACUCUCUGUUUCCCUUUCAUAACUUUUCGGUCUCACCGAAAGAGCGAAUCGGUCCCACCGAGAUUGCAAUGUAAACUCUAUGUUUCCCUUUUGUAACUUUUCGGUCUCACCGAAAGAGCAAAUCGGUCCCACCGAGUUUGCCUGACCAACUCUCUGGUUAGCUUAUUACCAAACUCGGUCUCACCGAGUUUGUGUAAUCGGUCUCACCGAGAUUAUGUUAUGCCCAAACCCUAACCAUAUCGGUCCUACCGAGUUGCAUGUCAGUCCCACCAAAAAUCUCUAAUGGUCACUAGGUUUACCUUUUCGGUCCGACCGAGUUUAUUGAUUCGAUCCCACCGAGAUUGGAAAACUGUGUGUAACGGUUGGAUUUUGUGUGGAGGCUAUAUAUACCCCUCCACCUCCUCUUCAUUCGUGGAGAGAGCCAUCAGAACACAUACACAAUUCCAACUCAUAUGUUCUGAGAGAGAACCACCUACUCAUGUGUUGAGACCAAGAUAUUCCAUUCCUACCAUAUGAAUCUUGAUCUCUAGCCUUCCCCAAGUUGCUUUCCACUCAAAUCUUCUUUCCACAAAAUCCAAAUCCUAUUAGAGAGAGUUGAGUGUUGGGGAGACUAUCAUUUGAAGCACAAGAGCAAGGAGUUCAUAUCAACACACCAUUUGUUACUUCUUGGAGAGUGGUGUCUCCUAGAUUGUCUAGGUGUCACUUGGGAGCCUCCGACAAGAUUGUGGAGUUGAACCAAGGAGUUUGUAAGGGCAAGGAGAUCGCCUACUUCGUGAAGAUCUACCGCUAGUGAGGCAAGUCCUUCGUGGGCGAUGGCCAUGGUGGGAUAGACAAGGUUGCUUCUUCGUGGACCCUUCGUGGGUGGAGACGUCCGUGGACUCGCGCAACCAUUACCCUUCAUGGGUGGAGCCCUCCGUGGACUCGCGCAACCGUUACCCUUCGUGGGUUGAAGUCUCCAUCAACGUGGAUGUAGGAUAGCACCACCUAUCCGAACCACGGGAAAAACAUCCGUGUCUCCAAUUGCGCUUGAAUUGUCCAAACCCUUCCCCUUACAUUCUUGCAAGUUGCAUGCUUUACAUUCCGCUGCUCAUAUACUCUUUGCAUGCUUGCUUGAUAUGUAUUGUGUAUGUUGAAAUUGUGCCUAAAACUCCACUCAAACCAAAAAGGCCUAAAAAUUGCAACUUUAGCACUAACUGUCUAAUCGCUCCCCCUCUAGACACAUCUACUUCUAGAUCCUACAAGUGGUAUCAGAGCUUUGGUCUCCAUUGCCUUGGUUUAAUCACCAUUGGAGGAAGAUGGAUGUGUCUACCUUACGGACUCUUAGACUUAGAGUGCCUAUUCUUGAUGGAGAGUAUUUUCAUGAGUGGAAAAAUGAGAUGCUUGUAAUUUUCAAUCAAUAUCAUUUGAACAAGUAUAUUGCUAGCCCUUGUGCACCUCAUAUUGAUCCUUUGCAUCCUACCCUAGAUGGAGAUAUUGACAUGAUUCGCAAUCUUAGAACUAUUGAGCUCAUCAUUAGAGGAUUGCCCAAAAAUUUGAUUGCUAGUUUGCCUACUCUUAAUUGUGCCUAUACUAUAUGGAAAUUUCUUGCGGAAGGAUUUCCCGAUCAUUCCUUGAAAACUUUGGAUGAAAUUCUCCAUAAAUCUAUUGCCUUGAGUAAGAUGAACUCUAGUGAUCCUAGUUUUGAUAAUUGUCUAUUUGAACUUACCAAUCUUAAGCAUGCUAAAGGAGAUGUUGGAAUCAUUAGUGAUAUCAUAUUCGAAGCUAUAAGAAUUCAUAAAAGUGACCACUUUGAUGAUCAUUUAUCUAAUGAAUUACCCUCUCUAGGAAAUGAUGAGUCACAAGAUCAUGAUGAACAUGGAUACUAUGAUGAUGAUGAUGAUAGUGACUUCGAUCUUGAUGAUGCAAUGAGACAUUUUGGUCUUAUGGCAAAUCUUCGGGGAUAUGAAUCAAGAGGAAAGGAAUGGGUUCUUGAUAGUGGAUGUACUGAUCAUAUGACCGAAGAUGAAGAGAUGUUUCGUGAGCUUGCUGAAAAUGACGGCCCUCGAAAGUAUGUCACCUUUGGUGAUAAUUCAAAGGGUAAAGUGGUUGGCCUUGGUAAGGUGGCCAUCUCACAUGAUAGUUCCAUUCAAAAUGUCAUGCUCGUUGAAUCUCUCGGCUACAACUUACUUUCAGUAUCUAGACUUGCUGAUUUCGGUUUGAAUGUCCUAUUUACUGAGGUAGAUUGCCAAGUAUUUCGUCGAGACAAUCAUAAAAUGGUCUUUACGGGUAUGCGUAGAGGUGAUCUUUACAUUGUCGAUUUCUCUAAAAAGGCACAACCUAAAACUUGCUUUGUUGCUAAAUCCUCAAAAGGUUGGUUGUGGCAUAGACGACUAGGUCACGUUGGCAUGAGAAACCUUGACAAGCUUAUUAAAGGAAAUCAUAUCCUUGGAGUUAACGAUGUCAUAUUUGAUAAGGAUAGACUUUGUAGUGCUUGUCAAGCAGGUAAACAGGUUGGAGGAAGGCAUCCCGUUAAGAACAUCAUGACCACAAGAAGGCCACUCGAGCUACUUCAUAUGGAUCUUUUUGGUCCCAACGCCUACAAGAGUCUCAGUGGAAAUUCUUUUGGUCUAGUUAUAGUUGAUGAUUUUUCAAGAUUUACAUGGGUGUCCUUUCUUAAUGACAAGUCACAGUUCCAGAAGAUCUUCAGAAACUUCAUUAGGAAGGCUCAAAAUCAGUUUGACGUGAAGAUCAAGAAGGUUCGGAGUGACAACGGAACGGAGUUCAAGAACGCAAAUGCGGACACCUUUCUUGACGAAGAAGGGAUUUCACACGAGUUCUCGGCUAUGUACACACCUCAACAAAAUGGAGUUGUUGAGAGGAAGAACCGGACGCUCAUCGAAAUGGCAAGAACGAUGCUUGAUGAAUACAAGACGCUGAAGCACUUUUGGGCAGAAGUGGUUGAGACAGCUUGUCACGCAACAAAUCGCUUAUAUCUUCACAAGCUACUCGGCAAGAUGGCAUACGAGCUUCUCACUGGUAACAAACCCCAAGUUGGAUACUUUCGAGUAUUCGGCUCAAAGUGCUACAUUCUUGAUAAGCAUCGUCGUUCAAAGUUUGCUCCUAAAUCUCAUGAAGGUUUUCUACUUGGUUAUGGCUCAAACUCUCACACUUACCGUGUCUACAGCAAUUUCACCCAAAAGGUUGAAGAGACGGUAGAUGUGAAGUUUGAUGAAUCUAAUGGCUCGCAAGUAGAGCAAUUCCCAAUUGAUGUAGGAGACAAAGACCCUUCAGAAGCAAUCCAAGACUUGUCCAUUGGAAAAAUUCGUCCAAUGGAGGUGAAGGAAAGUACUUCAUCCGUCUAAGUGGAAGCUUCUACUUCACGACAAGGUGAACCAAGAAUCGACACGGAAGCAUCCACAAGUGGGACACACCAAGAUGAAGAAGACAAGGAAAUGCAUCAAGACAAACAUCAACAACCUCUUUCUUCACCACGAAAAGAGAACGACGACGUCAACAAUGAAGAAGGCCAAGAAGAAGAACAAGAUGAAGAAGAUGUUCAAUGAAUACCCAAGCAAAAGCUCUCACGAGUUCGAGCAAGAAUUGCCAAAGAUCAUCCUGUCGAGCAAAUCCUCAAUGAUAUACAAACCGGGAGAAUCACUCGCUCAAAAACUCGUUUAGCUAACUUUUGUGAAAACUAUUCAUUCAUCUCUAGCAUUGAACCUAUGAAGGUUGAAGAAGCAUUGGAAGAUCCGGAUUGGAUAAACGCUAUGCAUGAAUAGCUACACAAUUUUGAGACAAACCAAGUUUGGACAUUGGUUGAGAAGCCCGACAACAACCACAACAUCAUUGGUACCAAAUGGGUGUUUCGCAACAAGCAAGAUGAAGAUGGACAAGUGGUUCGCAACAAAGCACGUCUCGUCGCCCAAGGGUACACACAAGUCGAAGGUAUGGACUAUGGUGAGACAUAUGCUCCCGUUGCUAGACUUGAGUCCAUUCGCAUCUUACUUGCCUAUGCUAAUCACCAUAAUAUCACCUUGUACCAAAUGGACAUUAAAAGUGCUUUUCUAAAUGGUGAAAUAGAGGAGGAAGUUUAUGUCAAACAACCUCCCGGCUUUAUCAAUCCUAAGAAACCAAAUCAUGUUUACAAACUUCACAAAGCUCUUUAUGGUCUUAAACAAGCUCCUAGAGCAUGGUAUAAAUGCUUGACCAAGUUCCUUAUUACAAGUGGUUUUGAAAUUGGUAAAAUUGAUUCUACUCUUUUUACUAAAAGGGUUAAUGGAGAACUAUUUGUAUGCCAAAUUUAUGUCAAUGAUAUCAUAUUUGGUUCAACUAACACUCUCUUUAGUGAAAAGUUUGGAAAGCUAUUGUCAGAGAAGUUUGAGAUGUCUAUGAUGAGUGAACUCAAAUUCUUUCUUGGUUUGCAAAUCAAGCAAACUAAGGAAGGUACAUUUGUCUCUCAAAUGAAGUACACCAAGGACUUAUUCAAGAAGUUCAAUAUGCAAGAAUGCAAAGGUAUGUCUACACCCAUGCCUUCUAGUGGACAUAAUGAUUUGACCAAAGAUGGUGAACCGGUUGAUCAAAGGGUUUAUCGCUCUAUGAUUGGUUCAUUGUUAUACCUAUGUGCUUCACGUCCCGAUAUUAUGCUAAGUGUGUGCAUCUGUGCACGAUAUCAAGCUACUCCUAAAGAAUGUCAUCUUAAGGCGGUGAAAAGGAUAGUGAGAUAUUUAAUCCAUACACCAAAUUUUGGCAUUUGGUAUCCUAAGAGGUCUUCUUUUGAUCUUGUUGGCUAUUCCGACUCGGAUUAUACCGGAGACAAGGUUGAUAGAAAGUCCACUUCAGGUACUUGUCAAUUUCUUGGUAGAUCUCUUGUGUCUUGGUCUUCCAAGAAACAAAACUCGGUAUCCUUAUCCACCGCCGAAGCGGAAUACAUUGCCGCUGGUUCAUGUUGUGCUCAAUUACUUUGGAUGACGCAAACUCUUAAAGAUUAUGGGAUUUAUGUGAAACAUGUUCCACUACUUUGUGAUAAUGAAAGUGCUAUCAAAAUUGGUCAUAAUCCUGUACAACAUUCUCGAACUAAGCAUAUUGAAGUUCGUCAUCAUUUCAUUCGAGAUCAUGUUGCUAAGGGUGACAUUGAUCUUAAGCAUGUUCGCACCGAUAAGCAAUUAGCAGAUAUAUUUACUAAACCUCUUGAUGAGAAAGUGUUUUGCAGGUUGAGAGGAGAAUUGAACAUCAUUGAUGCUUCGAACUUGGAGUAGAAACUCCAUUGGAUACAUGCAAGACAUGAGCUUAUGACUAAUCCAUAAUAUAUCUCUUAUGAUAACUAUCUUAUGUCUUGAAUAUAUUUGCACCUUGCAUGUUGUCUAACCCAUGUAGGUGCUUGGUUGAAUCUAAUUCCAUGAGAUUGCGACUCACUCACAUCUUGAGCAAUCUCUAUACAAUGGUGGUUGAAGACAAGGAAGCACAAAACCAUUCAAACAUAUCCUUUGACAAAUUCUAUGUUGAGCUUCAUGAUUGUCAUUUUUGGAUACACAAGUGCUCUUCCCUGCAAGAACUAACCCAUGUAGGUAGAUGAACUCAAAAUCCAAGUGGUGCUCCCAACUCUGUAUGAGCUACAUCAACCUUGAGCACCCACACAAGUUCAACUACAUGAGCAAGAACCACACCACCACCCAAGGUAUGUUAUUCCAUCUUAGAGAAGCUUUACUCCAAGACAUGAGUCAAAGCAACUCAACAAAAUGUGAAUACAUCAUGAUGCUUAAACGAAAAAUGGUAACCCCAUUUUGAGCUUAAAACGAUGAGUAUGACCUAUGAUCAAGUGUUCUCACUUGACUCCUAAGUCAAUAUACUCUAACAUAGGUGACUAUGUCACAGCCCAACUCUAGAUGAAGUUCUCUUGUGUUCUUUUUGUGUGUAUCUCAUGCAUGUUUAGUUUCUUUCUCUUUUUCAAAAAAAAAACUCCAUCUAGAUUUUUCAGUCUCUUCUCUUUUCUUUUUGUUUAUGUUCUGCAUUUUCUGCAUUUAAUUCCUUGCAAAUCUUUCAGGUAAUUCAUUGCAAAUCUUUGUGAGAUCCUACAUGUCUAGUGAGCUGAGGUGACAAGUGUUUUUCUCUGUGUGAACUCGGUUUAACCAACUUGUAAUUUUCGGUCCAACCGAAUCUUUUCGGUGCCACCGAAACAUACCACUCGGUGCCACCGACUUCGCAACAGGAAAAACAGUUUGCCACUUGUUCUAUAUUUCUUCUGAUCCAGCUCUACUCAAUGAAUCUUGUCCUCUACAAGCAUCACAGUUUUAUCCAUUGCUUUGUGCUGAGUCUCAAGGACCAAACCUAUACGACGGAUUCCAGAAAGCCCUUCUUGGAAAUUGAUGUCAAAGGGGGAGAGAGAGAUCACAUCAAAGCUUGUAGGAGAGAGAGAUCCCAUCAAGGGAGAGAAAAAGUCUCAAGGACCAAACCUACAAGAGAGAAAGUAUUAAGGGGGAGAGAGAGACUUCCAGGGGGAGAGAAUACUCAAGGAUCCCAGUUGUCCCAGAUGCUUGAUGCUUGAUGUUCAAGAGGAGAGAUGUCACAUGUCUUUUUAGGGGGAAAGACAUGUUCAUUUGUAUCUUUCAGCUCUGAUUUGCUGUUCCUUAUCUUCUCCCAAUAUCCCAUGUAAGAUUCUGGGGGAGCAAGACACCUAAGGGAAAGAAAUCAGUCAAAUUCAUUGCAUAUCUUUAUUCUUGGGGACAUGUUGAAUCCAAUGUGGUACCUUGUACUCACUCUCUACAUGUCAUCCCAGUCUUGGUAUUCUUGUGGUUUCUUUUGUUUGCUUUGGCUAGUGGAUGUACCUGUGUUAUCUAACUUUGUUUGUGCAGGUUCAUUCCAUCCUAAGCCAACUCAAGACCACAAGGUAAGUAUAUGCAUCAAAAUCAUGAGUAUGAGGAGUUCUUGCUUAUGUACAUACUGUUUGCAAGAAGGACUCAUGAGCAUGAAGGUAUUUUCCUUGAUAAUCUUUUUCUCUGAUGCAUAUGGCCAAGAUACAUGUAACACAUUGCCUACUCUGUCAUGGUUAUGCUCUCACAUGCCUCUAUAUUUCAUAUUUACAUGAGUGGAUACAUGUAGGGGGAGCCUAUUCUUGUUACAUGUCCUGCCAAAGCUUUACUUGAUGUUCUUUAUAUCUUUAUCUAAAGCUUUGAUGUAUGUUGCCAUCAAUUACCAAAAAGGGGGAGAUUGAAAGCACAAGUGCUCCCUAGGUGGUUUUGAUAAUUGAUGACAACAUAUCUCUUGUUGGACUAACAUUUCUAUCUAGCAUGUUUCAGAUAAGUUCAACAAUGGAGUGGCAUGGACUAAAGGUUGUGGGAACUCCUUCAAGAUGCUAAGGACAAAGGAUUGGCUAAAGUUUCAAGAUCAAGACUCUUCAUUUUACAUUUUAGUGAUCCAAGAUCACAUUGAGUCCAUAGGAAAAGCCAAUACUAUCAAGGAGGGAUGAGCUGUUGCUUAAUGAGCCUCUUGCUUCAUGUGCUUAAUGAUAUUCUCCAAAAUCCUCAGCUACUUUCCCACUUCCACAUAUGACCUAAACCCUAAGCCAAACUCGGUCCUACCGAUUCUUUCUAUCCGGCGCCACCGAAUUUCACCUGUCAUAAGCCACUGCCAAACCCUAGCAAUUCGGUUCUACCGAUAGGGAUCUCGGUCUCACCGAGAUGGGAUUGCAAACUCUCUGUUUCCCUUUCGUAACUUUUCGGUCUCACGGAAAGAGCGAAUCGGUCCCACCGAGAUUGCAAUGUAAACUCUAUGUUUCCCUUUUGUAACUUUUCGGUCUCACCAAAAGAGCAAAUCGGUCCCACCGAGUUUGCCUGACCAACUCUCUGGUUAGCUUAUUACCAAACUCGGUCUCACCGAGUUUGUGUAAUCGGUCUCACCGAGAUUAUGUUAUGCCCAAACCCUAACCAUAUCGGUCCUACCGAGUUGCAUGUCAGUCCCACCGAAAAUCUCUAACGGUCACUAGGUUUACCUUUUCGGUCCGACUGAGUUUAUUGAUUCGAUCCCACCGAGAUUGGAAAACUGUGUGUAACGGUUGGAUUUUGUGUGGAGGCUAUAUAUACCCCUCCACCUCCUCUUCAUUCGUGGAGAGAGACAUCAGAACACAUACACAAUUCCAACUCAUAUGUUCUGAGAGAGAACCACCUACUCAUGUGUUGAGACCAAGAUAUUCCAUUCCUACCAUAUGAAUCUUGAUCUCUAGCCUUCCCCAAGUUGCUUUCCACUCAAAUCUUCUUUCCACAAAAUCCAAAUCCUAUGAGAGAGAGUUGAGUGUUGGGGAGACUAUCAUUUGAAGCACAAGAGCAAGGAGUUCAUCAUCAACACACCAUUUGUUACUUCUUGGAGAGUGGUGUCUCCUAGAUUGUCUAGGUGUCACUUGGGAGCCUCCAACAAGAUUGUGGAGUUGAACCAAGGAGUUUGUAAGGGCAAGGAGAUCGCCUACUUUGUGAAGAUCUACCGCUAGUGAGGCAAGUCCUUCGUGGGCGAUGGCCAUGGUGGGAUAGACAAGGUUGCUUCUUCGUGGACCCUUCGUGGGUGGUUGCUUCUUCGUGGACCCUUUGUGGGUGGAGCCCUCCGUGGAGUCGCGCAACCAUUACCCUUCGUGGGUGGAGCCCUCCGUGGACUUGCGCAACCGUUACCCUUCGUGGGUUGAAGUCUCCAUCAACGUGGAUGUAGGAUAGCACCACCUAUCCGAACCACGGGAAAAACAACCGUGUCUCCAAUUGCGUUUGAAUUCUCCAAACCCUUCCCCUUAUAUUCUUGCAAGUUGCAUGCUUUACAUUCCGCUGCUCAUAUACUCUUUGCAUGCUUGCUUGAUAUGUAUUGUGUAUGUUGAAAAUUUGCCUAAAACUCCACUCAAACCAAAAAGGUCUAAAAAUUGCAACUUUAGCACUAAGUAUCUAAUCACUCCCCCUCUAGACACAUCUACUUCUAGAUCCUACAAGUGGUAUCAGAGCUUUGGUCUCCAUUGCCUUGGUUUAAUCACCAUUGGAGGAAGAUGGAUGUGUCUACCUUAGGGAGUCUUAGACUUAGAGUGCCUAUUCUUGAUGGAGAGUAUUUUCAUGAGUGGAAAAAUGAGAUGCUUGUAAUUUUCAAUCAAUAUCAUUUGAACAAGUAUAUUGCUAGCCCUUGUGCACCUCAUAUUGAUCCUUUGCAUCCUACCCUAGAUGAAGAUAUUGACAUGAUUCGCAAUCUUAGAACUAUUGAGCUCAUCAUUAGAGGAUUGCCCAAAAAUUUGAUUGCUAGUUUGCCUACUCUUAAUUGUGCCUAUACUAUAUGGAAAUUUCUUGAGGAACGAUUUCCCGGUCAUUCCUUGAAAACUUUGGAUGAAAUUCUCCAUAAAUCUAUUGCCUUGAGUAAGAUGAACUCUAGUGAUCCUAGUUUUGAUAAUUGUCUAUUUGAACUUACCAAUCUUAAGCAUGCUAAAGGAGAUGUUGGAAUCAUUAGUGAUAUCAUAUUCGAAGCUAUAAGAAUUCAUAAAAGUGACCACUUUGAUGAUCAUUUAUCUAAUGAAUUACCCUCUCUAUGAAAUGAUGAGUCACAAGAUCAUGAUGAACAUGGAUACUAUGAUGAUGAUGAUGAUAGUGACUUCGAUCUUGAUGAUGCAAUGAGACAUUUUGGUCUUAUGGCAAAUCUUCGGGGAUAUGAAUCAGGAGGAAAGGAAUGGGUUCUUGAUAGUGGAUGUACUGAUCAUAUGACCAGAGAUGAAGAGAUGUUUCGUGAGCUUGCUGAAAAUGACGGCCCUCGAAAAUAUGUCACCUUUGGUGAUAAUUCAAAGGGUAAAGUGGUUGGCCUUGGUAAGGUGGCCAUCUCACAUGAUAGUUCCAUUCAAAAUGUCAUGCUCGUUGAAUCUCUCAGCUACAACUUACUUUCAGUAUCUAGACUUGCUGAUUUCGGUUUGAAUGUCCUGUUUACUGAGGUAGAUUGCCAAGUAUUUUGUCGAGACAAUCAUAAAAUGGUCUUUACGGGUAUACGUAGAGGUGAUAUUUACAUUGUCGAUUUCUCUAAAAAGGCACAACCUAAAACUUGCUUUGUUGCUAAAUCCUCAAAAGGUUGGUUGUGGCAUAGACAACUAGGUCACGUUGGCAUGAGAAACCUUGACAAGCUUAUUAAAGGAAAUCAUAUCCUUGGAGUUAACGAUGUCAUAUUUGAUAAGGAUAGACUUUGUAGUGCUUGUCAAGCAGGUAAACAAGUUGGAGGAAGGCAUCCCGUUAAGAACAUCAUGACCACAAGAAGGCCACUCGAGCUACUUCAUAUGGAUCUUUUUGGUCCCAACGCCUACAAGAGUCUCAGUGGAAAUUCUUUUGGUCUAGUUAUAGUUGAUGAUUUUUCAAGAUUUACAUGGGUGUCCUUUCUUAAUGACAAGUCACAGUUCCAGAAGAUCUUCAGAAACUUCAUUAGGAAGGCUCAAAAUCAGUUUGACGUGAAGAUCAAGAAGGUUCGGAGUGACAACGGAACGGAGUUCAAGAACGCAAAUGUGGACACCUUUCUUGACGAAGAAGGGAUUUCACACGAGUUCUCGGCUAUGUACACACCUCAACAAAAUGGAGUUGUUGAGAGGAAGAACCGGACGCUCAUCGAAAUGGCAAGAACGAUGCUUGAUGAAUACAAGACGCUGAAGCACUUUUGGGCAGAAGUGGUUGAGACAGCUUGUCACGCAACAAAUCGCUUAUAUCUUCACAAGCUACUCGGCAAGAUGGCAUACGAGCUUCUCACUGGUAACAAACCCCAAGUUGGAUACUUUCGAGUAUUUGGCUCAAAGUGCUACAUUCUUGAUAAGCAUCAUCGUUCAAAGUUUGCUCCUAAAUAUCAUGAAGGUUUUCUACUUGGUUAUGGAUCAAACUCUCACACUUACCAUGUCUACAACAAUUUCACCCAAAAGGUUGAAGAGACGAUAGAUGUGAAGUUUGAUGAAUCUAAUGGCUCGCAAGUAGAGCAAUUGCCAAUUGAUGUAGGAGACAAAGACCCUUCAGAAGCAAUCCAAGACUUGUCCAUUGGCAAAAUUCGUCCAACGGAGGUGAAGGAAAGUACUUCAUCCGUCCAAGUGGAAGCUUCUACUUCACGACAAGGUGAACUAAGAAUCGACAUGGAAGCAUCCACAAGUGGGACACACCAAGAUGAAGAAGACAAGGAAAUGCAUCAAGACGAACAUCAACAACCUCUUUCUUCACCAUGACAAGAGAACGACGACGUCAACAAUGAAGAAGGCCAAGAAGAAGAACAAGAUGAAGAAGAUGUUCAACGAAGACCCAAGCAAAAGCUCUCACGAGUUCGAGCAAGAAUUGCCAAAGAUCAUCCUAUCGAGCAAAUCCUCAAUGAUAUACAAACCGGGAGAAUCACUCGCUCAAAAACUCGUUUAGCUAACUUUUGUGAAAACUAUUCAUUCAUCUCUAGCAUUGAACCUAUGAAGGUUGAAGAAGCAUUGGAAGAUCCAGAUUGGAUAAAUGCUAUGCAUGAAGAGCUACACAAUUUUGAGAGAAACCAAGUUUGGAUAUUGGUUGAGAAGCCCGACAACAACCACAACAUCAUUGGUACCAAAUGGGUGUUUGGCAACAAGCAAGAUGAAGAUGGACAAGUGGUUCGCAACAAAGCACGUCUCGUCGCCCAAGGGUACACACAAGUCGAAGGUAUGGACUAUGGUGAUACAUAUGCUCCCGUUGCUAGACUUGAGUCCAUUCGCAUCUUACUUGCCUAUGCUAAUCACCAUAAUAUCACCUUGUACCAAAUGGACAUUAAAAGUGCUUUUCUAAAUGGUGAAAUAGAGGAGGAAGUUUAUGUCAAACAACCUCCCGGCUUUAUCAAUCCUAAGAAACCAAAUCAUGUUUACAAACUUCACAAAGCUCUUUAUGGUCUUAAACAAGCUCCUAGAGCAUGGUAUAAAUGCUUGACCAAGUUCCUUAUUACAAGUGGUUUUGAAAUUGGUAAAAUUGAUUCUACUCUUUUUACUAAAAGGGUUAAUGGAGAACUAUUUGUAUGCCAGAUUUAUGUCGAUGAUAUCAUAUUUGGUUCAACUAACCCUCUCUUCAGUGAAAAGUUUGGAAAGCUAAUGUCAGAGAAGUUUGAGAUGUCUAUGAUGAGUGAACUCAAAUUCUUUCUUGGUUUGCAAAUCAAGCAAACUAAGGAAGGUACAUUUGUCUUUCAAAUGAAGUACACCAAGGACUUAUUCAAGAAGUUCAAUAUGCAAGAAUGCAAAGGUAUGUCUACACCCAUGCCUACUAGUGGACAUAAUGAUUUAACCAAAGAUGGUGAACCGGUUGAUCAAAGGGUUUAUCGCUCUAUGAUUGGUUCAUUGUUAUACCUAUGUGCUUCACGUCCCGAUAUUAUGCUAAGUGUGUGCAUGUGUGCACGAUAUCAAGCUGCUCCUAAAGAAUGUCAUCUUAAGGCUAUGAAAAGGAUAGUGAGAUAUUUAAUCCAUACACCAAAUUUUGGCAUUUGGUAUCCUAAGAGGUCUUCUUUUGAUCUUGUUGGCUAUUCCGACUCGGAUUAUACCGGAGACAAGGUUGAUAGAAAGUCCACUUCGGGUACUUGUCAAUUUCUUGGUAGAUCUCUUGUGUCUUGGUCUUCCAAGAAACAAAACUCGGUAUCCUUAUCCACCGCCGAAGCGGAAUACAUUGCCGCUGGUUCAUGUUGUGCUCAAUUACUUUGAAAUGACCCAAACUCUUAAAGAUUAUGGGAUUUAUGUGAAACAUGUUCCACUACUUUGUGACAAUGAAAGUGCUAUCAAAAUUGGUCAUAAUCCUGUACAACAUUCUCGAACUAAGCAUAUUGAAGUUCGUCAUCAUUUCAUUCGAGAUCAUGUUGCUAAGGGUGACAUUGAUCUUAAGCAUGUUCACUCACAUCUUGAGCAAUCUCUACAUCAACAAGACUCUACACAAUGGUGGUUGAAGACAAGGAAGCACAAAACCAUUCAAACAUAUCCUUUGACAAAUUCUAUGUUGAGCUUCAUGAUUGUCAUUUUUGGAUACACAAGUGCUCUUCCUUGCAAGAACUAACCCAUGUAGGUAGAUGAACUCAAACUCCAAGUGGUGCUCCCAACUCUUUAUGAGCUACAUCAACCUUGAGCACCCACACAAGUUCAACUACAUGAGCAAGAACCACACCACCACCCAAGCUAUGUUAUUCCAUCUUAGAGAAGCUUUACUCCAAGACAUGAGUCAAAGCAACUCAACAAGAUGUGAAUACAUCAAGAUGCUUAAACGAAAAAUGGUAACCCCAUUUUGAGCUUAAAAUGAUGAGUAUGACCUAUGAUCAAGUGUUCUCACUUGACUCCUAAGUCAAUAUACUCUAACAUAGGUGACUAUGUCACCGCCCAACUCUAGAUGAAGUUCUCUUGUGUUCUUUUUGUGUGUAUCUCAUGCAUGUUUAGUUUCUUUCUCUUUUUCAAAAAAAACUCCAUCUAGAUUUUUCAGUCUCUUCUCUUUUCUUUCUAUUUAUGUUCUGCAUUUUCUGCAUUUAAUUCCUUGCAAAUCCUUCAGGUAAUUCAUUGCAAAUCUUUGUGAGAUCCUACAUGUCUAGUGAGCUGAAGUGACAAGUGUUUUCUCUGUGGAACUCGGUUUCACCGACUUGUAAUUUUCGGUCCAACCGAAUCUUUUUGGUGCCACCGAAACAUACCACUCGGUGCCACCGACUUCGCAACAGGAAAAACAGUUUGCCACUUGUUCUAUAUUUCUUCUGAUCCAGCUCUACUCAAUGAAUCUUGUCCUCUACAAGCAUCACAGUUUUAUCCAUUGCUUUGUGCUGAGUCUCCAGGACCAAACCUAUACGACGGAUUCCAGAAAGCCCUUCUUGGAAAUUGAUGUCAAAGGGGGAGAGAGAGAUCACAUCAAAGCUUGUAGGAGAGAGAGAUCCCAUCAAGGGAGAGAAAAAGUCUCAAGGACCAAACCUACAAGAGAGAAAGUAUUAAGGGGGAGAGAGAGACUUCCAGGGGGAGAGAAUACUCAAGGAUCCCAGUUGUCCCAGAUGCUUGAUGCUUGAUGUUCAAGAGGAGAGAUGUCACAUGUCUUUUUAGGGGGAAAGACAUAUUCAUUUGUAUCUUUCAGCUCUGAUUUGCUGUUCCUUAUCUUCUCCCAAUAUCCCAUGUAAGAUUCUGGGGGAGCAAGACACCUAAGGGAAAGAAAUCAGUCAAAUUCAUUGCAUAUCUUUAUUCUUGGGGACAUGUUGAAUCCAAUGUGGUACCUUGUACUCACUCUCUACAUGUCAUCCCAGUCUUGGUAUUCUUGUGGUUUCUUUUGUUUGCUUUGGCUAGUGGAUGUACCUAUGUUAUCUAACUUUGUUUGUGCAGGUUCAUUCCAUCCUAAGCCAACUCAAGACCACAAGGUAAGUAUAUGCAUCAAAAUCAUGUGUAUGAGGAGUUCUUGCUUAUGUACAUACUAUUUGCAAGAAGGACUCAUGAGCAUGAAGGUAUUUUCCUUGAUAAUCUUUUGCUCUGAAACAUAUGGCCAAGAUACAUGUAACACAUUGCCUACUCUAUCAUGGUUAUGCUCUCACAUGCCUCUAUAUUUCAUAUUUACAUGAGUGCAUACAUGUAGGGGGAGCCUAUGCUUGUUACAUGUCCUUCCAAAGCUUUACUUGAUGUUCUUUAUAUCUUUAUCUAAAGCUUUGAUGUAUGUUGCCAUCAAUUACCAAAAAGGGGGAGAUUGUGCACAAGUGCUCCCUAGGUGGUUUUGAUAAUUGAUGACAACAUAUCUCUAUUUGGACUAACAUUUCUAUCUAGCAUGUUUCAGAUAAGUUCAACAAUGGAGUGGCAUGGACUAAAGGUUGUGGGAACUCCUUCAAGAUGCUAAGGACAAAGGAUUGGCUAAAGCUUCAAGCUCAAGACUCUUCAUUUUACAUUUUAGUGAUCCAAGAUCACAUUGAGUCCAUAGGAAAAGCCAAUACUAUCAAGGAGGGAUGAGGUGUUGCUUAAUGAGCCUCUUGCUUCAUGUGCUUAAUGAUAUGCUCCAAAAUCCUCAGCUACUUUCCCACUUCCACAUAUGACCUAAACCCUAAGCCAAACUCGGUCCUACCGAUUCUUUCUAUCCGGCGCCACCGAGUUUCACCUGUCAUAAGCCACUGCCAAACCCUAGCAAUUCGGUUCUACCGAUAGGGAUCUCGGUCUCACCGAGAUGGGAUUGCAAACUCUCUGUUUCCCUUUCGUAACUUUUCGGUCUCACCGAAAGAGCGAAUCGGUCCCACCGAGAUUGCAAUGUAAACUCUAUGUUUCCCUUCUGUAACUUUUCGGUCUCACCGAAAGAGCAAAUCGGUCCCACCGAGUUUGCCUGACCAACUCUCUGGUUAGCUUAUUACCAAACUCGGUCUCACCGAGUUUAUGUAAUCGGUCUCACCGAGAUUACGUUAUGCCCAAACCCUAACCAUAUCGGUCCUACCGAGUUGCAUGUCAGUCCCACCGAAAAUCUCUAAUGGUCACUAGGUUUACCUUUUCGGUUCGACCGAGUUUAUUGAUUCGGUCCCACCGAGAUUGGAAAACUAUGUGUAACGGUUGGAUUUUGUGUGGAGGCUAUAUAUACCCCUCCACCUCCUCUUCAUUCAUGGAGAGAGCCAUCAGAACACAUACACAAUUCCAACUCAUAUGUUCUGAGAGAGAACCACCUACUCAUGUGUUGAGACCAAGAUAUUCCAUUCCUACCAUAUGAAUCUUGAUCUCUAGCCUUCCCCAAGUUGCUUUCCACUCAAAUCUUCUUUCCACAAAAUCCAAAUCCUAUGAGAGAGAGUUGAGUGUUGGGGAGACUAUCAUUUGAAGCACAAGAGCAAGGAGUUCAUCAUCAACACACCAUUUGUUACUUCUUGGAGAGUGGUGUCUCCUAGAUUGGCUAGGUGUCACUUGGGAGCCUCCGACAAGAUUGUGGAGUUGAACCAAGGAGUUUGUAAGGGCAAGGAGAUCGCCUACUUCGUGAAGAUCUACCGCUAGUGAGGCAAGUCCUUCGUGGGCGAUGGCCAUGGUGGGAUAGACAAGGUUGCUUCUUCGUGGACCCUUCGUGGGUGGUUGCUUCUUCGUGGACCCUUCGUGGGUGGAGCCGUCCGUGGACUCGCGCAACCUUUACCCUUCGUGGGUGGAGCCCUCCGUGGACUCGCGCAACCGUUACCCUUCAUGGGUUGAAGUCUCCAUCAACGUGGAUGUAGGAUAGCACCACCUAUCCGAACCACGGGAAAAACAUCCGUGUCUCCAAUUGUGUUUGAAUUCUCCAAACCCUUCCCCUUACAUUCUUGCAAGUUGCAUACUUUACAUUCCGCUGCUCAUAUACUCUUUGCAUGCUUGCUUGAUAUGCAUUGUGUAUGUUGAAAUUGUGCCUAAAACUCCACUCAAACCAAAAGGGCCUAAAAAUUGCAACUUUAGCACUAAGUGUCUAAUCACCCCCCCUCUAGAGACAUCUACUUCUAGAUCCUACAUCGUGAUACAUCAAGAUCGUGCCAAAUCAAGAACACGAGAGAUAGAGAUAAAACACAUAGCUACUGGUACAUACCCUCAGCCUCGAGGGAGAACUACUCCCUCCUCGUCAUGGAGAGCACUGGGAUGAUGAAGAUAGCCACCAGAGAGGGACUCCCCCUCCGAUAGGGUGCCAGAACGGGUCUAGAUUGGCUUUCAGUGGCUACGGAUGCUUCUGGCGGUGGAACUCCCGAUCUAUUGUGCUCCCGGAUGUUUUUAGGGUAUAUGGAGAUAUAUAGGCGGAAUAAGUACGUCAGGGGAGCCAUGAGGGGCACACGAGGGUGGAGGGCGCGCCCCCCUGCCUCGUGGCCUCCUCGUUGCUUCCCUUACGUGGAGUCCAAGUCUCUCGGUUUGCUUUCCUUCCAAAAAUAAGUUCCGUGAAGUUUCAGGUCAAUUGGACUCCGUUUGAUUUUCCUUUUCUGUGAUACUCUAAAACAAGGAAAAAACAGAAACUGCCACUGGGCUCUAGAUUAAUAGGUUAGUCCCAAAAAUAAUAUAAAAGUGUAUAAUAAAGCCAAUAAACAUCCAAAGUUGAUAAUAUAAUAGCAUGGAACAAUCAAAAAUUAUAGAUACGUUGGAGACGUAUCAAUGGUGCUCGUCGACUAUGGAGGCGCUUCGUAGCGCCCCCAUCAGGUCAUCUCGCGCUCCUGGAUGGACAAGAGCCACCGGUGGAGCCGACACACCCCCCUCCUUCAAAGGGGGCUGCUCGCCCGAUUCCGGAGCCAUAUUGGUCUCCGGAAUCGUAUUUGGCUGAGGGCCGAACUGGAUACGACCCUCUCCGCCAGUCUCCAUGGGGAUAGACUCCCCCGUGUGUCCGGCAGUGGAGGUCCCGCCUUGAGGAGCCUCCCGGACAACGUCCUGGGCUCCUCUCUUCGGCGCGGUCCUCCAGGAUAAGACUUCGGAGUCGUCCCUGGCCCCAGGGGAGUAAGUAGGUGGUGGCGACAUGCUCGCCAUCUCCGACGGAGCCAACGAACCUCCAGAUGAGGAUCUCUGGAUAAGGUCGCGGGCCGAACUACAAUAAUGUGUAUUAACCGUAUCAGAAUACUAAAAAAAGGGCUGCUAUGCGCAUGAGUAAGCCAUGUCACUUACGAUGCGGCCUGGGGCCUAGUACAGGGGUGACGUUCCGGACUACUAUCAGCGUCCCACGCGGUAUUGACCGCUCGAGUGCCCUUCCCCUUUUUGGGCGCUUUCACCUCCGGAUGUGCCGAGGCCACCCUAUUCUUCUUCUUCUCCUCAGGAGAAGGUUUGUUUCCCUCCUCCUCCUCUUCCUCGUCAUUGUCCUCAAGGACAGAGGAAUGGGACUCGUCGUCUGCGGACAUCACGUCCGAAGUGCCCUUGCGACGGGGGCCACUCUUGGCCCCCUUGGCCUUCUUCUUGGCUUUCUUCUUCGGCGCCGUAUAUGGCGCCGGCACCAGCAUCUUCGCCAAGCUCGGGAUGACUGGUUCUUCAGGCAACGGAGCCGGACACUGGAUUCGCUUCGCCCUCUCCGGCCAGUCCUAAGGGAGCAAUAUUAAAAUCUCAGACAUCAUCUCGUUGGCAGGGCAGUUACAAUUUUGACCGCGGUCCGAGUCCGUGGACGGUGGCUUCUCGUUGCCCUUCAAGAGCAACUUCCAGGCCUCUUCGUGAGAAGUAUCGAAGAGCCUUUUCAGGGUCUGGUGCUUCUUCAGAUUGAAUUCCCAUAAAGGGCGGCUGCGGCGCUGGCACGGAAUAAUCCGGCGGAUUAGCAUCACCUGGAUAACGUCACCAAGCUUGACGUCCUUGGUCACCAUGCUUUGUAAGCACAUCUGCAGCGCUAUCAGCUCGUCAGGUGCACACCAGUACGGACUCUUCUCGACCCAGGAGGUGAGUCGCAUGGGAGCGCUGGAGCGGAAUUUAACAGUUGGGGCACAGGCGGUGCCCGAGGUUCUGUAAUAUAGAACCACUGCUUCUGCCAUUCCUUUACUAUCUCGAUAAAGGUGCGUUUGGGCCAUGAGACGUUGGAUAGCUUGCUCACCAUGGCCCCUCCGUACUCUGUGUGCUGUUCCUCCACCACCUUCGGCUUCAUGUUGAAGACUUUGAGCCAGAGCCCUAAGUGGGGAUGGAUGCGGAGGAAGGCCUCGCACACAACGAUGAACGCCGAGAUGUUGAGGAAGGAAUUUGGGGACAGAUCAUGGAAAUCUAUCCCAUAGUAAUACAUCAGCCCGCGAACGAAAGGGUGGAGUGGAAACCCUAGCCCGCGGAAGAAAUAGGGGAUGAAUACCACCCUCUCUGUGGGCUUCGGUGUGAGGACAGCUUGUCCCUCGGCUGGCAGACGGUGGGCGAUCUCCUUCGCCAAAUAUCCAGCCACCCGGGGCUUAGUAAUGUCCGCCUCCUUGACGGAGGAGACCAUCCACUUGCCCUGACCACAAGAUCCGCACAUGGUUGCUUGAGUGGAAAGGAGAUGAGAGCUUGGGCGUUGGAGCUUGAGAUCGGAAAGGCGGAGGCAGAGAGAGAGCGUGAGGAGAGGAAGGGGGAAUCCUUAUCCCCUUAUAAAGGUAGUAAAUAUUAAACGCCUCCUCACUCGCCUUAGGAUUCGCCUGUUCCCUAGGACUGUAUAAAUGACACGGUUGAGUUACCCAUGUCCGCAUUGAUGAGAAUCCCACAAUAAGGGGACACGAUCUCUGUUUUUACAUGACAUGACAGUAGCAACCACGCCUCAUAUCGUGAAUUGGCUGAAGAAAAACGGUUCGAAAUUAUAACCGGACAUACAUGAUGUCGUGUUCGGAAAAAGUUGUCAAUAGAUUAGAUUCGAGCAAGUAUUAUAUUCUCUCUGCGGUUGUGUGCGUGACAGGUCCAGAUACCAUCAUUGCAUCCAAAGACUAUCUUGGAGUUCGGAGAAAGGGGAACCCUCCAUGCAAUUCCGAAGACAAUCUACAUGCCGGACUCCUCGUCAUUGAAGCCAGGUUCAGGGGCUAUUGAGGGAGUCCUGGACUAAGGGGUCCUCAAGCGUAUGUCCUGUUAUCUUUGGGCUGGACUGAUGGUCCAUGAAGACAUGAAGGUCGAAGACUGCACCGUGUCCGGAUUGGACUCUACUUGGCGUGGAAGGCAAGCUUGGUGACCGAAUAUUCCUUCUUAUGUAACCGACUCCAUGUAAACCCUAGAUCCCCUCAGUGUCUAUAUAAACCGAAGGGGAUAGUCCUGAAAGGACCCAAGAUAUAUUCAUUACCAUACCCACAUAGGCUAGACUUCUAGGGUUUUAGCCAUUAUGAUCUCAUGGUAGAUCCACUCUUGUACCACUCAUAUUCAUCAAUAUCAAUCAAGCAUGAUGUAGGGUUUUACCACCAUAGAGAGGUCCCAAACCUGGGUAAACAUUGUGUCCCACGUCUCCUGUUACCAUCGAUCCUAGAUGCAUAGUUCGGGGCCCCCUACCCGAGAUCCACUGGUUUUGACCCCGACAAUGCCCCGGAAGGCAUCCCCUCUUUAGUCUUCAUCUAUCGGUAGCUUUACUUGAGGCUCUAUUUUUAUUCACCACAUAAUAUGUGUUUUGCUUGGAGCAUCUUGUAUUAUUUGAGUCUUUGCUUUUUAGUUUACCACAAUCAUCCUUGUUGUACACACCUUUUGGCAGAGACACACAUGAAUCGGAAUUUAUUAGAAUACUCUAUGUGCUUCACUUAUAUCUUUUGAGCUAGAUAGUUUUGCUCUAGUGCUUCACUUAUAUGUUUUUAGAGCACGGUGGUGGUUCUAUUUUAUAGAAAUUAUUGAACUCUCAUUCUUCACUUAUAUUUUUUUGAGAGUCUUUUAGAACAGUAUGGUAAUUUGCAUUGGUUAUGAAAUUAGUCCUACUAUAAUAGACAUCAAGGAUGGGUAUAAUAAAAACUUUCAUAUAGAGUGCAUUAAAUGUUAUGAGAAGUUUGAUUCUUGAUAGUUGUUUUCUGAUAUAAAGGUGGUAAUAUUAGAGUUGUUCUAGUUGAGUAAUUAUGGAAUUGAGAAAUACUUGUGUUGAAGUUGGCAAGUCCCGUAGCAUGCAUGUAUGGUAAAAGUUGUGAGGCAAAUUUGAAGCAUGAGGUGUUCUUUGAGUGCUGUCCUUAUGAGUGGCUGUCGGGUACGAGCGAUGGUCUUUUCCUACCAAUCUAUCCAACUAGGAGCAUGCGCGUAGUGCUUGGUUUUGAUGAAUUGUAGAUUUUUGCAAUAAGUAUAUGAGUUCUUUAUGACUAAUGUUGAGUCCAUGUAUUAUACGCACUCUCACCCUUCCAUCAUUGCUAGCCUCUUUGGUACCCUGCAUUGCCGUUUCUCACCUCGAGAGUUGGUGCAAACUUCGCCGGUGCAUCCAAACCCCAUGAUAUGAUACACUCUAUCACACAUAAGCCUCCAUAUAUCUUCCUCAAAACAGCCACCAUACCUACCUAUUAUGGCAUUUCCAUAGCCAUUCCGAGAUAAAUUGCCAUGCAACUUUCCACCGUUCUGUUUGUUAUGACAUGCUCCAUCAUUGUCAUAUUGCCUUGCAUGAUCAUGUAGUUGACAUUGUAUUUGUGGCAAAGCCACCUUCAUAAUAGUUUCAUACAUGUCACUCUUGAUUCGUUAUCCCGGUAAAUCGCCAGAGGCAUUCACAUAGAGUCAUAUUUUUUCUAAGUAUCAAGUUGUAAAGUAAAUAAAAGUGUGAUGAUUUUCAUUAUUAGAGCAUUGUCCCAUGUGAGGAAAAGUUCUUUAAAAAGAGAAAUGCCAUCAAAAAAGAGAGGCCCAAAAAAUGAGAGAAAAGGAGAGAAGGGGCAAUGUUCCUUUUUCCACACAUGUGCUUCAAAGUAGCAACAUGAUCUUUAUGAUAUAGAGUCUCUUAUGUUGUCACUUUCAUAUACUAGUGGGAAUUUUUCAUUGUAGAACUUGUCUUGUAUAUUCCAACAAUGGGCUUCCUCAAAAUGCCCUAGGUCUUCGUGAGCAAGAAAGUUGGAUGCACACCCACUUAGGUACUUUUGUUGAGCUUCCAUAUAUUUAUAGCUCUAGUGGAUCUGUUGCAUGGCAAUCCCUACUCCUUGCAUUGACAUCAAUUGAUGGGCAUCUCCAUAGCCGUUGAUUAGCCGCGUCAAUGUGAGACUUUCUCCCUUUUUGUCUUCUAACACAACCUCCAUCAUCAUAUUCUAUUCCACCCAUAGUGCUAUAUCCAUGGCUCGCACUCAUAUAUUGCGUGAAAGUUGAAAGAGUUUGAAAAGACUAAAGCAUGAAACAAUUGCUUGGCUUGUCAUUGGGGUUGUGCAUGAUGGGAGCAUUUUGUGUGACAAAAAUGAAGCAUGGCCAAACUAUAUGAUUUUGUAGGGAUAAGUUUUCUUUGGCUAUGUUAUUUUGAUACGACAUGAUUGCUUGGUUAGCAUUGCUUGAAGUAUUAUUAUUUUUAUGUCAAUAUUAAACUUCUGUCUAAAAUCUUCGGAUCUAAGCAUUCAUGCCGCAAUAAACAGAAAUACAUUGAAAAUUAUGUUAAGUAGCAUUCCACAUCAAAAAUUCUAUUUUUAUCAUUUACCUACUCGAGGACGAGCAGGAAUUAAGCUUGGAGAUGCUUGAUGCGUCUCCAACGUAUCUAUAUUUUUUGAUUGUUCCAUGCUAUUAUAUUAUCUGUUUUGGAUGUUUAUGGGUUUUAUUAUGCACUUUUAUAUUAUUUUUGGGACUAACCUAUUAACCGAAGGCCUAGUGCAAAUUGCUGUUUUUUUGCCUAUUUCAGUGUUUCGCAGAAAAGGAAUAUCAAACGGAGUCCAAACGGAAUGAAACCUUCAUGAGGAUCUUUUUUUGGGAACGAACACAAUCUAGGGGACUUGGAGUGGAUGUCAAGGAAGCAGCGAGGCGGCCAUGAGGUAGGGCAGUGCACCCAGGGGGGCCAGGCACACGCCCCACCCUUGUUGGCCCCUCGCAGCUCCACCGACCUACUUCUUUCGCCUAUAUAUACUCUUAUACCCUGAAAAGAUCCAGGGGAGCCACGAAACCACUUUUCCACCGCGCAACCUUCUGUACCUGUGAUAUCCCAUCUGGGGACCUUUUCCGACGAUCUGCCGAAGGGGGAUUCGAUCACGGAGGGCUUCUGCAUCAACAUCAUAGCCUCUCCGAUGAUGUGUGAGUAGUUUACCAUAGACCUUCGGGUCCAUAGUUAUUAGCUAGAUGGCUUCUUCUCUCUCUUUGGAUCUCAAUACAAAGUUCUCGAUGUUCUUGGAGAUCUAUUCGAUGUAAUUCUUUUUGCGGUGUGUUUGCUGAGAUUUGAUGAAUUGUUGGUUUAUGAUUAAGAUUAUCUAUGAACAAUAUUUGAUUCUUCUAUGAAUUCUUAUAUGCAUGAUUCGAUAUGUUUGCAAGUCUCUUCGAAUUAUCUGUUUGGUUUGGCCUACUAGAUUGAUCUUUCUUGCAAUGGGAGAAGUGCUUAGCUUUGGGUUCAAUCUUGCGGUGUCCUUUCCCAGUGACAACAGGGGCAGAAGGCACGUAUUGUAUUGUUGCCAUCGAGGAUAAAAAGAUGGGGUUUAUAUCAUAUUGCUUGAGUUUAUCCCUCUACAUCAUGUAUCUUGCCUAGUGCGUUACUCUGUUCUAUUGAACUUAAUACUCUAGAUGCAUGCUGGAUAGCGGUCUAUGUGUGGAGUAAUAGUAAUAGAUGCAGAAUCAUUUCGAUCUACUUGACACGGUCGUGAUGCCUAUGUUCAUGAUCAUGCCUGGAUAUAAUCAUAACUAUGCGCUUUUCUAUCAAUUGCUGGGCAGUAAUUUGUUCACCCACCGUAAUAUAUGCUAUCUUGAGAGAAGCCACUAGUGAAAACAAUGGCCCCCGGGUCUACUUUACAUCAUAUUAUUUUCCUGUCAACUAGCUAUUUAUUUCACCAUUUAUUUUGCAAUAUUUACUUUUCAAUCUAUACAACAAAAAUACCAAAAAUAUUUAUCUUAUUAUCUCUAUCAGAUCUCACUUUUGUAAGUGACCGUGAAGGGAUUGACAACCCCUUUAUCGCGUUGGUUGCGAGGUUCUUGUUUGUUUGUGCAGGUACUAGGUGACUUGCAUUUAGUGUCCUACUAGAUUGAUACCUUGGUUCUCAAAAACUGAGGGAAACACAUAUGCUACUUUGCUGCAUCACCCUUUCCUCUUCAAGGGAAAACCAACACAUGCUCAAGAGGUAGCAGAGGCCGACGCGGUGAUACGUCUCCAACGUAUCUAUAAUUUUUGAUUUCUCCAUGCUAUAUUAUCUACUGUUUUGGACUAUAUUGGGCUUUAUUUUCCACUUUUAUAUUAUUUCUGGGACUAACCUAUUAACUAGAGGCCCAUCCCAGAAUUGCUGUUUUUUUGCCUAUUUCAGUGUUUCGAAGAAACGGAAUAUCAAACGGAGUUCAAACGGAAUAAAAUCUUCGGGAACGUGAUUUUCUCAGCGAACGUGAUCCAGGAGACUUGGACCCUGCUCCAAGAAACAAAAGAGGCGGUCACGAGGGUGGGGGCACCCCCCUAGGGCGCCCCCUGCCUCGUGGGCCCCUCGUUGCUCCUCUGGCAUACUUCUUCCUCCUAUAUAUACACACGUACCCCCAAACGAUCAGAACAGGAGCCAAAAACCUAAUUCCACCGUCGCAACUUUCUGUAUCCACGAGAUCCCAUCUUGGGGCCUGUUCCGGAGCUCUGCCGGAAGAGGGCCGUCAUCACGGAGGGCUUCUACAUCAUCAUAGCCUCUCCGAUGAAGUGUGAGUAGUUUACCUCAGACCUUCGGGUCCAUAGUUAGUAGCUAGAUGGCUUCUUCUCUCUCUUUGAAUCUCAAUAUAAAGUUCUCCCCCUCUCUCAUGGAGAUCUAUUCGAUGUAAUCUUCUUUUUGCGGUGUGUUUAUUGAGACCGAUGAAUUGUCAGUUUAUGACCAAUUCUAUCUAUGAAUAAUAUUUGAAUCUUCUCUGAAUUCUUUUAUGUAUGAUUGGUUAUCUUUGCAAGUCUCUUCGAAUUAUCCGUUUGGUUUGGCCAACUAGAUUGGUAGUUCUUGCCAUGGGAGAAGUGCUUAGCUUUGGGUUCGAUCUUGCGGUGUCCUUACCCAGUGAUAGAAGGGGCAGCAAGGCACGUAUUGUAUCAUUGCCAUCGAGGAUAACAAGAUGGGGUUUAUUUCAUAUUGCAUGAAUUUAUCUCUCUACAUCAUGUCAUCUUGCUUAAGGCGUUACUCUAUUUUUAACUUAAUACUCUAGAUGCAUGCUGGAUAGCGGUCGAUGAGUGGAAUAAUAGUAGUAGAUGCAGAAUCGUUUCGAUCUACUUGUCACGGACAUGAUGCCUAUAUACAUGAUCAUGCCUAGAUAUUCUCAUAAUUAUGCACAAUUCUAUCAAUUGCUCAACAGUAAUUUGUUCACCCACCAUAGAAUACUUAUGCUCUUGAGAGAAGCCACUAGUGAAACCUAUGGCCCCCGGGUCUAUUCUCAUCAUAUCAAUCUCCAUCACUUUUAUAUUGUUUUGCUAUUUACUUUGCCUUUAAUUUUUUACUUUGCAUCUUUAUGAUAAAAAUACCAAAAAUUUCUAUCUAUCAGAUCUCACUCUCGUAAGUGACCGUGAAGGGCUUGACAACCCCUAAUCACGUUGGUUGCGAGUAGCUAUCGCUUUGUGCAGGUACGAGGGACUUGAGUGUGGGCUCCUACUUGAUUGAUACCUUGGUUUUCAAAAACUGAGGGAAAUACUUACGCUACUCUGCUACAUCAUCCCUUCCUCUUCGGGGAAAACCAACGCAAGCUCAAGAUGUAGCACGCAGCCGCGGAGGAGAAAGAGCUCGCCUAGUGUGCGGAGUAUGCCGGGGAAGCAAAUGGUGCCGGCGCCGGGCCCCCCCUUAAUGAAGAUGCGGGCGACGAUUCGCCCGAAGAGGAAGCCGAGGCGGGCGACCCUCCAUCCGCGGGGAGGAAACGCGUCCUGCGGCGGGCCAACUCCGGUGAGCCGGUCCGGCCUGGCAGAGCCGUGCAGCGGCCACCGGCUCAGGAGCAGCCCGUGCGUGAGACGAGGGCGAUGAAGGGUGCGACAAUGAAGAAGGCGGUGAAGGCCGUGGUGGCGAAGAAGACACGACUUCCUCCUCCUCGUCCAAGCGGCGCCGGACCGCAUCUCCUUCUCCCCCUCCCUCGAACAGCACCCUAGAGGUCGAAUUCGACCUUGGAUCUUUUAGCCAGAAGAGGAAGAGGAAGCCAGUGGAGGACGAGUAAGUAUUUCACCCCCAUCAUCUCCUGACCUUAUGCCCGUGUUAUCCUCUUUUGAUAUGAUGUUAUCUUCAUAGGGACACGAAGAUGCUGGCCCAGAGGGUGGCGAAGAGGGCCAGGGCCUCGACGGGCGACAAGCCUCCGGCGGGUAUUUCGCGUACGCCGGUGUUGUUGGAGAGCAGCCCGAACAACAGCCCCCGAUGCAGCCCUCGCUUCAGCCCCCAGUGUGAGUUCAUCACUCACUUCUUCACUAAUGAGCAUUCGGGUGUAAAUUCUUGAUGCUGACCUUGCUGGGUUUGCAGGAAAAGAACGGCAACAGGAGGAGCCGCUGAGGGCCACUCCCAACACGCCGCCCCCCUAGACUACACCGCCCAAAGGGGCGUCCCCGGCAAGGGCAUCCACCCUCGAGCCCACGCGUAUGGAGGAGGAGGCGAGCACGGGUGCCGGUGGCUCUGCCCCGGCAAUGAAUGUUGCCGGGGAGGGCGCCACUUCUUCCCAGCCUGGUGCGAGUAAGUUGUUUGCCUCCCGUCCCUAUUCUUUCUUCUUCUUUUUGAACCUUGAUCUUGGCUCCGUCUCAUUCCCUUUCUCGGUAUCCAGACCCUCCCUCGGUGGACCGGGAGGAUAUUGACACCAUCAUCGGGGAUGUCGCUAAGGACACCGAGGCUGAGGCCAACAAGAUUGCCGCCGAGGAGGCCGCCAAGACCGCCGCUGAGGAGGCCGCCAAGGGGCCUGCCGGGGAGGCCGGCAAGUCCGCUGCCGAGGAGGCCGGCAAGGGGUCCUGCCGGGGAGAAUAACAAGGCCGCUGCCAAGGAGGCCGGCAAGGUGCCUGUCGGAGAGGGGGUGGUUGAUGACCAACCUUCCUCCUCUGCCGCCCCUGGGCCGGGCAAGUACUUGAAGGUGGGCGACGACCUGUUCGUCCACCUCCUAGGGACGGCGAGCACCAGGGUGCCAACCGAAGGGGAGGUGUAUGACGACGAGGCGCUUGCCUCUGCUAGGCUCCAGGUUGUUGAUGAACCGAGCGCCGGCGGUGGCGGUUCCCAAGAGGAGCAGCUCCUUUGAGCCAUGGGCGCCAACUUCCAGAGGCUCUAGGCACUCCACCGGGCCCGCCAAGACAAGGUAAAAUCCAGGAUGGUAGCGGUGGACAAGGCAGAGGCUGCUUUUGAGGAGUGCGUCGCUGAGACGCAGGUCAGGUUCGGCAAGGCUAGGGAUGAACUGAGGGCCACAGGCGGGAGCUCAUCCUGAAGCAGGCCGGUACCUAAAAGGCCCAGGAGGUGGCGAAGAAUGAGGCCGUUGCGGACGAAGCUGCCCGGCAACAGCAGCAGGCCCUGCUGAACUCGUAGGAGGAGGACCUUGCCGCUCGUGAGAAGGCGCUCGCCGCCACGUUCCGCGGCAAGGACGAGGAGGUCGAGAAGCUCGUCAUGCAGCGGACCCUGGAGCUGGAGCAGAGGCACAAAGAGGCACUCAAUGCUCAGGCCCUAGUCCAUGCCGACAAGGUGAAGGAUGUCACAUCCCUAGUUCUGGUAUGACCUAGACCAGCUAGUCAAUUGUGCAUCAUGUUCAAAUUCCAUUUAAAUUUGAAAUGGGGAUUUUUGAAACCCUCAGAAUCAUUUCUGGAAAUAACCCAGAUAAAAAUUGCUCCAAAAAGGUCCAAGAAAAUGUUCAUGUUGCUCUCUGAAAAUAUUGGUCAGAGGUAAAACUCAAACCAAUAUUUUUAGGAACUCAUAAAUAUUUAUUUUGGCCAUUUGGAAUCAAUGCAAUAAUUAUUUGCAUUGGAUAUAUAUAUAUGAUAUAUUUAUUUAUAUAUGUCCAACAAUUCUGAUUUUUAUGUGAGGGGCUCUGGAAUACUUCAACUAGCUCCUACAAUAAAUUUCAGAAGAAAAUAAAUUGAUUUAGUAUUUUUUUAAUCAAAACAAAUGUCAGAAAAUAGAAAAGAAAAGAAAUGGAAAACCCUACCUGGUCCUUACCUGCGGCCAGCUCCUAUGCUGGCCCAGCAUUGUGCGGCCUGGCCCGGCCCAACUGGCCAAGCCAGUCAUCCUCCUCCUUGCCAGGAGGAGGCGAAGAAGGGCACGGCGAGCGCGCGCAUGCACGCCACGCUCCUGCCUGCCUGCCCCCCUUCCCCUCGGUGCUAUCCACCCCAGAGAGCUCCACCGAGCCCCCUGGCCUCUCCUCACUCUCUCCCAAGCUCUCUCCUCUCCUCUGCUCGUCUUCUCUCCCGCGCCCGAACGCCACCGCAGCACGUCGCCGUGAGCCACCGCGACCAUCGCCACCGCCCCGUCCCUUGCUGCUGUCCAGGAGCACCGCCGCCCUCGACUACGCCUCCUCGUCGAGCUGGACGACGCCAGGAGCACUGCAGCGUCGCCACCGCCGUCAUCCCCUUCGUCGGAGCCACGAAUCGCCGCCGCUAAAUUCGUCGCCGACUAGUCCUCUUCGAGCUCACCGACGACGCCUUCGAGUUCACUAUGAGCUCCCCUUCCUCCUCCCCCUAGCCCUGUAGCUCGAGCGCCCCCCUAGCCCUGUCGGCCACCUUGGCCGAGAGCUCGGCUCCGCCAUUCAUGUCGCCGCCGUGGCCACAGCUGCCACAGCUCGCAACCGAGCUCACCGCCGUUCUCAUUGCCCUCCCGCGCGUCGUUUGCACCCAACUGCAGCCCCCUAGUGCUCCGCAGCACCUAACCCGCACGCACCCGACUCCGGCCGCCGCCGUGAGCUCUGCUCCGGCGAGCUCUGCUCCGGCGAGCUCCGCCAUUCCCGCGGCCUCCCCUGAGUGCGGCUGGAUGCGCCCGUGCACGGGCUACCCGCCGGUGGCCUCCGUGUGCCAAACCAUGGCCUCCAGCUUGUUCCGGCGAACUUCCUCCAUGGCUCGAGGUCGUCGCCGGUGAAACUCCGGCGGCUGACGUGGCGCAUGAUUAGCUGCUAACCAUGCCACUUAAUCCACCCCUAAGCCACUGACUUUGGGCCCCAAGGCUCGGUCAAACCCUAGUUAGCUGGGUUUGACUCGGCUUUAGCCCCGGUGUCACUGACGUGUGGCCCCCACAUGUUAGGUUUGACCUGGUCAGCCCUGCUGACGCCUCUGUGACGUCAUGCUAACGCAAUAAUGAUUUUUUUCUGGAUUUUAAAUAAUUCAGAGAAUUCCAGAAAUUGAUAUAAACUUCAAAAAUUCAUAUAAAUUCAACCGUAGCUCAGAUUGAAAUAAUUUAUAUAUGAAAAAUUAUCAGAAAAAUUCAAUCUAUCCAUCUGUACCUAUUUCAUGCAUGUCUAACCAACUUAUACUUGCUAUAUAGGUGAAAACAUAUAAAUGGCAUUUAUAAAGAUUUAAUUUAGAGUUUCAUUUGAACCUUUGGUUUAAAUGGACAUCUUCCAAAUAGAAUGCUAAAUGCAUUAGCUCAAAGCACAUCACAUACUCAUGCCAUGAUCAUGCAUCAUAUUGUUGCAUAUGCUUGUUUUUGAUUAUCGACACCGUUCCUUCUCAAUAGGUCCUGCUCCAGAGACCCUUCCAGAGUACCUGUCUGAGGAGCAGUGCCUUCCUUGUUGAUCUACCAGGCAAGCAAACCCCCUUGUUCAUUCCGAUACAAUCCUACUCUUUCGCUCCUGCUCUCAUUUAUUGCAUUAGGACAACAAAGAUUCAACUGCUACUUUAUGUUGCGGUAGUUGAACCCAUUCCUCUGCAUGACCUGUCGCUGCCACAGUAAAUAGUUAAAACCCACUAGCAUGUGUAGGAGUUGAUUAAGCCAUGUUGUGUUCUUGCCAUGCCAUGCCUGCUAUUGCUUAGAGUUGUGUCAGGUCUGAUUCAUCGGGAAUGAAUUGGAGUGGUACAAUAUGUUCUGGUGCUGAGAGUUAAGCGUGUGAACACGAUUUGGUAAAGGUAGCGGUGAGAGGCCAUGUAGGAGUACAUGGUGGGUUGUCUCAUUGGAACCAUCCUUAAGCACUGAGUUCCGUGUAUGUUGUCCAAUGACUAGCUACUACCACACAUUGGAAUGCUUAAGUGCCCCUCUCGACUUAUUAGCCAACUUGAUCUCUGUCCAGGAGUCGCAAAUAGUUUCUGGUGUUUGUAGGUAGUGUUAGUAGUCUACCAAGUGGCACCCGGCCAGCUAGGCUUGGGACAGACUAGGCACAAGUGGCACGGUGUACCAAGCAUAGAUCCAUCCGACGAGGUUGGCUUGGGAACCCUGCACAUAUCGUUUGGGGCCGUGAGCGACACCCCGGCCGGAUCUCCUUGCGGAUGGAACCCGAAUAGGCGAUAAACCUGGAGUAGAGUCUUGUGUGGUUAGUCAGGUCGUGGCCGACACCCUCGCCAGGCUUCCGCUUGAAGGUUGCCGAGAUACAUGACGUGUACAUGGUGAUAAGUGGUGAGAGCGUGUGUGAAGAAGUACACCCCUGCAGGGUUAUCAUGAUCUAUUCGAAUAGCCGUGUCCUCGGUUAUGGACUUCUUGGAUGCUUACGUGGUACAUAGACAACUUAAAGUGGAUACCCUAAAAUGCUCAUGACAAGUGUGAGUGCUAUGGAUGGCCUUCUCGUAAGGAGACGAGGAUGAAUCCAUAGUAGUGUCUUUGAUGUGGUGUUUAGUGGACUCGUGUGCGCUGCCUCACCUCAAAGAAGUUUCUCGUUAUCGUAGAACAGGAUAGCAACUCAGUCAAAGCUGGCUUGCUGCAACUAAACCCCACAUUACCUUCUUGAUACAAAUGCAUGUAUGAUAGGAUCUGAUGUAAGUCUUGCUGAGUACCUUUGUACUCACGUUUUCUUUAUUUAUGUUUUGUAGGUGAGACAUCUGUCUCACUAGUAGUACCGCUUGGACUUCGACGAGUAGCUUGUUACCUCAGCUACGAUCUUGUACCCUUGGGAGGGUAUUGUAGAUAGUCAGGCUUCUCAGUUUUUUUUUCUUUUAUAGUUGUCUGUACUCAGACAUGUAAUGCUUCCGUUGCUUGUGUGCUUUGAAUGAUGGGUCAUGUGACCCUGUUUGUAUUAAUGCUAUGUGGCUCUUUUGGGCCUUUAGCUAUUUGAGUUGCGUUAUGUUGUGAUGCCAUGUUGUACAUCACAUACUUGCAUGUUAUGCAUACGUGUGACGUGUAUUGCUAUGUGUGGGAUCCGACAAUCUAGUUGUUUAUCCUUGGCAGCCUCUCUUAUGGGGAAAUUUAGUUAUUGCUUCUUUGAGCCAUAGUAGUCCGCUACAGCCCGGUUCACCGGAGUCCCGCUAGCCCAGCACUACUGCUCAGGACACUUGACUGGCCGGCAUGUGUUUCACUUUGUUCCUGUGUCUGUCCCUUCGGGGAAAUGUCACGCAGUGACAUCCGGAGUCCUGCCUAGCCUGCUAUAGCCCGGGUUCCCCAGAGUCCUGUUAGCCCAGUGCUACAGCCUGGAUUCACACGCUGCUGACCGACAUGCUCAAUGUGAAUCAUGUAUGCCUGUCCCCAUAGGUUAGUGCCGCUUUGGGUUCACGACUAGGCAUGUCGGCCCGGGUGCUCUGUCAUAUGGAUGGUAGCAACACAAUCAUAUACGUGAUCCAAAAGGCGCAAACGGUCCCGGGCCAGGGUAAGGAGACACCCGUGGGAAUACCGUGCGUGAGGCCGUAAAGUGAUAUGAGGUGUUACCAGCUAGAUCGAUGUGACUUGGGAUCGGGGUCCCGACAAAGGAGCUGGAGCUGGAGUGGGAGGAGCUGAAGAAGGUGGCCUCAAAGCUGACGAAGGAGAGGGAAACGGCCAACCGCACUCUUGUGGAUGCGCAUGUCGCCAUCUCCGACAAGAACAAGCUGCUCACCGAGGCCAAGACUCCAUCAAUGACCUGAAGUUGAAGUUGAACGGCUUGGAGGGGAAGCUUUUGGAGGCCGGGACUCGUGAAGAGACCCCAAACAAGGUCCUGGAGGACGAGAGGCAGCUCCGGAGGAAUGGUGCCAACGAGCACAAGGAGUAGGCGGAGGGCGUAAACCUCUGGAUCAGCCGCCUCGUCGACGUCGAUGGCAGGAUCACCACGAAGGUUAGGUACUCCCAGGAGCCGAACGUGAUCCCCAACACCAGGCUGACCCUGUUCUUCAAGGGCGUCCUCGAAGCCUUGGAGUGACUCCGCUCCAAUCAAGAAGCCUAUCUGGGCAAUGAGUCCCGGAGGCUCUGCCGGGGCGCCCUGACGAAGGUACUCACCAAGGUGGCAUUCUAGAACCCCGGUGUCUACUUCGCCAAUGCGCUGCAGAGCUUGCCGAAAGGGACGAACCUCACGACGCUCAGGGAGAGUAUCGAGCCCAUCAUCACCUGCGUCGAUGGAGUCGAGAGAGUGGAGGGCCAGCGCCGGGACUAGCCACCCCGUUUCUCGUUGCGCUGCGGAUUCAUGACCAAGACGAUUUUUAUCUUAAGUCAGAACCGCAGCAAUUAUUGAUGUAAUAUAACUUCGCAGUACUGUAAGCUGAAACAUGCUAUCUUCAUGUAUCGAUCCUUAUUUGUACAUAUACACCUUGUGCCCAGUAGGAUAGGUUCUCUUGCACGUAAACCCAUGCUAUGGUGCUUUGAGGACGAAUCCUUAGGAGCCUGCCGAGGCGUGCUUGCUGUCGGACAAAUCACCUUGCCGCUCUCAGUGUGGCCGCUUGAACUGUUGAGCAGACUCGAAACAGAACAAGGACAUUGCUAAUAGCGGGCAGGUCACCUCGCCUUUCUCAGCGCAGCCGCUCGAACUGUUGAGCGGACUCAAAACAGAAUGAGGGUGUUGCCAAUAGAGGAAGGGUCCCAUUGCGUGCAGGUUUUCCGUACAAAGAGCAAGAUCCUUCAAGGAGAAUAACCGUAUAUUAAGAAGAAAUGCUCAAGGUUGUGCCUGACUUAGCCUUUUACGACCACACGGACAGUCGCUGCGGCUGCGGACGGCACCAGAGUGCGGUUGAUUGACAUCGCCUUCUCCUCUUGUGCCAUCGCGACGAGGGAAUUGAUAAGUUGACUCCAAAACCGGAUUUUCACAGCUUGCGCCCCCUACCUGGCGCGCCAAAGAUGUCGGGGUGAACGACACCUAUGGGAUGACCGGGAAUCCCUUCUAAGGUCGGCGGGCGCGACACUACUAGGGAAAACCUUAUACACAGAACAUUAGCAGUAACGCGGGCUAAAAACGCACAUUGGUGCUAAGUAGCAGCAGUGCAGUGUUUUAAACCGCGCUACAGAGACAGUUAUAGCAGUAGCGCACCCGAGUACAAAAGCGCUACUACUAAAAUUCCCACGGCUUAGCCGAUAGGCUACACAUAGUAGUAGCGAUCUAUGUAGAACCGCGCUACCGCUACUUGUUUUGUAGCAACGCAUUUAUGAACAAAGGUGCUACUGCUAACGAAAAUAAAAUUAAAUGGAAAGAAAAUAAAAGAGAAGGAAUAGCAGUAGCGCUUGUUAAGAAAAACGCUAUAGCUACCGUAGCAGAAGCGCACUUCCACUAGUAGAAAACAGGGCUUUGGUCCAGGUCGGGUCUGCCCAUUAGUCCCAGUUCAGUCCAGAACCGGGACCAAUGUGGGCAUUGGUCCCGGUUCGUGAGCCCAGGGGGCCGGCCGGGCCACGUGGGCCAUUGGUCCUGGUUCAUCUGGACCUUUUGGUCCCAGUUGGUGGGAUGAACCAGGACCAAUGGGCCUCGCUCCUGGCCCACCACCAUUGGUCCCAGUUGGUGGCUUGAACCGGGACCGAAGGCUCCCCUUUAGUCCUGGCUCAUGUCACCAACCGGGACCAAUGAGGUGCCUAUAUAUACCCCUCGCUCGUGAGCAGAGCACCCCGGUGCUCUGUUUUUCUCUGGCCGACGGGAGAGGGCUUGGUGGUGCUCUAGCUCACCUCCUAUGCACACAAGGUGUUCGAUGGAAUGCCCGAGCCACACAACUUAAGCUUUCUCCUCUCCAAGCUCGACCUCCAAGCUCCAUUUUCCAUAAUAUUUGUCUAGGUUUAGCGGUCCGUCACGCCCCGUCCCCGUCUUCACCGCCGUCGAUCACCCGCGCUGAGCUCAUCGCCGGCACCACCGUGGUGAGCCUCUUGUUCUUAUCUUCUUUCUGAAAGGAAAAAUAUUCUUACUUGUAUGUUUACAUAGAUACUUGUAUUAUUUUCUUACUUUAUUAUUGCAUCUUAUAUAGUGCGAUGGUUUUGGUAUCCGCCACCGUCGGCCCUCGUCCUGUCUAUGAUUCAGAUGUGGUAUAUAUAUUAUCUUUAUAACUAUUGGUUCAUUUAUUGUUUAUGAAAAUUAUGCCGACCAAUGUGACAUAGAUUUUAUUUAUGUAGGAUUUAUGUGAAUCGGAAAUGCCAACCGACCCUAUUGUCGAGAAGUUAAAUUUAGUUGAAGAAGAAAACAAUUUGUUGAAGGAAAAAAUAAAAAAAAUUGAGGAGGAGAAGAUGAUAUUGGAGUUGCAUGUUGCGGAUGUCGUCGAUGAUCACAAGAUCAAGAUGGAUGCAAUGCGCUUGAACAUUAGAAAGAUUAGAAAAUAUGCCAUUCAUACCGAGGCUUGGUAUCAUUAUGCCGUUGGAUCAAUUGUUACCUUGGUUGCGAUUAUGAUCACAUUUGUUUUCGCAUUGAAAUGUUUUACAUAGUUUCAAUGUAUGGUUUAAUCAAUUAGAUGCUCUGGAGAGCUAUAUGUUGUUAGAUGAGAACUAUGUAUGCACUCUGGUUUUAAUGUGAUGAUGAACUUCUAUUAAUUUGGACACUUAAUUAUAUAUAAUUCACGCAGAUGAACCGGCAAUGGAUGUACGGUGACAGACACACCCGCGAGUACAUUAAGGGCGUGCAUGAGUUUCUCGAUGCGGCUGAGGCAAACAAGCAUAAUGGUUUUAUGUGUUGUCCAUGCACUCAAUGUGGGAAUACGAGGUCUUACUCUAACCGGAAAAUCCUUCACUCCCACCUGCUUUACAAGGGUUUCAUGCCACACUAUAAUGUUUGGAUGAGGCACAGAGAAAUAGGGGUUAUGAUGGAAGACGGCGAAGAAGAAGAGUACGAUGACAACUAUGUGCCCCCUGAAUACGGUGAUGCUGCAACGGGGGGAGUUGGUGAAGAUCAAGAGGAACCAGACGAUGUGCCCAAUGAUGCUGCAACGGGUGAAGCUGCUGAAGAUCAAGAGGAACCAGACGAUGUGCCCGAUGAUGAUGAUCUCCGCCGGGUCAUUGUCGAUGCAAGGACGCAAUGCGAAAGUCAAAAGGAGAAGCUGAAGUUCGAUCGCAUGUUAGAGGAUCACAAAAAAGGGUUAUACCCCAAUUGCGAAGAUGGCAACACAAAGCUCGGUACCGUACUGGAAUUGCUGCAGCGGAAGGCAGAGAAUGCUGUGCCUGAAAAAGGAUUUGAGAAGCUACUGAAAAUAUUGAAGAAGAAGCUUCCAAAGGAUAACGAAUUGUCCGACAUACAUACGCAGCAAACAAGGUCGUAUGCCCUCUAGGAUUGGAGGUGGAGAAGAUACAUGAAUGCCCUAAUGACUGCAUCCUCUACCGCGGUGCAUACAAGGAUCUGAACGCAUGCCCGGUAUGCGGUGCAUUGCGGUAUAAGAUCAGACGAGAUGACCCUGGUGAUGUUGACGGAGAGCCCCUCAGGAAGAGGGUUCCUGCGAAGGUGAUGUGGUAUACUCCUAUAAUACCAUGGUUGAAACGUCUGUUCAGAAACGAAGAGCAUGCCAAGUUGAUGCGAUGGCACAGUGAGAACCAAAAGAAAGAUGGGAAGUUGAGAGCACCCGCUGACGGGUCGCAGUGGAGAAAAAUCGAGAGAAAGUACUGGGAUGAGUUUGCAAAGGACCCAAGGAAUGUAUGGUUUGCUUUAAGCGCGGAUGGCAUUAAUCCUUUCGGGGAGCAGAGUAGCAAUCACAGCACCUGGCCCGUGACUCUAUGUAUGUAUAACCUUCCUCCUUGGAUGUGCAUGAAGCGGAAGUUCAUUAUGAUGCCAGUUCUCAUCCAAGGCCCUAAGCAACCCAGCAACGAAAUUGAUGUGUACCUAAGGCCAUUAGUUGAAGAACUUUUACAGCUGUGGAAUGGAAACAGUGUACGCACGUGGGAUGAGCACAGACAGGAGGAAUUUAACCUUAAGGCGUUGCUGUUCGUGACCAUCAACGAGUAGCCCACUCUUUGUAACCUUUCAGGACAGACAAACAAAGGAUACCACGCAUGCACGCACUGUUUAGAUGACACUGAAAGUAUAUACCUGGACAAAUGCAGGAAGAAUGUGUACCUGGGUCAUCGUCGAUUUCUUCCGACCAACCAUCAAUGUCGAAAGAAAGGCAAGCAUUUCAAAGGCGAGGCAGCUCACCGGAAGAAGCCGCCAUGCGCACCGGUGAUCACGUGCUUGCUAUGGUCAAUGAUUUACACUACGUAAUCUUUGGAAAGGGUCCCGGUGGACUAGCUGUUCCGAAUGACGCUGAGGGACACACACCCAUGUGGAAGAAGAAAUCUAUAUCUUGGGACCUACCCUACUAGAAAGACCUAGAGGUUCGCUCCUCAAUCGACGUGAUGCACGUGACGAAGAACAUUUGCGUGAACCUGCUUGGCUUCUUGGGCGUGUAUGGGAAGACAAAAGAUACACCUGAGGCACGGGAGGACUUGCAACUUUUGCACGAAAAAGACGGCAUGCCUCUGAAGCAGUAUAAAGGUCCUGCCAGCUACGCUCUUACGAAAGAAGAGAAAGAAAUCUUCUUUGAAUGCCUGCUUAGUAUGAAGGUCACGAGUGGCUUCUCGUCGAAUAUAAAGGGAAUAAUAAAUAUGCCAGAGAAAAAAAUUUAGAACCUAAAGUCUCAUGACUGCCACGUGAUUAUGACGCAACUUCUUCCGGUUGCAUUGAGGGGGCUUCUACCGAAAAACGUCCGAUUAGCCAUUGUGAAGCUAUGUGCAUUCCUCAAUGCAAUCUCAGAAGGUGAUCGAUCCAGAAAUCGUACCAAGGCUAAGGAGUGAUGUGGCGCAAUGUCUUGUCAGUUUCGAGCUGGUGUUCCCACCAUCCUUCUUCAAUAUCAUGACACAUGUCCUAGUUCAUCUAGUCGACGAGAUUGUCAUCCCGGGGCCCGUAUUUCUACACAAUAUGUUCCCCUUUGAGAGGUUCAUGGGAGUCCUAAAGAAAUAUGUCCGUAACUGUGCUAGGCCAGAAGGAAGCAUCUCCAUGGGCCAUCAAACAGAGGAUGUUAUCAGGUUUGGUGUUGACUUCAUUCCUGGCCUUAAGAAGAUAGGUCUCCCUAAAUCGUGGUAUGAGGGGAGACUGACUGGAAAAGGCACUCUUGGAAGAGACUCAAUAAUAUGCAGGGACGGAUAUUCUUGGUCUCAAGCAAACUACACAGUUCUACAGAACUCUACCUUGGUGACCCCGUAUGUCGAUGAACACAAGAACAGUCUGCGCUCCAAACACCCGGAGUAGUGCGACGACUGGAUUACAUGUGAACACAUCAGGACUUUCAGCAGUUGGUUGGAAACACGUCUCAGAGGUGACACCACUGUUUGUGAUGAGUUGUACUUGUUGUCCAGGGGACCAUCUUUGACUGUAUUGACUUACAAAGGAUAGGAGAUAAAUUGGAAUACAUUUUAAACGAUCGCCCAAGAUCAAAAGAGCACCAACCAAAACAGCGGUGUCCGCUUUGAUGCAGCAACCGAGAGUGGAAAGGACACAUAUUAUGGUUACAUAGUGGACAUAUGGGAACUUGACUACGGACCUGAUUUUAAGGUCCCUUUGUUUAAGUGCAAAUGGGUCAAUCUGUUAGGCGGCGGGGUACAGGUAGACCCACAGUACGGAAUGACAACAGUGGGUCUGAAAAAUCUUGGGUACACUGACGAACUGUUCAUCCUAGCCAAUGAUGUGGCACAGGUUAUCUAUGUGAAGGACAUGUCUACCAAACCGAGAGAAAGAAAAGAUAAGGAAGCGAAUACAUCAUACGAUGAGCCAAAGCGCCACAUAGUUCUUUUAGGAAAAAGGGACAUCCUGGGAGUGGACGGCAAGACAGACAUGUCUGAAGAUUAUGAAAAGUUUCAUGAAAUUCCUCCCUUCAAUGUCAAGGCUGACCCAAGCAUCCUGAUAAACAAUGAAGAUUAUCCAUGGUUACGGCGCAAUAAGCAAAUGACACAAGCGAAGAAAAAGUGAAGACUUUCUCCCACAACUAUUAUGAUGAUACCAUGCCAACUUUGUAAUACACGAACAUGCUACCAUUGUCCGUUUUGUACAUGCACAUGCUAUGUGGGUGAAAUUAUGAUACCAUCCCAACUUUCAACUUUUUCAGAGUUCAUUUGAAAUGCUUUCAUGUCUUAUGGUUCGUCCCUCGUAAUACCAUGACCAUUAGUCCCUGGCCCAUGCCAACUUUCAACUUUCUAAAACUAAUGGCACUAACAGAAAGUUUAUAAUUUUGCUCCUCGCCCCUGGCCCAUGACCAUUAGUCCCGGAUUGUGCCACAAACCGGGAAUAAAGGGUUGGUCCUCGUUGCGGGCAGAGUUUAGUCCCACCUCGCCAACCGAAGGGGUCUCACACCGGUUUAUAAGCCCUUCCCUCUCUGCCUUGUUGAGCUCCUCUCGAAGUGAAAAUAGAUGCCCCAAUAGAGAAAAGUUUAACCUAAAUUCAUAGUGAAUUUCUCUGAAAUUCAUAGAAAUUUACUAGGAAUUUAGGUUGAAUUUUCUCUAUAAGCGCAUCUAUUCGCAUUUUUAGUAAGUUAAUCACAAACUUGUGAUUCAAACAAUUUUCAAAGAAUUCAAAUUUUAACUAUUCAAAUUUGAAAACUAAUGGCACUAACAGAAAGUUUAUAAUUUUUCUAAAACUAAUGGCACUAACAGAAAGUUUAUAAUUUUGCUAACCUAAAAGCAAACAGAAUUAAAAAUUAAAGCAAAAAACAAAAGAAAAUAAAUAAUGCAAAAAACAAAUCAAAAAAAGGAAAAAACUAUUUUUAUAGUAAAGUUAAUCACAAAAUAAAAUAAAUAAAGCAACAAAGAAAACAAAAAAUCUAAAAAAGUGUUUUCAAAUUUGAAAACUAAUGGCAUUAACAAAAAGUUUAUAAUUUUUCUAAAACUAAAAGCAUAAAGAAUUAAAAAAUAAAGCAAAAAACAAAAGAAAAUAAAUAAAGCAACAAAAAAACAAAAAAAUGCCACCUACUAGGCCACCACGGCCUGAAUACGACUAGAAACCCUACCAUGGGCCAGGAUUCAGGCCCGCAGUAGGCCCAGUAGGCCCACAGGCAUUGUAGUGACAGAUUAGGCCCGAAAACCUGAAGUUGAGAGGAGCUCGGGAGGGUGGGCGCAGCAGCGCUUAUAAACCACUCCCGAGCCGUCUCAACUAGCAAGGUGGGACUAAACUUUUGGGUGCGGGGCAGCACAAGGCCAUUGGUCCCGGUUGGUGGCACCAACCGGGCCUAAAGGGGGCAUUGGUCACGUUCGUGGCACCAACCGUGACCAAUGCCCCCCUUUAGUCCCGGUUGGUGCCACCAACCGGGACCAAAGGCCGCCGCUUCCCGCCCUUUGGGCUGGCGAAAUCAGGCCUUUGGUCCUGGUUGGUGGCAUCAACCGGGACUAAAGGUGGCAUUGGUCCCGGUUGAUGCCACGAACCGGGACCAAUACUCGGUGUAUAUAAGCAGGACUUAAGAAAUUUUCAGUUUCUCAUCGACCAUUUGCCCCCGACGCCGCCAGGCUGCCCGUGCUCGCCGUCGCCCCGCGCCCCUGCUCCGUNNNNNNNNNNNNNNNNNNNNNNNNNNNNNNNNNNNNNNNNNNNNNNNNNNNNNNNNNNNNNNNNNNNNNNNNNNNNNNNNNNNNNNNNNNNNNNNNNNNNNNNNNNNNNNNNNNNNNNNNNNNNNNNNNNNNNNNNNNNNNNNCGCCGCAUCCCGCCCUUUGGGCUGCGGAAAAGAGGCCUUUGGUCCCGGUUGCUGGCACCAACCGGGACUAAAGGGGGAAUUAGUCCCGGUUUAUGCCACCAACCGGGACUAAAGCUUGGACUAUAUAACAAACACUUGUGAAAAUUUUUAGUUUGCAUCGCCAGUUCCCCCCUCCCCCGCCGACGACGCCGUCAGGCUGCUCCACCUCGCCGUCUACCCCGCCGCCGCCAACGUCGUCGCCUCCACGAGCCCGCACCGUCCUCAUCGCCGGCAUCCCCGAGCCCGCCGUCCUCAUCGUCCCCGUCGCCGCGUGCCUCCUCGAGCCCACCCCUCCUCGUCCCUGUCGCCGGCCACUCGCCGUCCCCGUCACCGCGUGCUGUCCCGAGCCCGCCGUCCUCGUCGCCGAACUCCUGCCAUCGCCGCCCCCUCGAAGUGAGCCCCCCUUUCCCAUGGUCCUGAUCGAGUGCAGCCCUUGCUCUCUGCCCCUGCUCCAUGGUCGCCGCCGGCCUGACACAUUGAAGAGCAGAAGGAGAGGAGAAGGAGUGGAGCAGCAACAAACUUUUCUAAAAUUUCUGAAUUUUUUUUACAGAUAUGAACAGUGCAUAUAGAGGGUGUUUGAUCAAAUGCUAGAUGGCUUUGGGCAUUUUUAGGAUUUAUGAUAUUUUUUGUGGUGAGGUACUGAUGCAGGACAAAGGUGAUGGAAAAAUUUCAGAAUUUUUUGAUUGGUUUAGAAUAGGUUUUCAGCAAGGAAUUUGAAUCUGGUUCAAAUUUCAUUUCAAUGAAAUUUAAAAAAUUAAACUAUGGAUCAUAAGGUUUUUGGUGAAAUCGAGUGUGGGUACUGUCAUUAAGUUGGAGUAAUUUUUGUGGUUGUAGAAGAGUUAGGAAAAUUUAGAAUGUGCUAAAUAUGUCAAAAAUGUUUUUUUGUUCAUAGAAAGUUUUUUGUUCAUAGGCAGAAAGUUUUUAUAUAUGACUAUGGAUAUAUGAGCAAUGAUGAUCCAUGGAUGUAUGCAUUAAUAUAUAUGAGAAACGAUGUUUCAUAGAAUAUUUACCAAGUAUAUAUAUGUAUUUUUGUUCAUAGCAUGUUUUUCCAUUUAUAUAUGUAUGUGGCUAUAGAUGGAUAUAUAUGAGAGGUUUCCUAGUGUCAAAGUAUUGAAGAAAUCCAUGGCUUCAUCAUUAGCCGAAAGUAACCAGGGCAUGAUGAAGUCCUCCAAAGUUAUUUUGGAAUGGUGUCCCGGAUAGGAUAAUUUGCCUUUUUGUAUGAAUUUCAGCAAAGGCCUUCCAAAUAACGAUAUUUGGAAGGUUCUUGCUGAACUUUGUACCAAAAAGCGAAUUAUCUUAUCUGGGACUCUAUUUGAAAAUAACUUUGGAGAGCUUCGUACCAUCAUGCACCUGUUACUUUCGCCUAAUGAUGAUGACAUGGUUUUGUUGAAUCCUUUGACACUAGGCAACCUCCCGACCCCUCGGCGAUCCUCUCGAACAUGAGAGGAAGAAGAGGAUCGCCGAGGGGUCGAGGGUUCCAGGGUCGUCGAGGGUUCGAGGGGUCGAGGAUCGCCGAGGGGUUGAGAGAGGUUUCCUAGUGUCAAAGUAUUGAAGAAAUCCAUGGCUUCAUCAUUAGCCGGAAGUAACCACGGCAUGACGAAGUCCUCCAAAGUUAUUUUGGAAUGGUGUCCCAGAUAGGAUAAUUUGCCUUUUUGUAUGAAUUUCAGUAAAGGCGUUCCAAAUAAUGAUAUUUGGAAGGUUCUUGCUGAACUUUGUACCAAAAAGCGAAUUAUCUUAUCUGGGACUCCGUUCCAAAAUAACUUUGGAGAGCUUCGUACCAUCAUGCACUUGUUACUUUCGCCUAAUGAUGAAGACAUGGUUUUGUUGAAUCCUUUGACACUAGGCAACCUCCCGACCCCUCGGCGAUCCUAUCGAACAUGAGAGGAAGAAGAGGAUCACUGAGGGGUCAAGGGUUCCAGGGUGGUCGAGGGUUCGAGGGGUCGAGGAUCGCCGAGGGGUCGAGAGAGGUUUCCUAGUGUCAAAGUAUUGAAGAAAUCCAUGGCUUCAUCAUUAGCCGGAAGUAACCAGGGCAUGACGAAGUCCUCCAAAGUUAUUUUGGAAUGGUGUCCCGGAUAGGAUAAUUUUCCUUUUUGUAUGAAUUUCAGCAAAGGCCUUCCAAAUAACGAUAUUUGGAAGGUUCUUGCUGAACUUUGUACCAAAAAGCGAAUUAUCCUAUCUAGGACUCCGUUCCAAAAUAACUUUGGAGAGCUUCGUACCAUCAUGCACCUGUUACUUUCGCCUAAUGAUGAAGACAUGGUUUUGUUGAAUCCUUUGACACUAGGCAACCUCCCGACCACUCGGCGAUCCUCUUGAACAUGAGAGGAAGAAGAGGAUAAAAAAAGAAGAGGAAGAAGAAAAAAAGAGGAGAAGAAAGAAUAGGGGAGUUCUUCUCUUCUAUUCUUUCUUCUCCUCUUUUUUUUUCUUCCUCUUUUUUUAUCGGAAACGAGGGUCGUCGAGGGACAUAGAUGUAGUGUCGUCAUUGUCGAUAUACCCCCUCCCGAUAGCUUCAACACGUGGGGGGGGGGGGUCGAUAUUACCCCCUCCUUGAAGCGUUCUCGAGGCCACCCCAAACCCUUGAAGCGUUGUCGAGGCCACCCCAAACCCUAGAGAAGCAGCAUCGAGGCCACUAAUUAAUAUAUAUGAUUCAUUACUAUGAUUAGGUAGCUAGUUCUACGUUUGCCACUAAUAUAUCCAUCUGUCAUGUUUGAAUAAUAAUUGCCAUGUUGUAAAAUUUUGUAGAAACUAUGGACACCGUCCGAGACGAAGCAAAAGAAGCGUUGUUGAGGGACAUAAUCGCAGAAGGAAGUGAUGUCGUCUCGUAGUUUCUCAACGACAUUGAUGGUCUGGAAGGAGAGGGUGAAGAAGCUGGCUACAGUGACCUAAUGCCGGUGCAAGAAGAAGAACAUGAGGAUGGCUCCGGUGACCCAAUGCCGGUGCAAGAAGGAGACCGUGAUGACGGCUCCGGUGAUCGAACCGAGUCCGGCCAGGUAUAUAUAUUAGUUAAGCCUGUGCUGACUAGCUAAUUGAUGCAUUGAUUGUUUUGGUAUGUACACAUAUUAAUUAAGUCUUUGUUCUUUUUUCUAGCCCUCCGGAUCGAGCACAACUUCGGUAAAGAGACGAGGCCCGAAGAAAAAGUUGAGCUCGGAUGAAAGGUUUGAGAUCAUAGCAAUCGCGCCCGACGGCCAACCGAUUGAACCCAUCCGGACAAAGAACGCAUUUGUUGCUCAGUGUGGGGUUCUGGUUAGGGACAAGAUCCCGAUCGGCAUCCAGCAAUGGUUUAAGCCGGCUACAGAAGACCCUGAGGUGUCUUAUGUCAAUGAUAUGCAGAAAAAUGAUCUUUGGACUAAGCUGAAGUCAAAUUUCACCCUACCGCGAGAGGAUAAUCCAGAGAAGCCAGUUAAAGAGCAAUUAAUCAAGUCUUUUGCUCUUAAGAGGAUGGCAGAACUAUUCAGGAGGUGGAAAAAGAGCUGAAUAAGUUUGUCGAAAAUAAUGAGACACCAGAAUUCAAGGGCAGAUAAGAGAGGAUCAGAGAUCACUGGCCCGCAUUUCUCGCCCACAAGACAUCGGAAAAGAGUAAGAAGAUGUCGGCGACAAACAAGCAAAAUGCUGCAAAGAAGAAGCAUCACCAUCACACGGGGUCAGUUGGCUACCUCGUAGCCCGGCCUAAGUGGGCCAAGACUGAGAAUGAUCUGGUUGAUAAAGGGAUCGAACCAGAGAUAAUUAACUAGCCAGACCGUGGCCGGACUUGGUUCUUUGGGGCUGGCGGAACCUUGGACCCUGUAACAGGGAUGUGCAUUUGGACGAACGAUCAAAUGGACAUACCAGUCAGGAAGCUUAAGCAGUAUAUCGAAGCAGCGCAGCAAGGGACGUUCUUUCCAGACAGAGAGAAUGACGAGCUCACAAUGGCCCUCGGGAAUCCUGAUCACCCUGGACGGACACGAGGCACGCCAGGCUCCAUUCCGUGGAAGGUUGGGUUUCCGGACGCAGGCGGUUACAAAUCCCAUGAGAGGAGGAAAAAAGUGCAGCAGACCCAAAUGCAGGCGCUGCAAGCAAGGGUAGACGUGAUAGAGGAACGAGAAGCAAAUCGCAGCAAACGUACUGCCGAAGCUUCCUCCGAAGCUACCCCGCCAUCUCAGCGGAGAACCAGCGUGGCUUCCACCAAGCUGCUUCAGUCGGAGCAUGCCUUGACGGCUCCUGCCAGCUAUCUCGUGGAUGCUAUCACGGAGUCUCAAAAUUGCCACCUUAUGAUGCAAUGGAUGAAUUUGAAGGUCAAGGCGGCUGUUGGCUCUGUUUAUCCUACUGAAACCGGCGCAACUUUUCACUGUCGGCCGAUUCCAGAAGGAUAUGCUAGGGUGAUGGUGGAUGAAAUAACGGAGGGAUUUGAGGACCUCCAGCUUGACCACCCUACCGGUGAAGGGGAGACUAGGCUGGGGUCUGCUCUGAAGACUCCAUGCCUAUGGCGGAAGGAGCUCAUCAACCUUCCGAACUGGACGCCUCUGCCUCCUCCUCCUCCUCCGGCAAGUUAGGGCACGCCGCCUCCUCCACCGCCUCCUCCUUUGGCGAUUCAGGGCACUCCGCCUCCUCCACCGCCUCCUCCUCCGGCGAGUGACGAUCAGAGCACUCGACCGGCUCCUUCUCCAGUGCGUGGCGGCACUCCGCCUCCUUCUCCGCCAGCGCCGACGUGCCUGAGAAGCCAGCCUCCUUCUUCUCCGCCUCAUCAGCAAGGGCGGAAGAGACCUGCCGCCGCUCCGGCUGCUCCGGCACGUCGUAGUCCUUCUCCUCUGCCUCGUAAGCAAGUAAAGAAGACAACCGCUACGUCUGCUCGGUCGGUGUCUAGCAGUACAACCAGAGGCGGGAGGACAUACAGAUUCGGUCCUUCUCUGAAGACUCCAGAGAAGUUACCAUACGAGAGGACCCCGGAGGAGAACGCCGAGAUCGCACGAACCGAAGUGGAUGACUAGUUUCAAGGGUUGAAAGCAAAGAGACAUCCACUUCUGGAGGAGAAGGUAGAUCCGGUGAAAGCGAAGCGCACUCUGGCUGCCCUGACAAAACCACCGAAGUCUCCACCGAAAGGAAACUAUGAGCGCAUUAUUGUAAAGGAAUUUGCCGAAGCAGAGCGGUCGGGAAGUACUGUCAGUGAUCAAAUGCUGAAAGAACAACGAUCUGGGAAACAAAUUGCCCAGCUCGGCGAACAAGCGAAGCAAUCGUGCCUCCCGCUCAAGGUGCCUAGCCACAACGUCGCUAAUGAUCCGAGGAUGGUGCCCGGUUAUAGCAAUCUUGCAGAUUACCUGCCCGACGAUGUACAUUAUGAACCCAUGUACGUGCAGAUACAAAGAUACGAGUACGGGAAGCCUCUCGUCAAAGAUGAAAGAUCUCUAUAAACGAUGAUGUGAAGAUUGCAUGAUUGGUACUUGAAAAUCUGCAGAGACUCUGGGGGGAGGAGUACUUUGUAUGUGAAAGUUAAAAAGGAGUAUGACCUCAUUGGAAUUGAACUGUUGCCUGUUCCAUUUGAGGAGUUCUAUUAGUUUUUCAAUCAAUUGGCCCUCGAUAAAACAAUGGUCGCCUUCUACUGUCUGUAAGUAGUACUACUUUUGUCAUUAAGUCUCUCUAUAUAGCUCAACUCUUUCAUUGCAUGUAUUUAUAAUCAUCCUCACUAUAUUAUGCAGAUUGAAGAUCGCCGAAUUGAAGAAAAGACAAGUCGGUGAUAUUGGGUUCUUAACACAUAUCUCAUAGAUGCAACUCAGGUUAAAUUUCAUGCCGCGGCUACCGAGGCCAACUUGCUACGAUCGUUCGUAAUAAAUGAAAACAAAGAUAUAAUACUCUUUCCUUACAACUUCAAGUGAGUGUUACUGUCUUGUGCGUAUUCGAUUUCCCUUAUAUAUUAGUCAAGGUUAUAGUAAUGUAAUUGAUGAGUUAUGCAUGCGUGUGCAGUUUCCACUAUAUUCUCAUAGAGAUUAAGCUUGAGCAAGGACUAGUAACCGUCUUAGACUCAAGACGAAAAGAUCCCCAGGAAUAUGCAGACAUGACUCAAAUACUCGAGAAGUAAGUUAAAUCGAUCAUUAUCCACCAUAUCAGCAACUUUGUUCAUUUCCUGAUAUAUCAAGUAAUUGUUUUCUUUGUCCGGCAGGGUUUGGAGAAAAUUCACCAGAAAAGCUCCGGGACUGCCGAAGGAGCUGCAAUUUAGACACCCGAAAGUAAGUACUAUAGUAGCAUGUUCCGCGCAUCUACUAGUCAUUCAAGCGCUUGUUUCAUCAAUACCAUUUGGCAUUCUUGCUUAUCAGUUUGAUUGACCUCUAUUUCUUGAAAAGUGGUUGUGGCAGGAACAAGGGAAUGAUUUUUGUGGAUACUACGUUUGCGAGUCCAUCCGCCACACGACCUGUGAGCGGGGCUACACUGACGAACAAUAUGAAGUACGUAAAUAACAACAUUCACAAUUUUAUUUUAUUACCAUCAUUUGUGUUGAGUUUCAUUCAUUCAUAUAUAUAUAUAUGUAUUGACCCCCUUCUUUAAAUUAGAUGUUUCGGAAGCGGGAUGAACUCCUAGCACCAACUCGCAUGCGAGCAAUUCAAGAGGAAUUGGCGGCAUUCUUUCUUGACCACGUGAUCCCUGAAGAUGGAGAAUUCUAUGUGGACCCUGAGUCCGUAUGAUUAUAUUUGUAAGAGACAAUUAUUGUAUAUAUGUAGCCGGUAGUGUCGGAUAGAUAUACGAGAACUUGUUGUUAGACCAAUCUCUCAGAGAAGGAGAGGUGGUCGAUAUCACUUCUCUCUGUAUGCAUAUAUGUUCAUGAUGAUCUUCUGUUUCCUUCGUUUGCUUACUAGCUAGCUAGCGUGUCUAGUCCUCUCUAUACGUAUGUAUAGUACGUAGCAUCGACCAAGCACGCACAUAAGAGAGGAAACUUCUCUCUAUUAAUUAUAGCUAGCUAACACAAUAUAUGAAACACCUAAAUUAACCCCCCAAAACCNNNNNNNNNNNNNNNNNNNNNNNNNNNNNNNNNNNNNNNNNNNNNNNNNNNNNNNNNNNNNNNNNNNNNNNNNNNNNNNNNNNNNNNNNNNNNNNNNNNNNNNNNNNNNNNNNNNNNNNNNNNNNNNNNNNNNNNNNNNNNNNNNNNNNNNNNNNNNNNNNNNNNNNNNNNNNNNNNNNNNNNNNNNNNNNNNNNNNNNNNNNNNNNNNNNNNNNNNNNNNNNNNNNNNNNNNNNNNNNNNNNNNNNNNNNNNNNNNNNNNNNNNNNNNNNNNNNNNNNNNNNNNNNNNNNNNNNNNNNNNNNNNNNNNNNAUGCCUAUUGGUCCUGGUUGGUGCCACCAACUGGGACCAAAGGGUCUCCUGCCUAGGCUCCGCGCACUGCCCACGUGGAGGCCCAUCUGUCCCAGUUCUGGAUUGAACCAGGACUAAAGGGACAGGGCAUUAGUACCGACCCUUUAGUCCCGGUUCCAGAACCGGGACAAAAGGCCCUUACGAACCGGGACAACAGGCCCUUUUUCUACCAGUGUUCCUGGAAUGCGCUACUGCUACUUUUAACUUAAUCGCGCAGUUCGUAUUCUUCGGCUACUAGGACAUCAGUCCAUCUGUCGUCGAGCAGAUCUUGGUCAGCUUGAAGCUGCAGCUGCUUCUUUUCAGGCUCUUUGAAGUGGCUAUUAGCCGGCGCUUGAAGAGCUCCUGCUCCUAAGGUUCUUCAAGCACGAUAAAGUCCUCGUUGUCGAGACUCACUUCAUCCUCAGAGAGUUGAAGAUAAUUAUUGUGCUCCGAGUCGUUGUUUAUGGCCUGUUUGUUGGGGCUAACUUGCCCGUUUUCUCGAUCGUCCUGUUCGGCAGUUCUUUCGUCGGGAUCUUCUCUGACUUCAGGACCAUCCGGACUGUUGUCCUCUCCUCUGUCCGUAUCGCCAUUUAUUCCAUGACACGACUUAGAGCGGCGCCGCUGACGCCGGUGUUUUGGUUGUAUCACAGGAGGUUUGUCCUCAACUGGAUCUGCUUUCUCGUUGUCGUUAGUUCUCUUAGGUGUACCCACCAUGUAUACGUCGCAGGAAGAGGUGGUUGUCCAGCAUUUGGUAAAUGGCGGGUCUUGGCCCAGUUCCUUAUUGGCAUCGUCGUCCAUACCAUCGAUGUCUUCGGAGCCAUAGUCGAGCGAGCCAGUUAAGUUUUCGACAAUGUGUAUGAAGUGGGCAGUGGGUGGGACGCAAAAUUUUCUGUUAUCAAUCUCUAGCUUGAACCGGAUAGAGUUCUGCUGUGAGCCCCCCGCUAAGGAUAGUGCUCUUACCAAGUUUAGCACGUCGCCCAGAGGUGAAUGCCAGAAGAUAUUCGCGGUGCUGAAUUCGGUGAUCGAUGACCGAUCGUGCUCGAUGUGCGCAGACAUGCAUAGUUCGGAACCUAUAGCCGGAGGCGGGUCCAUACUUCCGGUGGCAUAGAUGUCACUUGAAGUUAAGUCUAUGUGCGGUUCCAAUGCUGCUAAGAUCGCGGAUUUUGUGGUGAGGUUGAGCUUCCCGUCUUCGGAUGGCGCGAUCUGCUCCAGAUCUAUGGCUGGAGCAGCUAUAGGUACUACCUCCUACAUAUGGACAGGUGACAGAUUUAAGUCAUGUUCAUCGUGGUGGCACAGAGGGGUUGCCGUGGUCGUGAAUUCUUCGAAGAUCAAGUCUCCACGGAUAUCUACGACGUAGUUCAAGUUUCCAAAUCUGACCCAGUGGCCAGGGGCGUAGCUUUCGAUCUGCUCCAGAUGGCCAAGCGAGUUGGCCCGCAGUGUGAAGCCGUCGAACAUGAAGAUCUCUCCGGGUAGGAAGACUUCCCCUUGGACAACAUCGUUGUAGAUGAUUUAAGGAGCCAUCAAACCUUUUGAGGAUGGCACAGUGGAACUCUCAAUGAAAGAUACAAUGCCGGUGUCAAAACCGGCGGAUCUCGGGUAGGGGGUCCAAAACUAUGCGUCUAGGAUUGAUCGUAACAGGAGACGAGGGACACAAUGUUUACGCAGGUUCGGGCCCUCUCUAUGGAGGUAAUACCCUAAUUCCUGCUUCAUUGAUCUUGAUGAAUAUGAGUAUUACAAGAGUUGAUCUACCACGAGAUCGUAAUUGCUAAACCCUACAAGUCUAGUCUGGCUAAUAUUAUUCUGGGCAUCUACGGACCUAGCCUUCCAGUUUAUAUAGACACGGGAGGUAUCUAGGGUUACACAAGGUCGGUUACAAAGAAAGGAAUCUUCAUAGUCGACGCCAAGCUUGCCUUCCACGCCAAGGAGAGUCCCAUCCGGACACGGGUAGAGUCUUCGGUCUUCUCAUAUCUUCACGGCCCAACAGUCCGACUCAUAUCUAUAGGUCGGACGCCCAAGGACUCCUUGGUCCAGGACUCCCUCAGUGGUGACGGCGCGCGGCGGUGGCGGCACGAGCUGGCGCGAACGGUGGUGGCGUGGGCUGGCCGCAGCGAUGCGGCGGCUGCGGAAGGCGGCGGCGCAGGCGGCUCGAGCGCCGACACGAGGCGCAGCCCGGUUCAGCCCGGGGCCGGGCCAGCGAUGGGCCCCACAGGCCCAUGCGAUGGAGACGGUGGUGGGGUGACGUGGCGCCUUCCGAUUCAUCGAGGGCGGCGGCGCUGGACGCGUCCAGCGCAGACGGAUGUGUCCGGCGGCGUGGAGGGAAGAUGGAGGCUCGGGUUUGGACUGCGAAUUUGGACGGGGUGGACCUAUAUAUAGGUAGAGGGAGCUAGGAGAGGCCAAAUGAGGUGCGGUUUUCGCCCACACGAUCGUGAUCCAACGACAGAGAGCAUGGAGGGGGUUUAGAUGGGCUAGUGGGCUGUUAUGAAGGGGUGCUGGGCUGCAAAAAGAAGGAGGGCUUUCGGUUAACGCGAUUGAUCGUUGGGGCAUCAAACGACCUCCAAAUGGAACGAAAUUUAACAGACGGUCUACCGGUGAUAUACAAAGGCCACUCGACAAAUAUCGGCACAUGCCUGGAAUGUUUUUAUCCCUCUCACGAAACGAGAACUGGAAGGUGCAACGGGUGCAUGUGAGAGUGUCGGAUGUUGAAACGGACAAUGGAGAAAGUGACCAGAUGCAUUCUUUGAAAAAUAUGAUGAUGCAAUGCACAUGGUGACAUGGCAAAAUUCAACACGCAAGCAAAUGUCAUGGCAACAACGAUGAAUAAUUGGAAGACACCGGGCGCAUCGGACUCGGAGCGUUACAAACAGAUACAUAAAAUCAUGAGAGAGAUACUUUCCUUUUCUCUAGAGGGCUAAAAAUGAAAUUAUGAGGAAUUAUAAGAAAUGCAACCGAGGAAGUAUUCACCAACUGUCAGGUAGUUCAAAGAACACCAGAUGUAAAAUUAACAUGCAGGUCCAUAGACCACUUAGCGACGACUAUAAGCACUAGAGCUAGCCAAAAGGUGCGCCGUCUUCAUCGCCCAUCCUUCGUCGGAGAAGGGCAAACAUUGUUGUGGUAGAUAGCCAAGAACAAAAAUAUGCUGCAGCUUGUUAGUUUCCAGCUGAAUAUGUUUGAUGGACCAUUGGUAUGCGCUUAUUUUGUGUGCAAGAACAAUGAAUCUAUUUGGUCCCAAUAGCCAAUAAGCCAUAAUAUGUUUUCCAGCUAUCCUAACUCUUGGUAUCAAAGAUGAUUGUUUGCUACAGAAUUAUUCAAGUCCAUACGUCAAGGUCUACAGAAGGUAUGGUUAAGUUUAAAAUAUUCUACACUUUUUGGUGUGUAGUUCCAGAUUUAGAGGAAAAAUAUUCUAGUUGAAAUCAUAGUAUUAAUUAUACUUCAGUGGUAGAUUUAAUUUUAAUUUUGCCCGAAAAUCGUCCCAAUACGGUGAGUGCAAUGCACGUGUAUGUGAGCAUCUAUGUUAAAAAAAGGCCAUGAUACAGGUUCAAGUACAAAGAGUAGGAAAAUAAAAAAGUGGGAUUUAAAUUAUUCUAGCGAGAAAAACAAUUCAUAAUGCUCCCAAGUAAAUCUUUAUUUCCAAACAUUAUUCUUGGUCAUUUUCUUGCUACAAUUAUCUAAUGCAUUCGCAGUGACCAUCACGGCAGGUCCCACCUCCGUAACCAUCUCUGUUGCAGAUAUCAUUACAAAAUGAAGGAUUCGUACAUGGAGUGUAGGGUUCACGGUGCCCCUCGACGCCAAUGUUAGCUUCCUUUCCUACAACAAUAAAAAAAUGUGCCAUCAGAACCUUUUGUUAUUCGUAUUUAAACUAGGAUUCUGUGAAAUCAAUGUACUAUGCAAAUAGUAGGACAACAGUGGAGUGCUAAUACAAACACAUGAAGAACAACUACUGGCUGGUAUAUAAUUAUUAUGUACUAUGGAAACCAUACGUACCACGACAAAAUUGUAAUGGUGAUCAUAAAAUCACAAGGAAAACACUUCUUUCAUUCCAUGCCAUUGUUAAACAACACUAGGUUUAAAGUACUAUGAGGCAUGAUAACUUUCCAAUAACAGGACGAGCGCGACGCACAAGUUUGCAAUACGAGGAAAAAUACUUUUAUAUCUAUUUUUUGUGAGUAUGAGGAAAAAGAUACUUGCCUAUCUGAACCAAACACCUCACUCUAUUAGGCACGGUUGAAACACUUUUCUCUUGCAAAAAUACUUGCAUAUAUUAACUUGAACGAUCAAACUUCAUAAGAAACAUUCAUAUCAUUGGCAACAGAGAAUGAUGCAAUAGGAUCAUUUUUUUAUCUAGCUCCAGGAAACCAUAAAUUCAUAUAUACUACAGUUGAUAAGCUCUGGUAAAUAGAAAUGUACCUAUCUUCCUCCCUGACGCUUCACUCGACAAUAAAGUGGUUGAAACCAUCAAAAGUGCCAUCAAGCAAAGAACACCAGUGUUGAUCCAGAUUAGAGCCAUAUCAAAAUUGUUUAGUGUUAUCUUCUCCUAUGUCCUUUUGGUUGUAUACUUGUACUACAUUGCUGGUUCCUUCUGUUGUUUAUAUAGAGGCAUGGCUUAUUCUAGGAGUAUCAAUGUUUGCCAUUUUAUUCAUUCCUGCUUUGGCGUGUUUCCUUUUUACAAUUCGCCGUAAUUAAUAAGGAUCCUCGGAUGAUACGCACAUCAUGGAAUAUCCUGUAGGUAUCGAUUGACAGACUAGAAAUAUAUCCAGAAGGAGUUUAUUAGUAUUCCAUAUACACAAUUAGGGCAUUUAUUGCCUCCUAAAAAUAACCAUAUGAAAUUAAUUAGUUUUUCAUGAUAACAUUGUGACAUUAAUUAGUAAUACUCCAUAUCAAGAUUAUGGCAUUUAUUCGCUCCAAAAUUACAAGAGAAAUUAAUUAGUAGUAUUCCGUAACAAGAUACAUAGUGUAUACGAAAAUGUGUCGUCUUGAUAGUUUGAUAUUAGUUUAUGUAUUUGGAACCUAUGAUUUCUGAACAAGACACAGUGCGUUGCACGUACGGUCUAGCUAGUGCAUAGUCACCUGAUAUUUGACUGAAUUUGUUAUUUUGAUGUUUAGUCAACUAUGCAGGUUUCAUUUGGGGCGGUGGCGCACUUUUUCCGGCUGGCGUGGGGGGGGGGGUGGCGCAUUCAUUAUUCAAGCUAUAACAGUUUUGCAAUCAUCGGUGAUCAUAAUGCUAAUCUCCUGGGGAGCGAGCAUGUUUAAGCCAAGAAGCUGUGUGCAACCAAUUGCCGCCAUUACAUGCCCAGCUUUAUUCUGCCCAUGACUAAUAAUCUUAUGGAUUUCAGUGUUGCAUUCGUUGAGAAGAUGCACUAUCUCUGCAAAUUCGUGCAUACUUUUGGACCGAUCACCCGGCCCAACUUUUACAAAGGUGAUGAUCUUGGCACAGUCCAUCCCAACCUGAAACAGGGCUUGAGACCAAUGCAGAGUUAGACGGGGACCUCUCCCUUGGUGACUGAGGCAACCUGAAUUACUUCAAAACCACCUCUUGGAAAAUGACGAUAGUAUCUCGGACCAAGCUUUCACUCCAUUUUUGCUCAAGAGCGGCUGGAUAGGGCGUUGUUGCCCAUUAUUCACAAGUACCAUGUACACUCAGAGCACCGGCCAAUUGUCCGUCACUGGAAAUUGCUCGUGCAUUGCAACAUACGAUAGUGUAUUAUUCAAAUAAUAAAAACUAGGACACGUAUGCAAUUCCAAAAAUGCAAACACAUAUAUGUAAUUUUUUGAAGGAACAUUUACACAUGUAUAUAUUUCUGUUAUACUAGGACAAUGCCCACGCGCUGCUAUCGUAGAUCUCAAAAAAUGCCUCAAGCACAUUAUAGCAAGCACUAAAGUUUCACUUCCCACAUCCCACCUAUUUAUCAACCACUGUGAUUCACAAUCAGACUUAAAUUUUUAGGAUCAAAUGGGAAGGUCAAAUUUAAGCUCCUAAUGAUGGGAAGCGAAUGAUAUGGUGCAAUAUGACCAUAAUAUAUCUACUAUUAUAGAUCCACAUGCAUAUUCCAUUGUCGACUUCUCUUGUACCAUUUUAUUCUUCACCAACAAUACUUGCAUCUCUGCUUUCACUACUGGGUAAAGUCUUAUUUAUUUGUUUGAGAAAAAAUAGUAGGGUAAACCCCUACUGUAACACAUUUUUUAUUAAUAUAAGAGUGGUGUUACAAGUCGAUGUACAAUGUGAAUAAGGCUAUGUGUAUGCGUGUGAUAGAUUUACAUAUAACCUAACUAAGUUUGCAUCCCUUCCUUCAGUCUUGGUUUUGGUUUCCUCAUGACUGUGCCAAAGUGUUCCUUGAAACAUGCAUUGUAAUAUUCUAAGAUCUUUGUCUUGUGGUAAAAAAAUAAUGAUGUUUUUGUGCUUCCAGAUGGACCAACAUCCAGCAAUCAAGCAUGCUCUGAAUGGUUGUAUGUUUGUUCUAGUUUUUUGCUUUAUCCAACAUUUCAUUGAUGCUAUGGUUAGUGUUCCAUUAAAUCCCAAUAGACAUCCAGAAAUUGUGGCUGAAGUCACAUGGGAAAAAUAGAUGCUUUAGGUGUUCUUUUGGCUCAUCAUCACAUAUGACACAUUUGCUUGAUUCAAUAUAAAAGUGUUUCCUCGCUGGCAAGCCUCUGGUAUUUAUCCUAUCAAGUAGCAGUAACCAGAAGAUUUUUUUUGCUAAGCUUCCAGAUUUCCAAAUCCAUAGGAAUGGUUAAGGGUUAUCUGGUGGGUUUCCAAUCAAUUCUAGAUAAAUCCUUUUGGUGGAAUACAUUGUAGAUGACCAGUAGAAGUGUGCCAAUUGUCUCUGCUAUUGUUACUUGCAAUACUGAUCAUGUUCCUCAAAGAUAUGCUUUGUUGUACGGCAAAAGUUGACACGGGUAGAUAAAACAUUUCAUAUAGACCUUCUGUAGCUAUAUCAUGUGUAGCAGCAAAUGUUAUAUCCUUGUUCUUAGCAUAUGAAAAUAGUUGGGGGAAUUUAUUCUCAAGAUUAUCAUCCUCCCAUUUAUCGUACCAUAACCUAAAAGUAGAUCCAUCACCAACUUUGCAAAGUUAGAUGCUUUUGAAAUCAUUUAGAACAGAGCAGCAGUCUCUCCACCCAUGAUCCAACUUUUGUUGGAUAAGUUGGUAGCUCACCAUUGUUGUAGUAUGAGUUCCAUAAUAUUUGCACCCAUGUUAUGUCAUGCUUAUUAAAGAACUUGUGUAUGAACUUUGUCAGACAUGCUCUAUUCUGAGUUCUGAGGUCUAGUACUCUAGGCCACGAGCUCUUUGAUUAAACAUACCUUCUCCCAUUUGGCUAGACAUUUGCCAGGUUUGUUGAUAUUCUUUCAAUACCAUAAGAAGCACCUGCCAGAUUUUUCAAAAUGAUCUAGGAUGGUAAAGGCAACUCUGAUGUUGCACAUUGCAAAAAUGGGAAAUGCAUUAACCAUGGCUUUAAGAUGGACCAAUCUUCCUGCAUAUGACAUCAUAGGUGCGAUACUAGAUAGCCUAACAUCUAAUCUUGACACCAUGGGCAUCAAAUCAUCAAUUUUUGGUCUUGUGGAGCCCAUUGGUAAACCAAGGUAUGUGAAAUGCAUGCUUUAUUUUUUACAUCCAAGUAUGUUGGCAAGUUGCCGAGCUCUUUCAUCUGUUAUGUUGAUUGGUAAAAGGGACGAAUUACUAUAGUUUACCUUAAGCCCGGUGAAUUUAGAGGAGAUUUUAUAUAUGUGUACCAUGUGACUGAGUUGUUGACAAUCAGCUGGCAUGAUGAUUAAUGUGUCAUAUGCAUACUAUAUGAUGGGGUAGUUCAUACAACCAUGGUUCUCAAUAGGAGUAGACAGGUGACCUUCUUGCCAUGAUUUAUUUAAUAAACUUGUAGAAGCUCAGCAUUAAUGAGAUAUAGUAGAGGGGACAAUGGGUCUCCUUGUAUGACUCCUACUUUGCAUUUUUUAAUCUUACCGUACUCCUCUUAAUUGGUCAGAGACUGGUGAACGCCAACUUCUUGGCAAUGACUUAAUCACAGAGGCUGAAGAAAUGUGCAAAGUCAUCCGUGAAAAUCUCAAGGCCGCACAAUUGCGUCAGAAGAGUUACUAUGAUAACAAGCAUCGUGACUUGGCAUUCGAGAUCGGAGACCAUGUCUACCUUCGCGUUUCUCUAAUGAAAGGUACUAGUCGCUUCGGUAUCAAAGGGAAGCUUGCCCCUAAAUACGUGGGUCCUUUCAAGAUCAUUAGAAAAAGAGUCAAUCUCGCCUAUCAACUUGAGCUUCCAUCCAACUUUGCAAAUGUGCAUGACGUGUUUGACGUGUCACACCUUCGCAAGUGUUUCAAGAUUCCUGACCGUGCCAUCAACUUCGAAGAGAUUGAUCUCCAAGAAGACAUGCCUUAUCAUGAUCAUCCCGUUGCUAUUCUUGAAGAAACUGAGUGCAAGACUCGCAACAAGACUAUCCAAUUCCUGAAAGUGAAGUGGUCACAUCAUUCCGACCGAGAAGCCACCUGGGAGCGCGAGGACCACCUCCGUUUCGAAUAUCCAAAGUUCUUUCUGUCCUAGAUCUCGGGGCGAGAUCCUUUCAUAGUGGUGGAGUGUUGUAACACCCCCGAUGUAACUUACCAUAUUUGUACUCCAACUCUUUCCAUUUUCGGCUCUAAGUUAUGAGAUUUCUCCAUGGUUGGGUUUUCUAUUCGUUUUGCAUUUUCUCCAUGUCAUGCAUUGCACAUCAUGUCACCAUGUGCAUCUCUUUUGCAUACGUGUUCGUCGCAUGCAUCUAAGCUUUUUCCCCGUUGCCCAUUUUGCGAUCCAACACUCCUACGUCCUCCGGCGCCCCCUUCUGUCUCUUUUUGUGAGUGGGUGCUAAACGAUCUCGGAAGGGACCGAUAUUUGCCAAGCGGCCUUGGUACACCACCGGUAGACCGCCUGUCAAGUUUCGUGCCAUUUGGAGUUCGUUUGAUACUCCAACGGUUAACAGGGGAACCGUAAAGGCCUCGUGUGUGUUGCAGCCCAACACCCCUCCAAAGUGGCCCAAUAAACCAUCCAAAACCCCUCCAUCCUCACGGCCGUUCGAUCACGAUCGUGUGGCCGAAAACCGCUCUACAUUUGGACACUCCAAACUCCUCCUACCUAUAAAUUGAUGCCUCCCCCCGAAAUCUCACAGUCCAAAACCCUAAUUUCAUCCCCCGCUGCUGCCGAACAUGUCCGGGCAGAGCCGGACGCGUCCGCCACCACCGCCCAGCCAACCAGGGGCUGCCACGUGGCCCUCCGCCGCUGCCCACCGCCGNNNNNNNNNNNNNNNNNNNNNNNNNNNNNNNNNNNNNNNNNNNNNNNNNNNNNNNNNNNNNNNNNNNNNNNNNNNNNNNNNNNNNNNNNNNNNNNNNNNNNNNNNNNNNNNNNNNNNNNNNNNNNNNNNNNNNNNNNNNNNNNNNNNNNNNNNNNNNNNNNNNNNNNNNNNNNNNNNNNNNNNNNNNNNNNNNNNNNNNNNNNNNNNNNNNNNNNNNNNNNNNNNNNNNNNNNNNNNNNNNNNNNNNNNNNNNNNNNNNNNNNNNNNNNNNNNNNNNNNNNNNNNNNNNNNNNNNNNNNNNNNNNNNNNNNNNNNNNNNNNNNNNNNNNNNNNNNNNNNNNNNNNNNNNNNNNNNNNNNNNNNNNNNNNNNNNNNNNNNNNNNNNNNNNNNNNNNNNNNNNNNNNNNNNNNNNNNNNNNNNNNNNNNNNNNNNNNNNNNNNNNNNNNNNNNNNNNNNNNNNNNNNNNNNNNNNNNNNNNNNNNCGCACCGCCGCCCGCCUACUCGCGCCGCACGCCCGCGCCUCCAUCUCCGACCCCGCCGCCUGCCGCCUAGCGCGCGCCGCCGCUCUCCAUGCUCCUGCCGCCGCCGUCCGUCGCCGACUCCACCGCGGUCCAUGGCCAAGCUCCUCCAUCGCGUGCCGUCCUCGCCGGAUCCGGCCACCUCGACCUGCUCCGGCCUCUCCCCGCUGUCUCCGACGUCCUCCGGCCGCCGCGUCCCACAUCUCCAGCGAGAGCAACUUCGACGAACCUCGUGGACCGCGCCAGAUGUAGAUCAGAACCCUAGAGGUUGACCCAAUUUUUGCCAGUCAUUUUCAUCUGCUAUAUUUUCAAGCACUGUUCAACAUGCCAUAACUCCUCAUCCAUAGCUCCGUUUUGUGCGUGCCAUAUAUCAAAAUGUUCAUCUUGAUGUGCUCUUAAUUUUGUUCCAUUGUGAUCUGCUUCUUUGAGUCCAUCUUGAUGCCCAACUCAUGGGUGCAAGAGUGCUAUAAAAUGUUAGUUCCUGUUUCUUAGUAGAGUAUGAGCAUUUGCCAUUUUUGCUACAAUCGUUGUGUGCUUCAUAUGGGCAUGAGCUUUACAUGUGUUUUGGGCUAUGCCAUGCCAUCUUUACAGGUGUGUAUGCCAUGUAUUUUUGUGAUCAAUGUGGUGACUAGCACAAGCAUGCAAAGUAGCUCUCGUAAUAUUACUGAUUUCAGGGACUUAGAAUUUCACUAAGUCAUUGCUCUGCUGUUAUUUUUAUGCCAUGUAUUCAUGUUGCUAUAGUGAGAUCCAUGCAUCUUUUUAGUAUAUUCAGUAAGGAUGAUUUUGACAUAUGGUUAUGCUCUAUCCAUCCAUGGUCCUGUUUGCAUUUAUUGAGUGCCCUAGAAUGACUCAAUCUCGCUCCAUGUUUGCUAUAAAAUGUUCCCGGCAGAUUGUUUACGUGUUAAUCAAUUUUGCCAUGGUUGUUCUUGCUGUGGUUAGCUUCACGAUCAUGUCUUCUUGCUGGUAGUAUGCUUAGCUUGUGAUGCAAGGCUUCGUGAUGAGUGAAUCGAGGUCGCAAAGAUGCCUUCAUUACUCUGUUUUUGCCAUGUCUAGUUUUCUGCUAAGUUUGAAUCUGUUAACGAAACUUGCUAUGUUUACAUGGGUGCCAUCAUAUGUUCGGAUCCUUUUUGGCUUAUGGCCAGUAAGGGAGUUUUGUUAUAUGCUUUGAGUAAAGUCAUGCCAUGCCUUGUAUUUCUAUGUUCUGUUCCUGUAGCAUGUUGUUAUCUUGCUCUAAACAUUGCUUCCUGAUGUUAAUUCCUGGCAUGUUAGUAUUUUCACCAAGUCUGUGAAGCUGAUAUCUUUUGCCCUUUUGCCAUGCUUGUUUGAACCUGCUAUUGUGUGAUUUACCCAUAGCUCAGUGUUCAUGUUUUUUGAAGCAUCUUGAGUAGAUCACUGCCAUGUGCUUUAUUGUUAUGUUGUAGUGUAGUAGCUUAGUUUCUUGUUGCAUUCUAGAUGGCUUCGUGCUGUUAAUCGCAGAAUUGUGCCAUUAUAGUUUUGAUUGCCAUUUGCAAACCGUGCAUCUGAUUUCGGUGAUCUUUAUAUCGAUCUUGACUGAAACCAACUCAUCUUUCCAGCGGCACACUUGGUUUGCCAAGUUGAGGCCUGGUUCAAUCUUUUCCUUCCGGAGCACGCAUAUGCAUUGCAUAUCACAUCCCGCAUGUCAUGCCAUGUUUUGCAUCACGUUGCUUGCGCAUUGCACCAUGGUCGGUUGUGGUUUCUGUUGAUUGUGUUCUUGCCUUGGGUAGAGCCGGCAGACGAGUUCGUGAUUGAGGAACCCAUUGAGUAUGCUUACGAGGAUCAAGCUUUCGUCAACUCGGAGAACUUUGCAGGCAAGAUGACCAUACCCUCGAAAUCACUUCUAUCUUUGCUUGCUAGUUUCUCACUCUAUUGCUAUGCUGCGGUACUUACCACUUGUUAUAUCAUGCCUCCCAUUUGCCAUGACAAGCCUCUAACCCACCUUUCCUAGCAAACCAUUAUUUGUCUAUGUUACCGCUUUGCUCAGCCCCUCUUAUAGCGUUGCUAGUUGCAGGUGAAGAUGGAGUUUGUUCCUUGUUGGAACAUGAUUAUUGUUGGGAUAUCAUUAUUAUAUCUUGUUACUUUAAUGCACCUAUAUACUUGGUAAAGGGUGGAAGGCUCGGCCUUAUGCCUGGUGUUUUGUUCCACUCUUGCCGCCCUAGUUUCCGUCAUACUGGUGUUAUGUUCCUUGAUUUUGCGUUCCUUACGCGGUUGGGUUAUAAUGCGAACCCCUUGACAGUUCGCCUUGAAUAAAACUCCUCCAGCAAGGCCCAACCUUGAUUUUACCAUUUGCCACCUAAGCCUUUUUCCCUUGGGUUCCGCGGACUCAAGGGUCAUCUUUAUUUUAAACCCCCGAGCCAGUGCUCCUCUGAGUGUUGGUCCAAACUAGAGCACCGUGCGGGGCCGUCCCUUGGCAACUUGAGUUACGUUGGCUCCUGUACGCUUAGCUUCUCCGGUGUGCCCUGAGAACGAGAUAUGUGGAGCUCCUAUCAGGAUUUGUCGGCACAAUGGGUGGUCUUUCUGGUCUUGUUUUACCAUUGUCGAAAUGUCUUGUAACCGGGAUUCCGAGUAUGAUCGGGUCUUCCUGGGAGAAAGAAUAGCGUUCGUUGACCGUGAGAGCUUGUGAUGGGCUAAGUUGGGACACCCCUGCAGGGUUUUGAACUUUCGAAAGCCAGGCCCGCAGUUAUGGGCAGAUGGGAAUUUGUUAAUGUCUGGUUGUAGAAAACUUGAAACUUAACUUAAUUAAAAUGUAUCAACCACGUGUGUAGCCGUGAUGGUCUCUUUUCAGGGGAGUCCGGGAAGAGAACACAGUCUCGUGUUAUGCUUGAACGUAGGUAGUUUCAGGAUCACUUCUUGAUCUUUAUAGAUUCUCAACCAUGCCUUGCUUUUAUUCUUGCUCUCAAUUGCGUAAUUUAGCCACCAUAUAUGCUAGUGCUUGCUGCAGCCCUACCUCACUACUACCUUUUCAUACCCAUAAGCUUAAAUAAUCUUGAUCACGAAGGUGUGAGAUUGCUGAGUCCCCGUGACUCACAGAUUACUUCCAAAACUAGAUGCAGGUGCCGAUGAUGUCAGUGCAGGGGAUGCGACCGAACUCUAGUUGGAGUUCGACGAAGAUUCUGGACGUUACUAUGUGUCUUUUCCGGACGAUCGGUAGAGGAGCCCAGUUGGGGCGAUCUGGGAUCUAUUGCAUUAGGGGUUGUCUUUCUUUAUUUGGUUCCGUAGUCGGACCUUGAUUGUAUCUGGAUGAUGUAAUGCUAUAUUUAUGUAUUGUGAAGUGGCGAUUGUAAGCCAACUCUUUAUCCCUUUCAUAUUCAGUACAUGGGAUGUGUAAAGAUUACCCCUCUUGCGACAUGCCUACUAUGCGGUUAUGCCUCUAAGUCAUGCUCCAACACGUGGGAGAUAUAGCCACAUCGUGGGUGUGACAUCAUAUGAAGUCUAAAAUUAUCAAACUUGGCAUGUGGACAAAGUACUCAUAGCGUACUUCAAAUCAUGUAACUGGGGCACCUCCAAAAGAGACAUAGUUUAAUUAAUAACAAGCUCACAACAUGGCAUCAUGAAGUUAACAGAAAACUAGAGCAUCAUUUAGGCAUGUUCAUGGCAAUGAAAACAUAUGCUACAGGACAUAUAUGAGGCAUCAAACAGAAUGGCAUGAUAGAGCAUAACAUUAACAUCCAAACAUGUCAACUAUUCAUCUCCAGAUUAUGCAUGGAAUAGAUGGUAGCAUCAAACUAACAUGACAUCACAAUGUAAUAGUUAUAGACAUAGAAAAAAUCACCAAGUCUCAUAAAUCAGCAACAUCAAGUAGCACACUUCACAAGCUUGUGCUAGUCACCACACAUAAAAAUACAUGGAUUGCCCCUUUGUAAAGAUGGCAUGAAGAUGCUCCUAAACCAUAUUGACAUGAUGCUCAAAAGAUGAACACACAAAAUACUAUGAAAAAGACAAAUCAGCAAGUUAUAACAAUUUUCAGCAGUUAACAACACAUGGCACUCUUGCAACCAUGAUUAAGGCAUCAAGAUUAACAUUAAAAUGCAUGCAAAUGACACUAGCAUGUAGAGCAUUCAUAGACGAACAAUUUGACAUAACAUGCACGCAAAACGAAGCAAUAUGCGUGAAGUUAUGACAUGAUGAACAUGCACACAUGAUGUUGGAAUCUGGGGACUUAGCAGAAAUUAUACCCUCCAAAAAAGUUAAGGCGGGAUGAGGAGAAGCGGGACGGAGGGAUCCGGGCACGGAGGCGACGUUUGGUUCGGCGAAUCGGUGGAUCUGGUCCACCUCCGGAUCCACCGACGGAGGAGGACGCCGGCGAGGCUCUCCGGCGAGUGGCGACGUCUGCGAGGGCGAGCUCUGGGAAGGGCGGCGGUGGCGUGGCGAGGCUCCGGCAGCGAGGCGCAGUUGUCAGUGUCAAAACCGGCUGAUCUUGGGCAGGGGGUCCCGAACUGUGCAUCUAGGAUCGAUGGUAAUAGAAGACGAGGGACACAAUGUUUACCCAGGCUCGGGCCCUCUCUAUGGAGGUAAUACCAUACUUCCUGCUUGAUUGAUUUUGAUGAAUAUGAGUAUUACAAGAGUUGAUCUACCACGAGAUCGUAAUGGCUAAACCCUAAAAUUCUAGUCUGGCUAUGAUUAUUCAGGGCAUCUACGGACCUAGCCCUCCAGUUUAUAUAGACACGGAGGGAUCUAGGGUUACACAUGGUCGGUUAUAAAGAAAGGAAUCUUCAUAGUCGAUGCAAAGCUUGCCUUCCACGCCAAGGAGAGUCCCAUACGGACACGGGUAGAGUCUUCGGUCUUCAUAUCUUCAUGGCCCAACAGUCUGGCCCAUAUCAAUAGGUCGGACGCCCGAGGACCCCUUGGUCCAGGACUCCCUCAGUAGCCCCUGAACCAGGCUUCAAUGACGAUGUGUCUAGCGUGUAGAUUGUCUUCUGCAUUGCAACGCGGGUUCCACUUUUCCGAAUUCUCCAUGAUAUUGUCCGGAUCUGCAACACAAGUACCACACACGACAACAGGGAAUAUAAUAUUUCACGAGUACUAUCUGCUGACAACUUUUUUAUAAGAUGGCAUCACGUCUGUCAAGUUGUUAUUUCCAACCAUUUCCUGUUCCACAUUCGAGGUGCUUUUUUUAUUGGCAUGUUUUGUCGAAGCAGAGAUCGUGUCCCCCUAUUGCGGGAUCCUCAUUAAUACGAGCGUGGGUAACCCAACCAUUCCACGGGAAAGAUUCCUUGGAAAUAGGCAGGUUCUUAGGCUUAGGAGGAGGCGUUCAAUACCAACCGCCUUUAUAAAGGAACCAAGGACUGUCCCGUUACGCCAAACCUCUCCUCAACCUUCCCAACCUCAAGUUUUAGCACCCAAGGUUCGACCUCAUUGCUCGAAGCUUCCCCAUCAUGUCCGGACCCAGCCCUCAAGGUCGAUGGGUGGCUUCCUCCGUCACGGAGGAGGAUAUUGCAAAGCUUCGGGCGGCCAGAUACCUAACCACGGAGAUCCACCAUAGGCUCCCUGCUCAAGGACAGGUUGUUCCGACCCCCAAAUCUGGCGAGAGGGUUGUUUCUAUCUCUCACUUACUCCGAUGGCUAGGAUUCGCUUUCCACCCCUUUGUCCGGGGGCUAAUCUUUUAUUACGGACUAGAUUUUCUCGAUCUAGCUCCAGAUUCUUUCCUUCAUGCCUUGGUGUUUAUUGUCACGUGCGAGGCCAUCCUCUGAAUCCCCCCACACUUCGGCUUAUCCCUCAAGACCUUUGGUGUAAAGACAAAGGUAGUUGAUGGGGAACAAGUGGAGUGCGGUGGUGUUGUAGUAAGCCAGCUUACCAACACUCCCUGGCCAAAAGUUUCUUUCACUGAAGCUUCCAAUCAAUGGCAGCGAGAGUGGUUGUACGUUACAGAACCCCGUAGCACCAAGUGGGCAGCUACACCAGCGUUCCGUUCCAGCCCUCCAUUACAGCUUGCAUCAUGCGUUAAUAAGGGGCUGGACUGGGGAUCAGUCGAUGAAGUGCGGACUCUAUAGAGCCACAUCCGAACCCUCCUUGAGAGGGACAUCGAUCUUGUCAACGUGAUUCAAGUAAUGUUAAUCCGCCGAAUAUUGCCAUGCCAGCGUAGGCCUCUCCGCCUGUGGGAGUUUAAUCCAGAAGGGCCAUGAACCCUCAAACACUUUCGGUUCUAUGCACAAAGGGAUGUGGAAGAUGUUUUUUGGGAAACGAAAACAUUGCCCGGACACCUCCGAAGACGUCGGCCUUGACUGCAACCGUUCGGACACCCCGGUAAGCCCUUGUCUUUCGAACACUUUGUAGUUAAGUAUAUUGUGAUAUGUUACCGAACAAAUUAUCUUCUUUCAGGGCUGGAUAAAGAAAGCGGAACUAAUUAGGUGUUCGGCCCCCCUUCACGAAGCCUCAGCGGAUUCCGUAUUAAGAUGGAUGCCGGCCCCAACACCAUACUAGAUGCAUGCGAACGAGGACAAGAGGGGGAACAGGAGGACCAAAGAGGGCCUCCAUCCCGAAGAUAUUUUAGACGCCGUGUCCGAGUAGAUAAAAAUCCCAUCACCCGAAGGCAAAAGUAAAGGGGAAGUCUACAUUCAUUCCCCCCAUGGCAAGAAAAGGGACGUCUCCGAAGAUUGGGAAGAAAAGGCUCCCAAGCGAGGCAAGAUGCCCCUGUCGGGCGGCUCGGGCUUGAAGGACGACAUUAUCGCGCAGUUCUCCAGCGAGGCCAAGCCUAAAUCGUAAGCAAACAAGGGCGUUUUACACAUACCUCGUUCCUCCCCUAUGACCAGGGUAACAUCUAAAAUGUAUGUUCUUUGCAGCUCGGCACACAAUCUUUCUCAACAAUCGUCUUCCUCAGGAGACCUUCUCCCAGAGAUGAUGGAAAGCGAGACGCCUCCACCAGUGUCCUCGCCCAAUAAGGUGGAUGACCUCGAGGUGUCGUCCCGGAGGGUCUCUCCUGAUCCGCAAGCGAUGCGAGGGGUGAUGAAAACACGAGCCAAAGCUGAUGCUUCGGUAGCCCAGGGUCCAGGGACCAACAAUGAAGGCCCCAGACUGUGCGGUUUUCAGCCGGAGAUAACUCUAGGGGAGAAUGAACGAAUCCCUACUACGGUUGGCGGGGCGCGGGGUCGUGAGAAGAGCGGAUCUAACAGGUAGCACAUGGUUCAUUUAUCCAGGUUCGGGCCGCGAGGAUGCCUAAAACCCUACUCCUGCUUUGGUGGAUUGUAUAUCUGUGUUCUUGAGCUAGCUAUGGGGCGUGAGGAGGUCCUAAAAGCCGAAUCCUUUUCCUAGUCGCCUUGGGCCUCCUUUUAUAGAAAAAGGGGUUGCCACAGUGGCACAGAUGAGGUGGAAAGGGUACAGUGAUGUGAGGUUAUCCCUCGCAUUACAUGACAAGGCGCAUUUAAUGCGUCUUGCUUAGGUGUCCUUGCUUUAUCGGGGACAGUGGAGAGAUCUGUCUCGUCCGUCGCCGCUCCUCCUUGUGUCGACACGCGCCCUGGCCAGUGACGCCUGCGAUGCCACGUAGGUAGGUAGGCAGCUGAGGUGGCGCAGUGGUGUGUCUUCACGAAGAUCUGCAUGCCACCAUGCAGGUGCCUGCCCAGCUGGUUGGGUCGGCAGCUGCAUGCGAACGGCAGUGGAGGUUUAGUUGGCGUGGGCCUGAUGGUGGCCCUGCGGGUGUUCUCGGCAAGGGCCUUGCCGGGGCCCCGGCAAGGGUCUUGCCGAGGCGCCUGCUGUCAUCCCCGGAAAGGCGCUUGCCGGGGGCCUUCUGGUCUUCCUCGGCUGGGAUCCCGCCAAGGGUUGUCGUCUCCUUAGUGCGUAUCUGAUCUUGAAUGUCUUCACGAAGAUCUGCAUGCCGCCACGGGGAUGUCUCCCGAAUCCUUGCCCUUUAGGGGCCGUGGACUCAGGGGUGAUUCGCUCCGUAGGCGCGGGACGAUUCGCCGCGGCAACGGUCUUGCCGGGGCUGCUAGAACUGUCUUCCGGCAAGGAUCUUGCCGGGGGACUCCGCUUCGUCCCCUUUGCUCUUCAUGGUCUUGGCCUUGGCGUCGUAGUUCUCUUGAGCUUCGGUCUAACCCUGGCUCACCUCCCUUGCCUUGCUCGAUGUGGUGCUGCCUAUGGCUCAGACUUCUCGUGCACGGUUAUAGGGGUACAAAAAGUGUACCCCUCUUUUUGUACACCGAUAGGAGCCCCCGGGCCUGGGCCACACAUAAGCGCAACGCGUUGUUGGGCUAGGCCCAAAAACGGUGCGCGGGCAGGCGGUGCGGUUUUUACCGCGGUAAGAUUCUUCACGCGCUGCGCUUCCCAUGAUUCCCCCGCGUGGCGCGGCGUGGGGAGGUGCGUGUGACGUGGGCAUCAUGCUUGGGGUUGGUUCCCGCAGGCAUGCGUCACAUCAUAGUAAAGGGGCGGUUCGCGCCUUCCCCAUAAACGGAGGGAGGCGUGGAGGGGCGGCCCAUUUACUGAAUGGGGCUGAGGCGCGGUCUUCAAGGCGUCCACUCCCCAUGAUCACGGGGUGGGGAGUGGUCGUCUCACCCGUCCCCUCGGUUCUGCACGUCCGCCAUGUGUCUCCCAUGCGCCUGGGGUGGCGAACGGUCGAGGCGGGAAACCGGGCCGUCGCUGGUUGGGGCGGCGGGUCGGUCCUGGCUCCCUGCGCCUUCCGUAUCUUGAUUGGCCGAGCGGGCGGCCGAGCCCCAACCCCGAUCCUUUAUAAAGAGAGGGAGGGGGAUGGCGUCCCGCAUUCUUUCAUCUUCUUCUUCCUUCAGCUUCUGCUCCUCCCUUCCAUCCGUCAUGGAGAGAGGGAAUCCCGGUCCUUCGACAGUGGCGGCGAGGGUCGCCGCUCGACAACGCGUCCCUCCUUCUUCUGCGCCUGCGGUGGUAGAGCCAGCCGCGAGGGGAAGGGGGAGGGGGCGAGGCCGUGGGCGAGGCCAGGGCACUCGGGGAAGAGGAGGACGGGGUGGUGCGCCGGCCUCGCCGCGUUGGGGAUGAAGAGGAGGCGCGCCAGCAGCUCCUCCUCCAAUGGAGGGACAUGUUGGGGAUGACCCUUGUGAGUUCUUCGUCAGGCUGCGCCGGCCGUCGCCUUCGUCUCCCAACUCCAUUUGCACGGGAGAUGGAGCUGGAACCACCAAAGUCGUUGUGGCUGCACAAGAGGGGCUGCGGGAUCAGUGGCACACGGGCCCGCGUCGACUUCCCCGCCCCUCAUGUGAUGUAUCUUGGUCGGGGAUGGAAGACGUUUGCUCAUAUCCACUGCUUGACGGAGGGGCUCACUCUCCAUUUUAAGCUGAUGGAGUGUGGCCUUCUCUCCAUCAAGAUCUUCGGGUGCUUCGGUUCCCGUGAAAGGUGCUGCGUGGAGAGCUCUUCUGAUAGCGAAGAUUCCUCCUCGGGCGGGAGUGACGAGGAGGACAGCGGCAGCGAUGACGAGGGUAGUAGGCGGCAGGAUGACGGGUCCGAUUAGGUGUCGGGUGCCGCUCUGUGCGGCACCGGCGACCCCAUCAUCCGCGUCGCAGGCUCCCUGAACUUCUCGGGGCCGUCUCCUUGGGCGGCUGGCAUUGGGAGGCUACGGAAGAGGAAGAGGGUGGGCGGCAACGCCGUCAAGUCGGAGUACACGGGCACCGAUGCCUUCGGCGCGUGCUGACGUCCUGCCGCCUCGUCUUCGAGCUCUGCUUCCGGCGCCGCCAUCACCACCCAGCCUUUGGACGGCCACCAAGAUGUUCUCUCGGUGUCUUCUGCCACCCGUAGCCCGCCUAGGCGCUCCUUUUGUCCUUUUCGCCUCCUUGACCUGCCUCCUGAGGCGAGGGACAAGAAAGGGAUUACGGGCACCUUAUCUCUUUUUAGUUUGUAAGCCUUCGGGCCUUUCUUGAAUUUAAAACUUUUAAUCCCAUCAUUCAUGUUUUUCAUUCCCUAUGGACUGUACCUGAGUGGAAUGUUUUUAAUGAAAAAGGGAUGCUUUGCCGGGUCAUUCGUUUGCGGGUGGAACCCAUGACAAGGAGUAAAUCCUUAACAUCCUCAAGAUAAACAUUUCCUUGCCCGGCAAGAGGCCUUGCCGUCUCCCCACUUCACCUGACCUUCCUCACGCCUUUGGCGGAGGCAGGGAUGAGGUGGGUUCAGGCUCCUUGUUUCAUCCUUUCGUUGCCGCGACUACGACCAAACUUGGCCCCAGGAACAAGCCCUAGGGCCUAGAGUUAUCGGAGCAUGGUAGCUUAGGGGAAAACGAUGUUUCACAUACCUCAGUCCAUAAUGGAAUGCAUGAUAAGGGAUGAAGAACUUAUCUGAAGCUGUAGUCCCUGGCAACCCUGGUUCGCCGUGGGUGAAUCUUUGCUCUUGCAGCCCCCGGCAAUACUGGCUUGCCAGGGGCUAGAUGUUGGUCUGUUCCUCUUUUUUUUCCUCCCCAAGUGGUUCGGCACGGAUAUCCGUGUGUUCUAUGAACCAAAGAAGACAAAAGAGAGACGCACACUCCACCUCUAAGCUAGGGGUUAGUCACCGUUAAGCACUAUCAACCCUAACAAAGGACGAGACUCGACCUAGCAUGCAUGCUAUAACUUAGGGCGCCAGCGCUUCAUUUACUUAUGCUCAGGGUCUGCGCCUGGCUUUGUAUAGAGGGUUACAUGCGUCAUCGGCAAGGCUCGUACAAAAGGUGGCUUGCCGGGGGGGCCGACAAGCCGCGCCUCACGGGUAAAACUUGCGAAGAUGCUCAAUGUUCCAAGAGUUACUCACUGGAAUGGCAUCUUUGGUCUCUAGGCGGACUGCGCUGGGCCUGGUGACUCGUAUUACCCGAGAAGGGCCUUCCCACUUUGGCGUCAACUUGUUGGAAUUUUUGGCCGAUUGAACGCGCCGAAGAAUAAGUUCGCCUUCCUCAAGGCUUCAGGCAUGAACCUUGUGGCUAUGGUAGCGGCACAAGGCUUGCUGGUAGCGCGCUGCUCUCACAGCCGCCCGAAGACGAUCUUCCUCAAGGAGCGUUGCAUCAUCUUGGCGCAGUUGCUCUUGCUCAAGCUCAUCAUAAGAGAGUACUCGAGGUGACCUGUAUAUGAGUUCAGUGGGGAGAACUGCUUCUGCCCCGUAUACCAGGGCAAAGGGUGUCUGGCCGGUGGCUCGAUUUGGCGUCGUUCUGAUUGACCAAAGAACCGCCAACAAUUCAUCAAUACAGCGCCUUCCACUCUUGCACAGCCUGUCAAAGGUCUUUGUCCUUAAGCCUCGCAGCACUUCAGCGUUUGCCCUCUCAGCUUGACCAUUGCUUCGUGGGUGAGCAACGGAAGCGAAACAGACUUUGCUACCGAGGUCUUGGGUAUAUUGCAUGAAGGUGCGGGUUGUGAACUGUGUACCGUUUUGGUGAUGACCCUGUUGGGUACACCAAAACGGCACACUAGUCCCUUGAAGAAUUUGACGGCUGACUGAGCUGUGACCUUCCUCACUGCUUCCACCUCUGGCCACUUUGUGAACUUGUCGAUUGCGUUGUACAAGUACUCAAAGCCCCCGACAGCGCGGGGGAAAGGGCCCAGUAUGUCGAGCCCCCAGACCGAGAAAGGGCCAGGAGAGAGGAAUGGUUUGAAGGGCUUGAGCUGGCUGAUGAAGUUUCUUUGAAUGGAACUGACAUGCUUCACACCUGGUGACUAGUGUCGUCACAUCCUGGAGGGCAGUGGGACAGAAGAAGCCUUGCCGGCAAGGGGUCUUGACCCUAUGUGGGAUCCACAUAUGCCUCCAUGUAUCUCCGCCAACAGCCCCAAUCCUUCCUCUCGAGGGAUACACUUCAAUUUCACGCUGUUCGGCCUCUUUCUGUAUAGGACGUCAUCGACGAACUGGUACAUAGUAGAGCGACGGGCUACUUUUUCCGCUUCUUCCUGCUCCUCAGGAAGUUCCCCUGUUUGGAGGAAUCAGACGGUAUGCUGUGCCCACGCUGGAGCCUGGGGCUCGACGGCGAGGACUAAAGGCAUUUCCUCCGCUACAGGAGCGGCUGUCUCGACGACAAGAGCUUGAUGCUCCGCCGGAGCUAGCCAUCCCGUGGCGGGCUCAGUCUCUCCAGCAACAUCCUUGCCGGUGGCUCCGGGGAGCUCGGCGGGAAAGUACUUGCUGGGCCCUGAUUUCCUUCUCUUGUUUUGCUCUGUUGAUGGAUCAACGGAUGGUUGAGUUAGCUGAAGCACAAUGGUACCUGGUUCCGUAGGUAGCUUGAGGGCAGCGUGCUUUGACAGGUAAUUGGCGAUGUUGUUCUCUGCUCGGGGAACAUGCUCCGCCUGUAUACCAUCAAAACGCUCUUCCAGCUUUCUCACUUCAUCGACGUAGGCCUUCAUCAAUGGGCUCCGGUAAUCUUUGUUGACUUGUUUGAUGACAAGUUGCGAGUCGCCCCUGACGAUGAGUUUCCUGAUUCCAAGGUCUGCCGCAAUCCUAAGACCAGCAAGCAGCCCCUCGUAUUUAGCAGUAUUGUUUGUUGACACCUCCCUGGGGAAGUGCAUCUGGAUCACGUACUUGAGGUGCUCUCCGGUGGGCGCGACAAGCAGUACGCCAGCCCCGGCGCCCUGUAAGGAGAAAGCUCCAUCAAAGUACAUGAUCUAGUCCCAACUUGCGUCCUUGCCGGGGAGAGCAGUCUCUUGAGUUUCUUCAUCAGGCGUCGCAGUCCAUUCUGCAACCAACUCCGCCAGGACUCGGCUUUGAAUCGUCGAGGCACUCUCAAACUUGAGGCCAAAGCUGGACAGUUCCAGUGCCCACUCUAUGAUCCUUCCCGUUGCGUCUGGAUUGUGCAAUAUCCGUUGCAGAGGGGGCAAUCGAUGACAGUGAUUUCAUGCACCUGGAAGUAGUGACACAGCUUCCUUGAGGCCAUAAGAAGGCCGAAGAGCAGUUUCUGCACACCAGAGUACUUUGAUCUAGCCCCCUGCAAAAGGGAGCUAACAAAGUAGACCGGGUGCUGCAUCAUAUUCUUCCUUGGCAGCACUCCAACCGGCUGCGUCGUCUCGGCAUCGAUGGCAUCGGGCUCCGUCGCUGCUAUUACCUCAUCAAUAAUUUCUCUCUGCGCCACUAGUGCGGCGCUGACCACCUGGUUCGUUGCCGCCAGGUACAGCAACAACGGUUCUUGUGGCCUAGGCGCAACUAGUAUUGGCGCGGAGGAGAGGUUCCUCUUCAAAUCUUGCAAUGCUGCUUCGGCUUCUGGCGUCCACUCCAUCGGGCCCGCCUUUUUCAAAAUCUUGAAAAAGGGAAGGGCGCGCUCGGCGGACAUGGAAAUGAACCUGCUCAUGGCGGCAACACAACCAGAAAGCCGACGCACAUCCUUGACUCGAUUGAGCGCUUCAAUCUGCUCUAUAGCUUUGAUCUUGUCCGGAUUGGCCUCUAUCCCACGCUAUGACACAAAGAACCCGAGAAGCUUGCCAGACGGGACGCCGAAGACGCACUUCUCAGGGUUCAGCUUGAUAUUGAUCUUGCGUAGGUUUGCAAAUGUUUCUUGUAAAUCUGAUAUGAGGGUUGCCCUAUUCUUGGUUUUGACCACUAUAUCAUCCAUAUAAGCUUCCAUAUUUCUAUGGAGCUGGGGUUCAAAACCAAUCUGGACCGCCCUUGCAAACAUUGAACCAACACUCUUCAACCCGAAAGGCAUCCGUAUAAAGCAAUACGUACCACAUGGGGUGAUGAAUGGCAUUUUCUCUUCAUCUUCCCUUGUCAUGAAGAUCUGGUGGUAGCCGGAGUAGGCAUCGAGGAAUGACAACAAAUCACACCCAGCUGUGGAGUCAACAAUCGGUCGAUGCACGGCAACGGGAAGGGGUCUUUGGGACAAGCCUUAUUGAUAUAUGUGUAAUCAAUACACAGCCUCCACUUCCCAUUUGCCUUGCGCACUACCACCGGAUUGGCCAACCACGUCGGAUGGAGCACUCCUCUUACCAAACCCGCUGCUUCCAAUUUCUGGAUCUCCUCUGUGAUGAACUCUUGUCAUUCGAAAGCUUGCUUUCUGACCUUCUACUUGACGGGCCGUGCAUGAGGACAGACAACAAGGUGGUGCUCAAUCACCUCCUUGGGAACGCCGGGCAUGUCGGAUGCUUGCCAUGCAAACACGUCGACAUUCGCCCGCAAUAAGGUGAUGAGCGGGUCUUCCUAUUUGUCGUCAAGGGUGGAGCUUAUGGUAAAAGCUCCUCCCGCGCCGUCCUCCUUGACAGAAACCUUCUUGGUUCCCAUCGGUGUGGCCCUGGACAUCUUGUUUCUGUCGGCGGAGCUCUUGGCACGUCCUCGACGGGAGCGCUACACUCCGAAGAGGUGCGCUUGCCGGAGUGGGUGCCUGAGGUCUCACCGGUCUUCUUCUUUUGCCUUCCCGGGGCUCCAGUUGCAGGAGCAAGCGCCUUAGCAGUGGCGGCUGCUGCAACUACUUGUUGGUAGAGUUGGUCAGCGCAAAUUAGCGCAUCCUUCUUGUUUGACGGGACGGUGAUGAUCGUCACAGGCCCCGACAUCUUCAAGGUGUUGUAGGCAUAAUGUGACGCCGCCAUGAACUUGGCCAGCGCUGGGCGGCCAAGGAUCCCGUUGUAAGGCAAGGGGAUUUUGGCAACGUCGAACACAACCCUUUCUGUCCUGUAGUUCAGAUCACUCCCAAAAGUCACGGGCAACGUGACCUUUCCCUUUGGUUGACUUCUUCCCAGGUUGACCCCCUGAAACGUGCCCGUCUCUUCGAGGUCUUCAUCAGGAAUCUGCAAUUUCUCAAUCACGGUAGGCGAGAUUAAGUUCAGACCGGCCCCACCAUCGACUAGCAUCUUUGUCACCUUGAGGUUGCGUAUUGUUGGUGAAACCAACAAUGGCAAGCACCCGACUGCAGUAGUGCGAUCAGGGUGAUCCUCAGUGUAAAAAAUGAUAGGUGUGCUGGACCACUUCAGCGGCCUUUGGGCAUCAAAUGACGGUUACGCCGCUGUAAUCUCAUGCACCCACUGUUUAAGCUGGCGGUGAGAGGUAUGCAGGGAGGCGCCGCCAUCGACGCACAUGGCCUCUAUAGCUUUCUGAAAUCCUUGGUCACCAGACUCAUCGUCCUCAUCGUGAUCAUCGUCUUCUGGCUUUUUGUCACGGCCCUGGGCGGGCCUCUCCCGUUGUUUAUCUUUGCCGCGACGACCCGCAUGGCCAUCACGCUUCUUGCCGGACCCCUCAGCACCGUCCUGGCCUUUCUCCUUGUCCCGCCUCUCAUAUUCAGCCCUCCGCUUCUCAGCAAGAGCUCAACCCGUCGGCAGUUCUGGAGAUCAUGGCCUUUGGUGCGAUUGAUCUUGCAGUCUUGCUUGUCGGAGUUUCCUGGCUUCUUGGACGCCGCCAAGGCCCGGCAGGCGACACAUCUGGCAAUUUCCUUACCGGGGUCAUCUGCCUUGGUUUUCUUGGCUGAGCCGGAGUUGCCAGAUCCCUCGACGGCAAGCACAGCUUUACCUUUGUGCUUCCUGUUGCGGCGCCGGCCUUUCUUUGCCGGGGCGGCACUAUCCUCAUCUGAGGACUCGGUUUCCACGCCGGCAUCUUCCCCGGGGUACUUCCUUCCCUCUUCAGCUCGGGCACAUUUGUCAGCAAGAACAUAGAGUUCUUCCACAUCUUUCACCUUGUUCAUUGCCAGUUCUUCGUGCAUCUUGCGGUUACGCACGUUCUGAUGGAACGCACUGAUGAUGGCGGCAGGGUGAACAUCAGGGAUAUUGUACUGUACCCGGCUGAACCUCUGUAUAUACUUUCGCAGACUCUCGCCUCCCUUCUGGGGAAUGACAUGCAGGUCGCUUGCUUGGCCAUGGGCUUGGUGACCCCCAGUAAAGGCGCCCACAAACUCAUGGCACAAAUCCGACCAGGAGGAAAUAGAGUCUAUCGGCAAGUGCAUCAACCACGACAUGGCGUUGGCUUUAAGAGCCAAUGGAAAGUAAUUCGCAAGCACCCUAUCGUCGCGGGCUCCGGCGGCUUGCAUCGCGAUGGUGUAGAUGCUGAGGAACUCAGACGGGUGAGUCUUGCCGCUGUACUUUUAGCCAACGUCAGGUUUGAAGGUGCGGUGAGUGGGCCACUGGAACUGCCGCAGCUCACGGGUAAAAGCCGGACAGCCUAUCUUGUAAGGUAGGCCUCCAGGGCUCUCCGGGGCCGGGUGGUUCACAGCAGGCCUGUAACGCCCUCGAUGCGGCUAUAUCUCCUACGUGUCGAAGCACGACUUAGAGGCAUAACCGCAUUGAAAGCAAUGUCGCAAGUAAGGUAAUCUUCACAACAUCCCAUGUAAUACAUAAUAAGGGGAAAUGUAACAUAGUUCGCUUACACCCGCCACGUCACACAAAGUACAUAAAUAGCAUUACAUCAUCCAAUCACUCAUGGCCCGACUACGGUGCCAAAAUAAAAUAUCAACCCAACAUGCGACACGGUCUCGAUCGCCCCAACUGGGCACCACUACUAAUCAUCAGGGAAAGACACAUAAUAACGGCGUGAGUCCUCGUCGAACUCCCACUUGAGAUCAAGCACGUCAUCUGGAGCGGAAUCAUCAGGCCCUGCAUCUAGUUUGGAAGUAAUCUGUGAGCCACAGGGACUCAGCAAUCUCGCACCCUCACGAUCAAGACUAUUUAAGCUUAUAGGUAAGGUAAGGUAAUUAUGUGGAGCUGCAACAAGCAACUAGCAUGUAUGGCGGCUAACCUGUUCGCAAAAGAGAGCGAGAAGAUAAGGCAAAGCGCGAAUGAAUAACUAGGGAACAACCUGUGGCAAGCAUUAGUCCAACACCGUGUUCACUUCCUGGACUCCACCAAGACACUUCGACAAGUUAAAACAAAUCCAGCAACACCACCCAGAUGUGCUGACAAAUCCCGAUAGCAGCUACACAUAUCUCGUUCUCAGGGCACACCGGAUGAGCAAGACGUCGGGUAGGCCAGCCCAGAGUUGCCCCUGGUAGCCCCGGACAUCGCUCGGUUGGACCAACACUUAGAGAAGCACUGGCCCGGGGGGGGUUUAAAAUAAGAUGACCCUUGAGUCCACGAAACCCAAGGGAAAAAAGGCUAGGUGGCGAAUGGUAAAACCAAUGUUGGGCAUUGCUGGAGGAGUUUUAUUCAAGGUGAACUAUCAAGGGGUUCCAAUUAUCACCCAACCGCGUAAGGAACGCAAAAUCCGGGAACAUAACACCGAUAUGACGGAAACUAGGGCGGCAAGAGUGGAACAAAACACAAGGCAAAAGGCCGAGCCUUCCACCCUUUACCAAGUAUAUAGAUGCAUUAAGAUAACAAGAUAAUAUAAUGAUAUCCCAACAAGUAAAUAAUGUUCCAACAAGGAACGGUCUCCAAUCUUCACCUGCAACUAGCAACGCUAUAAGAGGGGCUGAGACAAAGCGGUAACAUAGCCAAUCAACGGUUUGCUAGGACAUGGUGGGUUAGAGGUUUGACAUGGCAAUUUGAGAGGCAUGAUAAGCAAGUGGUAGGCAUCGUAGCAUAGGCAUAGCAAAAGAGCGAGCAUCUAGCAAAGCAAAGAUAGAAGUGAUUUCGAGGGUAUGAUCAUCUUGCCUGCAAAGUUGUCAGAGUUGACUGGAUCCUCGAAAGCAAACUCAAUGGGCUCCUCGUUAGCGAACUCGUCUCCCGGCUCUACCCAAACAAGACAAAUAAGCAAAAGGAACGGAAUCAACCAUGUUGUCCAGGGGACCAUCUUUGACUGUAUUGACGUACAAAGGAUAGGAGAUAAAUCGGAAUACAUUUUACACGAUCGCCCAAGAUCAAAAGAGCACCAACCAAAACAGCGGUGUCCGCUUUGAUGCAGCAACCGAGAGUGGAAAGGACACAUAUUAUGGUUACAUAGUGGACAUAUGGGAACUUGACUACGGACCUGAUUUUAAGGUCCCUUUGUUUAAGUGCAAAUGGGUCAAUCUGUUAGGCGGCGGGGUACAGGUAGACCCACAGUACAGAAUGACAACAGUGGAUCUAAAAAAUCUUGGGUACACUGAUGAACCGUUCAUCCUAGCCAAUGAUGUGGCACGGGUUAUCUAUGUGAAGGACAUGUCUACCAAACCGAGAAAAAGAAAAGAUAAGGAAGCGAAUACAUCAUACGAUGAGCCAAAGCGCCACAAAGUUCUUUCAGGAAAAAGGGACAUCCUGGGAGUGGACGGCAAGACAGACAUGUCUGAAGAUUAUGAAAAGUUUCAUGAAAUUCCUCCCUUCAAUGUCAAGGCUGACCCAAGCAUCCUGAUAAACAAUGAAGAUUAUCCAUGGUUAUGGCGCAAUAAGCAAAUGACACAAGCGAAGAAAAAGUGAAGACUUUCUCCCGCAACUAUUAUGAUGAUACCAUGCCAACUUUGUAACACAGGAACAUGCUACCAUUGUCCGUUUUGUACAUGCACAUGCUAUGUGGGUGAAAUUAUGAUACCAUCCCAACUUUCAACUUUUUUAGAGUUCAUUUGAAAUGCUUUCAUGUCUUAUGGUUCGUCCCUCAUAAUACCAUGACCAUUAGUCCCUGGCCCAUGCCAACUUUCAACUUUCUAAAACUAAUGGCACUAACAGAAAGUUUAUAAUUUUGCUCCUCGCCCCUGGCCCAUGACCAUUAGUCCCGGUUUGUGACACAAACCAGGAAUAAAGGGUUGGUCCUUGUUGCGGGCAGAGUUUAGUUCCACCUCGCCAACCGAAGGGGGCUCACACCGGUUUAUAAGCCCUUCCCUCUCUGCCUUGUUGAGCUCCUCUCGAAGUGAAAAUAGAUGCCCCAAUAGAGAAAAGUUUAACCUAAAUUCAUAGUGAAUUUCUCUGAAAUUCAUAGAAAUUUACUAGGAAUUUAGGUUGAAUUUUCUCUAUAAGCGCAUCUAUUCUCAUCUUUUAGUAAGUUAAUCACAAACUUGUGAUUCAAACAAUUUUUAAAGAAUUCAAAUUUUAACUAUUCAAAUUUGAAAACUAAUGGCACUAACAGAAAGUUUAUAAUUUUUCUAAAACUAAUGGCACUAAUAGAAAGUUUAUAAUUUUGCUAACCUAAAAGCAAACAGAAAUAAAAAUUAAAGCAAAAAACAAAAGAAAAUAAAUAAUGCAAAAAACAAAUCAAAAAAACAGGAAAAAACUAUUUUUAUAGUAAAGUUAGUCACAAAAUAAAAUAAAUAAAGCAACAAAGAAAACAAAAAAACUAAAAAAGUGUUUUCAAAUUUGAAAACUAAUGGCACUAACACAAAGUUUAUAAUUUUUCUAAAAGUAAUGGCACUAACAGAAAGUUUAUANNNNNNNNNNNNNNNNNNNNNNNNNNNNNNNNNNNNNNNNNNNNNNNNNNNNNNNNNNNNNNNNNNNNNNNNNNNNNNNNNNNNNNNNNNNNNNNNNNNNNNNNNNNNNNNNNNNNNNNNNNNNNNNNNNNNNNNNNNNNNNNNNNNNNNNNNNNNNNNNNNNNNNNNNNNNNNNNNNNNNNNNNNNNNNNNNNNNNNNNNNNNNNNNNNNNNNNNNNNNNNNNNNNNNNNNNNNNNNNNNNNNNNNNNNNNNNNNNNNNNNNNNNNNNNNNNNNNNNNNNNNNNNNNNNNNNNNNNNNNNNNNNNNNNNNNNNNNNNNNNNNNNNNNNNNNNNNNNNAGAAAGUUUAUAAUUUUUCUAAAAGUAAUGGCACUAACAGAAAGUUUAUAAUUUUGCUAACCUAAAAGCAAACAGAAUUAAAAAUUAAAGUAAAAAACAAAAGAAAAUAAAUAAUGCAAAAAACAAAUCAAAAAAACAGGAAAAAACUAUUUUUAUAGUAAAGUUAAUCACAAAAUAAAAUAAAUAAAGCAACAAAGAAAACAAAAAAACUAAAAAAGUGUUUUCAAAUUUGAAAACUAAUGGCAUUAACAAAAAGUUUAUAAUUUUUCUAAAACUAAAAGCAUAAAGAAUUAAAAAAUAAAGCAAAAAACGAAAGAAAAUAAAUAAAGCAACAAAAAAACAAAAAAAAUGCCACCUACUGAGCCACCACGGCCUGAAUACGACUAGAAACCCUACCAUGGGCCAGGAUUCAGGCCCGCAGUAGGCCCAGUAGGCCCACAGGCAUUGCAGUGACAGAUUAGGCCCGAAAGCCUGCAGUUGAGAGGAGCUCGGGAGGGUGGGCGCAGCAGCGCUUAUAAACCACUCCCGAUCCCUCUCAACUAGCAAGGUGGGACUAAACUUUUGGCCGCGGGGCAGCACAAGGCUAUUGGUCCCGGUUGGUGGCACCAACCGGGACUAAAGGGGGCAUUGGUCACGGUUCGUGGCACCAACCGUGACCAAUGCCCCCCUUUNNNNNNNNNNNNNNNNNNNNNNNNNNNNNNNNNNNNNNNNNNNNNNNNNNNNNNNNNNNNNNNNNNNNNNNNNNNNNNNNNNNNNNNNNNNNNNNNNNNNNNNNNNNNNNNNNNNNNNNNNNNNNNNNNNNNNNNNNNNNNNNNNNNNNNNNNNNNNNNNNNNNNNNNNNNNNNNNNNNNNNNNNNNNNNNNNNNNNNNNNNNNNNNNNNNNNNNNNNNNNNNNNNNNNNNNNNNNNNNNNNNNNNNNNNNNNNNNNNNNNNNNNNNNNNNNNNNNNNNNNNNNAAAGCUUGGACUAUAUAACAAACACUUGUGAAAUUUUUCAGUUUGCAUCGCCAGUUCCCCCCUCCCCCGCCGACGACGCCGUCAGGCUGCUCCACCUCGCCGUCUACCCCGCCGCCGCCAACGUCGUCGCCUCCACGAGCCCGCGCCGUCCUCAUCGCCGGCAUCCCCGAGCCCGCCGUCCUCGUCGUCCCCGUCGCCGCGUGCCUCCCCGAGCCCACCCCUCCUCGUCCCUGUCGCCGGCCACCCGCCGUCCCCGUCACUGCGUGCUUCCCUGAGCCCGCCGUCCUCGUCGCCGGACUCCUUCCAUCGCCGCCCCUCGAAGUGAGCCCCCCCUUUCCCAUGGUCCCGAUCGAGUGCGGCCCUUGCUCUCUGCCCCUGCUCCAUGGUCGCCGCCGGCCCGACGCAUUGAAGAGCAGAAGGAGACGAGAAGGAGAGGAGAGGAGAAGGAGUGGAGCAGCAGCAAACUUUUCUAAAAUUUCUGAUUUUUUUACAGAUAUGAACAGUGCAUAUAGAGGGUGUUUGAUCAAAUGCUAGAUGGCUUUAGGCACUUUUAGGAUUUAUGAUAUUUUUUGUGGUGAGGUACUGAUGCAAGACAAAGGUGAUGGCAAAAUUUUAGAAUUUUUUGAUUGGUUUAGAAUAGGUUUUCAGCAAGGAAUUUGAAUCUGGUUCAAAUUUCAUUUGAAUGAAAUUUAAAAAAUUAAACUAUGGAUCAUAAGGUUUUUGGUGAAAUGGAGUGUGGGUACUGUCCUGAAGUUGGAGUAAUUUUUGUGGUUGUAAAAGAGUUAGGAAAAUUUAGAAUGUGCUAAAUAUGUCAAAAAUGUUUUUUUGUUCAUACAAAGUUUUUGUUCAUAGAAAGUUUUUUGUUCAUAGGCAGAAAAGUUUUUAUAUAUGACUAUGGAUAUAUGAGCAAUGAUGAUCCAUGGAUGUAUGCAUUGAUAUAUAUGAGAAACGAUGUUUCAUAGAAUAUUUACCAAGUAUAUAUAUGUAUUUUUGUUCAUAGCAUGUUUUUCCAUUUAUAUAUGUAUGUGGCUAUAGAUGGAUAUAUAUGAGAGGUUUCCUAGUGUCAAAGUAUUGAAGAAAUCCAUGGCUUCAUCAUUAGCCGAAAGUAACCAGGGCAUGACGAAGUCCUCCAAAGUUAUUUUGGAAUGGUGUCCCGAAUAGGAUAAUUUGCCUUUUGUAUGAAUUUCAGCAAAAGCAUUCCAAAUAACGAUAUUUGGAAGGUUCUUGCUGAACUUUGUACCAAAAAGCGAAUUAUCUUAUCUGGGACUCUGUUUGAAAAUAACUUUGGAGAGCUUUGUACCAUCAUGCACCUGUUACUUUCGCGUAAUGAUGAAGACAUGGUUUUGUUGAAUCCUUUGACACUAGGCAACCUCCCGACCCCUCGGCGAUCCUCUCGAACAUGAGAGGAAGAAGAGGAUCGCCGAGGGGUCGAGGGUUCCAGGGUCGUCGAGGGUUUGAGAGAGGUUUCCUAGUGUCAAAGUAUUGAAGAAAUCCAUGGCUUCAUCAUUAGCCGGAAGUAACCCGGGCAUGACGAAGUCCUCCAAAGUUAUUUUGGAAUGGUGUCCCAGAUAGGAUAAUUUGCCUUUUUGUAUGAAUUUCAGCAAAGGCCUUCCAAAUAACGAUAUUUGGAAGGUUCUUGCUGAACUUUGUACCAAAAAGCGAAUUAUCUUAUCUGGGACUCCGUUCCAAAAUAACCUUGGGGAGCUUCGUACCAUCAUGCACUUGUUACUUUCGCCUAAUGAUGAAGACAUGGUUUUGUUGAAUCCUUUGACACUAGGCAACCUCCCGACCCCUCGGCGAUCCUAUCGAACAUGAGAGGAAGAAGAGGAUCACUGAGGGGUCGAGGGUUCCAGGGUGGUCGAGGGUUCGAGGGGUCGAGGAUCGCCGAGGGGUCGAGAGAGGUUUCCUAGUGUCAAAGUAUUGAAGAAAUCCAUGGCUUCAUCAUUAGCCGGAAGUAACCAGGGCAUGACGAAGUCCUCCAAAGUUAUUUUGGAAUGGUGUCCCGGAUAGGAUAAUUUGCCUUUUUGUAUGAAUUUCAGCAGAGGCCUUCCAAAUAACGAUAUUUGGAAUGUUCUUGCUGAACUUUGUACCAAAAAGCGAAUUAUCCUAUCUAGGACUCUGUUCCAAAAUAACUUUGGAGAGCUUCAUACCAUCAUGCACCUGUUACUUUCGCCUAAUGAUGAAGACAUGGUUUUGUUGAAUCCUUUGACACUAGGCAACCUCCCGACCCCUCGGCGAUCCUCUUGAACAUGAGAGGAUGAAGAGGAUAAAAAAAGAAGAGGAAGAAGAAAAAAAGAGGAGAAGAAAGAAUAGGGGAGUUCUUCUCCUCUAUUCUUUCUUCUCCUCUUUUUUUCUUCUUCUUCCUCUUUUUUUUAUCGGGAACAAGGGUCGUCGAGGGACAUAGAUGUAGUGUCGUUGUUGUCGAUAUACCCCCUCCCGAUAGCUUCAACACGUGGGGGGGUCGAUAUUACCCCCUCCUUGAAGCGUUCUCGAGGCCACCCCAAACCCUUGAAGCGUUAUCGAGGCCAGCCCAAACCCUAGAGAAGCAGCGUCGAGGCCACUAAUUAAUAUAUAUGAUUCCUUACUAUGAUUAGGUAGCUAGUUCUACAUUUGCCACUAAUAUAUCCAUCUGUCAUGUUUGAAUAAUAAUUGCCAUGUUGUAAAAUUUUGUAGAAACUAUGGACACCGUCCGAGACGAAGCAAAAGAAGCGUUGUUGAGGGACAUAAUCGCAGAAGGAAGUGAUGCCGUCUCGUUGUUUCUCAACGACACCGAUGGUCUGGAAGGAGAGGGUGAAGAAGCUGGCUACGGUGACCUAAUGCCGAUGCAAGAAGAAGAACAUGAGGACGGCUCCGGUGACCCAAUGCCGGUGCAAGAAGGAGACCGUGAUGAUGGCUCCGGUGACCGAACCGAGUCCGGCCAGGUAUAUAUAUUAGUUAAGCCUGUGCUGACUAGCUAAUUGAUGCAUUCAUUGUUUUGGUAUGUACACAUAUUAACUAAGUAUUUGUUCUUUUUUCUAGCCCUCCGGAUCGAGCACAACUUCGAUAAAGAGACGAGGCCCGAAGAAAAAGUUGAGCUCGGAUGAAAGGUUUGAGAUCAUAGCAAUCGCGCCCGAUGGCCAACCGAUUGAACCCAUCCGGACAAAGAACGCAUUUGUUGCUCAGUGUGGGGUUCUAGUUAGGGACAAGAUCCCGAUCAGCAUCCAGCAAUGGUUUAAGCCGGCUACAGAAGACCUUGAGGUGUCUUAUGUCAAUGAUAUGUAGAAAAAUGAUCUUUGGACUGAGCUGAAGUCAAAUUUCACCCUACCGCGACAGGAUAAUCCAGAGAAGCCAGUUAAAGAGCAAUUAAUCAAGUCUUUUGCUCUUAAGAGGAUGGCAGAACUAUUCAGGAGGUGGAAAAAGAGCUGAAUAAGUUUGUCGAAAAUAAUGAGACACCAGAAUUCAAGGGCAGAUAUGAGAGGAUCAGAGAUCACUGGCCCACAUUUGUGGCCCACAAGACAUCGGAAAAGAGUAAGAAGAUGUCGGUGACAAACAAGCAAAAUGCUGCGAAGAAGAAGCAUCACCAUCGCACGGGGUCAGUUGGCUACCUCGUAGCCCGGCCUAAGUGGGCCAAGACUGAGAAUGAUCUGGUUGAUAAAGGGAUCGAACCGGAGACAAUUAACUGGCCAGACCGUUGUCGGACUUGGUUCUUCGUGGCUGACGGAACCUUGGACCUUGUAACAGGGAAAUCAUCCCAAGUGAUAACACGUCCACCUCUGGAAUCCUUGUACUGCUGGAACCACUCCGCAGCCUGAUCUUUGAGCUGGAAAGAAGCGAACUUGACGAAAUCUUCAGGCCUGACGUUGCUGCAUUCAAAAUGCUUGCCCAGAUCCACUAGCCAAUCGUCAGCGUCGGUAGCCUCAACACAACCGCUGAACGUCUUUGGGCCAUUUGCGAGGAACUGGUUCAGUGUAGCAAAGUGGUGCUGAUUGUUUCCUUGAUUCCCUUGACUGCCUUGAUUCCGCUCUUGGAGGAUUUGCAUGAUCAACUGUGUAUUUGCAUUAGUAGCGGCCAUCACAGCUUGCCAUGCUUCCGGAGGAGGCGGAGGUGGAGGCGGAUCAGGAUUCGGAGUCGUGCGCGUUGGAGGAGCCAUCCUGAAGAGGUUGUCCACCAUUAGCACAUUGAUAGAAAACAAUAUAGAAGCUGAAUCCAACGGAAUGAAAAAUUGCAACAUAUAGUCUUCACAUCCGAACAAAAUGAACGAAUGAAUUCCUCUUCAAAUGGUCACAUAUCCAUAAAUUGAGAAGCCACGUAGAAUUAAGGUAGAGAAAUAAUUCAACAAGGUACGGAUGAAGAACGAAUAAUCGGUAAGAAAUCCCAAUCUCAAACCAAUAUCCGUGGAAGAAGAACUAGAGCUACUAGAAUUCCCACCUAUGAAACUCCCGAACCUUUCCGGUUAUGCAAUCAGGUGUUGGGGAUACAGGGGAAGCAUAAUAUCUCACCCAAACUAGCAAAUCCUACAUCCAGCUGUAUCCAUCCUUCAACACAUAACCAAGAAAACUUCGGAAACCAUCUACCUCAACCUUCGAAAAGCAUCCGUUAUACAAGUUAUGGCGAUACUCCCGAACUCCCGCCCCAGUACUGGGUGGCGUCGAGGUUAUCUCACCAACGAACUGCAUAAAAGAGAUUUCCGAUGUCGCGCACAUAUCUCAAGUAUACCAGAAUUGCAACGAUAAAAUUGUGACGACAACACCUCGGAGCUCAACUCCCCGGGACACUGCCACAACCCCUAAAGACAGGAGGCAGCAAGAAUAAUGUUCUCGUCACAAAACCAUCGGAACAAAACCAAGAUACUCGCGUGAUCCUAAAAAAAAUUUGUGAAAUUUGAGAAGAGAAGAGUCAAACUCUACGUCAGGAUGCCUUACCAGAGCGAUGAGGAGGCUGGGAAGUAAAAAGAAUUCCUAAGCUCUCCGAUAUAUAAUUCCUAAGGACUCAAAACAUUUUUCUAGACACAACUCGGCUGCUAAAAAUGAUCAAGCAAUGGGGGCUCCUAAGGUCGGGGAAGGCUCUGAUUACCAACUUGUAACGCCCUCGAUGCGGCUAUAGCUCCCACGUGUCGAGGCACGACUUAGAGGCAUAACCGCAUUGAAAGCAAUGUCGCAAGUCAGGCAAUCAUUACAACAUCCCAUGUAAUAUAUAAUAAAAGGGGGAGAUAACAUAGUUGGCUUACACUCGCCACGUCACAUCAGAGUACAUAAAUAACAUCCAUCAAACAAACACUCAUGGCCCGACUACGGCGCCAAAAUAGAAAAGAAUCCAACGUGCGACAAGGCCCUGAAUCGAUCCCCAACUAGACACCACUACUGAUCAUCGAGAAAGGAAACAUAAUAACGCUGAGAGUCCUCGUCGAACUCCCACUUGAGCUCGUACUCGUCACCUGGAGAGAAAUCACCUGGACCUGCAUCUGGAGUUAUAGUAUCUGUGAGCCACAGGGACUCAGCAAUCUCACACCCUCGCGAUCAAAACUAUUUAAGCUCAUAGGAAUGGAUAAGGCAAAUAUAUGUGGAGCUGCAGCAAGCGACUAGCAUAUGUGCUGGCUAACUUAUCCGCAAAACAGAGCGAGAAGAGGAGGCAAGGCGCGAGCGAGAAUCUAGAGGAACAACCUGCGCAAGCAUAACUCCAACACCGUGUCCACUUCCCGGACUCCGCCGAGAAGAGGCCAUCACGGCAACACACUCAGUUGAUUCAUUUUAAUUAAUUAAGGUUUUAGUUAUCUACAACCGGACAUUAACAAAUUCCCAUCUGCCCAUAACCGCGGGCACGGCUUUCGAAAGUUCAAUCCCUGCAGGGGGGUCCCAACUUAGCCGAUGACAAGCUCUCACGGUCAACGAAGGAAUAGACCUCCACCCGAGACACACCGAUCAGACUCGGCAACCCGGUACAACAAGACAAUUCGACAGGUUAAAACAAGACCAGCAACACCGCCCGAAUGUGCCGACAAAUCCCGAUAGGAGCUGCACAUAUCUCUUUCUCAGGGCACACUCAGAUGAGCGCUCCAUACAACUAAAACCAAACCUCGAGUUUCCCCGAGGGGGCGCUGCACAGGACUCUAGUUUGGACCAACGCUCAGAGGAGCACUGGCCCGGGGGGGGGGGUUAAAAUAAGAUGACCUUCGGGCUCCGGAAACCCAAGGGAAAAAGAGGCUAGGUGGCAAAUGGUAAAACCAAUGUUGGGCAUUGCUGGAAAAGCUUUAAUCAAGGCGAACUAUCAAGGGGUUCCCAUUAUAACCCAACCGCGUAAGGGACGCAACAAUCCGGGAACAUAACACCGAUAUGACGGAAACUAGGGCGGCAAGAGUGGAACAAAACACUAGGCGAGAGGCCGAGCCUUCCACCCUUUACCAAGUAUAUAGAUGCAUUAAGACAACAUAGCAAUAUAAUGAUAUCCCAACAAGAAAAAAAUAAAUGUUCCAACAAGGAACGGCUCCAAUCUUCACCUGCAACUAACAACGCUAUAAGAAGGGCUGAGCAAAGCGGUAACAUAGCCAAUCAACGGUUUGCUAGGACAAUGGUGGGUUAGAGGAUCAACAUGGCAAUUGGGAGGCUGACAAGCAAAAGGUAGGCAUUGUAGCAGUGGCAAAGCAAAAGAGCGAGCAAACUAGCAUAGCAAAGAUAGUAGUGAUUUCGAGGGUAUGAUCAUCUUGCCUGCACAAUUGUCAGAGCUGACUGGAUCCUCACAAGCAAACUCAACGGGAUCCUCGGUAGCGAACUCGUCUCCCGGCUCUACCCAACAAUACAAAGAAGUAACAAGGAUACAAUCAACCACGGGCAAGACCAAGCAAUAUGAUGAAAUGACGAUAUGCUAUGCGGGAUGCGAUGCGGGAUGCAAAAUGCAAGAUAUGACAGGAAAUGCAUCAACCUGGCAUCAAAUUGGAAAACCAAGUGUGCCACUGGAUAGAGGGGAUGAAAUCGCUUGAAAACGAUAUAAAGAUCAUUGGAAUCGGAGCUACGGUUUGGAAAUGGCGAGCAUUUUACGAAACGAACCGAUUUGCGAUAUACAGCAAGUAGGCUCCUAAAUGCAACGAAAUAAACAUUCUACAGCCACCAAACAUGAAAACAAAAUAGAUGGAAGUGAUGUACACAAGAUGUUUAACAAAAGACUAGCACUGAGCCACGGCCAAUUCAUCCAUUAUGAGGUUCAAACAAGCAUGGCUAAGACGCAAAUGCAAAACAGAUUCCAGACUUAGUGAAAUUAACACUAGUCUGAAAUUUCAGAUCACGAUGCUCUCUUCGGAGCAGCAAAACAACAUGAUAGAUGACCUGAACAUGACAAGUAAGAACAUGGCAUGGAGCUACUCAACAAGCUUAACAAAACACCCAAAGUGACCUGGGGCCAAAAGGGAUCACAAAAUAUAUUAACGGGCACACGAACAUAGCUAAAACACAAUCAGUUUUCAGACUUAGUGAAAACUGAGACAUGCAGAAAUUUAACUCGCGAAGGCAUGUAAACGAGCUCGAUGCACUCACUACGGUGCAAGUCAUGGCAAGGAAAGCAUAUAUACAUUAAGAAGACACAAAAUACAAGCUAGACAUGGCAAGAACAAUGGCAUAGCAUGCACGGAUCACUAACAAUAGCAUCGGCAAAAUCGCAAACAAGUUGACGAUCUGCCCAGAUUAACAACGAAGCAAAAGUUGAGCUCGAUUGAGUCAACCUAGAGCACACAACAUAUGCAAACAAAGACAUGGAUGGAAAUAGAAUAACAUAAAUGUCAAAACUCCCUUACUGAUCAUCCUCAAAAGAGGCACGGAUCACUAGGAAACAAGCUGGACAUAUAGCAUCAUGAACUAAAAUAUCCCAGACUUAGUGAAAAUCACUAAGUCCCUGAAAUCUGCAUACUCAGGUACCUCCCUUUGCAAGCUUGCACAAGACACCACACACAUCCUAAAAAUGCAUGGGUGGCACCUCUGGAAAGAAGACAAAAUGCUUAACAAUUCAUCCCAAAGGGGCAUAGGCAUAUCAUGCACGAAUUAAACAUGGCAAAAAUGACAAAAGUGCAUGAUGAACUAACGGAUCUGCAAUUUAACUCACGAAGCCUCUUUCUAACAGAAUUUUGGGCAUCAAGAUGACAUCAAAUGCAAAUGAUGCAAUGGAAGGAAAUGAUGUACAUGUCGAGCCUAAGAUUUUGAUAUAUCAUACGCCCAAAACGGAGCUACGUAUGCAAAAUUACGGGCGGUCAAAGUAGGCAUAAAAACUUAGGGUUUGAAGGGAAAAGUCAACCGUCGGGUCAAAAUAUCUCAGAUCCAGAUCGGGAUCUCACGGGCACGGACUUCGAGGUUGACCGCGGGGCACUGUUCACCGGAGUUGGAGCUCGCCGGCGGAGGACCGCAGGGGAGUGGGGAGGCUCGCCGGAGCCCGACCCGGCCGCCGGAGGAGCCGGACGAGGGCGGCGGGGCCCGGUGGUGGCCAUGGCGAGGUUGGGCGGCGGCGGGCGCGCCNNNNNNNNNNNNNNNNNNNNNNNNNNNNNNNNNNNNNNNNNNNNNNNNNNNNNNNNNNNNNNNNNNNNNNNNNNNNNNNNNNNNNNNNNNNNNNNNNNNNNNNNNNNNNNNNNNNNNNNNNNNNNNNNNNNNNNNNNNNNNNNNNNNNNNNNNNNNNNNNNNNNNNNNNNNNNNNNNNNNNNNNNNNNNNNNNNNNNNNNNNNNNNNNNNNNNNNNNNNNNNNNNNNNNNNNNNNNNNNNNNNNNNNNNNNNNNNNNNNNNNNNNNNNNNNNNNNNNNNNNNNNNNNNNNNNNNNNNNNNNNAUGACGCGGGCUGGGAGGGCCCCGCGUGGGCCUGCGGGCCGGUGACGAUGUGGUCCUGCCACGUGGCGGCUGGCGAGUGGGCGGGCUGCGGCGGCGGACGCUGUCCGGCCGGGGGCGGACACUUCCGUCGGUGGAGAUCCCUUUUUUUUAACUAGGGUUUCGGACGGGGAAGAAGAGAUCCGAAUGGAGGGGGUAUAUAUAUAGGCAUAAGUGGAGCUAGGAGAGUCCAAAUGAGGUGCGGUUUUCGCCCAUACGAUCGUGAUCGAACAAUCUAGGACAUGGAGCAGAGUUUGGUGGGUUUUGGAACAAAUUUGGGGGGUGUUGGGCUGCAACACACACGAGGCCUUUUCGGUCCCUCGGUUAACCGUUGGAGUAUCAAACGAAGUCCAAAUGAUACGAAACUUGACAGGCGGUCUACCGGUAGUAAACCAAGGCCGCAUGGCAAGUCUCGAUACAAUCCGGAAAUGUUUGAUCCCCACACACGAAAGAAAGCUAGAGAAGGCCACCGGAGGAGAACGAAGCGCCGGAAUGCAAAACGGACAACGGGGAAAAUGCUCGAAUGCAUGAGAUGAACACGUAUGCAAAUGCAAUGCACAUGAUGACAUGGUAUGAGAUGCACGAAAAAGAAAAACAACACACGGAGACAAAGACCCGAAUCCGAGAAAUAAAUAUAACUUGACACCGGAAACGGCAAGAGUUGGAGUACAAAUAGGGAAAGUUACAUCUGGGGCGUUACAACACUCCACCACUAGGAAAAGAUCUCGUCCCGAGAUCUAGGACUGAAAGAACUCCGGGUACUCAGAACGGAGGUGAUCCUCGCGUUCCCAGGUAGCUUCACGGUCGGAAUGGUGUGACCACUUAACUUUGAGAAAUUUGAUUGACUUGUUGCGAGUCUUGCGUUCAGUCUCUUCAAGAAUAGCAACUGGGUGCUCACGAUAAGAGAGAUCUUCUUGGAGCUCAAUGUCCUCGAAGUUGACGGUGCGGUCAGGAGUCUUGAAUCACUUUCGAAGCUGAGAGACAUGGAACACAUCAUGAACAUUUGCAAAGUUUGAAGGAAGCUCGAGUUGAUAGGCAAGGUCACCUCUCUUGCUGACAAUCUUGAAAGGUCCCACGUAUCUAGGGGCAAGCUUCCCUUUGAUACCGAAGCGACGAGUACCUUUCAUGGGAGAGACGCGGAGGUAAACAUGAUCUCCGAUCUCGAAAGCCAAUUCACGGUGCUUACUAUCAUAGUAGCACUUCUGGCGGGAUUGGGCUGCUUUGAGGUUAUCACGAAUGACUUUGCACAUUUCUUCUACUUCUGUGAUUAAGUCAUUACCCAGCAGCUGACGUUCACCGGUUUCAGACCAGUUGAGAGGGGUACGACACUUCCUGCCAUACAGAAUUUCAAAUGGGGCCUUGCCCGAACUUGCUUGAAAGCUGUUGUUGUAUGAGAAUUCAGCAUAAGGAAGACAGUCCUCCCACUUCAUGCCGAAGGAGAUCACACAAGCCCUAAGCAUAUCUUCAAGAAUUUGGUUGACACGCUCGACUUGACCGCUUGUUUGAGGAUGGAAAGCUGUGCUGAAGCGGAUGUUGGUGCCCAUGGCCUUCUAAAAAGAAUCCCAAAACUUGGAGGUAAAGAUGCUGCCACGGUCUGAAGAUAUCACUUGAGGAAUACCGUGCAGAGAGACAAUACGAGAGGUAUAGAGUUCCGCCAAUUGAGCUGCAGUGAUUGACUCUUUGAUAGGCAGAAGGUGAGCCACUUUGGUGAGCUUGUCGAUGACGACGAAUAUAGCAUCAUUGCCACGCUUGGACUUUGGAAACCCAUUCACGAAGUCCAUUUCAAUGUGGUCAAACUUCCAUUCUGGAAUGGCAAGAGGUUGGAGGAGACCUGCUGGCCUUUGGUGUUCUGCCUUCACUCUUCUGCAGACAUCACAAUCAUUCACGAAUUGAGUGAUCUCGCGCUUCAUUCGAGUCCACCAAUAAGCUUGCUUGAGGUCCUCAUACAUCUUCGUACUCCCAGGGUGGAUGGAGAGGAGAGAAUUGUGAGCCUCGUUCAUGAUCACCUUACGAAGUUCACCUUUUGGCACAACAAUUCGAUCCUCAAAGAAGAGAGUGUCCUUGUCAUCAAGUCGGUAGCACUUGUACUUGGACUGACUCUUUGCAAUACCAAUCUUCACCUUCUUCACCAUAUCAUCAAGAAGCUGGGCUUGGCGAAUCUUGUCUUCCAAGGUAGGAGAAACUUGAAGGUUGGCGAGGAAACCUUGAGGAACAAUUUGCAGAUUAAGUUUGCGGAAAGCUUCACAAAGCUCGGGUUGAUAAGGCUUGAGAAUCAGACUGUUGCAAUAUGCUUUUCUGCUCAAAGCGUCAGCAAUCACAUUGGCUUUGCCUGGAGUAUACUCGAUACUCGGAUUGUACUCUUGAAUCAUUUCGACCCAUCGAGUCUGCCUGAGGUUGAGAUUAGGCUGAGUGAAGAUGUACUUGAGACUCUUGUGAUCAGUGAAAAUAUCCACUUUCCUUCCCAACAGAAGAUGUCUCCAAGUCAAAAGAGCAUGCACCACUGCCGCCAACUCGAGAUCAUGAGUGGAGUAGUUCUUCUCAUUAGGCUUCAACUAGCGAGAGGUAUAAGCGACAACUUUCUUCUCUUGCAUCAGUACAGCACCGAGACCUUGGAUAGAGGCAUCACAAAAGACCUCGUACGGCUUGGUUUCAUCAGGCGGAGUCAGAACUGGAGCAGUGAUCAAUUUCUCUUUCAAAGUGUUGAAAGCAAUAUCACACUCCGGAGACCAAACGUACUUGACGUGCUUCUGAAGAAGAUUUGAGAGAGGCUUGGCGAUCUUAGAAAAGUUUUCAACGAAUCUUCUGCAAUAGCUUGCGAGACCGAGGAAACUGCGGAGUUGCUUUACGUUCUGAGGAGGUUCCCAAUUCACAAUUGCAGACACCUUCUCAGGAUUGACGGAAAUGCCCUUGACAGAGAUGAUAUGACCAAGAUAAAGAACCUCAUCGAGCCAAAAUUCACACUUGGAGAACUUGGCGUAGAACUGAUGUUCCCUGAGCUUGUCAAGAACCAAACGCAAGUGCUUGGCAUGAUCUUCCUUGUUCUUCGAGAAAACCAGAAUGUCGUCGAGAUAGACCAAAACGAAUUCAUUGGUGUAGGGGCUGAAGAUGAAGUUCAUCAUGCGAGAGAACGUCGGAGGAGCGUUGGCGAGGCCAAAAGACAUGACGGUGUAUUCAUAUGAACCAAAGCUUGUUCUGAACGCUGUCUUGGGAAUAUCUUGCUCACGAAUACGAAUCUGAUGAUAACCCAUACGGAGAUCAAGCUUGGAGAAUACUUGAGCACCCUUGAGUUGUUCGAACAGCUCAUUGAUGUUGGGAAGUGGGUAUUUGUUCUUGAUGGUCUUCUUGUUUAUUGGACGGUAAUCAACACAAAGUCGACUCGAUCCAUCCUUCUUCUUCACAAAAAGAACACCACAACCCCACGGAGAAGUACUAGGCCGAAUGAGACCCAAUCUUUCUUGCUCAUCGAGUUGUUUCUUCAGCUCCUUCAACUCUUCAGGUCCGAGCUUGUAAGGACGUUUGCACACAGGUUCCGUGCCAGGCUCAAGUUCAAUAACGAAUUCAACUGGUCGGUGCGGAGGCAUUCCUGGGAGCUCUUCUGGAAAGACGUCUUGAUAUUCGCAAACGACAGGAAUUUGAGAGAUAGCAUCCAAUUCACCCUUCUCAUUGAGAGAAAACAACCGGAUGGUAUUAUCCCGAGCGGCAAAGACAAUGACAUCCUCAGACGAAUGAGUCAAUUGAAUCUGCCUGGCAGCACAGUCAAGAUGUGCCUUGUGCUUAGAAAGCCAAUCCAUUCCGAGAAUAAGAUCAAUAUCUGAGUUACCGAGAACAAUUGGGGAAGAAAGGAACUUGUAGUCACCUAAUGUGAUAGUAACCUCAGGGACGCAGGUGUUAGCUGUCAUCUGCUUGCUCGGUGACACAAUUUGCAAGGAACUUUGCAGAUACUGAUAAUCACACUCAUACUUUGAUGCAAAAGGUUUGGAAAUGAAGCAAUGCGAUGCACCCGUGUCAAAAAGAACUUUUGCAGGAACAUCGUUAACAGGAAGGUUACCCAUGAUCACAUCUGAUGAGUCCUCUGCCUGAGCUGCAUUCACCAUAUUGACCUUGGCGUGCUUGGGAUUGUGCUUGACCACAGCUGUACUUGCCGAUCUGACAGGAGGAGGUGGAGGAAGACGCCUCUGGUUGGUACACUUGUUGGCAUAGUGACCCUUCUGUUGGCACUUGUUGCACGUGACCUCUGCAAGCGGACGGUGAUACGGAGCACUCGGUCUUGGAGCUUGAGACGAAGCCUUGUUCUGAAAACCUGGGUUGGGUGGGUGGGAGAAACCACUGCCACCUUUGCUCUUCUGCUGAAACGGCUGACGGAACGGAGGAGGAGGAAGCCAAUACUUCUGCUGCUUGGCCACUUGAGUAGAGGAAGAAGGAGUAACAUCUCUGGCACGCUUCCUGGAAGCAUCACACCUCAACUGAGCCGCCUCUUGUUUUAGUGCCAUGUUGUAGAACUCAUCGUAUCUCAACGGCUCAAAGAGGACAAGAGAGAGCUGAAUUUCCUCACGGGGACCACCCCUGAACUGAUAGAUCAUGCUCUUCUCAUCAGGAACAUCCUGCUUGGCAAAACGGGCGAGCUUCUGAAACAACUUGUUGUAGUCAUAGACAGACAAAGAGCCUUGCUUCAGAUUGCGGAAUUCCUGACGCUUACUCUCAACCACACUUUGAGGGAUGUGAUGAGCGCGGAAAUCUUGACGGAAAUCAUCCCAAGUGAUAACACGUCCACCUCUGGAAUCCUUGUACUGCUGGAACCACUCUGCAGCCUGAUCUUUGAGCUGGAAAGAAGCGAACUUGACGAAAUCUUCAGACCUGACGUUGCUGCAUUCAAAAUGCUUGCCCAGAUCCACUAGCCAAUCGUCAGCGUCGGUAGCCUCAACACAACUGCUGAACGUCUUUGGGCCAUUUGCGAGGAACUGGUUCAGUGUAGCAAAGUGGUGCUGAUUGUUUCCUUGAUUCCCUUGACUGCCUUGAUUCCGCUCUUGGAGGAUUUGCAUGAUCAACUGUGUAUUUGCAUUAGUAGCGGCCAUCACAGCUUGCCAUGCUUCCGGAGGAGGCGGAGGUGGAGGCGGAUCAGGAUUCGGAGUCGUGCGCGUUGGAGGAGCCAUCCUGAAGAGGUUGUCCACCAUUAGCACAUUGAUAGACAACAAUAUAGAAGCUGAAUCCAACGGAAUGAAAAAUUGCAACAUAUAGUCUUCACAUCCGAACAAAAUGAACGAAUGCAUUCCUCUUCAAAUGGUCACAUAUCCAUAAAUUGAGAAGCCACGUAGAAUUAAGGUAGAGAAAUAAUUCAACAAGGUACGGAUGAAGAACGAAUAAUCGGUAAGAAAUCCCAAUCUCAAACCAAUAUCCGUGGAAGAAGAACUAGAGCUACUAGAAUUCCCACCUAUGAAACUCCCGAACCUUUCCGGUUAUGCAAUCAGGUGUUGGGGAUACAGGGGAAGCAUAAUAUCUCACCCAAACUAGCAAAUCCUACAUCCAGCUGUAUCCAUCCUUCAACACAUAACCAAGAAAACUUCGGAAACCAUCUACCUCAACCUUCGAAAAGCAUCCGUUAUACAAGUUAUGGCGAUACUCCCGAACUCCCGCCCCAGUACUGGGUGGCGUCGAGGUUAUCUCACCAACGAACUGCAUAAAAGAGAUUUCCGAUGUCGCGCACAUAUCUCAAGUAUACCAGAAUUGCAACGAUAAAAUUGUGACGACAACACCUCGGAGCUCAACUCCCCGGGACACUGCCACAACCCCUAAAGACAGGAGGCACCAAGAACAAUGUUCUCAUCACAAAACCAUCGGAACAAAACCAAGAUACUCGCGUGAUCCUAAAAAAAAUUUGUGAAAUUUGAGAAGAGAAGAGUCAAACUCUACGUCAGGAUGCCUUACCAGAGCGAUGAGGAGGCUAGGAAGUAAAAAGAAUUCCUAAGCUCUCCGAUAUAUAAUUCCUAAGGACUCAAAACAUUUUUCUAGACACAACUCGGCUGCUAAAAACGAUCAAGCAAUGGGGGCUCCUAAGGUCGGGGAAGGCUCUGAUUACCAACUUGUAACGCCCUCGAUGCGGCUAUAGCUCCCACGUGUCGAGGCACGACUUAGAGGCAUAACCGCAUUGAAAGCAAUGUCGCAAGUCAGGCAAUCAUUACAACAUCCCAUGUAAUAUAUAAUAAAAGGGGGAGAUAACAUAGUUGGCUUACACUCGCCACGUCACAUCAGAGUACAUAAAUAACAUCCAUCAAACAAACACUCAUGGCCCGACUACGGCGCCAAAAUAGAAAAGAAUCCAACGUGCGACAAGGCCCUGAAUCGAUCCCCAACUAGACACCACUACUGAUCAUCGGGAAAGGAAACAUAAUAACGCUGAGAGUCCUCGUCGAACUCCCACUUGAGCUCGUACUCGUCACCUGGAGAGAAAUCACCUGGACCUGCAUCUGGAGUUAUAGUAUCUGUGAGCCACAGGGACUCAGCAAUCUCACACCCUCGCGAUCAAAACUAUUUAAGCUCAUAGGAAUGGAUAAGGCAAAUAUAUGUGGAGCUGCAGCAAGCGACUAGCAUAUGUGCUGGCUAACUUAUCCGCAAAAGAGAGCGAGAAGAGGAGGCAAGGCGCGAGCGAGAAUCUAGAGGAACAACCUGCGCAAGCAUAACUCCAACACCGUGUCCACUUCCCGGACUCCGCCGAGAAGAGGCCAUCACGGCAACACACUCAGUUGAUUCAUUUUAAUUAAUUAAGGUUUUAGUUAUCUAAAACCGGACAUUAACAAAUUCCCAUCUACCCAUAACCGCGGGCACGGCUUUCGAAAGUUCAAUCCCUGCAGGGGGGUCCCAACUUAGCCCAUGACAAGCUCUCAUGGUCAACGAAGGAAUAGACCUCCACCCGAGACACACCGAUCAGACUCGGCAACCCGGUACAACAAGACAAUUCGACAGGUUAAAACAAGACCAGCAACACCGCCCGAAUGUGCCGACAAAUCCCGAUAGGAGCUGCACAUAUCUCUUUCUCAGGGCACACUCAGAUGAGCGCUCCAUACAACUAAAACCAAACCUCGAGUUUCCCCGAGGGGGCGCUGCACAGGACUCUAGUUUGGACGAACGCUCAGAGGAGCACUGGCCCGGGGGGGUUAAAAUAAGAUGACCUUCGGGCUCCGGAAACCCAAGGGAAAAAAAGGCUAGGUGGCAAAUGGUAAAACCAAUGUUGGGCAUUGCUGGAAAAGCUUUAAUCAAGGCGAACUAUCAAGGGGUUCCCAUUAUAACCCAACCACGUAAGGGACGCAACAAUCCGGGAACAUAACACCGAUAUGACGGAAACUAGGGCGGCAAGAGUGGAACAAAACACUAGGCGAGAGGCCGAGCCUUCCACCCUUUACCAAGUAUAUAGAUGCAUUAAGACAACAUAGCAAUAUAAUGAUAUCCCAACAAGAAAAAAAUAAAUGUUCCAACAAGGAACGGCUCCAAUCUUCACCUGCAACUAACAACGCUAUAAGAAGGGCUGAGCAAAGCGGUAACAUAGCCAAUCAACGGUUUGCUAGGACAAUGGUGGGUUAGAGGAUCAACAUGGCAAUUGGGAGGCUGACAAGCAAAAGGUAGGCAUCGUAGCAGUGGCAAAGCAAAAGAGCGAGCAAACUAGCAUAGCAAAGAUAGUAGUGAUUUCGAGGGUAUGAUCAUCUUGCCUGCACAGUUGUCAGAGUUGACUGGAUCCUCACAAGCAAACUCAACGGGCUCCUCGGUAGCGAACUCGUCUCCUGGCUCUACCCAACAAGACAAAAAAGCAACAAGGGUACAAUCAACCACGGGCAAGACCAAGCAAUAUGAUGAAAUGACGAUAUGCUAUGCGGGAUGCGAUGCGGGAUGCAAAAUGCAAGAUAUGACAGGAAAUGCAUGAACCUGGCAUCAACUUGGAAAACCAAGUGUGCCACUGGAUAGAGGGGAUGAAAUCGCUUGAAAACGAUAUAAAGAUCAUUGGAAUCGGAGCUACGGUUUGGAAAUGGCGAGCGUUUUACGAAACGAACCGAUCUGUGAUAUACAGCAAGUAGGCUCCUAAAUGCAACGAAAUGAACAUGCUACAGCCACCAAACAUGAAAACAAAAUACAUGGCAGUGAUGUACACAAGAUGUUUAACAAAAGACUAGCACUGAGCCACGGCCAAUUCAUCCAUUAUGAGGUUCAAACAAGCAUGGCUAAAACGCAAAUGCAAAACAGAUUCCAGACUUAGUGAAAUUAACACUAGUCUGAAAUUUCAGAUCACGAUGCUCUCUUCGGAGCAGCAAAACAACAUGAUAGAUGACCUGAACAUGACAAGUAAGAACAUGGCAUGGAGCUAAUCAACAAGCUUAACAAAACACCCAGAGUGACCUGGGGCCAAAAGGGAUCACAAAAUAUAUUAACGGGCACACGAACAUAGCUAAAACACAAUCAGUUUUCAGACUUAGUGAAAACUGAGACAUGCAGAAAUUUAACUCGCGAAGGCAUGUAAACGAGCUUGAUGCACUCACUACGGUGCAAGUCAUGGCAAGGAAAGCAUAUAUCCAUUAAGAAGACACAAAAUACAAGCUAUACAUGGCAAGAACAAUGGCAUAGCAUGCACGGAUCACCAACAAUAGCAUCGGCAAAAUCGCAAACAAGUUGACGAUCUGCCCAGAUUAACAAUGAAGCAAAAGUUGAGCUCGAUUGAGUCAACCUAGAGCACACCACAUAUGCAAACAAACACAUGGAUGGAAAGAGCAUAACAUAAAUAUCAAAACUCCCUUACUGAUCAUCCUCAAAAGAGGCAUGGAUCACUAGGAAACAAGCUGGACAUAUAGCAUCAUGAACUAAAAUAUCCCAGACUUUGUGAAAAUCACUAAGUCCCUGAAAUCUGCAUACUCAGGUACCUCUCUUUGCAAGCUUGCACAAGACACCACACACAUCCUAAAAAUGCAUGGGUGGCACCUCUGGAAAGAAGACAAAAUGCUUAACAAUUCAUCCCAAAGGGGCACAGGCAUAUCAUGCACGAAUUAAACAUGGCAAAAAUGACAAAAGUGCAUGAUGAACUAACGGAUCUGCAAUUUAACUCAUGAAGCCUCCUUCUAACAGAAUUUUGGGCAUCAAUAUGACCUCGAAUGCAAAUGAUGCAAUGGAACGAAAUGAUGUACAUGUCGAGGCGAAGAUUUUGAUAUAUCAUACGCCCAAAACGGAGCUACGGAUGCAAAAUUACGGGCGGUCAAAGUAUGCAUAAAAACUUAGGGUUUGAAGGCAAAAGUCAACCGUCGGGUCAAAAUAUCUCAGAUCCAGAUCGGAAUCUCGCGGGCACGGACUUCGAGGUUGACCACGGGGCACUGUUCACCGGAGUUGGAGCUCGCCGGCGGAGCACCGCAGGGGCGUGGGGAGGCUCGCCGGAGCCCGACCCGGCCGCCGGAGGAGCCGGACGAGGGCGGCGGGGCCCGGUGGUGGCCACGACGAGGUUGGGCGGCGGCGGGCGCGCUGGCGGACGGCGNNNNNNNNNNNNNNNNNNNNNNNNNNNNNNNNNNNNNNNNNNNNNNNNNNNNNNNNNNNNNNNNNNNNNNNNNNNNNNNNNNNNNNNNNNNNNNNNNNNNNNNNNNNNNNNNNNNNNNNNNNNNNNNNNNNNNNNNNNNNNNNNNNNNNNNNNNNNNNNNNNNNNNNNNNNNNNNNNNNNNNNNNNNNNNNNNNNNNNNNNNNNNNNNNNNNNNNNNNNNNNNNNNNNNNNNNNNNNNNNNNNNNNNNNNNNNNNNNNNNNNNNNNNNNNNNNNNNNNNNNNNNNNNNNNNNNNNNNNNNNNNNNNNNNNNNNNNNNNNNNNNNNNNNNNNNNNNNNNNNNNNNNNNNNNNNNNNNNNNNNNNNNNNNNNNNNNNNNNNNNNNNNNNNNNNNNNNNNNNNNNNNNNNNNNNNNNNNNNNNNNNNNNNNNNNNNNNNNNNNNNNNNNNNNNNNNNNNNNNNNNNNNNNNNNNNNNNNNNNNNNNNNNNNNNNNNNNNNNNNNNNNNNNNNNNNNNNNNNNNNNNNNNNNNNNNNNNNNNNNNNNNNNNNNNNNNNUGAGGCGGCGGGGCGAUGACGCGGGCUGGGAGGGCCCCGCGUGGGCCUGCGGGCCGGCGACGAUGUGGUCCUGCCACGUGGUGGCUGGCGAGUGGGCGGGCUGCGGCGGCGGACGCUGGCCGGCCGGGGGCGGACACGUCCGUCGGUGGAGAUCCCUUUUUUUUAACUAGGGUUUCGGACGGGGGAAGAAGAGAUCCGAAUGGAGGGGGUAUAUAUAUAGGCAUAAGUGGAGCUAGGAGAGUCCAAAUGAGGUGCGGUUUUCGCCCACGCGAUCGUGAUCGAACGAUCUAGGACAUGGACCAGAGUUUGGUGGGUUUUGGAACAAAUUUGGGGGGUGUUGGGCUGCAACACACACGAGGCCUUUUCGGUCCCUCGGUUAACCGUUGGAGUAUCAAACGAAGUCCAAAUGAUACGAAACUUGACAGGCGGUCUACCGGUAGUAAACCAAGGCCGCAUGGCAAGUCUCGGUACAAUCCGGAAAUGUUUGAUCCCCACACACGAAAGAAAGCUAGAAAAGGCCACCGGAGGAGAACGAAGCGCCGGAAUGCAAAACGGACAACGAGGAAAAUGCUCGAAUGCAUGAGAUGAACACGUAUGCAAAUGCAGUGCACAUGAUGACAUGGUAUGAGAUGCACGAAAAAGAAAAACAACACACAGAGACAAAGAUCCGAACCCGAGAAAUAAAUAUAACUUGACACCGGAAACGGCAAGAGUUGGAGUACAAAUAGGGAAAGUUACAUCUGGGGCGUUACAGCAGUAUAUCGAAGCAGCGCAGCAAGGGAUGUUCUUUCCAGAGAGAGAGAACGAUGAGCUCACAAUGGCCCUCGGGAAUCCUGAUCACCCUGGACGGACACGAGGCACGCCAGGCUCCAUUCCGUGGAAGGUUGGGUUUCCGGACGCAGGCGGUUACCAAUCCCAUGAGAGGAGGAAAAAAGUGCAGCAGACCCAAAUGCAGGCGCUGCAAGCAAGGAUAGACGUGAUAGAGGAACGAGAAGCAAAUCGCAGCAAACGUACUGCCGAAGCUUCCUCCGAAGCUACCCCGCCAUCUCAGCGGAGAACCAGCGUGGCUUCCACUGAGCUGCUUCAGUCGGAGCAUGCCUUGACGGCUCCUGCCAGCUAUCCCGUGGAUGCUAUCACGAAGUCUCAAAAUUGCCACCUUAUGAAGCAAUGGAUGAAUUUGAAGGUCAAGGCGGCUGUUGGCUCUGUUUAUCCUACUGAACCCGGCGCAAAUUUUCACUGUCGGCCGAUUCCAGAAGUAUAUGCUAGGGUGAUGGUGGAUGAAAUAACGGAGGGAUUUGAGGACCUCCAGCUUGACUACCCUACCGAUGAAGGGGAGACAAGGCUGGGGUCUGCUCUGAAGACUCCAUGCCUAUGGCGGAAGGAGCUCAUCAACCUUCCGAACUGGACGCCUCCGCCUCCUCCUCCUCUUCCGGCAAGUCAGGGCACUCCGCCUCCUCCACCGCCUCCUCCUCCGGCGAGUCAGGGCACUCCGCCUCCUCCACCGCCUCCUCCUCCGGCGAGUGACGAUCAGGGCACUUGACUGGCUCCUUCUCCAGUGCGUGGCGGCACUCCGCCUCCUUCUCCGCCAGCGCCAACAUGCCCGAGCAGCCAGCCUCCUCCUUCUCCGCCUCAUCAGCAAGGGCGGAAGAGACCUGCCGCCGCUCCGGCUGCUCCGACGCGUCGUAGUCCUUCUCCUCCGCCUCGUAAGCAAGUAAAGAAGACAACCGCUCCGUUUGCUCGGUCGGCGUCUAGCAGUACAACCAGAGGCGGGAGGACAUACAGAUUCGGUCCUUCUCUAAAGACUCCAGAGAAGUUACCAUACGAGAGGACCCCGGAGGAGAACGCCGAGAUCGCACGAACCGAACUGGAUGACUGGUUUCAAGGGUUGAAAGCAAAGAGACAUCCACUUCUGGAGGAGAAGGUAGCUCCGGUGAAAGCGAAGCGCACUCUGGCUGCCUUGACAAAACCACCGAAGUCUCCACCGAAAGGAAACUAUGAGCGCAUUAUUGGAAAGGAAUUUGCCGAAGCGGAGCGGCCGGGAAGUACUGUCAGUGAUCAAAUGUUGAAAGAACAACGAGCUGGGAAACAAAUUGCCCAGCUCGGCGAACAAGCGAAGCAAUCGUGCCCGCCGCUCAAGGUGCCUAGCCACAACGUCGCUAAUGAUCCGAGGAUGGUGCCCGGUUAUAGCAAUCUUGCAGAUUACCUGCCCGACGAUGUACAUUAUGAACCCAUGGACGUGCAGAUACAGAGAUGCGAGUAUGGGGAGCCUCUCGUCAAAGAUGAAAGAUCUCUAUCAGCGAUGAUGUGAAGAUUGCAUGAUUGGUACUUGAAAAUCUGCAGAGACUCUGGGGGGAGGAGUACUUUGUAUGUGAAAGUUAAAAAGGAGCAUGACCUCGUUGGAAUUGAACUGUUGCCUGUUCCAUUUGAGGAGUUCUAUUAGUUUUUCAAUCAAUUGGCCCUCGAUAAAACAACGGUCGCCUUCUACUGUCUGUAAGUAGUACUACUUCUGUCAUUAAGUCUCUCUAUAUAGCUCAACUCUUUCGUUGCAUGUAUUUAUAAUCAUCCUCACUAUAUUAUGCAGAUUGAAGAUCGCCGAAUUGAAGAAAAGACAAGUCGGUGAUAUUGGGUUCAUUAACACAUAUCUCAUAGAUGCAACUCAGGUUAAAUUUCAUGCCGCAGCUACCGAGGCCAACUUGCUACGAUCGUUCGUAAUAAAUGAAAACAAAGAUAUAAUACUCUUUCCUUACAACUUCAAGUGAGUGUUACUGUCUUGUGCGUAUUCGGUUUCCCUUAUAUAUUAGUCAAGGUUAUAGUAAUGUAAUUGAUGAGUUAUGCAUGCGUGUGCAGUUUCCACUAUAUUCUCAUAGAGAUUAAGCUUGAGCAAGGACUAGUAACCGUCUUAGACUCAAGACGAAAAGAUCCCCAGGACUAUGCAGACAUGACUCAAAUACUCGAGAAGUAAGUUAAAUCGAUCAUUAUCCACCAUAUCAGCAACUUUGUUCAUUUCCUGAUAUAUCAAGUAAUUGUUUUCUUUGUCCGGCAGGGUUUGGAGAAAAUUCACCAGAAAAGCUCCGGGACUGCCGAAGGAGCUGCAAUUUAGACACCCGAAAGUAAGUACUUUAGUAGCAUGUUCUGCGCAUCUACUAGUCAUUCAAGCGCUAGUUUCAUCAAUACCAUUUGGCAUUCUUGCUUAUCAGUUUGAUUGACCUCUAUUUCUUGAAAAGUGGUUGUGGCAGGAGCAAGGGAAUGAUUUUUGUGGAUACUAUGUUUGCGAGUCCAUCCGCCACACGACCUAUGAGCGGGGCUACACUGACGAACAAUAUGAAGUACGUAAAUAACAACAUUCACAAUUUUAUUUUAUUACCAUCAUUUGUGUUGAGUUUCAUUCAUUCAUAUAUAUAUGUAUUGACCCCCUUCUUUAAAUUAGAUGUUUCGGAAGUGGGAUGAACUCCUAGCACCAACUCGCAUGCGAGAAAUUCAAGAGGAAUUGGCGGCAUUCUUUCUUGACCACGUGAUCCCUGAAGACGGAGAAUUCUAUGUGGACCCUGAGUCCGUAUGAUUAUAUUUGUGAGAGACAAUUAUUGUAUAUAUGUAGCCGGUAGUGUCGGAUAGAUAUACGAGAACUUGUUGUUAGACCAAUCUCUCGGAGAAGGAGAGGUGGUCGAUAUCACUUCUCUCUGUAUGCAUAUAUGUUCAUGACGAUCUUCUGUUUCCUUCGUUUGCUUACUAGCUAGCUAGCGUGUCUAGUCCUCUCUAUACAUAUGUAUAGUACGUAGCAUCGACCAAGCACGGACAUAAGAGAGGACACUUCUCUCUAUUAAUUAUAGCUAGCUAACACAAUAUAUGAAACACCUAAAUUAACCCCCCAAAACCCCCAAACCCCCCCCCUUUAAAAAAACAAAAACCCCAGCCAUAGAAAUGCUGACGCAUGGAUGCCUAUUGGUCCCGGUUGGUGCCACCAACCGGGACCAAAGGGUCUCUUGCCUAGGCUCCGCGCACUGCCCACGUGGAGGCCCAUCUGUCCCGGUUCUGGAUUGAACUAGGACUAAAGGGACAGGGCAUUAGUACCGACCCUUUAGUCCCGGUUCCAGAACCGGGACAAAAGGCCCUUACAAACCGGGACAACAGGCCCUUUUUCUACCAGUGUUCCUGGAACGCGCUACUACUACUUUUAACUUAACCGUGCAGUUUGUAUUCUUCGGCUACUAGGACAUCAGUCCAUCUGUCGUCGAGCAGAUCUUGGUCAGCUUGAAGCUGCUGCUGCUUCUUUUCAGGCUCUUUGAAGUGGCUAUUAGCUGGCGCUUGAAGAGCUCCUGCUCCUAAGGUUCGUCAAGCACGAUAAAGUCCUCGUUGUCGAGACUCACUUCAUCCUCGGAGAGUUGAAGAUAAUUAUUGUGCUCCAAGUCGUUGUUUAUGGCCUGUUUGUUGGGGCUAACUUGCCCAUUUUCUCGAUCGUCCUGUUCGGCAGUUCUUUCGUCGGGAUCUUCUCUGACUUCAGGACCAUCCGGACUGGUGUCCUCUCCUGUGUCCGUAUCGCCAUUUAUUCCAUGACACGACUUAGAGCGGCGCCGCUGACGCUGGUGUUUUGGUUGUAUCACAGGAGGUUUGUCCUCAACUGGAUCUGCUUUCUCGUUGUCAUUAGUUCUCUUAGGUGUACCCACCAUGUAUACGUCGUAGGAAGAGGUGGUUGUCCAGCGUUUGGUAAAUAGCGGGUCUUGGCCCAAUUCCUUAUUGGCAUCGUCGUCCAUACCAUCGAUGUCUUCGGAGCCGUAGUCGAGCGAGCCAGUUAAGUUUUCGACAAUGUGUAUGAAGUGGGCAGUGGGUGGGACGCAAAAUUUUCUGUUAUCAAUCUCUAGCUCGAACCGGAUAGAGUUCUGCUGUGAGCCCCCCGCUAAGGAUAGUGCUCUUACCAAGUUUAGCACGUCGCCCAGAGGUGAAUGCUAGAAGAUGUUCGCGGUGCUGAAUUCGGUGAUCGAUGACCGAUCGUGCUCGAUGUGCGCAGACACGCAUAGUUCGGAACCUGUAGCCGGAGGCGGGUCCAUACUUCCGGUGGCAUAGAUGUCACUUGAAGUUAAGUCUAUGUGCGGUUCCAAUGCUGCUAAGAUCACGGAUUCUGCGGUGAGGUUGAGCUUCCCGUCUUCGGAUGGCGCGAUCUGCUCCGGAUCUAUGGCUGGAGCAGCUAUAGGUACCACCUCCUACAUAUGGACAGGUGACAGAUUUAAGUCAUGUUCAUCUUGGUGGCACAGAGGGGUUGCCGUGGUCUCGAAUUCGUCGAAGAUCAAGUCUCCACGGAUAUCUGCGUCGUAGUUCAAGUUUCCAAAUCUGACCAGUGGCCAGGGGCGUAGCUUUCGAUCUCCUCCAGAUGGCCAAGCGAGUUGGCCCGCAGUGCGAAGCCAUCGAACAUGAAGAUCUCUCCGGGUAGGAAGACUUUCCCUUGGACAACAUCGUUGUAGAUGAUUUAAGGAGCCAUCAAACCUUUUGAGGAUGGCAUAGUGGAACUCUCAAUGAAAGAUACAAUGUUGGUGUCAAAACCGGUGGAUCUCGGGUAGGGGGUCCCAAACUGUGCGUCUAGGAUUGAUGGUAACAGGAGACGAGGGACACAAUGUUUACCCAGGUUCGGGCCCUCUCUAUGGAGGUAAUACCCUAAUUCCUGCUUUAUUGAUCUUGAUGAAUAUGAGUAUUACAAGAGUUGAUCUACCACGAGAUCGUAAUUGCUAAACCCUACAAGUCUAGUCUGGCUAAUAUUAUUCUGGGCAUCUACGGACCUAGCCUUCCAGUUUAUAUAGACACGGGAGGUAUCUAGGGUUACACCAGGUCGGUUACAAAGAAAGGAAUCUUCAUAGUCGACGCCAAGCUUUCCUUCCACACCAAGGAGAGUCCCAUCCGGACACGGGUAGAGUCUUCGGUCUUCUCAUAUCUUCACGGCCCAACAGUCCGACUCAUAUCUAUAGGUCGGACGCCCGAGGACUCCUUGGUCCAGGACUCCCUCAGUGGUGACGGCGCGCGGCGGUGGAGGCACGAGCUGGCGCGAACGGUGGUGGCGUGGGCUGGCGGCAGUGACGCGGCGGCUGCACAAGGCGGCGGCGUAGGCGGCUCGAGCGCCGACACGAGGCACAGCCCGGUUCAGCCCGGGGCCGGGCCAGCGAUGGGCCCCAUAGGCCCAUGCGAUGGAGACGGUGGCGGGGUGAUGUGGCGCCUUCCGAUUCGUCGAGGGCGGCGGCGCUGGAUGCGUCCAGUGCGGACGGAUGUGUCCGGCAGCGUGGAGGGAAGAUGGAGGCUAGGGUUUGGACUGCGAAUUCGGACGGGGUGGACCUAUAUAUGGGUAGAGGGAGCUAGGAGAGGCCAAAUGAGGUGCGGUUUUCGCCCACACGAUCGUGAUCCAACGACAGGGAGCAUGGAGGGGAUUUAGAUGGGCUAGUGGGCUGUUAUGAAGGGGUGCUGGGCUACAAAAAGAAGGAGGGCUUUCGGUUAACGCGAUUGAUCGUUGGGGCAUCAAACGACCUCCAAAUGGAACGAAAUUUAACAGACGGUCUACCGGUGAUAUACAAAGGCCACUUGACAAAUCUCGGCACAUGCCUGGAAUGUUUUUAUCCCGCUCACGAAACGAGAACUGGAAGGUGCAACGGGUGCAUGUGAGAGUGUCGGAUGUUGAAACGGACAAUGGAGAAAGUGACCAGAUGCAUGCUUUGAAAAAUAUGAUGAUUCAAUGCACAUGAUGACAUGGAAAAAUUCAACACGCAAGCAAAUGUCAUGGCAACAACGAUGAAUAACUGGAAGACACCUGGCGCAUCGGACUCGGGGCGUUACAAACAGAUACAUAAAAUCAUGAGAGAGAUACUUUCCUUUUCUCUAGAGGGCUAAAAAUGAAAUUACGAGGAAAUAUAAGAAAUGCAACCGAGGAAGUAUUCACCAACUGUCAGGUAGUUCAAAGAACACCAGAUGUAAAAUUAACAUGCAGGUCCAUAGACCACUUAGCGACGACUACAAGCACUAGAACUAGCCAAAAGGUGCACCGUCUUUAUCGCCCAUCCUUCGUCGGAGAAGGGCAAACAUUGUUGUGGUAGAUAGCCAGGAACCAAAAUACGUUGCGGCUUGUUAGUUUCUAGCUGAAUAUGUUUGAUGGACCAUUGGUAUGUGCUUAUUUUGUGUGCAAGAACAAUGAAUCUAUUUGGUCCCAAUAGCCAAUAAGCCAUAAUAUGUUUUCCAGCUAUCCUAACUCUUGGUAUCAAAGAUGAUUGUUUGCUAUAGAAUUAUUCAAGUCCAUACGUCAAGGUCUACAGAAGGUAUGGUUAAGUUUAAAAGAUUCUACACUUUCUGGUGUGUAGUUCCAGAUUUAGAGGAAAAAAUAUUCUAGUUGAAAUCAUAGUAUUAAUUAUACUUCAGUGGUAGAUUUAAUUUUAAUUUUGCCCAAAAAUCGUCCCAAUACGGUGAGUGCAAUGCACGUGUAUGUGAGCAUCUAUGUUAAAAAAAGGCCAUGAUACAUGUUCAAGUACAAAGAGUAGGAAAAUAAAAAAGUGGGAUUUAAAUUAUUCUAGCUAGAAAAACAAUUCAUAAUGCUCCCAAGUAAAUCUUUAUUUCCAAACAUUAUUCUUGGUCAUUUUCUUGCUACAAUUAUCUAAUGCAUUCGCAGUGACCAUCACGGUAGGUCCCACCUCCGUAACCAUCUCUGUUGCAGAUAUCAUUACAAAAUCAAGGAUUCAUACAUGGAGUGUAGGGUUCACGGUGCCCCUCGACGCCAAUGUUAGCUUCCUUUCCUACAACAAUAAAAAAAAUGUGCCAUCAGAACCUUUUGUUAUUCGUAUUUAAACUAGGAUUCUGUGAAAUCAAUGUACUAUGCAAAUAGUAGGACAACAGUGGAGUGCUAAUACAAACACAUGAAGAACAACUACUGGCUGGUAUAUAAUUAUUAUGUACUAUGGAAACCAUACGUACCACGACAAAAUUGUAAUGGUGAUCAUAAAAUCACAAGGAAAACACCUCUUUCCUUCCAUGCCAUUGUUAAACAACACUAGGUUUAAAGUACUAUGAGGCAUGAUAACUUUCCAAUAACGGGACGAGCGCGACGCACAAGUUUGCAAUAUGAGGAAAAAUACUUUUAUAUCUAUUUUUUGUGAGUAUGAGGAAAAUGAUACUUGCCUAUCUGAACCAAACACCUCACUCUAUUAGGCACGGUUGAAACACUUUUCUCUUGCAAAAAUACUUGCAUAUAUUAACUUGAACGAUCAAACUUCAUAAGAAACAUUCAUAUCAUUGGCAACAGAGAAUGAUGCAAUAGGAUCAAUUUUUUAUCUAGCUCCAGGAAACCAUAAAUUCAUAUAUACUACAGUUGAUAAGCUCUGGUAAAUAGAAAUGUACCUAUCUUCCUCCCUGACGCUUCACUCGACAAUAAAGUGGUUGAAACCAUCAAAAGUGCCAUCAAGCACAGAACACCAGUGUUGAUCCGGAUUAGAGCCAUAACAAAAUUGUUUAGUGUUCUCUUCUCCUAUGUCCUUUUGGUUGUAUACUUGUACUACAUUGCUGGUUCCUUCUGUUGUUUAUAUAGAGGCAUGGCUUAUUCUAGGAGUAUCAAUGUUUGCCAUUUUAUUCAUUCCUGCUUUGGCGUGUUUCCUUUUUACAAUUCGCCGUAAUUAAUAAGGAUCCUCGGAUGAUACGCACAUCAUGGAAUAUCCUGUAGGUAUCGAUUGACAGACUAGAAAUAUAUCCAGAAGGAGUUUAUUAGUAUUCCAUAUACACAAUUAGGGCAUUUAUUGCCUCCUAAAAAUAACCAUAUGAAAUUAAUUAGUUUUUCAUAAUAACAUUGUGACAUUAAUUAGUAAUACUCCAUAUCAAGAUUAUGGCAUUUAUUCGCUCCAAAAUUACAAGAGAAAUUAAUUAGUAGUAUUCCGUAACAAGAUACAUAGUGUAUACGAAAAUGUGUCAUCUUGAUAGUUUGAUAUUAGUUUAUGUAUUUGGAACCUAUGAUUUCUGAACAAGACACAGUGCGUUGCACGUACGGUCUAGCUAGUGCAUAGUCACCUGAUAUUUGACUGAAUUUGUUAUUUUGAUGUUUAGUCAACUAUGCAUGUUUCAUUUGGGGCGGUGGCGCACUUUUUCUGGCUGGCGUGGGGGGGGGGGUGUGGCGCAUUUCAUUAUUCAAGCUAUAACAGUUUUACAAUCAUCGGUAAUCAUAAUGCUAAUCUCCUGGGGAGCGAGCAUGUUUAAGCCAAGAAGCUGUGUGCGACCAAUUGCCGCCAUUACAUGCCCAGCUUUAUUCUGCCCAUGACUAAUAAUCUUAUGGAUUUCAGUGUUGCGUUCGUUGAGAAGAUGCACUAUCUCUGCAAAUUCGUGCAUACUUUUGGAUCGAUCACCCGGCCCAACUUUUACAAAGGUGAUGAUCUUGGCACAGUCCGUCCCAACCUGAAACAGGGCUUGAGACCAAUGCAGAGUUAGACGGGGACCUCUCCCUUGGUGACUGAGGCAACCUGAAUUACUUCAAAACCACCUAUUGUAAAAUGACAAUAGUAUCUCGGACCAAGCUUUCACUCCAUUUUCGCUCAAGAGCGGCUGGACAGGGCGCUGCGGCCCAUUAUUCACAAGUACCAUUUACACUCAGAUCACCGGCCAAUUGUCCUUCACUGGAAAUUGCUCGUGCAUUGCAACAUAUGAUAGUGUAUUAGUGAAAAAUGCAACCUAGGACACGUAUGCAAUUUCAAAAAUGCAAACACAUAUAUGUAAUUUUUUGAAGGAACAUUUACACAUGUAUAUAUUUAUGUUAUACUAGGACAAUGCCCACGCGCUGCUAUCGUAGAUCUCAAAAAAUGCCUCAAGCACAUUAUAGCAAGCACUAAAGUUUCACUUCCCACAUCCCACCUAUUUAUCAACCACUGUGAUUCACAAUCAGACUUAAAUUUUUAGGAUCAAAUGGGAAGGUCAAAUUUAAGCUCCUAAUGAUGGGAAGCGAAUGAUAUGGUGCAAUAUGACCAUAAUAUAUCUACUAUUAUAGAUCCACAUGCAUAUUCCAUUGUCGACUUCUCUUGUACCAUUUUAUUCUUCACCAACAAUACUUGCAUCUCUGCUUUCACUACUGGGUAAAGUCUUAUAUAUUUGUUUGAGAAAAAAUAGUAGGGUAAACCCCUACUGUAACACAUUUUUUAUUAAUAUAAGAGUGGUGUUACAAGUCGAUGUACAAUGUGAAUAAGGCUAUGUGUAUGUGUGUGAUAGAUUUACAUAUAAUCUAACUAAGUUUGCAUACCUUCCUUCAGUCUUGGUUUUGGUUUCCUCAUGACUGUGCCAAAGUGUUCCUAGAAACAUGCAUUGUAAUAUUCUAAGAUCUUUGUCUUGUGGUAAAAAAAUAAUGAUGUUUUUGUGCUUCCAGAUGGACCAGCAUCCAGCAAUCAAGCGUGCUCUGAAUGGUUGUAUGUUUGUUCUGGUUUUUUGCUUUAUCCAACGUUUCAUUGAUGCUAUGGUUAGUGUUCCAUUAAAUCCCAAUAGACAUCCAGAAAUUGUGGCUGAAGUCACAUGGGAAAAAUAGAUGCUUUAGGUGUUCUUUUGGCUCAUAAUCACAUAUGACACAUUUGCUUGAUUCAAUAUAGAAGUGUUUCCUCGCUGGCAAGCCUCUGGUAUUUAGCCUAUCAAGUAGCAGUAACCAGAAGAUUUUGUUUGCUAAGCUUCCAGAUUUCCAAAUCCAUAGGAAUGGUUAAGGGUUAUCUGGUGGGUUUCCAAUCAAUUCUAGAUAAAUCCUUUUGGUGGAAUACAUUGUAGAUGACCAGUAGAAGUGUGCCAAUUGUCUCUGCUAUUGUUGCUUGCAAUACUGAUCAUGUUCCUCAAAGAUAUGCUUUGUUGUACGGCAAAAGUUGACAUGGGUAGAUGAAACAUUUCAUAUAGACCUUCUGUAGCUAUAUCAUGUGUAGCAGCAAAUGUUAUAUCCUUGUUUUUAGCAUAUGAAAAUAGUUGGGGGAAUUUAUUCUCAAGAUUAUCAUCCUCCCAUUUAUCGUACCAUAACCUGAAAGUAGAUCCAUCACCAACUUUGCAAAGUUAGAUGCUUUUGAAAUCAUUUAGAACAGAGCAGCAGUCUCUCCACCCAUGAUCCAACUUUUGUUGGAUAAGUUGGUAGCUCACCAUUGUUGUAGUAUGAGUUCCAUAAUAUUUGCACCCAUGUUAUGUCAUGCUUAUUAAAGAACUUGUGUAUGAACUUUGUCAGACAUGCUCUAUUCUGAGUUCUGAGGUCUAGUACUCUAGGCCACGAGCUCUUUGAUUAAACAUACCUUCUCCCAUUUGGCUAGACAUUUGCCAGGUUUGUUGAUAUUCUUUCAAUACCAUAAGAAGCACCUGCCAGAUUUUUCAAAAUGAUCUAGGAUGGUAAAGGCAACUCUGAUGUUGCACAUUGCAAAAAUGGGAAAUGCAUUAACCAUGGCUUUAAGAUGGACCAAUCUUCCUGCAUAUGACAUCAUAGGUGCGAUACCAGAUAGCCUAACAUCUAAUCUUGACACCAUGGGCAUCAAAUCAUCAAUUUUUGGUCUUGUGGAGCCCAUUGGUAAACCAAGGUAUGUGAAAUGCAUGCUUUAUUUUUUACAUCCAAGUAUGUUGGCAAGUUGCCGAGCUCUUUCAUCUGUUAUGUUGAUUGGUAAAGGGACGAAUUACUAUAGUUUACCUUAAGCCCGGUGAAUUCAGAGGAGAUUUUAUAUAUGUGUACCAUGUGACCGAGUUGUUGACGAUCAGCUGGCAUGAUGAUUAAUGUGUCAUAUGCAUACUAUAUGAUGGGGUAGUUCAUACAACCAUGGUUCUUAAUAGGAGUAGACAGGUGACCUUCUUGCCAUGAUUUAUUUAAUAAACUUGUAGAAGCUCAGCAUUAAUGACAUAUAGUAGAGGGGACAAUGGGUCUCCUUGUAUGACACCUACUUUGCAUUUUUUAAUCUUACCGUACUCCUCUUAAUUGGUCAGAGACUGGUGAACGCCAACUUCUUGGAAAUGACUUAAUCACAGAGGCUGAAGAAAUGUGCAAAGUCAUAUGUGAAAAUCUCAAAGCCGCACAAUUGCGUCAGAAGAGUUACUAUGAUAACAAGCAUCGUGACUUGGCAUUCGAGAUCGGAGACCAUGUCUACCUUCGCGUUCCGCUAAUGAAAGGUACUAGUCGCUUCGGUAUCAAAGGGAAGCUUGCCCCUAGAUACGUGGGUCCUUUCAAGAUCAUUAGAAAAAGAGUCAAUCUCGCCUAUCAACUUGAGCUUCCAUCCAACUUUGCAAAUGUGCAUGAUGUGUUUGACGUGUCACACCUUCGCAAGUGUUUCAAGACUCCUGACCGCGCCAUCAACUUCGAAGAGAUUGAUCUCCAAGAAGACAUGUCUUAUCAUGAUCAUCCCGUUGCUAUUCUUGAAGAAACUGAGCGCAAGACUCGCAACAAGACUAUCCAAUUCCUGAAAGUGAAGUGGUCACAUCAUUCCGACCGAGAAGCCACCUGGGAGCGCGAGGACCACCUCCGUUUCGAAUAUCCAGAGUUCUUUCUGUCCUAGAUCUUGGAACGAGAUCCUUUCAUAGUGGUGGAGUGUUGUAACACCCACGAUGUAACUUACCAUAUUUGUACUCCAACUCUUGCCAUUUUCGGCUCUAAGUUAUGAGAUUUCUCCAUGGUUGGGUUUUCUAUUCGGUUUGCAUUUUCUCCAUGUCAUGCAUUGCAUAUCAUGUCAUCAUGUGCAUCUCUUUUGCAUACGUGUUUGUCUCAUGCAUCUAAGCUUUUUCCCCGUUGCCCAUUUUGCGAUCCAACACUCCUACGUCCUCCGGCGCCCCCUUCUGUCUCUUUUUGUGAGCGGGUGCUAAACGAUCUCGGAAGGGACCGAUAUUUGCCAAGAGGCCUUGGUACACCACCGGUAGAACGCCCGUCAAGUUUCGUGCCAUUUGGAGUCCGUUUGAUACUCCAACGGUUAACAGGGGAACCGUAAAGGCCUCGUGUGUGUUGCAGCCCAACACCCCUCCAAAGUGGCCCAAUAAACCAUCCAAAACCCCUCCAUCCUCGCGGUCGUUCGAUCACAAUCGUGUGGCCGAAAACCGCUCUACAUUUGGACACUCCAAACUCCUCCUACCUAUAAAUUGAUGCCUCCCCCCGAAAUCUCACAUUCCAAAACCCUAAUUUCAUCCCCCGCUGCCGCCGGACACGUCCGGGCAGAGCCGGACGCGUCCGCCACCACCGCCCGGCCAACCAGGGGCUGCCACGUGGCCCUCCGCCGCUGCCCACCGCCGCCGACNNNNNNNNNNNNNNNNNNNNNNNNNNNNNNNNNNNNNNNNNNNNNNNNNNNNNNNNNNNNNNNNNNNNNNNNNNNNNNNNNNNNNNNNNNNNNNNNNNNNNNNNNNNNNNNNNNNNNNNNNNNNNNNNNNNNNNNNNNNNNNNNNNNNNNNNNNNNNNNNNNNNNNNNNNNNNNNNNNNNNNNNNNNNNNNNNNNNNNNNNNNNNNNNNNNNNNNNNNNNNNNNNNNNNNNNNNNNNNNNNNNNNNNNNNNNNNNNNNNNNNNNNNNNNNNNNNNNNNNNNNNNNNNNNNNNNNNNNNNNNNNNNNNNNNNNNNNNNNNNNNNNNNNNNNNNNNNNNNNNNNNNNNNNNNNNNNNNNNNNNNNNNNNNNNNNNNNNNNNNNNNNNNNNNNNNNNNNNNNNNNNNNNNNNNNNNNNNNNNNNNNNNNNNNNNNNNNNNNNNNNNNNNNNNNNNNNNNNNNNNNNNNNNNNNNNNNNNNNNNNNNNNNNNNNNNNNNNNNNNNNNNNNNNNNNNNNNNNNNNNNNNNNNNNNNNNNNNNNNNNNNNNNNNNNNNNNNNNNNNNNNNNNNNNNNNNNNNNNNNNNNNNNNNUCCUGCCGCCGCCAUCCGCCGCCGACUCCACCGCGGUCCUUGGCCAAGCUCCUCCAUCGCGUGCCGUCCUCGCCGGAUCCGGCCACCUCGACCUGCUCCGGCCUCUCCCCGCUGUCCCUGACGUCCUCCGGCCGCCGCGUCCCACGUCUCCGGCGAGAGCAACUUCUACGAACCUCGUGGACCGCGCCAGAUCUAGAUCAGAACCCUAGAGGUUGACCCAAUUUUUGCCAGUCAUUUUCAUCUGCUAUAUUUUCAAGCACUGUUCAACAUGCCAUAAAUCCUCAUCCAUAGCUCCGUUUUGUGCGUGCCAUAUAUCAAAAUGUUCAUCUUGAUGUGCUCUUAAUUUUGUUCCAUUGUGACCUGCUUCUUUGAGUCCAUCUUGAUGCCCAACUCAUGGGUGCAAGAGUGCUAUAAAAUGUUAGUUCCUGUUUCUUAGUAGAGUAUGAGCAUUUGCCAUUUUUGCUACAAUCGUUGUGUGCUUCAUAUGGGCAUGAGCUUUACAUGUGUUUUGGGCUAUGCCAUGCCAUCUUUACAGGUGUGUAUGCCAUGUAUUUUUGUGAUCAAUGUGGUGACUAGCACAAGCAUGCAAAGUAGCUCUCAUAAUAUUACUGAUUUCAGGGACUUAGAAUUUCACUAAGUCAUUGCUCUGCUGUUAUUUUUAUGCCAUGUAUUCAUGUUGCUAUAGUGAGAUCCAUGCAUCUUUUUAGUAUAUUAAGUAAGGAUCAUUUUGACAUAUGGUUAUGCUCUAUCCAUCGAUGCUCCUGUUUGAAUUUAUGGAGUGCCCUAGAAUGACUCAAUCUCGCUCCAUGUUUGCUAUAAAAUGUUCCUGGCAGAUUGUUUACGUGUUAAUCAAUUUUGCCAUGGUUGUUCUUGCUGUGGUUAGCUUCACGAUCAUGUCUUCUUGCUGGUAGUAUGCUUAGCUUGUGAUGCAAGGCUUCGUGAUGAGUGAAUCGAGGUCGCAAAGAUGCCUUCAUUACUCUGUUUUUGCCAUGUCCAGUUUUCUGCUAAGUUUGAAUCUGUUAACGAAACUUGCUAUGUUUACAUGGGUGCCAUCAUAUGUUCGGAUCCUUUUUGGCUUAUGGCCAAUAAGGGAGUUUUGUUAUAUGCUUUGAGUAGAGUCAUGCCAUGCCUUGUAUUUCUAUGUUCUGUUCCUGUAGCAUGUUGUUAUAUUGCUCUAAACAUUGCUUCCUGAUGUUAAUUCCUGGCAUGUUAGUAUUUUCACUAAGUCUGUGAAGCUGAUAUCUUUUGCCCUUUUGCCAUGCUUGUUUGAACCUGCUAUUCUGUGAUUUACCCGUAGCUCAGUGUUCAUGUUUUUUCAAGCAUCUUGAGUAGAUCACUGCCAUGUGCUUUAUUGUUAUGUUGUAGUGUAGUAGCUUAGUUUCUUGUUGCAUUCUAGAUGGCUUCGUGUUGUUAAUCGCAGAAUUGUGCCAUUAUAGUUUUGAUUGCCAUUUGCAAACCGUGCAUCUGAUUUCGGUGAUCUUUAUAUCGAUCUCGACCGAAACCAACUCGUCUUUCCAGCGGCGCACUUGGUUUGCCAAGUUGAGGCAUGGUUCAAUCUUUUCCUUCCGGAGCACGCAUAUGCAUUGCAUAUCACAUCCCGCAUGUCAUGCCAUGUUUUGCAUCACGUUGCUUGCGCAUUGCACCGUGGUUGAUUGUGGUUUCUGUUGAUUGUGUUCUUGCCUUGGGUAGAGCCGGGAGACGAGUUCGUGAUUGAGGAACCCAUUGAGUACGCUUACGAGGAUCAAGCUUUCGUCAACUCGGAGAACUUUGCAGGCAAGAUGACCAUACCCUCGAAAUCACUUCUAUCUUUGCUUGCUAGUUGCUCACUCUAUUGCUAUGUCACGGUACUUACCACUUGUUAUAUCAUGCCUCCCAUUUGCCAUGACAAGCCUCUAACCCACCUUUCCUAGCAAACCAUUGUUUGUCUAUGUUACCGCUUUGCUCAGCCCCUCUUAUAGUGUUGCUAGUUGCAGGUGAAGAUGGAGUUUGUUCCUUGUUGGAACAUGAUUAUUGUUGGGAUAUCAUUAUUAUAUCUUGUUACUUUAAUGCACCUAUAUACUUGGUAAAGGGUGGAAGGCUCGGCCUUAUGCCUGGUGUUUUGUUCCACUCUUGCCGCCCUAGUUUCCGUCAUACUAGUGUUAUGUUCCUUGAUUUUGCGUUCCUUACGCGGUUGGCUUAUAAUGGGAACCCCUUGACAGUUCGCCUUGAAUAAAACUCCUCCAGCAAGGCCCAACCUUGGUUUUACCAUUUGCCACCUAAGCCUUUUUCCCUUGGGUUCCGCGGACUCAAGGGUCAUCUUUAUUUUAAACCCCCGAGCCAGUGCUCCUCUGAGUGUUGGUCCAAACUAGAGCACCGUGCGGGGCCGUCCCUUGGCAACUUGAGUUACGUUGGCUCCUGUACGCUUAGCUUCUCCAGUGUGCCCUGAGAACGAGAUAUGUGGAGCUCCUAUCAGGAUUUGUCGGCACAAUGGGUGGUCUUUCUGGUCUUGUUUUACCAUUGUCGAAAUGUCUUGUAACCGAGAUUCCGAGUCUGAUCGGGUCUUCCUGGGAGAAAGAAUAUUGUUCGUUGACCAUGAGAGCUUGUGAUGGGCUAAGUUGGGACACCCCUGCAGGGUUUCGAACUUUCGAAAGCCAGGCCCGUAGUUAUGGGCAGAUGGGAAUUUGUUAAUGUCUGGUUGUAGAAAACUUGAAACUUAACUUAAUUAAAAUGAAUCAACCACGUGUGUAGCCGUGAUGGUCUCUUUUCAGGGGAGUCCGGGAAGAGAACACAGUCUCGUGUUAUGCUUGAACGUAGGUAGUUUCAGGAUCACUGCUUGAUCUUUAUAGAUUCUCAACCAUGCCUUGCUUCUCUUCUUUCUCUCAUUUGCGUAAUUUAGCCACCAUAUAUGCUAGUGCUUGCUGCAGCCAUACCUCACUACUACCUUUUCAUACCCAUAAGUUUAAAUAAUCUUGAUCACGAAGGUGUGAGAUUGCUGGGUCCCCGUGACUCACAGAUUACUUCCAAAACCAGAUGCAGGUGCCGAUGAUGUCAGUGCAGGGGACGCGACCAAACUCUAGUUGGAGUUUGACGAAGAUUCUGGACGUUACUAUGUGUCUUUUCCGGACGAUCGGUAGAGGAGCCCAGUUGGGGCGAUCGGGGGUCUAUUGCAUUAGGGGUUGUCUUUCUUUAUUUGGUUCCGUAGUCGGACCUUGAUUGUAUCUGGAUGAUGUAAUGCUAUAUUUAUGUAUUGUGAAGUGGCGAUUGUAAGCCAACUCUUUAUCCCUUUCAUAUUCAGUACAUGGGAUGUGUAAAGAUUACCCCUCUUGCGACAUGCCUACUAUGCGGUUAUGCCUCUAAGUCAUGCUCCAACACGUGGGAGAUAUAGCCACAUCAUGGGUGUUACAUCAUAUGAAGUCUAAAAUUAUCAAACUUGGCAUGUGGACAAAGUACUCAUAGCGUACUUCAAAUCAUGUAACUGGGGCACCUCCAAAAGAGACAUAGUUUAAUUAAUAACAAGCUCACAACAUGGCAUCAUGAAGUUAACAGAAAACUAGAGCAUCAUUUAGGCAUGUUCAUGGCAAUGAAAACAUAUGCUACAGGACAUAUAUGAGGCAUCAAAUGGAAUGGCAUGAUAGAGCAUAACAUUAACAUCCAAACAUGUCAACUAUUCAUCUCCAGAUUAUGCAUGGAAUAGAUGGUAGCAUCAAACUAACAUGACAUCACAAUGUAAUAGUUAUAGACAUAGAAAAAAUCACCAAGUCUCAUAAAUCAGCAACAUCAAGUAGCACACUUCACAAGCUUGUGCUAGUCACCACACAUAAAAAUACAUGGAUUGCCCCUCUGUAAAGAUGGCAUGAAGAUGCUCCUAAACCAUGUUGACAUGAUGCUCAAAAUAUGAACACACAAAAUACUAUGAAAAAGACAAAUCAGCAAGUUAUAACAAUUUUCAGCAGUUAACAACACAUGGCACUAUUGCAACAAUGAUUAAGGCAUCAAGAUUAACAUUAAAAUGCAUGCAAAUGACACUACAAUGUAGAGCAUUCAUAGACGAACAAUUUGACAUAACAUGCACGCAAAACGGAGCAAUAUGCGUGAAGUUACGACAUGAUGAGCAUGCACACAUGAUGUUCGAAUCUGGGGACUUAGCAAAAAUUAUACCCUCCAAAAAAGUCAAUGCGGGAUGAGGAGAAGCGGGACGGAGGGAUCCGGGCAUGGAGGCGACGUUUGGUUAGGCGAACCGGUGGAUCUGGUCCACCUCCGGAUCCGGCGACGGAGGAGGACGCCGGCGAGGCUUUCCGGCGAGUGCGAGGUCUGGGAAGGGCGGCGGUGGCGUGGCGAGGCUCCGGCAGCAAGGCGCGGUUGUCAGUGUCAAAACCGGCUGAUCUCGGGCAGGGGGUCCCGAACUGUGCAUCUAGGAUCGAUGGUAAUAGAAGACGAGGGACACAAUGUUUACCCAGGCUCGGGCCCUCUCUAUGGAGGUAAUACCAUACUUCCUGCUUGAUUGAUUUUGAUGAAUAUGAGUAUUACAAGAGUUGAUCUACCAUGAGAUCGUAAUGGCUAAACCCUAAAAGUCUAGUUUGGCUAUGAUUAUUCAGGGCAUCUACGGACCUAGCCCUCCGGUUUAUAUAGACACGGAGGGAUCUAGGGUUACACAUGGUCGGUUAUAAAGAAAGGAAUCUUCAUAGUCGAUGCAAAAGCUUGCCUUCCAUGCCAAGGAGAGUCCCAUACGGACACGGGUAGAGUCUUCGGUCUUCAUAUCUUCACGGCCCAACAGUCCAGCCCAUAUCAAUAGGUCAGACGCCCGAGGACCCCAUGGUCCAGGACUCCCUCAGUAGCCCCUGAACCAAGCUUCAAUGACGAUGUGUCCGGCGCGUAGAUUGUCUUCUGCAUUGCAAGGCGGGUUCCACUUUUCCGAAUUCUCCAUGAUAGUUUCCGGAUCUGCAACACAAGUACCACACACGACAACAGGGAAUAUAAUAUUUCACGAGUACUAUCUGCUGACAACUUUUUUAUAAGAUGGCAUCACGUCUGUCAAGUUGUGAUUUCGAACCAUUUCCUAUUCCACAUUCGAGGUGCUUUUUUAUUGGCAUGUUUUGUCGAAGCAGAGAUCGUGUCCCCCUAUUGCGGGAUCCUCAUUAAUACGAGCGUGGGUAACCCAACCGUUCCACGGGAAAGAUUCCUUGGAAAUAGGCAGGUUCUUAGGCUUAGGAGGAGGCGUUCAAUACCAACCGCCUUUAUAAAGGAACCAAGGACUGUCCCGUUACGCCAAACCUCUCCUCAACCUUCCCAACCUCAAGUUUUAGCACCCAAGGUUCGACCUCAUUGCUCGAAGAUUCCCCAUCAUGUCCGGACCCAGCCCUCAAGGUCGAUGGGUGGCUUCCUCCGUCAUGGAGGAGGAUAUUGCAAAGCUUCCGGCGGCCAGAUACCUGACGCGGAGAUCCACCAUAGGCUCCCUGCUCAAGGACAGGUUGUUCCGACCCCCAGAUCUGGCGAGAGGGUUGUUUCUAUCUCUCACUUACUCCGAGGGCUAGGAUUCGCUCUCCACCCCUUUGUCCGGGGGCUAAUCUUUUAUUACAAACUAGAUUUUCUCGAUCUAGCUCCAGAUUCUUUCCUUCAUGCCUUGGUGUUUAUUGUCACGUGCGAGGCCAUCCUCUGAAUCCCCCCACACUUCGGCUUAUCCCUCAAGACCUUUGGUGUAAAGCCAAAGGUAGUUGACGGGGAACAAGUGGAGUGCGGUGGUGUUGUAGUAAGCCGGCUUACCAACACUCCCUGGCCAAAAGUUUCUUUCACUAAAUCUUCCAAUCAAUGGCAGCGAGAGUGGUUGUACGUUACAGAACCCCGUAGCACCAAGUGGGCAGCUACACCAGCGUUCCGUUCCAGCCCUCCAUUACAGCUUGCAUCAUGCGUUAAUAAGGGGCUGGACUGGGGAUCAAUCGAUGAAGUGCGGACUCUAUAGAGCCACAUCCGAACCCUCCUUGAGAGGGACAUCGAUCUUGUCAACGUGUUUCAAGUAAUGUUAAUCCGCCGAAUAUUGCCAUGCCAGCGUAGGCCUCUCCGCAUGUGGGAGUUUAAUCCAGAAGGGCCACGAACCCUCAAACACUUAUUCGGUUCUAUGCACAAAGGGAUGUGGAAGAUGUUUUUUGGGAAACGAAAACAUUGCCCGGACACCUCCGAAGACGUCGGCCUUGACUGCAACCGUCCGGACACCCCAGUAAGCCCUUGUCUUUCGAACACUUUGUAGUUAAGUAUAUUGUGAUAUGUUACCGAACAAAUUAUCUUCUUUCAGGGCUGGAUAAAGAAAGCGGAACUAAUUAGGUGUUCGGCCCCCCUUCACGAAGCCUCAGCGGAUUCCGUAUUAAGAUGGAUGCCGGCCCCAACACCAUACCAGAUGCAUGCGAACGAGGAGAAGAGGGGGAACGGGAGGACCAAAGAGGGCCUCCAUCUCGAAGAUAUUUUAGACGCCGUGUCCGGGUAGAUAAAACUCCCAUCACCCGAAGGCAAAAGUAAAGGGGAAGUCUACGUUCAUUCCCCCCAUGGCAAGAAAAGGGACGUCUCCGAAGAUUGGGAUGAAAAGGCUCCCAAGCGAGGCAAGAUGCCCCUGUCGGGCGGCUCGGGCUUGAAGGACGACAUUAUCGCGCAGUUCUCCAGCGAGGCCAAGCCUAAAUCGUAAGCAAACAAGGGCAUUUUACACAUACCCCAUUCCUCCCCUAUGACCAGGGUAACAUCUAAAAUGUAUGUUCUUUGCAGCUCGGCACACAAUCUUUCUCAACAAUCGUCUUCCUCAGGAGACCUUCUCCCAGAGAUGAUGGAAAGCGAGACGCCUCCACCAGUCUCCUCGCCCAAUAAGGUGGAUGACCUCGAGGUGUCGUCCUGGAGGGUCUCUCCUGAUCCGCAAGCGAUGCGAGGGGUGAUGAAAACAUGAGCCAAAGCUGAUGCUUCGGUAGCCCAGGGUCCAGGGACCAACAAUGAAGGCCCCGGACUGUGCGGCUUUCAGCCGGAGAUAACUCUAGGGGAGAAUGAAUGAAUCCCUACUACGGUUGGCGGGGGGUGGGGUCGUGAGAAGAGCGGAUCUAACAGGUAGCACAUGGUUCAUUUAUCCAGGUUCGGGCCGCGAGGAUGCGUAAAACCCGACUCCUGCUUUGGUGGAUUGUAUAUCUGUGUUCUUGAGCUAGCUAUGGGGCGUGAGGAGGUCCUAAAAGCCGAAUCCUUUUCCUGGUCACCUCGGGCCUCCUUUUAUAGAAAAAGGGGUUGCCACAGUGGCACAGAUGAGGUGGAAAGGGUACAGUGAUGCGAGGUUAUCCCUCGCAUUACAUGACAAGGCCCAUUUAAUGCGUCUUGCUUAGGUGUCCUUGCUUUAUCGGGGACAGUGGAGAGAUCUGUCUCGUCCGUCGCCACUCCUCCUUGUGUCGACACGCGCCCUGCCAGUGAUGCCUGAGAUGCCACGUAGGUAGGUAGGCAGCUGAGGUGGCGCAGUGGUGGGUCUUCACGAAGAUCUGCAUGCCGCCACGCAGGUGCCUGCCCAGCUGGUUGGGUCGGCAGUUGCAUGUGAACGGCGGUGGAGGUUUAGUCGGCGUGGGCCUGAUGGUGGCCCUGCGGGUGUUCUCGGAAAGGGCCUUACCGGGGCCCCGGCAAGGGUCUUGCCGAGGCGCCUGCUGUCAUCCCCGGAAAGGCGCUUGCCGGGGGCCUUGUGGUCUUCCUCGGCUGGGAUCCCGCCAAGGGUUGUCGUCUCCUUAGUGUGUAUCUGGUCUUGAAUGUCUUCACGAAGAUCUGCAUGCCGCCACGGGGAUGUCUCCCGAAUCCUUGCCCUUUAGGGGCAAUGGACUCAAGGGUGAUUCGCUCCGUAGGCGCGGGACGAUUCGCCACGGCAAGGGUCUUGCCGGGGCUGCUAGAACUGUCUUCCGGCAAGGAUCUUGCCGGGGGAGUCCGCUUCGUCCCCUUUGCUCUUCAUGGUCUUGGCCUUGGUGUCGUAGUUCUCUUGAGCUUCGGUCUUACCCUGGCUCACCUCCCUUGCCUUGCUCGAUGUGGUGCUGCCUAUGGCUCAGACUUCUCGUGCACAGUUAUAGGGGUACAAAAAGUGUACCCCUUUUUUUGUACACCGAUAGGAGCCCCCGAGCCUGGGCCACACAUAAGCGCAACGCGUUGUUGGGCUAGGCCCAAAAACGGUGCGCGGGCAGGCGGGGCAGUUUUUACCGCGGUAAAAUUCUUCACGCGUUGCGCUUCCCACGAUUCCCCCGCGUGGCGCGGCGUGGGGAGGUGCGUGUGACGUGGGCAUCAUGCUUGGGGUUGGUUCCCGCAGGCAUGCGUCACAUCGUAGUAAAGGGGCGGUUCGUGCCUUCCCCAUAAACGGAGGGAGGCGUGGAGGCGCGGCCCAUUUACUGAAUGGGGCUGAGGCGCGGUCUUCAAGGCGUCCACUCCCCAUGAUCACGGGGUGGGGAGUGGUCGUCUCACCCGUCCCCUCGGUUCUGCACGUCCGCCAUGUGUCUCCCAUGCGCCUGGGGUGGCGAAUGGUCGAGGCGGGAAACUGGGCCGUCGCUGGUUGGGGCGGCGGGUCGGUCCUGGCUCCCUGCGCCUUCCGUCGCUGGUUGGCUCCAUUUUACGCUGAUGGAGGGUGGCCUUCUCUCCAUCAAGGUCUUCGGGUGCUUCGGUUCCCGUGAAAGGUGCUGCGUGGAGAGCUCUUCUGAUAGCGAAGAUUCCUCCUCGGGCGGGAGUGACGAGGAGGACAGCGGCAGCGACAACGAGGGUAGUAGGCGGCAGGAUGACGGGUCCGAUUAGGUGUCGGGUGCCGCUCCGUGCGGCACCGGCAACCCCAUCAUCCGUGUCGCAGGCUCCCUGAACUUCUCGGGGUCGUCUCCUUGGGCGGCUGGCAUUGGGAGGCUACAGAAGAGGAAGAGGGCGGGCGGCAACGCCGUCAAGUCGGAGCAUGCGGGCACCGAUGCCUUCGGCGCGUGCUGACGUCCUGCCGCCUCGUCUUCGAGCUGUGCUUCCGGCGCCGCCAUCACCACCCAGCCUUUGUACGGCCACCAAGAUGUUCUCUUGGUGUCUUCUGCCACCCGUAGCCCGCCUAGGCGCUCCUUUUGUCCUUUUCGCCUCCUUGACCUGCCUCCUGAGGCGAGGGACAAGAAAGGGAUUACGGGCACCUUAUCUCUUUUUAGUUUGUAAGCCUUCGAGCCUUUGUUGAAUUUAAAACUUGUAAUCCCAUCAUUCAUGUUUUUCAUUCCCUAUGGACUGUACCUGAGUGGAAUGUUUUUAAUGAAAAAGGGAUGCUUUGCUGGGUCAUUUGUUUGCAGGUGGAACCCAUGACAAGGAGUAAAUCCUUAACAUCCUCAAGAUAAACAUUUCCUUGCCCGGCAACAGGCCUUCCCGUCUCCCCACUUCACCUGACCUUCCUCACGCCUUUGGCGGAGGCAGGGAUGAGGCUGGUUCAGGCUCCUUGUUUCAUCCUUUCGUUGCCGCGACUACGACCAAACUUGGCCCCAGGAACGAGCCCUAGGGCCUAGAGUUAUCGGAGCAUGGUAGCUUAGGGGAAAACGAGGUUUCACAUACCUCAGUCCAUAAUGGAAUGCAUGAUAAGGGAUGAAGAACUUAUCUGAAGCUGUAGUCCCCGGCAACCCUGGUUCGCUGUGGGUGAAUCUUUGCUCUUGCAGCCCCCGGCAAUACUGGCUUGCCAGGGGCUAGAUGUUGGUCUGUUCCUCUUUUUUUCCUCCCCAAGUGGUUCGGCACGGAUAUCCGUGUGUUCUAUGAACCAAAGAAGACAAAAGAGAGACGCACACUCGACCUCUAAGCUAGGGGUUAGUCGCCGUUAAGCACUAUCAACCCUAACCAAGGACGAGACUCGACCUAGCAUGCAUGCUAUAACUUAGGGCACCAGCGCUUCAUUUACUUAUGCUCAGGGUCUGCGCCUGGCUUUGUACAGAGGGUUACAUGCGUCAUCGGCAAGGCUCGUACAAAAGGUGGCUUGCCGGGGGGCCCAACAAGCCGCGCCUCAUGGGUAAAACUUGCGAAGAUGCUCAAUGUUCCAAGAGUUACUCACCGGAAUGGCAUCUUUGGUCUCUAGGCGAACUGCGCCGGGCCUGGUGACUCGUAUUACCCGAGAAGGGCCUUCCCACUUUGGAGUCAACUUGUUGGAAUUUUUGGCCGAUUGAACGCGCCGAAGAAUAAGUUCGCCUUCCUCAAGGCUUCAGGCAUGAACCUUGCGGCCAUGGUAGCGGCGCAAGGCUUGCUGGUAGCGCACUGCUCUCACAGCCGCCCGAAGACGAUCUUCCUCAAGGAGCGUUGCGUCAUCUUGGCGCAGUUGCUUUUGCUCAAGCUCAUCAUAAGAGAGUACUCGAGGUGACCUGUAUAUGAGUUCAGUGGGGAGAACUGCUUCUGCCCUGUAUACCAGGGCAAAGGGUGUCUGGCCGGUGGCUCGAUUUGGCGUCGUUCUGAUUGACCAAAGAACCGCCAACAAUUCAUCAAUCCAGCGCCUUCCACUCUUGCACAGCCUGUCAAAGGUCUUUGUCCUUAAGCCUCGCAACACUUCAGCGUUUGCCCUCUCAGCUUGACCAUUGCUUCAUGGGUGAGCAAUGGAAGCGAAACAGACUUUGCUGCCGAGGUCUUGGGUAUAUUGCAUGAAGGUGCGGGUUGUGAAUUGUGUACCGUUGUCGGUGAUGACCCUGUUGGGUACACCAAAACGGCACACUAGUCCCUUGAAGAAUUUGACAGCUGACUGAGCUGUGACCUUCCUCACUGCUUCCACCUCUGGCCACUUUGUGAACUUGUCGAUUGCGUUGUACAAGUACUCAAAGCCCCCGACAGCGCGGGGGAAAGGGCCCAGUAUGUCGAACCCCCAGACCGAGAAAGGGCCAGGAGAGAGGAAUGGUUUGAAGGGCUUGAGCUGGCUGAUGAAGUUUCUUUGAAUGGAACUGACAUGCUUCACACCUGGUGACUAGUGUCGUCACAUCCUGGAGGGCAGUGGGACAGAAGAAGCCUUGCCGAAAUGCGGGCAAGGGCUCUUGACCCUAUGUGGGAUCCACAUAUGCCUCCAUGUAUCUCCGCCAACAGCCCCAGUCCUUCCUCUCGAGGGAUACACUUCAAUUUCACGCCGUUCGGCCUCUUUCUGUAUAGGACGUCAUCGACGAACUGGUACAUAGUAGAGCGACGGGCUACUUUUUCCGCUUCUUCCUGCUCCUCAGGAAGUUCCCCUGUUUGGAGGAAUCAGACGGUAUGUUGUGCCCACGCUGGAGCCUGGGGCUCGACGGUGAGGACUAAAUGCAUUUCCUCCGCUACAGGAGCGGCUGUCUCGACGACAAGAGCUUGAUGCUCCGCCGGAGCUAGCCAUCCCGUGGCAGGCUCAGUAUCUCCGGCAACAUCCUUGCCGGCGGCUCCGGGGAGCUCGGCGGGAAAGUACUUGCUGGGCCCUGAUUUCCUUCUCUUGUUUUGCUCUGUUGAUGGAUCAACGGAUGGUUGAGUUAGCUGAAGCACAAAGGUACCUGGUUCCAUAGGUAGCUUGAGGGCAGCGUGCUUUGACAGGUAAUUGGCGAUGUCGUUCUCGGCUCGGGGAACAUGCUCCGCCUGUAUACCAUCAAAAUGCUCUUCUAGCUUUCUCACUUCAUCGACGUAGGCCUUCAUCAAUGGGCUCUGGUAAUCUUUGUUUACUUGUUUGAUGACAAGUUGCGAGUCGCCCCUGACGAUGAGCUUCUUGAUUCUAAGGUCUGCCGCGAUCCUAAGACCAGCAAGCAGCCCCUCGUAUUCAGCAAUAUUGUUUGUUGACACCUCCCUGGGGAAGUGCAUCUGGAUCACGUACUUGAGGUGCUCUCCGGUGGGCGCGACAAGCAGUACGCCAGCCCCGGCGCCCUGUAAGGAGAAAGCUCCAUCAAAGUACAUGAUCCAGUCGCAACUUGCCUCCUUGCCGAGGAGAGCAGUCUCUUGAGUAUCUUUGCCAGGCGUCGCAGUCCAUUCUGCAACGAACUCCGCCAGGACUCGGCUUUGAAUCAUCGAGGCACUCUCAAACUUGAGGCCAAAGCUGGACAGUUCCAGUGCCCCCUCUACGAUCCUUCCCGUUGCGUCUGGAUUGUGCAAUAUCCGUUGCAGAGGGAGGCGAUUGAUGACAGUGAUUUCGUGCACCUGGAAGUAGUGACACAGCUUCCUCGAGGCCAUAAGAAGGCCGAAGAGCAGUUUCUGCACACCGGAGUACUUUGAUCUAGCCCCCUGCAAAAGGGAGCUAACAAAGUAGACCGGGUGCUGCAUCAUCUUCUUCCUUAGCAGCACUCCAACCGGCUGUGUCGUCUCGGCAUCGGUGGCAUUGGGCUCCGUCGCUGUUAUUACCUCAUCAAUAAUUUCUCUCUGCGCCACUAGUGUGGCGCUGACCACCUGGUUCGUUGCCGCCAGGUACAGCAACAACAGUUCCUGUGGCCUAGGCGCAACUAGUAUUGGCGCGGAGGAGAGGUUCCUCUUCAAAUCUUGCAAUGCUGCUUCGGCUUCUGGCGUCCACUCCAUCGGGCCCGCCUUUUUCAAAAUCUUGAAAAGGGAAGGGCGCGCUCGGCGGACAUGGAAAUGAACCUGCUCAUGGCGGCAACACAACCAGCAAGCCGAUGCACAUCCUUGACUCGAUUGAGCGCUUCAAUCUGCUCUAUAGCUUUGAUCUUGUCCGGAUUGGCCUCUAUCCCACGCUAUGACACAAAGAACCCGAGAAGCUUGCCAGAUGGGAUGCCGAAGACGCACUUCUCGGGGUUCAGCUUGAUAUUGAUCUUGCGUAGGUUUGCAAAUGUUUCUUGUAAAUCUGAUAUGAGGGCUGCCCUAUUCUUGGUUUUGACCACUAUAUCAUCCAUAUAAGCUUCCAUAUUUCUAUGGAGCUGGUGUUCAAAACCAAUCUGGACCGCCCUUGCAAACGUUGAACCAGCACUCUUCAACCCGAAAGGCAUCCGUAUAAAUCAAUACGUACCACAUGGGGUGAUGAAUGCCGUUUUCUCUUCAUCUUCCCUUGUCAUGAAGAUCUGGUGGUAGCCGGAGUAGGCAUCGAGGAAUGACAACAAAUCACACCCAGCUGUGGAGUCAACAAUCUGGUCGAUGCACGGCAACGGGAAGGGGUCUUUGGGACAAGCCUUAUUAAUAUCUGUGUAAUCAAUACACAACCUCCACUUCCCAUUUGCCUUGCGCACUACCACCGGAUUGGCCAACCACGUCGGAUGGAGCACUCCUCUUACCAAACCCGCUGCUUCCAAUUUCUGGAUCUCCUCUGUGAUGAACUCUUGUCAUUCGAAAGCUUGCUUUCUGACCUUCUACUUGACGGGCUGCACAUGAGGACAGACAGCAAGGUGGUGCUCAAUCACCUCCUUGGGAACGCCGGGGAUGUCGUAUGCUUGCCAUGCAAACACAUCGACAUUCGCCCGCAAGAAGGUGACGAGCGCGUCUUCCUAUUUGUCGUCAAGGGUGGAGCUUAUGGUAAAAGCUCCUCCCGCGCCGUCCUCCUUGACAGAAACCUUCUUGGUUCCCGCCAGUGUGGCCCCGGACUUCUUGUUUCUGUCGGCGGAGCUCUUGGCACGUCCUCGACGGGAGCGCUACACUCCGAAGAGGUGCGCUUGCCGGAGUGGGUGCCUGAGGUCUCACCGGUCUUCUUCUUUUGCCUUCCUGGGGCUCCAGUGGCAGGAGCAAGCGCCUUAGCAGUGGCAGCUGCUGCAACUGCUUGUUGGUAGAGUUGGUCAGCGCAAAUUAGCGCAUCCUUCUUGUUUGACGGGACGGUGAUGAUCAUCAUAGGCCCCGACAUCUUCAGGGUGUUGUAGGCAUAAUGUGACGCCGCCAUGAACUUGGCCAGCGCUGGGCGGCCAAGGAUCCCGUUGUAAGGCAAGGGGAUUUUGGCAACGUCGAACACAACCCUUUCUGUCCUGUAGUUUAGAUCACUCCCAAAAGUCACAGGCAAUGUGACCUUUCCCUUUGGUUGACUUCUUCCCGGGUGUACCCCCUGAAACGUGCCCGUCUCUUCGAGGUCUUCAUCAGGAAUCUGCAAUUUCUCGAUCACGGCAGGCGAGAUUAAGUUCAGACCGGCCCCACCAUCGACUAGCAUCUUUGUCACCUUGAGGUUGCGUAUUGUUGGUGAAACCAACAAUGGCAAGCACCCGACUGCAGUAGUGCGAUCAGGGUGAUCCUCAGUGUAAAAAAUGAUAGGUGUGCUGGACAACUUCAGCGGCCUUUGGGCAUCAAAUGAUGGUUACGCCGCUGUAAUCUCAUGCGCCCACUGUUUAAGCUGGCGGUGAGAGGUAUGCAGGGAGGCACCGCCAUCGACGCACAUGGCCUCUGUAGCUUUCUGAAAUCCUUGGUCACCAGACUCAUCGUCCUCUUCGUGAUCAUCGUCUUCUGGCUUUUUGUCACGGCCCCGCGCGGGCCUCUCCCGUUGUUUAUCUUUGCCGCGACGGCCCGCAUGGCAAUCACGCUUCUUGCCGGACCCCUCAGCACCGUCCUGGCCUUUCUCCUUGUCCCGCCUCUCAUAUUCAGCCCUCCGCUUCUCAGCAAGGAGCUCAACCUGUCGGCAGUUCUGGAGAUCAUGGCCUUUGGUGCGAUUGAUCUUGCAGUCUUGCUUGUCGGAGCUUCCUGGCUUCUCGGCAGCCGCCAAGGCCCGGCAGGCGACACAUCUGGCAGUUUCCUUACCGGGGUCAUCUGCCUUGGUUUUCUUGGCAGAGCCGGAGUUGCCAGAUCCCUCGACGGCAAGCACAGCUUUACCUUUGCGCUUCCUGUUGCGGCGCCGGCCUUUCUUCGCCGGGGCGGCAGUAUCCUCAUCUGAGGAGUUGGUUUCCACGCCGGCAUCUUCGCCGGGGUACUUCCUUCCCUCUUCAGCUCGGGCACAUUUGUCAGCAAGAACAUAGAGUUCUGCCACAUCUUUCACCUUGUUCAUUGCCAGUUCUUCGCGCAUCUUGCGGUUGCGCACGUUCUGAUGGAACGCGCUGAUGAUGGCGGCAGGGUGAACAUCAGGGAUAUUGUACUGUACCCGGCUGAACCUCUGUAUAUACUUGCGCAGACUCUCGCCUCCCUUCUGGGGAAUGACAUGCAGGUCGCUUGCUUGGCCAUGGGCUUGGUGACCCCCAGUAAAGGCACCCACAAACUCAUGGCACAAAUCCGACCAGGAGGAAAUAGAGUCUACCGGCAAGUGCAUUAACCACGACAUGGCGUUGGCUUUAAGAGCCAAUGGAAAGUAAUUCGCAAGCACCUUAUCGUCGCGGGCUCCGGCGGCUUGCAUCGCGAUGGUGUAGAUGCUGAGGAACUCAGACGGGUGAGUCUUGCCGCUGUACUUUUAGCCAACGUCAGGUUUGAAGGUGCGGUGAGUGGGCCACUGGAAAUGCCGCAGCUCACGGGUAAAAGCGGACAGCCUAUCUCGUAAGGUAGGCCUCCAGGGCUCUCCAGGGCCGGGUGGUUCACAGCAGGCCUGUAACGCCCUCGAUGUGGCUAUAUCUCCUACGUGUCGAAGCACGACUUAGAGGCAUAACCGCAUUGAAAGCAAUGUCGCAAGUAAGGUAAUCUUCACAACAUCCCAUGUAAUACAUAAUAAGGGGAAAUGUAACAUAGUUGGCUUACACUCGCCACGUCACACAAAGUACAUAAAUAGCAUUACAUCAUCCAAUCACUCAUGGCCUGACUACGGUGCUAAAAUAAAAGAUCAACCCAACAUGCGACACGGUCUCGAUCGCCCCAACUGGGCACCACUACUAAUCAGCAGGGAAAGACACAUAAUAACGGCGUGAGUCCUCGUCGCACUCCCACUUGAGCUCAAGCGCGUCGUCUAGAGCGGAAUCAUCAGGCCCUGCAUCUGGUUUGGAAGUAAUCUGUGAGCCACAGGGACUCAGCAAUCUCGCACCCUCGCGAUCAAGACUAUUUAAGAUUAUAGGUAUGGUAAGGUAAUUAUGUGGAGCUGCAGCAAGCAACUAGCAUGUAUGGUGGCUAACCUAUUCGCAAAAGAGAGCGAGAAGAGAAGGCAAGCAUUAGUCCAACACCGUGUUCACUUCCCGGACUCCGCCGAGAAGAGACCAUCACGGUAACUCACACAGUUGAUUCAUUUUAAUUAAGUUAAGGUUCAAGUUAUCUAGAACCAGACAUUAACAAAUUCCCAUCUGCCCAUAACCGCGGGCACGGCCUUCGAAAGUUCAAUGCCUGUAGGGGGGUCCCAACUUAGCCCAUGACAAGCUCUCACGGUCAACAAAGGAUAUACCUUCUCCCGAGACAUUCCGAUCAGACUCGGUAUCCCGGUUCUACAAGACACUUCGACAAGUUAAAACAAAUCCAGCAACACCACCCAGAUGUGCCGACAAAUCCCGAUAGGAGCUACACAUAUCUCGUUCUCAGGGCACACCGGAUGAGCAAGACGUCGGGUAGGCCAGCCCAGAUUUGCCCCUGGUAGCCCCGGACAUCGCUCGAUUGGACCAACACUUAGAGAAGCACUGGCCCGGGGGUGUUUAAAAUAAGAUGACCCUUGAGUCCGCGAAACCCAAGGGAAAAAAGGCUAGGUGGCGAAUGGUAAAACCAAUGUUGGGCAUUGCUGGAGGAGUUUUAUUCAAGGCGAACUAUCAAGGGGUUCCGAUUAUCACCCAACCGCGUAAUGAACGCAAAAUCCGGGAACAUAACACCAAUAUGACGGAAACUAGGGCGGCAAGAGUGGAACAAAACACAAGGCAAAAGGCCGAGCCUUCCACCAUUUACCAAGUAUAUAGAUGCAUUAAGAUAACAAGAUAAUAUAGUGAUAUCCCAACAAGUAAAUAAUGUUCCAACAAGGAACGGUCUCCAAUCUUCACCUGCAACUAGCAACGCUAUAAGAGGGGCUGAGCCAAAGCGGUAACAUAGCCAAUCAAUGGUUUGCUAGGACAUGGUGGGUUAGAGGUUUGACAUGGCAAUUUGAGAGGCAUGAUAAGCAAGUGGUAGGCAUCAUAGCAUAGGCAUAGCAAAAGAGCGAGCAUCUAGCAAAGCAAAGAUAGAAGUGAUUUCGAGGGUAUGAUCAUCUUGCCUGCAAAGUUGUCAGAGUUGACUGGAUCCUCGAAAGCAAACUCAAUGGGCUCCUCGUUAGCGAACUUGUCUCCUGGCUCUACCCAAACAAGACAAACAAGCAAAAGGGAUGCAAUCAACCAUGUGCACAACUCAAACAACACGAUGCAAACAUGGUAUGCUAUGCGGGAUGCGAUAUGGGAUGCAUAUGCAAGAUUCGGCAAGGAAUGAAUGAACCUAGGCUCAACUUGUAAAUCCAAGUGUUCCAAUGGAAAUGUGAGAUGAUUUCGCUUGAAAACGAUAUAAAGAACGCCGGAAUCUGAGACACGGUUUAAAAAUGGCAAGCAAAACAAGAAUGGCGCCGGUCUGCGAUAAACAGCAAGUAGCCAUCUAAAUGCAACAAGUUAAACAUGCUACAGCACCGAAACAUGGCAACAAAAUACAUGGCAGGGAUCCACUCAUGAUGCUUAACAAAAGAUGAACACUGAGCUACGGCCAAAUCAUCCAUUAACAGGUUCAAACAAGCUUGGCAAAGGUGCAAUUGGUAAACAGAUUUCAGACUUAGUGAAAUUAACACUUGUCUGGAAUUUCAGAUCAGGUAGCACACUUUGGAGCAUGAAGACUAUAUGCUACAGGGCCUGAAUCUGGCAAAGCAAAGCACGGAAUGGAGCUACUCAAAGAGCUUAACAAAAGUCCCUUAGUGACCUUGAGCCAAAAGGGAUCAGAAAAUACAAUUGCAAGCAUGUGAACAUGGCAAAAACUUAAACAGAUCACAGGCUUAGUGAAAAACUAGAGCAUGAAAAACAGAUAUCAAGUAGGCAUGUUUACGAGCUCGAUGCACUCACUACAGAGCAUGUCAUGACAAUCUAAGCAUACACCCAUCAAGAAUACACAUUAUACGAGCUAGACAUGGCAAGAACAAUAACAUAGCAUGCACGGACCAACUACAACAUCCUCGGCAAAAUCGCUAACAAGUAGACAAUCUGCCCAGAUUCACGAAAUGACAAAAGUAGAACUCGAUUGUCUCAAGCUAGGGUGCUCCAUAAUUGCAAACAAAGACAUGGAUGGAUAGAGCACUACAAGAUGAAAAAAAUCAUCCUUACUGAUCAUCCUCAAAAGAGGCACAGAUCACCAGGAAACAACAUGAACAUAUGGCAUAUUGAUAAGAACAGCUCAAGGACUUGGUGGAAUUGCUAAGUCCCUGAAAUCAGCAUUAACGAAUGCACCACUUUGCAAGCUUGUGCUAGUCACCACACACAUCACAAAAAUACAUGCAUGGCACCUCUGGAAAGUUGACAACUCAUAUAACAAAACAUAUGUAGAGCUCAGGGGCAUAUCAUGCACACAAUAAUCAUGGCAAAAAUGACAAAUAGCUAAUUGGAUCAGCAGAUCUGGCAAUUAUCUCAAAUAGCAAUCUUCCAACAGCAUUUCUGGCAUCAAGAUGAACUCAAAUGAAAAUGAUGCAAUGAGAUGAAAUGAUGUGCUCUCUGAGACGAACAUUUUGAUAUGCUAUAUGCCCAAAACGGAUCUACGGCUGCAAAGUUACGGCACGAUGAACAUGGCAAUAUAUUUAGGGUUAGGGACGAAAAGUCAACCGAGGGGAUAUUUACCAGAUCUAGAUCCCGCGCGGCACGCUUUAUGAGGAUCGCCGGAGUCGGAGCUCGAGGACCUCGCCGGAGUUGGAAGGUCGGCCGGAGGGGGUGCGGGCGUGGAGGAGGAGGUGCGGCCCGCGGUGGCCGCGGGCGUCGCCGGCGCUGGACNNNNNNNNNNNNNNNNNNNNNNNNNNNNNNNNNNNNNNNNNNNNNNNNNNNNNNNNNNNNNNNNNNNNNNNNNNNNNNNNNNNNNNNNNNNNNNNNNNNNNNNNNNNNNNNNNNNNNNNNNNNNNNNNNNNNNNNNNNNNNNNNNNNNNNNNNNNNNNNNNNNNNNNNNNNNNNNNNNNNNNNNNNNNNNNNNNNNNNNNNNNNNNNNNNNNNNNNNNNNNNNNNNNNNNNNNNNNNNNNNNNNNNNNNNNNNNNNNNNNNNNNNNNNNNNNNNNNNNNNNNNNNNNNNNNNNNNNNNNNNNNNNNNNNNNNNNNNNNNNNNNNNNNNNNNNNNNNNNNNNNNNNNNNNGUUGGCGGUGAGUUGCGGUGCGGCCGGUGGGCGGUGAGGCGGUCGCCGGAGAGCUUGGCCGUGGUGCUUGCGGCGAGGCACGGCGGCUCGAGCGGUCGGCGUCGAAGGAGGAGAGCCCGAGCCUCUUCGGGCCCGGACGGCGUUGGGAGGGGGCCCGCCCUGGGCCCGAGCGGGCCGGCGGCGCUGGCGCCGCGAAGUGGGGCUAGGGCCAUGUGGCAAGGCCUGGUAGGUCGGCGGCGGCGGGCGAACAACGUCCGGCCGUCCGGAUUUUGUCCGGCGGCUGGAGGAGGAGGGGGGCUAGGGUUUCAACCGGGAUUUCGAAUCGGGGUGGUAUUUAUAGGCAUAGAGGGAGCUAGGAGUGUCCAAAUGUGGUGCAGUUUUCGGCCACACGAUCGUGAUCGAACGCUCUAGAUGAUGGAGAGAGUUUUGGUGGGUUUUGGGCCAAAUUGGAGGGGUGUUGGGCUGCAACACACACGAGGCCUUUUCGGCCACUCGGUUAACUGUUGGAGCAUCAAACGAAGUCCAAAUGGUAUGAAACUUGACAGGCGGUCUACCGGUAGUAAACCAAGGCCGCUUGGCAAGUCUCGUUCCAAUCCGGAAAUGUUUAGUCCCCACACACGAAAGAAAGGUAGAAAUGACUACCGGAGGAGAACGGAGAGCCGGAAUGCAAAACGUACAACGGGGAAAAUGUUCGGAUGCAUGAGAUGAACACGUAUGCAAAUGCAAUGCACAUGAUGACAUGAUAUGAGAUGCAUGACAACGACAACAACACACAGAGACAAAAACCCGAACCCGAGAAAAUUAAAAUAACUUAGCACCGGAAACGGCAAGAGUUGGAGUACAUAUUAGGUAAAUCAUAUCUGGGGUGUUACAAGGCCCUGCUCGCCUGUCUGACUGGUGGCGCACUCCGCGCCGGCGCUCGAUAGUGGUUCGAGCGUCUUCAUGGGCUCGUUCCCAAAGAACUUGGCGCUAGUCAAAGUGGGUCCGCGGGUCAGACGAUGCUAUGGAGAUGGCGUUGCCCACGACGUCGCGCCAAGCCGGCGUCCGCGGUACCGGAUGGGGAGGAGGUGAAUGCAUCAUGGUUGCGGCGCCACCGGCUUUUUUGCCACUGGUCCGCGGGACUCCAUCGGAGCGUCGACCCGGGGGCCCCACCGGACUUGGUUCAUCUUUGUUGGCCACCGCAACAAGGCUUCGGAUAGUGGCUCUCCAUUCGUCGAGUUUCCCCGUGGUGGGAGGAAAGUCGAGGAACAACUGCGCGCGCCAGGGCCUCUGCUGGCGUUGGUGGCAGUGAAACCUACACGGAUCACGACGCGCUUCGACUUCUAACCAUGUCAGAAGGAGCUCUAUCACGACCCCGCGGUUGCAUGCCGUUUUCACCAGUGCCUCGGCGAGUGGGCAGGUCUUCUACGUCCCGAGAGUGGCGCUCGGGGCUCUUCCCGCGGCGACGCCCGGGAUCUUCGGCGUGGUUACGCCAUUCGUCGCACGCUGCCUGGGAGGAGCGCGCUGUUGACGCCAACGUGGGAGUCUUGGAGGCCCUCGCGUCGCCUUCGGGCGGGGCGGCGAUGACCUUGGAAGGCCCCUCUCCACCCGUGAAGGACUUGGCUCCGCCAUUGGAUUUGGCGACGUGUGGCCCGUUACCAGGCGCACAAACAUUGCCGCCUCCCAAACUCCGGCUGCUGGGAUGGUGUUGGUGUUCGCGAGCAGCGCCCCGGGUCCUCUCUGCGACCGGUCCGCAGCUCGCACGUGUCGGGACGGGCUGUCCGGCUUCCGACUGGCCAACCGCCACCGGCGUCUUCUUCUUGGGUGCCAUGAUGACGAAGAAGCGCCGAACUAACUGCUAAAGCCGAUUCUCACAACUGCGGCCCCCUACCUGGCGCACCAGAGAUGUCGGUGUGGAACGACACCUAUGGGAUCACAAGAAUCCCUACUACGGUUGGCGGGGCGCGGGGUCGUGAGAAGAGCGGAUCUAACAGGUAGCACACGGUUUGUUUAUCCAGGUUCGGGCCACAAGGAUGCGUAAAACCCUACUCCUGCUUUGGUGGAUUGUAUAUCUGUGUUCUUGAGCUAGCUAUGGGGCGUGAGGAGCUCCAAAAAGCUGAAUCUUUCUCCUGGUCGCCUCGGGCAUCCUUUUAUAGAAAAAGGGGUUGCCACAGUGGCACACAGGAGGUGGAAAGGGUACAGUGAUGCGAGGUUAUCCCUCGCAUUACAUGACAAGGCGCAUUUAAUGCGUCUUGCUUAGGUGUCCUUGCUUUAUCGGGGACGGGGGAGAGAUCUGUCUCGUCCGUCGCCGCUCCUCCUUGUGUCGACACCCGCCCUGGCCAGCGACGCCUGCGAUGCCAUGUAGGUAGGCAGGCAGCUGAGGUGGCGCAGUGGUGGGUCUUCACGAAGAUCUGCAUGCCGCCACGCAGGUGCCUGCCUAGCUGGUUGGGUCGGCAGCUGCAUGCGAAUGGCAGUGGAGGUUUAGUCGGCGUGGGCCUGAUGGUGGCCCUGUGGGUGUCCUCGGCAAGGGCCUUGCCGGGGCCCCGGCAAGGGUCUUGCCGAGGCGCCUGCUGUUAUCCCCGGCAAGGCUCUUGCCAGGGGCCUUGUGGUCUUCCUCGGCUGGGAUCCCGCCAAGGGUUGUCGUCUCCUUAGUGCGUAUCUGAUCUUGAAUGUCUUCACAAAGAUCUGCAUGCCUCCACGGGGAUGUCUCCCGAAUCCUUGCCCUUUAGGGGCAGUGGACUCAAGGGUGAUUCGCUCCGUAGGCGUGGGACGAGUCACCGUGGCAAGGGUCUUGCCGGGGCUGCUAGAACUGUCUUCCGGCAAGGAUCUUGCCGGGGGAGUCCGCUUCGUCCCCUUUGCUCUUCGUGGUCUUGGCCUUGGCUUCGUAGUUCUCUUGAGCUUUGGUCUUACCCUGGCUCACCUCCCUUUCCUUGCUCGAUGUGGUGGUGCCUGUGGCUCAGACUGCCCGUGCACAGUUAUAGGGGUACAAAAAGUGUACCCCUCUUUUUAUACACCGACACCUUUGAACGGAGGCUGUGCUGCUACAGCUGCUUCCGGAGACCCUGAAACGUCGGAUAUAUUGGCGAACAUGCUACGACAGGCGUCCGUCUCCGAAGACCAUCGUAACUUGGUGGUAUAGUGGUUAAAAAGGUCCUCUCCACAAAAAGCGGAUUGAAUGAAGCCUUCACGAGUCAACUAAGAGGUUUCGAGGUUUGUGAUGUAAUACUUUCAAUUUGUGUUUAUUCACAAAAUACUCCUAUGUAUAGAUAGUAGCCCCUGGGACUCUGAUAGGCUCCCCAAGGGAGGCAAUCAGAGUAUCAAAAAUAUUUAUCCAGGAAAUAAUAUGACUACUUGUAACACAGGCUAUUACUUCCCCUGCAACUGCCCGAUCCAUGGAGGUUGCGGAUCUACAGCAGAAGACUGUUGAGGCGGAUGAUGACAUCAUGUUGAUCGACAAGUGCCUUGACGAGGCGCAAGGUAUGUUUUUGGGUCAACUUGUAUAUUUAUGCAUGAUAACCUGAGCGUGAAGCUGGAAUUGUAUAUUAAGGCAUGCGUAACUACAUAUGGUGCUGCUGCGGUGGACGCCCUUCGGCCUGAGCUUGUCCUUGCCAAGGAACAAACACGGGUGAGUAAUCUGGCUGCCCAUAAGGCAGUUGAAGAAUUAAAACCGAACAGACUGUUCGGCACCAAUGUGAGGAAAGAAUUACUACGAUGGCGCGCAAACUGGAGGAGACCACUGUCCGGUGCGAAUUCCUUGAGAAGGAUAAAAACGCGAGAACAGCUGAUCUCAACAAGGCCUUGCAAGAAGCGAAACAAGCACGGUCUGAGUCUAGGGCGGUUUGGGAAGAGACCCGACAAGCUGGGGAUAUAGCGGCUGGCAAGCCUUUCUUAUUACUGAUGAAGUUCGGUGAUCCGAAGUAUUCCCCGCUAACCAAAUGUGGAGUUCUCCGGACCCUCUUUUAGACCUGCAGAAGAGCCUCCGAUGCAUCGCAAUUUUACCAAGUGCAAGAAGGGUGUGCCAAGGAGAAGAAUUUUUGGUCACAGUUCAGUGCGCCAAAGCAUCAAUUGUUAUUAAAUGAACAGAUGGCCCAGUGGGCCGAGCUCCAUAGGAUAUCUGGUUCCGCCAUGAAGGACGUCAUAGUCCGACUGUAGCCUACGGAGCCCAUUCCGAAUAGUUACUUCGGUUUGGUGCAUCGGCUUGUGGAUGCGGUGCCGCGUGUCGACGCCAUUAAGUGUUCAACGUGCAUUGAAGGUGCACGGAUGACCUUUUCCCAUGUCAAAACAUACUGGGCGAAGAUGAAGGCCACUGAUGUUGCCGCGAGGAGUCACCCCAAGGGUAAGGACCAUCUCGCACCCGAAAACUAUUUCGAGGACAUCUUAGAGGGUCCCCGCUUGAUAGAGGGUCUGUGCUCAAAAGAUAUGAUAUUUGAAUGAAAUAUAUUGAAUUGUAAAGGACACUAUAAUGGAAAUAUUAUGAUUUUUGCUUAAAAGUGUUUGGUUCUUCCUGUGCGGCCAUUGUUUGUAUAAUCUGAUAGUUUUCCAAUCGUCGACUUCAUCCCCCACGUAGGAAAUACGGGGGUGUUCGGGAAAGCAUAUGAUCACUCUUAACCCAACGUCUUGGUCCAUGAAUGGAGGUGUCAAUGUAGUGAACGAGGCAACCGGACUAUAGGGCGUUAACACUUUCACUUAGCCAUAGGAGUUUUAUGGUGGGUUUACGAUAUAAACCCUAGUAUGUAUGAUGUUAUCCCAAUGUGGUGCAUUCACAUGUAUGACCUAAACAAAAGGUCCUUAUUAUAAUACGGAGGGAAUCGCCAAAGAUUCCGAUAAGUUGUCGAGUGGUUGACCAGCUCUCGCUGCAUCAUGACAGUCAGUGUUCGGCUUUCUCUACUGAGGUGCUCGCUUGGGCAAACCAGUGCACAAUCGCAAUAGUUCUCCCUUUACUACCUUAGCCGAUAGAGCGGAACGUAAGGUAGCAAGCAGAGGAGUCGAGCAACCAAACUAUGGACCCAAGACAUGAUUCGGAGGUAAUGCAUAUAACGCCAAACUCGCGACACCGAAGUAUGCUAUAAAGUUGUUCGGACUUAUUGGCAAUUUAGUUUGUUCCCAUAUUGAGCCCCUGGCGGAGCGUCUGAAAUAACACAAGGAGCAAAUUAUAGUUCUUUAGAGAAAAGUCAAUACAAGAUAUAAAUUAUAUUCACUAGAACUUGAGUGACAUGCCAAUCAAUGUUUCGUAUAUAAUAACGCCACGACCCUGGCAAUUUGACAUAGCAAGGGUCGAUGGCUGAGGUAGAAAGGCACUUUACAGGCUCGCAAAAUAGAGAGUGUGGUCGUAAAAGUUGUUUUGGACCUCCUGUCACACGUCUGCGCCGCCUUUCCUUGAUGAAGGGGCUCCUUAAAGGGAGUAACUUUUGAAGAAAUGUACAAACCGGAACUCCGAUGGAGUCGGCGAGAUGACCAGCCUACGAGUCACCUAUGGUAAAAGGAUAAUGGAAAAAUAGAAAAAGUCGUCAGAAAAGAAUUGAAAAGAACGGAGUGAUAGAAGUACUUGUAGGCCCGUCCGUAUUAUGGCUCCGCUGAUGCCCAUGGUAUUUUGGGUGCAUAGUUAUGUAUGCGUGGUAUGGAUUUCGCAGGUGUAUGAGGUGGACGGCGGAGGCCGAACUGCUAGUCCAGUCCCAUAAUUGAUCGGUCCUGCUGAAUGGAGACCGACGGCUUAAUGGCCGACAAGGUAUGCGGUUUAAUAAGGCCGACUCGUACUCCGGCUAGAGGGAAGGUAGUAUGAUCCUUAGUCCGAAGGUAGUAUGUCUCAUGCUCCUCUCUAGGGGCGUGUGUUUUAUACCAUGUUCACUGUUUUUACCUUGGGGGAAAAUUGCUUCUGACCCUCGGUAUUUGUUUGGUGAAUCUCUUCGCCAUUGCUAUCAUUAGGCGGUCUUUUCCUCUUAUGUUCGGUGUUGAGCAUGCCGGCCUGUUUGAAGACCCAACCGCUUCCGUUGGUUUGAGUGGCUGGCUUAUCGGAAUUGCCAUGAAUCUGGCAGGGUCAAUCCAAUAUCUUGUCUAAGGCGGAUGGCUCAUCUCUGUUUGCCUUGAAUGGCUUUUUCCGUUGACCGGGUUUGGGGCCGCUGAAUCCGGCGUUGACCGCUAUGUCGCGCAUUCUCUUAUUAUCAUUGCGGCGUUUGUGUUUGCUCCGUCAUGCUUUUCCAUUGCCGUCUCGUACUUCGGAAGUACCUAGAUCGCUGGCACUGUUUCUUCUACGAGCGAGCCAGCUGUCUUCUCCCGCGCAAAAGCAGGUCAUCCGAGCGGUAAGGGAUGGCAUGGAUUUUAGUUUUUCUUGACCGAUGUGGUGGGCAAGCCACUCGUCCCGGACGCUGUGUUUGAAGGCCGCUAGGGCUUCCGCGUCCGGACAGUCGGCGAUUUGGUUCUUUUUAACUAAGAACCUAGUCCAGAGCUUCCUGGCUGACUCUUUGGGCUGUAUAUAGCUUAAGUCAUCGGCGUCUGGUGGCCGGACAUAUAUGCCUUGGAAGUUGUCGUCGAAGGCGUCUUCCAAAUCCUCCCAGCUGCCAAUAGAGUCUUUCGGGCAGACUGUUCAACCAGUGCCGAGCUGGACCUUUGAGUUUUAACGGGAGGUAUUUGAUGGCAUGAAGGUCAUCUCCGCGGGCCAUGUGAAUAUGGAGAAGGAAAUCCUCGAUCCAAAGCAUGGGAUCAGUUGUUCCAUCAUAUGAUUCGAUAUUCACUGGUUUAAACCCUUCCGGUAAUUCGUGCUCCAUUACUUCGUCUGUGAAGCAAAGAGGGUGUGCGGCGCCUCUAUGUUGGUCCACAUUGCGAUGUAUCUCCAAUGGAGUCUGUCUGCGGUUUUCGUCCCGGGUGUGACUAGGCUUGUCACGUCUGAAUAGAUAGCCAUUGUCACGUGUCGGGGCACGUCCUCGCGAUCCGUAGAUCAAUCUUGUAUGUCCUGCUCUAUUGUCCAGGUCCUGUUGACCACGAGCUGUGUUGUCUCUGCCUUUACGGUGAGGAGGGGCGGGCUGGUGUUCGGCUUGAGUUGCCGCUUUGUCCCGAACACAUGGUGGUCGGUUAGCCGCAUUGUGCGGUGAUGGUAUGGGCUCCGGUGCCUCAUCAUCGAACUGAGGUUGCAAUUUGUGCUUCGGGUAAAUUUUGACUGGGCGCUUGAGGCCGUAUACUUCGGCUACUAGGACAUCGGUCCAUCUGUCGUUGAGAAAAUCUUGGUCAGCUUGAAGCUGCUGCUGCAUCUUUUUCAGGCUCUUUGAAGUGGCUAUUAGCCGGCGCUUGAAGAGCUCCUGCUCCUCAGGUUCCUCAGGCACGAUAAAGUCCUCGCUGCUAAGACUCACCUGAUCCUCGGAGAGUGGAAGAUAAUUACUGUCCGGAUGAUCGUCCUAUUCGGCAGUUCUUUCAUCGGGAUCUUCUCUGACUUUAGCACCGUCGGAACUGUUGUCCUCUCCUGUGUCCGUAUCGCCAUUUAUUCCUUGACACGACUUAGAGCGGUGCCGCUGACGCCGGUGUUUUGGUUGUAUCACAGGAGGUUUGUCCUCAACUGGAUCUGCUUUCUCAUUGUCGUUUGUUCUCUUAGGUGUAUCCACCAUGUAUACGUCAUAGGAAGAGGUGGCUGUCCAAUGUUUGGUAAACGGUGGGUCUUGGCCCGGUUCUUCAUUGGCAUCGUCGUCCAUACCAUCGAUGUCUUCGGAGCUGUAGUCGAGUGAGUCAGUUAAGUUUUCAACAAUUUGUAUGAAGUGGGCAGUGGGUGGGAUGCAAAAUUUUCUGUUAUCAAUCUCCAGCUCGAACCGGAUAGAGCUCUUAACAAGUUUAGUACGUCGCCCAGAGGUGAAUGCCGGAAGAUGUUCGCGGCGCUGAAUUCGGUGAUCGAUGACCGAUCGUGCUCGAUGUGCGUGGAUGCGCAUAGUUCGGAACCUGUAGCCGGAGGCGGGUCCGUACUUCUGGUGGCAUAGAUGUCACUUGAAUUUAAGUCUGUGUCUGGCUCCAACACUGCUAAAACUGCGGAUUCCGCUGCGAGGUUGUGCUUCCCGUCUUCGGAUGGCGCGAUCUGCUCCGGAUCUAUGGCUGGAGCAGCUACAGGUACUACCUCCUACGUAUGGAUCGGUGACAGAUUUAGGUCAUGUUCAUCAUGGUGGCAGAGAGCGGCUGUCGUGGUCUCGAAUCCGUCGAAGAUCAAGUCUCCACGGAUAUACGCGAUGUAGUUCAAGUUUCCAAAUCUGACCCGGUGGCCAGGGGCGUAGCUUUCGAUCUACUCCAGAUGGCCAAGCGAGUUGGCCCGCGGUGCAAAGCUGUCGAACACGAAGAUCUGUCCGGGUAGGAAGACUUCCCCUUGGACAGCAUCGUUGUAGAUGAUUUAAGGAGCCAUCAAACCUUUUGAGGAUGGCACAGUGGAACUCUCAAUUAAAGAACCAAUGUCGGUGUCAAAACCGGCGGAUCUCGGGUAGGGGGUCCCGAACUGUGCGUCCAGGAUUGAUGGUAACAGGAGACGAGGGACACAAUGUUUGCCCAGGUUCGGGCCCUCUCUAUGGAGGUAAUACCCUACUUCCUGCUUUAUUGAUCUUCAUGAAUAUGAGUAUUACAAGAGUUGAUCUACCACGAGAUCGUAAUUGCUAAACCCUAAAAGUCUAGUCUGGCUAUUAUUAUUCGGGGCAUCUAUGGACCUAGCCCUCCGGUUUAUAUAGACACAGGAGGUACCUAGGGUUACACAAGGAAUCUUCAUAGUCGACGCCAAGCUUGCCUUCCACGCCAAGGAGAGUCCCAUCCGGACAUGGGUAGAGUCUUUGGUCUUCUCAUAUCUUCACAGCCCAAAAAUCCGGCCCAUAUCGAUACGUCGGACGCCGAAGGACCCCUUGGUCCAUGACUCCCUCAGUGGUGACGGCGCGCGGCGGCGGCGGCGCGAGCUGGCGCGAAUGGUGGUGGCGCGGGCUGGCGGCGGCGCGAGCUGGCGGCAACGCGGCGGCUGCGCAAGGCGGCGGCGCCGGCGGCUCGAGCGUCGACACAAGGCGCGGCCCGGUUCAGCCCGGGUGCGGGCCGGUGAUGGGACCCACGGGACCAUGCAGUGGAGAUGGUGGCGGGGUGACGUGGCUGCUUCUGAUUCGUCGAGGGCGGCGGCGCUGGACGCGUCCGGCGUGGACGGACGUGUCCGGUAGCAUGGAGGGAAGAUGGAGGCUAGGGUUUGGACUGCGAAUUCGGACGGGGAGGACCUAUACAUAGGUAGAGGGAGCUAGGAGAGGCCAAAUGAGGUGCGGUUUUCGCCCACACGAUCGUGAUCCAAUGACGGAGAGCAUGGAUGGGGUUUAGAUGGGCUAGUGGGCUGUUAUGAAGGGGUGCUGGGCUGCAAAGAGAAGAAGGGGUUCCGGUUAACGCGAUUGACCGUUGGGGCAUCAAACGUCCUCCAAAUGGAACAAAAUUUGACAGACGGUCUACCGUGAUACACAAAGGCCACUCGACAAAUCUCGGACAAUGCCGGGAAUGUUUUUAUCCCGCUCACGAAACAAUAACUGGAAGGUGCAACGGGUGCAUGUGAGAGUGUCGGAUGUCGAAACGGACAAUGGAGAAAGUGAUCAGAUGCAUGUUUUGAAAAAUAUGAUGGUGCAAUGCACAUGAUGACAUGGCAAAAUGCAACAUGCAAGAAAAUUUCAUGGCAACAACGACGAAUAACAGGAAGACACCUGGCGCAUCGGACUCGGGGUGUUACAAAGAGAUACAUAAAAUCGUGAGAGCGAUACUUUCCAUUUCUCUAGAGGGCUAAAAAUGAAAUUACGAGGAAUUAUAAGAAAUGCAACCGAUGAAGUAUUCACCAACUGUCAGGUAGUUCAAAGAACACCAGAAGUAAAAUUUACAUCCAGGUCCAUAGACCACUUAGCGACGACUACAAGCGAUAGAGCUAGCCAAAAGGAGCGCCGUGGUCGUCACCCAUCCUUCGUCGGAGAAGGGCAAACAUUGUUUUGGUAGAUAGCAAGGAACAAAAAUAUGCUGCAGUUCGUUAGUUUCCAGCUGAAUAUGUUUGAUGGACCAUUGGUAUGCGCUUAUUUUGUGUGCAACAACAAUGAAUCUAUUUGGUCCCAAUAGCCAAUCAGCCAUAAUAUGUUUUAUAGCUGUUCUAACUCUUGGUAUCAAAGAUGAUAGUUUGCUACAGAGUUAUUCAAGUCCAUACUUCAAGGUCUGUAGAAGGUAUGGUUAAGUUUAAAAGAUUCGACACUAUCUGGUGUGUAGUUCCCGAUUUAGAGGAAAAAACAUUCUGGUAGAAAUCGUGGUAUUAAUUAUACUUCGAUGGUAGAUUUAAUUUUAAUUUUGCGCAAAAAUCGUCCCAAUACGGUGAGUGCAAUGCACGUGUAUGUGAGCAUCUAUGUUAAAAAAGGACAUGAUACGAGUUCAAGUACAAAGAGUAGGAAAAUAAAAAAGUGGGAUUUAAAUUAUUCUAGCUAGAAAAACAAUUCAUAAUGCUCCAAAGUGAAUCUUUAUUUCCAAACAUUAUUCAUGGUCAUUUUCUUGCUACAAUUAUCUGAUGCAUUCGCAGUGACCAUCACGGCAGGUCCCACCUCCAUAACCAUCUCUGUUGCAGAUAUCAUUUCAAAAUGAAGGAUUUGUACAUGGAGUGUAGGGUUCACGGUGCCCCUCGACGCCAAUGUUAGCUUCC